CAAAAAUUAACGGCUGGAAGAAGAAAGAGAGAGAUGGAUUUCUUGAGUUGUGUACUAUUAUGUCUAAUGGUUGCCUGGAUCGUAAUCCAAGCCCUCCAAAAUUCAUUUGCAAGAAGAAUUCCCACAAACCUUCCACCUGGACCAAAGCCAUUUCCUUUGAUUGGAAAUCUCCUAGAGCUUGGAAACAAACCCCACAUCUCACUAACCAAGCUUUCAAAACGCUAUGGCCCCAUUAUGACUUUACAACUCGGCCAACUAACAACAGUUGUAGUUUCUUCAUCCAUCGUCGCCAAACAAGUCCUCCGAACCUAUGACCGAUUCUUUUGCAACCGAACGAACGCAGAUGCACUCCAAGCCUGCAGCCAUGCCAAGCACGGCAUGCCCUUCAUACCUGUUUCAGCUAAAUGGAGAAACCUUCGCAGAAUAUGCAACUCCCAAUUGUUCGCCACCAAAGUUCUCAACGCCAACCAAGCCAACCGUCAACUAAAAGUGCAAGAGCUCAUAGCUGAUGUCAGCGAAAGCGUGGUAAAAGGUAAGGCAGUUGAAGUUGGAAGGGCUGCUUUCUUAACUACCCUCAAUUUGCUGUCACGUACUGUCUUCUCUGUGGAUCUAGCGGACCCGAAAAGUGAGACGGCUAGAGAGUUCAAGGAGUUGGUGUGGGGUAUCAUGGAAGAGGUCGGGAAACCAAACUUGGCUGACUAUUUUCCUGUGCUUAAGAAGAUUGAUCCCAUGGGGAUACGGCGCCGUUUGACCAAGCACUUCCGGAAGAUGAUUGACCUCUUUGACCGCUUGAUCUUCCAAAGGUUGGAAACAAGAAAAUCACAUGAUUAUGUCACAGCCAAUGAUAUGUUGGAUACUCUUAUAAACAUGAGUGAAGAGAAAAAUGAGGAUAUGGACAUUCCUGAAACUCAUCAUUUGUUUCUGGUUAGUUAUGGAUAUAGCUUUCCUACAUAUACUAAUUGCUAAUUAGAGUGUAUCUUUUUGUGAUUAUUAAGGUUGUUUUUGGUUUUGUUUAUACCAUCUAAACUGACUUAAAGACGGUUGAGAUAGUACACGUAGUUUUAUUAGUUCAUUAUUAUACAUAUAUGCUAGCUCCGAUUAAUUUUCUGACUAAGUAAUCAGCCAUUUGGUGAAUAAUAUAGGAUUUAUUUGUUGCGGCCACAGAAACAACCUCAGCCACAUUGGAAUGGGCAAUGGCUGAGCUACUAUGCAACCCUGAAAAACUGUCAAAAGCUCAAGAGGAGCUAGAACAAGUAAUUGGGAAAGGGAAACCAGUUGAGGAAACAGACACUGCUCGACUUCCUUACUUACAAGCAAUAAUCAAAGAGACCUUUCGGUUGCACCCAGCUCUUCCGUUUCUUCUCCCCCGCAAAGCCGAAGCAGACCUGGAAAUCUGCGGGUAUUUUGUACCCAAGGGUGCACAAGUGUUGGUCAAUGCAUGGGCCAUAGGCAGAGACCCUGGCUUUUGGGACAACCCGGCCUCAUUUAUCCCAGAGAGGUUCUUGGGAUUGGAUAUGGAUGUCGCUGGCGGAAGCUUUGAGCUUAUCCCGUUUGGUGGUGGGAGGAGAAUAUGUCCUGGCUUGCCCUUGGCAAUGAGAAUGUUGAACUUGAUGUUGGGUUCACUUCUUAACUCGUUCCAUAAUUGGAAGCUUGAAGAUGGAGUUGUACCAGAAAACAUGAACAUGGAAGAGAAGUUUGGCAUCACUUUGCAAAUGGCUCAGCCUCUGAGAGCUGCUGCCAUGGCCGUGCCAUAAAAUAUCCUACUAGCUAUUUGUUUUUACCUAAGUUAAUAUGUUGUGAAAUUGAAUAAAAACUAUUCAUGCCAUGGAAUAAAAACUAUUCAUGCCAUGGAUACUCUCACAAGUUCCUCCAAAUAGGUUGUGUCCAUUUUCUUGCCAUGGAAUAAAAAUUGCAUAUUUAACUUUCAGUUGUCCAUUUUUUCUUAUGCUCAUCUGGAAUGGAUUUUGUUUACUCAACGUUGUUUUAACUUCUAGUUUCAGGUUUUCUUCUUCGUGUAGAGCAUUCAUUUUAUUAUAAUAGAUUACAAAACCCAAUCUGAUUUUAAACAAUAAAAUUAUUGCCAAUAAUGAACCAUUUGUUUGAAAGAAGAAAAUUAUUGGCAAUAAUUAAUAGUUUUAGGUGGGUCGAGAUGACAUAUGGGAGAAGAAAAUAAUGGAAGGAAACAACAAAGUAAGAUCCAUUUGUUAAUCAAAGAGUUUUUGCUGUUCACAGUCGCUUAAGGCAACUGCGAAAUCAAACUCUCUCUUUAUUUGAAAAACUUCAAAUUUUUCGCUUUCGUACCAACUAGAGAUUAUAACGACCUUUCGAACAAUAAAUCGAGCGAAGAACAAUUCCAACCAUUGCAUUUCUUGCUAAAAUAUGAAACCUAACUUGAGAAUAUUUGUUUGUAGGAAUUUUUUAUGUAUUCUUCUCCUUGUAGGAGAUCAUAUUUAUAAUACAACGAAACUUUAAUGGGCAAGUAAAUAAUAAAUUCAUAUUUCUAUUUACAGUAGGAAAUCAGGAAUUAAAGUAAAUCAAUUACAAUUAUAAUAAGAAUUCUUGGUAUGAAAAGAAAGUAAGUCAGUGGUCCACAAGACACGCCAACACUCUCUCUCACGUUGGUACAUAGAUGUCGUCAAUGCCCAACUGAUCCAGUGAAUUGUGGAAUGCUUUACUGGAAAUUGCCAAUUUGGCGUCAGCAUUGACAUCAGCCCAAAACUCGGGUUCGCGCUCGGGCUGAACUCCCUCCUGGGCCUACCCAGGUUCGUGGCCCCCACCUCCUACCCGGGCAAGCCUUUGCUGCUAGAAACGUAAUUUGGGCUCAAAACGCUCCCAGCCCGCCCCCUAACUUCUCCACUGAAACUGCUCUUAUACCCAAGCAAGUUCAAGUAUUCCUCCCUUUAUUUAUUUAUUUUUUUAAGAAAAGAGAUAUAUAUUAUUACUGUCUAUUUUGCCACAUGGUAGGAAAGUCCCCACCUAAGUUUUUCUCUUUCGUGUUUAUCUCCUAGCAUGUAGGAUAUAUAUAUAUAUAUAUAUAUAUAUUAUUGAAAAAAUAUGCUCAUGUCCUCUAAACAAUUGUGCCAAAAAUUAACGCCUGGAAGAAGAAAGAGAAAGAUGGAUUUCUUGAGUUGUGUACUAUUAUGUCUAAUGGUUGCCUGGAUCGUAAUCCAAGCCCUCCAAAAUUCAUUUGCAAGAAGAAUUCCCACAAACCUUCCACCUGGACCAAAGCCAUUUCCUUUGAUUGGAAAUCUCCUAGAGCUUGGAAACAAACCCCACAUCUCUCUAACCAAGCUUUCAAAACGCUAUGGCCCCACUAUGACUUUACAACUCGGCCAAAUAACAACAGUUAUAGUUUCUUCAUCCGCCGUAGCCAAACAAGUCCUCCGCACCCACGACCAAUUCUUCUGCAACCGAACUAUCCCGGAUGCAGUCCAAGCCUGCAAGCAUGCCAAGUAUGGCAUGCCGUGGCUGACGGUUUCCUCCACGUGGAGAAACCUCCGCAAAAUAUGCAACUCCCAGCUUUUCGCGGCUAAAGUUCUCGACGCCAAUCAGGCCAACCGUCACCUAAAAGUGCAGGAGCUCAUAGCUGACGUUAAGGAAAGCGUUGUGAAAGGUAAGGCGGCUGAAGUUGGAAGGGCUGCUUUCAAAACUACGCUCAAUUUGAUGUCACGGACUGUGUUCUCUGUGGAUUUAGCGGACCCGAACAGUGAGAGGGCUAGAGAGUUCAAGGAGUUGGUGUGGAGUAUUAUGGAGGAGGCUGGGAAGCCAAACUUGGCUGACUAUUUUCCUGUGCUUAAGAAGAUUGAUCCCAUGGGGAUACGGCGCCGUUUGGGCAAGCACUUCCAGAAGAUGAUUGAUCUUUUUGACCGCAUGAUCGUCCAAAGGUUAGAAUCAAGGAAGUCACGUGAUUAUGUCACAGGGAAUGAAUGUUGGAUACUCUUAUAAACAUGAGCGAAGAGAAAAAUGAGGAUAUGGACAUGGCUGAAACUCAACAUUUGUUUCUGGUUAGUUAUUGCUACUCUAGCUCUAUUAAUUAAUUGAUAAUUAAAUUGCUUAGAUAUUAUAAUUAUAACUUAUUGCUAGAUUGUGUACCAUCUUAAUUGAUCAUUUUAAAAGAGUGCUGCUAAAUGAAUCUUAAAAUUAACUGAGUACACUCUAUGAUCUAAGUACAUCUUAAUAUUUAAAUCAAAAUAUAAAAUUAACUAAGUACACCUUAUUUAACUACCAAAAAUACUCAUUGUACACCCUAAUACACUCUAUCUCGUCCAAAAAAAAAAAAAAAACCAACAACAUUCAUCGAUCUCCCUAUGAUCCCCUUUUCUCCAUACUUUGAUUCUCAAAAAUUUUAACUGUAAAAUCUGGACAGUAUUGUUCUUUUUGAUAUAUCCUAAAUCUAACUAUAAUGAUACAAAAACGUUCAACAUAAUUCUUUGAUUUCAUUCCUCUUGAUGCUAAAACGUUCAAAUUAUGAUUUUGCCUGCGAAAACUUCAAAAUCUUCCUUAGUUCUUUAAUGUUUUAGUCUUUAACUCCAAAUGGUAGAGCAAAUAAACAAAGACUCAAACAAAUAAUUAAUUAGGAUUGCAGAUAAGGACUUCACUGUAAAGAUCAAUCAGCCUUGUAUUUAUAUAUGCCUUCAAUUUUCUUCGAAGAAUGCUAGCCAUUGAUUGAUGUGUGUCUCACAGCGAGUCCAUCCAUCAAUGGCUAACACAAACAAGCACUGCACUGUAUUGAAUCAGCCCCUGCAUAUUUCUUUUAAUAGCUUCAAGUUUAUUCUUGGCAAAACGAAAAUUUCAGCAACUGUAUUGCUGAAAUACACUUUGCUUUGCAAACAUAAGAGCAGUUUUUAAUAUGUCUUCAUGUAAAAUUGCAUUUUCAAGAUCUCAUGUUCAGAGACUGUACAUUCAUCAUGAAAAUUUGCAGAGAGCUAAGAAGAAACAACUACAUUGUGUGGUUUAUUAUAGCAAUCAGUCAAGUCUUUGCAGUUAUUUUUUUUUUCUCUUUUUUUUUUUUCUUUUUUUGAAACUGCUACUCGGUAUUGGCCAAAAGAAAACUGCUCUUUAUUCUUCCAGUUUGGUAUUUUGUAUGUUUUAUACUGAGCAGAAGAGUGAUUGAAAGAAGAAGAGGUUCUACUGAGCUUGGUUUUGAGAGAUAAAAGAGUUCGGCUGUCCAAAUGCUAAGAUGGAGAAGAAGAGAAGUGUAGGGAAAAAUAUGCCGUGUCAUAUUUUAGAUGGUUUUUAAAGAGUGUUGCUAAACGAAUCCUAAAAUUAACUGAGUACACUCUUAAAAUAUGUGGUGUUAUGUUUUACAAUUGAAUAUAUCUUUUUUAGUCAUUUUAUAUUAGGGUAAAUUAGUAAUUCAAUAAAUACUUUGAUAGUAGGGUGUACUUAGUUAAUUUUAGAGUUCGUUUAGCAGCACUCUUUUAAAAUUAUGACUAUGGUCACUUUAUUUUUGUUGAGAUGGUAUAAGUACGUUAAUCCUACACUGAUCAAGGUCUUGUGUUCAAAUCCCCUUAUAUCGCUUUUAUAAAAAUAAAAAUAAAAACUAUAUAUAUAUAUAUAUAUUUGGUGCCCAUAUUAAUUUGACUAAUUAACUUUUUGGUGAAUUAGGAUUUAUUUGGUGCGGGCACAGAUACAACUUCAGCCACAUUAGAAUGGGCAAUGGCUGAGCUAUUACGCAACCCUGAAAAGCUAUCAAAAGCUCAAGAGGAGUUGAAGCAGGUUGUUGGCAAAGGAAAACCAGUGGAGGAAUCAGACAUCACUCGGCUCCCUUACUUACAAGCCAUAAUCAAAGAGACCUUCCGGCUGCACCCAGUUGUCCCACUUCUUCUCCCUCGCAAAGCCCAAGCAGACAUAGAAAUCUGCGGUUACAUUGUACCAAAGGGUGUACAAGUGUUGGUCAACGCAUGGGCCAUCGGCAGAGACCCCAGCAUUUGGGACAACCCUACCUCAUUUAUCCCUGAAAGGUUUUCAGGAUUGGAUAUCGACGUUACUGGCCAGAACUUUGAGCUUAUUCCAUUUGGUGGUGGGAGGAGAAUAUGUCCUGGGUUGCCUUUGGCGAUGAGAAUGUUGAAUUUGAUGUUGGGUUCGCUUAUUAACUCGUUUGAUAAUUGGAAGCUUGAAGAUGGAGUUGUGCCAGAAAAAAUGAACAUGGAUGAGAAGUUUGGCCUCACUUUACAGAUGGCUCAUCCUGUGAUAGCUGUGCCCAUCAAGUAUUAGGAGAACGAAACCUAGCUAGCUAUGGUUUCUAUAAUAAAUAGAUUUAUGUUUUUAUUAGGGAGUUACAAUAAUUAAUCCUACUAAUGAUAGGAAAUGGUCAGUUGUCAAUUACGUUGUUAUUAGGCCAUAACUCCAUAUUUAUGUGUAUGAUAAUGGCUUGUUCUAAUUGUAGAUUAUUCUCUACAUAUUUAUAUAUUUUAUAAUGAUCAUAUGAAUGACUAAGGAAAAAAUAGUUUCUAUAUGGAAUAUGGUAUCAGAGCUAAUGGCUAACGCCGAUUAGCGAUUCUCCCGUUGCCAACAUUGAGAGUCGUUGGUGCUCCGCACUCCUCACCCGUAAGGAGGGUGUUUGUUUAUGUUUAGUGCUUUUUCCUCUCCUCUUCUCAAAGAUGAAUAUAUUUUUUUCUUCCAUGUUAGCGAUUUUUUUUGUAUUGUUUCAUCCUUAGUUAUAUUAACUGCGGGCAUCGGCGGCUUCUUUCUUUUUGUUGUGCCUGAUAAAAUUGACCUUAGAUGGCUUCAUUUUCUUCAAAUCACCCCAGUUGCCUUUCCCAAUCUGAUGAGAUUGGACAAAUAACUUUAAUGGACCAAUAUGCGCAACCCAUGUAGAAAACCAUAUCUAUUAUAGGGUGGACUCCUAUCCUGGUGUAUGAUUUUUGUUUUGUAAAAUCACCCCAGUUUCCCUUCAUUAUGAUGGUAGAUUGACCUUGCGAAGGCUAUAUCUAAAGGAAAAGCAAACAGAGCCAUGCCACUAGAACACAGAUUUUUGUUUUGUAAAUUUUUUAUAAAGUUAUUCGGUGUUGAUUUUUCAAUUUAAAAAAUGUAUUUGGAAGUCUUGUUGGCUCAAUCACUUUUCUUUCUUUGUUCUACUCUUCUAGAUUUGGGAGGGGCUACUUCGGCAACGGGUGAGAACUGGUGUUAGAAGGGGAUGGAAAAGUCGUUGAAAAAUUAGGUUGGUUUUAUUGAUAUAUUUUAUAUUUAUAGUGAAUUGAUGGAAAUGGAAGCAUGUGAUUUGAUUUAACGGAAAUUUUUAAAGGAGUUUGACGUAGGUGGUAAAUAUUGCAACACUUUAAAUAGUUCAAGUGGUUGCUAGAAAAAAUUAAAAAUUCAUGUAGUAAUCCCGCACGUACUAAAAAGUUCGGAUGAUAUUUAUGUAAAUUCCCCUUUAGGGUAAAUAGAGAUAGCUUGUAAAAGCUUCCACUUCUAAAAAAUAAGUCCGGAUCCAAAUUGUUCUUGAAUGUCUUUACCUAAGUUUGUCUCUUAGCUUAGAGGAUGUAUAUAAAAGACUUAAAAGAGUUAGUCUUGAAAAGAUAUUUUCAUGCUUUCUCAAUAAGUCUCAACAAUCGUGCCAAAAAUUAAUUAAGAGUUAGGCGAGAGAUCAAUUUCUUGUGUUGCAUGCAAAUGUGUCUUAUGGUUGCCUGAAUUUCUUGUGGGGGAGCUGGGAGGAGAAGGGGAUGGAGAGAAAGAGAAGGAGGGGGGGGGGGGGGGGUUGUUAUUUAUUAUAAAGAUUUUUUUAAUGUUAAUUUAUUUUAUUAUAUAAUUAAUUUAUUAUUUUUUUAAAGAAACAGCGGGUCCUACAGUAGACACGUUAUCAAUUAAAUCAAAUAGUCAACUUAAUAGAAAGUUUAAAUUGGUCAAAUUUGAAAAUCAUCAAGUGUAAAUUGAUGAAAUUGGAAUUCGAGAGCCUAUGUUCAGAAUGAUCCUAAAUCUUCAGGAAGUCUUUUGACGUUAGUCCUAAUAUAUAUUUGUAAUUCCAUGAGUGUUUCAUGUUGCAUGUUCUGCGGGUCCUUUUCAAAUAAAUCAGCCAUGUGCACAAGAGUGAAUUUAGCUGAAGACAUGUCAUGUCUUCUGUUCAUAAAAAAACAACAAAGAAGGUUACUAGCAUUCCUUAUAUAUAUAUGUGUGUACUUUUUGUUUUUGGGUGAGAAAAGUCCCUUCGAGUGGACAGGAAAUUGUACUUUUUUUGUCUUUUCGCAUUUUUUUUUUCAUGUUAGAGUAGUUUGGGACCAUCCUCGUUCAAAGGAGACAUGUGCAGUUGCAAAAGACCAUCGUGCAUGUUUAUGGGAAAAAACAAAACCUCUAGCCCACUUGGCUAUAAAUUAUUGUAUGUAUGUUGUUUACACCAUAAUGAACCGAGCAGACCCAGCAUCAAAGCGACUAGCACCAAGGCAGCCACGCCUUCUCCCAUGCCGAAGGAAGACACACUUCCGAGGUGCCUGACACCUGCCGAAGCUCUCAGCUGCCAAACCUAAUCUCCAGGACACGUGUCGCCACCACAACGGCUUGCACAAAGUCCCACAUUGGAACUUUGUGCAAAGCUCCCACUUUCACUUCCCUAUAAAUAGGGAACAGUACCAAGGUACAAAAAACGACUAUUCUCCCACUUUUACUGUUACUCUGCCAGAAUUACUACUUGUAACUGACUUAGGCAUCGGAGAGCCUUCGGCCAGCACCACACCGGUGUCCGAAGCUUAAUGAUUGCUUCUCCUCUUUUACCUUCUACAGGUCUCUCACCAACCCAUUUCACCAAGGGCCUCAGCCUUCUUCUCUGCUGAAGACUCAGCACAUCUAAUCACUAAGUUGGACUCAAUAUUGGCCGGGCCAUUUUGAGCAUCAACAGUUUGGCGCCGUCUGUGGGAACUCGACACUUGAAUCCCCUCUUUCUCUAUCAGCCCAGCUGGCUCCUUCACCCCUCAGGCCCCGUCGCCUCUUCUUCACCCCACAUUCUGCUAUGCCGACCGAGGAUAGCCGCGACACCCAGCACCAUACCCCCCGCGAUGGUACUUCUAGAAGGAAAUCUUAGGAAGAUGCCACUCUCCAGGCAGAAGUGGAGCGCCUCCGCGACAGUGUCACUAAAAUGUCGGAAAAAAACGAGCACCUUCAUUGCAAGAACAUUGAGCUAGAACAUGACUACCGUGUUUUAAAGCGGAACUGGGAAAGGACUCACACCCAGGAUGCCCAGCAAGACCUCACCCAGAACGUUGGGCCUACUCAGCCGAACCAGCCGGUACACUCCAGCCACAGUGCCUCGGCCCAAGCUAGGCUCCGCAAAGGUAAAGACCACCUUCAUCCGGAGAUAACCCAGUCGCGACCCCUUUGCGUUCCCCCACCGAGGGACCGGCCCCAUGAACCAGUCAGGAUCUACCAAGAUUGCAGGGAUCGCCUCUCGGACCGUCAGCCGAGGCCGGUCCCUAUCCCUGUCAACCUCGAAGACCCACGGGUGACACACCUGGGCCUCUCGCCAGCCCCCGUCCGCAUACCCGACGAGGAAGGUGUCGGGGACUCGGAUACUUGGGACUUUUAUAAUUCGGAGACCCAGCCAAAUUACCACACCGGGGCGCUGGAAAAUUGGGAACAAUCCCCAGUCCCUGUCUGCCCCGCCCCUAGGCCUUUGGCGCCUGAAACUCUUCCUCAUGCCGACCCGGCCAUGAGGUUUCUCUUUGAAAAGGUCCGGCGCCUGGAAAGCGAACAACAUCGCAGCCCAUCAACUCCUUCUGGGCUAACCACGACCAGGGCCCUUUACCGNNNNNNNNNNNNNNNNNNNNNNNNNNNNNNNNNNNNNNNNNNNNNNNNNNNNNNNNNNNNNNNNNNNNNNNNNNNNNNNNNNNNNNNNNNNNNNNNNNNNNNNNNNNNNNNNNNNNNNNNNNNNNNNNNNNNNNNNNNNNNNNNNNNNNNNNNNNNNNNNNNNNNNNNNNNNNNNNNNNNNNNNNNNNNNNNNNNNNNNNNNNNNNNNNNNNNNNNNNNNNNNNNNNNNNNNNNNNNNNNNNNNNNNNNNNNNNNNNNNNNNNNNNNNNNNNNNNNNNNNNNNNNNNNNNNNNNNNNNNNNNNNNNNNNNNNNNNNNNNNNNNNNNNNNNNNNNNNNNNNNNNNNNNNNNNNNNNNNNNNNNNNNNNNNNNNNNNNNNNNNNNNNNNNNNNNNNNNNNNNNNNNNNNNNNNNNNNNNNNNNNNNNNNNNNNNNNNNNNNNNNNNNNNNNNNNNNNNNNNNNNNNNNNGCAGAGCUGAUGAAGCAGCAGCAGUCCAUGCUAAGGCCGAAUACUUCAAUACCAAGCGGUGGCCCAGCUAACCUGAUGCGCAACGCUUUCGCUGAUCCUCCACUUGCUUCAGCACCGCCCCAGCCCCACUCAGCAUUCUACCCUGCCCCGAGUACUCAGGACAACCAACAACAUAAGCGGAAGGAUAGCUACCAGCAUCCCUUUCGGUAAUAACAAACGUGGCAGACAUGGCAACCACCACCAUUCUAGCGGAGGCAACCCGCCUAGGCCUGCUGAUCGGGCCCCACUUCCAUUCGCACCCAAGCCCAGGUUCGAGGUAUUUACCACCCUCAACACCACCUAUGAGAACGUCCUGGUGCGUGAAGCCCCCAUCAUCCCCAAGCCACCCCCCCGGAGACCAUCCAGCAAGCCAAUGCCAAACACGGGGGUCUUCUGCCGCUUUCAUCAAUUCAGCGGCCAUGACACCGAGUCUUGUGUUGCGUUGCGCAACAUAAUUGAAGGGCUCAUCCGGGAGGGUAAGCUGGACAACUAUGUGCGCAACAUACCAGCCCCGCCUAACCCUCACCAACGACAAAUCAACAUGAUCUCCACCAUCAGCGGAGGUCCUACCCUGGCUGGCACCUCCAACAAUUCCAUCAAACAUUAUGUCCGCUCCACCUAUGCGCACCAGGUCUUCACCACCGAGCAGGGACGAUUGCCAAAGACCCACAGGACUGGCUGGGCCCCCAUUACCUUCUGCGAGGAGGAGGAGCGUGGUGUUAUCCUCCCCCAUGACGAUCCACUCAUUAUCCGGGCUGACAUUUCUAACUUCGACGUUGGGCGUAUCCUGGUGGACACUGGCAGCUCGGUCAGUGUGAUGUUUGCCGAGUGCUUCAAUGAACUCCAGGUCCCGCCUCACCUACUCGACCGAAGCAUCACACCCCUUGUGAGCUUCUCGGGUGAUGUGGUCCAGCCCAUUGGCAGCAUUCAUCUCCCUAUCUCAAUUGGGGCCGCACCCCAGCGGACGACAAUCACUACCCCCUUCCUUAUCGUCGAUUGCCCCACAGCCUACAACGUCAUCCUCGGCUGCCCAGCCCUGGCCCAAAUGAGAGCUUUUAUUUCCACGCAUAUGCUACUGUUGAAGUUCCCCACUCCUAAUGGCCCAGGCACGGUGCGCGGCGACCAACUCGGGGCCCGAAGCUGCUAUGCUUCAGCAGUAAAAUCCACCAAUCGCCAACCUAGGAGCGAGGCCCUUUCGGUAACCAUGGCUCCCGCCCCUCCUCAAGCUGGCACAGACCCACCUGAAGACCCAAGGGAGGAGUCCAUCGCACCGCAGGCCGAACCUAUGGAGGACCUGGAGCUGGUUACCCUCCAUGACGAUAUCCCGGAUCGACAAGUCCGGAUCGGCACCUCCAUCUCGCCAGAGCUUCGCUCUGACCUGGUCGCCUUCCUCCGCCUCAACUCCGAAGUCUUCGCUUGGUCCUACAAUGACAUGCCGGGCAUCUCACCAGACAUCAUAUCUCAUAGGCUUAGCGUCAAUCCUGCCGUCAGACCAGUCCGAUAGAAGCGUCGCGCUUAUGAUCCCGAGCGCUAUGAGGCCAUGAGGGCGGAGGUGGAACGAUUGAGUAGCAUCGGAUUCAUCAGGGAGGUUGACUAUCCUACAUGGCUGGCUAAUGUCGUGAUGGUCCGCAAACCAAGAAAGGGCUGGCGCAUGUGUGUCGACUACACCAACCUUAAUCGGGCUUGCCCAAAGGACAGCUUCCCGCUACCCCGCAUUGACCAGCUAGUCGACGCCACAGCCGGCCACGCCCUCCUUAGCUUCAUGGAUGCUUAUUCAGGUUACAACCAGAUCUUCAUGCACCCCGAAGAUCAGGCCCACACCUCUUUCAUUACGGACCGCGGCCUCUACUGCUAUAAGGUGAUGCCCUUCGGCCUCAAAAACGCCGGGGCUACUUAUCAGCGUCUGGUGAAUCAGCUCUUUGCCCCCCUGAUUGGCAAUACCAUGGAAGUCUAUGUCGAUGACAUGCUAGUCAAGAGUCGCACGGCUGACCAGCACAUCCCCAACCUCUCUGCCAUGUUCACCAUCUUGAAGCAAUACAAAAUGAGGCUUAACCCCACCAAAUGUGCAUUCGGGGUGGCUUCCGGAAAAUUCCUUGGCUUCAUGAUAAGCCAGAGAGGCAUUGAGGCCAGUCCAGAAAAGAUCCAGGCCAUCUUAGAUAUGACAAUACCUAAGACGGUCAAGGAUAUCCAAAGCCUUACAGGGCGUGUCGCAGCCCUGACCAGAUUUAUCUCCAAAGCCACUGACCGCUGCGCCCCAUUCUUCAAGGCCCUUAAAGGCACCAAAAGAAACAUCACCUGGACUGCUGAAUGUGACACGGCUUUCAGCGAGCUGAAGGAGUAUAUGGGCCGGGCCCCUUUAUUGUCAACCCCUGAGCACGGAGACAUCCUCGUGAUUUAUCUCUCCAUCUCAGCUUCGGCUGUUAGCUCUGUGCUCAUCCGAUCAAAAGAUCACGCGGAGCACCCAGUGCAUUAUGUUAGUAAAGCAUUGCAGGAUGCCGAAGUUCGUUACCCGGACAUCGAAAAAUUGGCGUUCGCCCUGGUCGUCUCGGCAAGACGCCUCCGACCAUAUUUCCAAGCUCACACCAUCCAUGUCUUAACCAACCAACCACUCCGACAGGUGUUGCAGAACCCAGAAACUUCUGGGAGGCUGGUCAAAUGGGCCAUUGAACUGGGCGAGUUUGAUCUUCAUUACAAACCCCGCCCGGCUAUGAGGGGUCAGGCCGUUGCUGACUUCCUAUCCGAAUUCACGGAUCCCCAAGCUUCCGCAGCUACCCAGCUCAUAACCGAACCCAAUCCCCCUUCCAGCCAGGACCAAACCCCCACCGAAGGCAAUCUCGACCUAACCCAGCCCCUGUGGACCUUAUUCGUAGACGGCUCUUCUAAUGCCCAGGGCUGUGGGGCCGGCCUCGUUCUCAUCUCCCCAGACAAGGUUGCCCUCGAGUACGCCCUUCGCUUCAAAUUCCAAGCCUCCAACAAUGAGGCCGAAUACGAAGCACUCAUAGCUGGUCUUCGAUUAGCCAAAGAGAUGGAUGCCAGGCAAAUUCAGAUAUUUAGCGAUUCACAACUCGUGGUCCACCAGGUCAACCAGGACUUCACGGCUAAGGAUCCCUCUAUGACGGCCUACCUCCAGCACGCUCGGCACCUGCUGGCGACUUUCCACGCCCACUCUCUCAAGCAAGUGCCGCGCUCCGAGAAUAGCCAUGCCGAUGCACUAGCCAGGUUGGCAUCAGCCUUGGAGCAGGGACUGGGUCGCCACAUCCACAUCGAGUUUUUGGCCCAGCCCAGCACACAAGCCCCACUCAUCUGCACUAUUGAUCACAGCCCCACAUGGAUGGACCCCAUCCUCCAGUUCUUACAGAACCAAACACUACCAGCUAAUCCGGCAGAAGCACGACGCGUACGCCAUCGCUCUGCCCGUUACCUGAUCAUUAACGGCUCCUUAUACAAGCGGGGUUUCAGUCUCCCAUACCUCCGAUGCCUGACUCCAGAGGAGGGUCACUAUGUCCUCCGAGAAAUCCAUGAAGGCAUCUGCGGCAACCACUCGGGCGCACGCUCGCUAGCCCAUAAGGCAAUCCGCCAAGGAUACUUCUGGCCUUCACUCCACACUGACGCCCAGGCCUUCACCCAGAAAUACGACAAGUGUCAGCGAUUCGCCAACAUCCCACAACUCCCGGCUGAACCGUUGACUGCAAUGGUCAGCCCUUGGCCAUUUGCCCAAUGGGGACUGGAUCUCAUUGGACCGAUGCCAGAGGGCAAGGGCCAAGUCAGGUAUGCAGUUGUGGCCGUGGACUACUUCACCAAGUGGGCUGAGGCCGAGGCCUUGGCCACCAUCACUGCGGCUCGCAUCGAAUCCUUUGUGUGGCAAAACAUUGUAUGUCGCUUCGGCAUCCCCAACUCCAUCGUCACCGACAAUGGCCGGCAAUUUGACAACGCCAAAUUCAAACAAUUUUGUUCCAACCUCAAGAUUCGUCUGUGUUUCGCCUCCCCAGCCCAUCCACAGUCCAAUGGCCAGGUCGAAGCCGUGAACAAAAUCAUCAAGAAGACCCUCAAGACAAAACUUGACAAAGCCAAGGGCUGCUGGCCAGAACUACUCCCAGAAGUACUCUGGUCCUACCGCACCACCUUCCGCACAUCCACGGGUGAAACGCCGUUCUCCCUAUCAUUUGGAACCGAGGCCGUGGCUCCGGUAGAGAUUGGCCAGCCCACAUACCGAACCUCCACUUACGAUGCCACGGCCAAUGACGAGCAGUUGGCCCUCAACCUCGACUUCAUUGACGAACUCCGGGACCAAUCGAACAUGCGCAAUGCCGCGUACAAGCAACGCAUCGCCAAAUACUAUGACUCCCGAGUCAAGCCCCGUGCUUUCAAAAUGGGGGACUGGGUCAUGCGCAAGGUUUCCUUGGCUACCAAAAAUCCUAACGAAGGUACCCUCGGCCCUACAUGGGAAGGUCCUUACGAGAUUAUCAAAAUCUGCCGCCCCGGCACUUAUCAGCUUCGUGAUUCCACAGGCAAGACGCUGCCUCACCCGUGGAAUGCUGACCACCUCAAGUACUAUUACAAGUAAACAUAUCUAGACCCUAGGACAAUACUUUGGUCUUGAUUAUUUACUAUAAGUUAGACGUAAGGUAUCUAGACCCUAGACCACUUGUACCUUCUGCCUUUCGGCAUCUAUUUCAAUAAAAUGCCUGACUCAGGCUCAUUCUCAUGAACUCACAUUGUUAUCAUUUUUAACACAAUUGAUAUCAAGCUAAGUUCAUAUCAUAAAUAAAAACAGCCUUGCUCCAGGCAAGGACAAAUGUUCAUACAUAACCACAGUAAACAAAACACAAUCACUAGAGUACAAAAUACAAAAUAGCUAUAACACAUCACGAAGGCAACGCCUUCAGGACUCGGUCGAAGGGGCAUCCUCAGUGGCUGGCUCAGCCUCUGGUGUCGGGGCGCUAGCAUCAGCAGGAGGGGUCUGUGCAGGAGGCUCGCCACUGGUGUCAAAGUUAAUCUCCAGUGAGGGGUUGAACCUAACCAACCUAUCUUCCCAGCGAAGCUGCUCAUCAACCAGUCGGUCCAUGAUAUAGCUCUUCAGCUCCUCUGAGGAUCGGAAGGACUCAAUCGCCUCGGCUCGGGCAGCAGCCACCUCCUCGGCCCUAGAUCUCUUCAGCUCCUCCACCUCCUUGGCCAGGGCCGCCUUUUGAACCAGCAAGGUGUUCUUCUCUCGGAUGGCCUCCUGCGCCUCCGCCAUUUUGCUCUUGGCUAGCUCAUCCCGCCUCUUCAACCUCUGGAUCUCCUUGUCAGCCUUGGCCAUGCUGACGUACAUCUCGCCAAAGGCCUGCAAAACCAAAACCAUGUUAGUCAAUCCACACAAAAAUAAUCCAACACAGGUACAUUCAAAAAGGGCCUAAACACUUACAUAGGCAGAGGUGAGGAUCGUCUUUUGGGCCCGGUCAAUGAAGGAAGAAGCUGGAGUCCUCGCCAAGGCCUCAGGGUCGCUCUUCACGCCUUCCAGGAAGACGUUCACUAAGGGCACCUCCUGCCGGUGCAUAGCCAGGUUGACCUCCUUCUUCUGCUGGCGUAGCCUGCCGAAGUCUACCUUCUCUACCCCUUCAGCGAACACAUCCUCCAUGCCGAAGGGUAGCUUCGGCGGUGCCUGCAGAUCAAAGGGCGGAAGCCUCGGCCCUGCCCCCAUCACAUGCUAAUGAGCCUCCUCCAAAGCCUUCCUCUUCCCCAGCACGUCCGCGACCCGACCCUCAUCAUCAUCCCUGGGUCGUUUUCCAGCACUCUUCUCAGCUUUCUUGGCCCGAGACUCCCUCAGCCGCUUCUGCAUCUCGGCCUCAUCAAUGUCUACGGCCACCUUCGUGCUCCCCCUUAUGAUGCCAGCCACUGUCAAAACAAACAAAGCAAUUCUAUUACUCAAACUUACAAAGGCUCAGUACAAAACAAAAAGAUAACCCAGGUACUUACUUCCUUGCAGCAGUCCGGACUCAAACAAAUUCUUCUGCGUGACUAGGUUCCCGCACUCACGCUCAGUCUCUGAUAGCUGCGCCCUCACCCACUCAACUUCGUCUUCUUGCUCCUUGGAGAUAGGGCCCCACUUCACUGAACCUGCAUCAAGGGUUAGAAACUACUUAGCCAUUUACACUGGCACAAAGGAAGUACAGAACAAAAAAUAGGAGCCAAAACAACACAAUCAGGCAUUGGACAAUCUUAAGGGAUGGGGCAAGGACCUAUAGACUGGAAGUGGGUAGGAAUGUGCUGGACAACGCUCUUCCCUAGAGGACAUUCCCAGUCCCCAUAGGCCAAGCACCACCUGUUCCUCCAGGACUUUUGCGUUGUGGGCUUGUGUCCAAUAAAAUAGCCCCUCUCCUUCGCCUUUCGGCAAUUGGCCUGUACCCAGCCAAAAUUCCCCUGUUGCUUCGAAAUGGAGUACAGGUACAUGAACUGCUCAAACGUUGGCUCCCCUAACCCAGCCAACCACCAGGCGAUAUACACCCCAUGAAGAAGAAUCCAAAAGUUGGGAUUAUACUGCCCCGGUGCAUACCCCAACUUGGCCAACAUCAUCUGAACCCACGGAUGAAACGGCAGUCUGAAGCCGUGCCGAUACAUAUCUGUAAAAAUCAUCACGGAGCCAUCUGAAGGAUAUCUGACUACAUCGGCCUCAGUGGGUAACCUCAAGCCCACAUAGGCUGGCACACAAAAAUCCGUUCGUAGCUGGGCCAAUUUCGCUUCUGUAAGUGUAUUCCGCCUUGGCAACGGGACACCAACCCGGAUGUCUAAUCCCUAUGACACCGAAGCCACGGCUAUACCCACAGACCCUGAUGGUGAUGCCUGGUUGCUCGAACCCACUUCUUGCGUCUGAGGCAAGGCUAGAACCCGAUUUGCUAUAGCCUCUAACUCUAUAUAAUUUCUCUGCAUCUCCCUAUAUGCAGCCGACCCAGAGUCUCCCGAUGGCUCAGCCCUCUCACCCCCAGGCCAUAUCAUCCUACUUUCUAUGGUUCCUUCCACCAUACCCUCUGUCUCUGAACUUUCCUCUUCAGAACAUAUAUAUUGACUCGGCUCUUGACUCUCAGUAUCAUCCCCGCCGAAGGCAGGGGGGUCAAGACUUUCCCUAUCAGAACUUUCAGACAUCUACAAAUAUGGAAAAACAAGAAAAAGGAACUAAAUGCACAUGCAGAGAGGAUCGAACCACAACAACAAGAAUUUGCCAAAUCUUCAUACCAGGCAAGAAUUCUACAUGUUCAUACAUAUGUUCAACAUGUUCAUCAUGUUCAUGCUCAUGUUCAAUGUGUUCUUCCUAACCUUCAACAUGUUCAUGCAAAACAAGACAUUUCAAUUCAAAAGUUCAAGCGAAAUAAGGUCUAACCUUGUUCGUACCACCACGUACAAGUCGCCGGAAAUCACCUCAGCCACAAGCACCACCACAAAACCUUCGCCGGAAAUCUCUUCUCCUCCUCCUCAAAUUCUCACAAUUUUUCUCAACUCAAGCCAAGUGUGAUGCCUUCACCACCCAAGUUCCUUUAAAUAGCCAACUAAGGGUACCACGCCUCGUUUCACGGGCAAACCCUAGCACCCUUUCAUAUUCCCUCCUAAAUCCCUUGUACCUACACACAAUUUGAAAUUCAAUUUUCAAAUAUACAAGCAAGAAACAAAAACAAUUGUGAGAAAUUUAGGGACCUUGCCGAACGGCAAGGCCCGUGCAAAAACAAAAUGGAGCCCCAAAAUUUCAAGUGUCCUAGCCUAUUUCAUAAGCCCAAUCUUAUUACAGGGCUAGGGCCCAAAAUUGUCCAAGGCCAAGACCCAAAUUUGAUCAACACAACGGUCCAAAUAAAAACCUGCUCAAGACACCCUUGCCGAACGGCAAGGGCUAUGCAUGCAUCAAAAAGGGGGCAAAAGGAGACCAUACCGAAGCACACCACCCAGCUGCUGCGCCGAGGACCUCCUGGGCUUGCCAAAACCGCCUGCCGCAGGACUCCCAAAUCGCUGCCAAGUCCCCUGCCGAGUGGUAAGACACGUCCGCCGCUCCAAAUUGCUCAGCAGCUCCUUUGAUCUCGGCAGCUCCACCUCACGCGGCUAGACCAAUUGCCGAAGCCUACCUCACGCGGAUCCGCACCUGGCCCUGCUCAAAGUCCAGCCCACUUGCCGAAGUACCAGCCGCCUUACUCGACCUCUGACCAGCAGCUCCGUGGCCACGACCUGCCGAGCGGCAAGGGCCAGCCACUCGGAUGUGCUCCCAAUCACUCGUGGUUCACCUUGCCGAAGCUGCACAGCCCAGCUUCCCUUGCCGAAACACCACACAACUCGACAACCACCCAAUCACCCUUGCCGAACGGCAAGGGUCUUCCAAAUCCAAUUCUCCAUCCCUGCUGCAGCCUUGCCGAAGCCGAUAUUGCCAAAGCUGCCCAGCCCCUCCUUGCAGAACGGCACCCUCCACCCGUGCUCUUUGCCAAACCGUGAGCUACCCCACCCUAGCUCCAAGUUGCCGAACGGCACCUUCCACCCAUGCUCUUUGCCAACCCGUGAGCUACCCUCAACCCUAGCUCCAAAUUGCCGAACGGCACACUAGCAAACCCCAAUACCAAAAUCUACCAAACUGCCGAAUGAAGCCUUGCCGAACGGCAUGAUGCAUCAUCUCGUUUUUAUACCCCCCUCCUCCAACAACCCUAGCCCUUCUUAAUUGCCAAAGCCCAACUCGGGCCCAACUCUUGCCAAUUGUCGAAGGCCCAAUUCAAGCUAGGCCUUCAAGCCCUCUCAAUAUGACCUAGCUCCCAAGUUCAAAACAAAAAAAUAUAUAUUUUGCUAGACCCUUGCCGAACGGCAAGGGCCAUGGAAGCUUUGUGGGGAGGUCCAAAAAUCCCAAAUGGCCCGGCCAUUCCCAAAAAAAAAAAAAAAAAAAAAAAGGAGCUAGACCCUUGCCGCACGGCAGGAGCCAUGAAAGAAUUGGAGUCUCCAAAAUUUUCAAAGUACCCGGCUCCCUCGAAGGUCUGGCUCCUCUAGGGACCCAGCUCCCAUCCUAUCUGCAACAUGCCCAAGUACCCAGGUACCCAGCUACCAUGUGUUGACGCAACUCCUAGCUUGCCAACUUGGGGGACUAGGGAGUGCCCUGCGGCUCCCAAUGAAGCUGGAAUGCUCGGUUACAAUUACAAAAACUCACAAGUUCCCAACCCAGAAGUUACUUCUCGACCGCGAACUUGGGGGACUACUGUUUACACCAUAAUGAACCGAGCAGACCCAGCAUCAAAGCGACUAGCACCAAGGCAGCCACGCCUUCUCCCAUGCCGAAGGAAGACACACUUCCGAGGUGCCAGACACCUGCCGAAGCUCUCAGCUGCCAAACCUAAUCUCCAGGACACGUGUCGCCACCACAACGGCUUGCACAAAGUCCCACAUUGGAACUUUGUGCAAAGCUCCCACUUUCACUUCCCUAUAAAUAGGGAACAGUACCAAGGUACAAAAAACGACUAUUCUCCCACUUUUACUGUUACUAUGCCAGAAUUACUACUUGUAACUGACUUAGGCAUCGGAGAGCCUUCGGCCAGCACCACACCGGUGUCCGAAGCUUAACGAUUGCUUCUCCUCUUUUACCUUCUACAGGUCUCUCACCAACCCAUUUCACCAAGGGCCUCAGCCUUCUUCUCUGCUGAAGACUCAGCACAUCUAAUCACUAAGUUUGACUCAAUAUUGGCCGGGCCAUUUUGAGCAUCAACAUAUGUCAUUUACCUUCUUCUUCUUCUUUUUUUUUUGUUUUUUUUUUCUGCAUGUCAUUUACUAUUUUACGUGAUAUGUGCAUCUGUGAGAAUGAUAGCUCCCAAACGCUAGGCACCACGAGUGAUAAACUAUUUUGAUUAUAGAAUUUAAAAUUAAAUGAUUUUAACUAUGUGGAAUUUUUUAGACCAAAACUUGAUUUAUUCAAAUGAUAAUAGUUGAAUUUAACAACUUUUGUGCAAUUAGAACCAGAGAGAAUGGAUUUCUUGAGUUUUUGUAUCGUCCUGCUAAACCUUUUCUUUGUGUUGUUGUUCUCAAUUAUUCAAGCUCUGCAAAGCAAAGCCAAUCCCAAAAGGCAUCUUCUCCCACCUAGACCAAAGCCAUGUCCCUUCAUUGGCAAUCUUCUAGAGCUUGGCAACAAACCCCAUCUCUCUCUCACCAAGCUUUCUCAAAUCUAUGGCCCCAUUAUAACUCUGCAACUCGGCCAAUAUUCAUAUUGGGGAUUUCCCAUCCCCACCUUCAAUGGGGAAUGGGUUCCCCGUCUAGCCCUACCUUUUGGGAUUGGCCUUGCUUUGCAGAGCUUGAUAAUUGAGAACAACAACACAAAAAAAGAUGGCAUCAGGUAUGUCAGAAGUCGUAUACUCAAGAAAGAUGGCACCAGGUAUGUCUUUACGUAUUUCAAAUUGUGUGAAAGAUUUUGAACAUGUAUAUUAAAGAAAUCUAACAGUUGGUAUCAGAGCCAGGUUGUUCGCACACACUAAAAUCGUUUUUGAAGCAUGCCUAUUAUGAUUUCUUAUCUGUUUUAUGCCAUGAUGAGUUUUUGGUGAUGUUCAAAAUUUGAAGAUGGAUUAAACAUGUUUUCUAAAUAUCAAGAAUAUUAAAGAAUCUGAAAAAGCAUGUUUUAAUUUGAUUUUCAUAUCUUCAAAACUUUAAACAUGUUUUUGACCUACCCGAUUCAGAAAGGUAUUUUGCGUAAAAAACAGACACCAAAAACGUCUAAAACACUGUUCAUUGCAAAAAUUACUAUUCACUGCAAUUUAGGGUUUUCUCUCUUGAACUGUGUUUGUUUCGUUAUUUUAUGAGCUAGAUAGGUGCUUGUCUUUGUUCUGAGAAUCAACAAAUUUUUCAUAAUAAAACCAAACCUAAAUACUCAAACCCUAAAGAAAUAACAAAAAUUGCAUCAUACCUAAAUUACUUGAUAAGUUUCUUCAACAAAUAGAAUCUAUCCUGUAAUUUAUUUUGCCACAAAGGUGUGAUACUUAAUUAAGGAAGCUUGCAUAUGUUACUUGCAUAUGUUAUUUGUUAGUUUUGUGAAUAAAGUGAAACGGAAAAACUAUUUUCUCUUAAGAAAUUGAGAAUUGGUGUCUUGGAAAGUAAUUAUGUCUUUUUUUUUUUUUUUUACAAAUCCUUACAGCUUUGAACACUCCCUCAAUCAAUUUCUCGCAAAUUGAAAGAUUCACUGGAUCAAACUUCAAAACAUGGACGUAUGAUUUUAAAGUUAUUCUCGGAAUGAAUGAGAUCGUUUAUGAUCUCACUCAUGAUUAUAUUUAAUUCAAGCUAGCCAUUUCACUUAUGUAUCUUGUAGUACAACUCCUAGAGUUUAGGGAAAAGAAAAAGCAUAUGGUGGUUAAUAGGAACCACUCGUGUCAACUAGUCACAAAUGGAAUUCUAGUAAAGAAUACAGUGGAGCUAAUUAAGAAGCGAAACGAAGAUGAGCUAGAGCAAAAAAGGGUUAAGAUGCAACGACGUCGUUGACCUUAUGGAGGACCCAUAAGGAUAUACAUGGCCACAAAGGACGGUCUCAGAAGUCUCAGGAUCACUGUAAAGCUCAGUGUAUUCGCUUAUGGGAGAGGACGAAACAUCAAUAAGCUAAUUCGAUGAAAAAAUCUCUUAGUGCAGUUUGUGAAACAUACGCCCCAAAUUGAAUCACCUGUUGAGAUUUUCGAUACCUCCACUAAUAGGGAGAUAGUGGUACUUAACCCGUUCCUUGCUAGGGAGAACAACACUUUCAUGGCAGCAUGUUGUGACAAGGAGGAUUAGAUAGCUACCUGUUGUUUUCAUUAAAUAUUAUUGGAAUAUUUAAUUUUAAGUUGGAUUCAGGAUUUAUUUUAAAGUAGGAUGAUGUAUUUUCAUUACCCUAAAUAAAGAGAAAUUUAAUUUCUAUUUCAAGAUUAUUAAGACUUUCUUUUAUUUUGGAUUCAAUAAAGAUGUUUUUGUAUCUCAGAAUUCAAAGACAAUAAAGGUGGAUUAUAUUGUCUCAAUUACAAUAAAUCUUUUUGAUCUCAACAAACGGGUGUUCACUAUUAAAAAGAAUGGUGCACUCGUCCACAAAUACUACAGCCAGCUGCAGCACAUCUUUCAGGAAAUUGAUCAUCGCACUCCCAAUCGCAUGCACUGUGGCGCCAAUGUGACUGAGCGCCAGAUAGAAUUAGAUCGUCUUCGUGUUCACCUUUUUCUUGCCGGGCUUGACCUUGAGUUUGAUCAAGUCCGGGGGGAAAUCCUACACAAAGAUCCUAAAAGGGACCUUGACCAAACCUUUGCAUAUGUACGUCGCGAAGCUCAACAAGGACUGACCAUGCUAGUGCUCCAAAAACCGCUGUCAUGGUCACUCAACGUCAACGGGGCCCUCAGAUCUGUACUGGUGGCUCUUCUCAUACUAAGGUCAUAGGCACCCGUCUGGAGCAUAAAUGUACUUACUGUGGUGGAUGUAAACAUACCCAUGCUGGCUAUUACAAAUUGAUUGGGUACCCGGAUUUGUGAGCCCACUCCAAAGCUCCCAGCAAGAAUAGGAGCAAAUCACCCCAACACAUCUUAUGACUCAGAUCCUGUAAGUCCUGCUGUUUCAACUACAUCGGUUCCCGCCUUUGCAUCUGUAGCCAUAAUAGGUACCCAAGGUUAUGUUUUACAUAGUUCUUCAAAGAAACACACAUAGAUCAUUGACACCGGAGCCACUGAUCAUAUGACCUUUGAUCCUAGACAAAUUGCCUCUCAUACACCGUCUCAUCAAUCAGUGGUGUCUAAUGCCAAUGGUACCCCAUCCUCCGUAAUUAGGGAGGGUUCACUCUCUCUCUCUCUCUCUCUCUAACUCCCUCAAUUUGGAUUCUGUGUUGGUUGUUCCAUCCUUACAUCAUAAUCUCUUGUCUGUUGCCCAAAUUACUAAGGCUUUGAAUUGCACUGUAACCUUUUGGCCUACUCAUUGUGGUUUUUAGGACAUUCUCAGCAGCAAGACAAUGGGUUGUAGUACUAGGAGGGGCAAACUUUACUACUUGGACUUAGCAUCUGACAGUGAAGCACAUUAACGAAGUAUGGUUAUGGUAUCGACGUCUUGGACAUGCUUCGUUUGGAUAUUUACAGAAGCUAUUUCCUUCCUUAUUUUCCAAUUUAAAUAUUUUCAAUUUGAAGUGUGACAUUUGUGAAUUGGCCAAGAGCCAUCGUGUUCCUUUUCCCUUACGUUCAAAUAAAAGUUUAGUUCCAUUUUCUCUUGUUCAUUCUAAUGUUUGGGGCCUUGCUAAAGUUACCACUCCAGGGGGAGCUCAAUGGUUUGUCAUGUUUAUAGAUGAUUGCACCCGCAUGACCUGGGUUUCCCUUCUCAAAACAAAAGAGGAAGUCAGUUCCAAGUUUUAAUAGUUCUAUCAAAUGGUGGAGACUCAGUUUCAUGCCAGAAUUCAGAUUCUUCGUUCUGACAAUGACGGAGAAUUUCUCGACCAUGAUCUUAACAAGUUCUUACAAGAUCACGGCAUCAUACAUCAACGCUCAUGCCUCUACACUCCCCAAAAAAAUGGAGUCCCUGAAAGAAAGAACAUACAUUUAUUGAAAGUAGUUCCUGCCUCUCUCUUUGGUGCCAAUAGGCCUCGAUCUUUUUGAGGAGAAGCCGUCGUCUUUACAGCAUACCUCAUCAAUCGGAUUCCUUCCAGUAUCCUAAAUUUCCAAACACCAUUUCAAACGCUUCACCAUCAUAUCCAAAUACCUCAUAUCCCAAACCUAGAACCCCGUUUUUUCGGAUGUGUUGUAUUUGUCCACUUACAUGAUCACCAACGAAGCAAAUUGGAUCCCCGAGUCGAGAAAUGUGUUUUCAUUGGCUAUGCACCUCAUCAGAAAGGAUACUGGUGUUAUCAUCCUCCUAGUCAGAAGGUCUACAAUUCCAUGAAUGUUGUGUUCUGGGAACAUGACUUAUAUUUUUCAGCAGUACAUGAGGAGAAUCAAGAAUCCACCACUCCUCAAAUUCUCAAUUUUUUCCCCCAAGAUGUCACUCUGCUUCAAAACGACCGGUCGCUAGUGGAAAGCGACCGGUCGCCCCCACUUAGGUCUUCAAACAUGGAGAACUUGCUUCCAAACAACCAGUGGCCAGAAGACAACAAAUGGUCGCCAGAGGAAAAUUAUCAGUUGCCUCUACGCUGUCAAAAUCAAAAGGAGGAAAUUGAUCCGUUUUAUGAGAUUUUGCCCGCUUUAGCUCCAGUACCACACCAAUCACCAGCUGAGGAAGUCAUUUAGGUAACAUCUUUUCUUGAAACUGAUAACACUAAUAAAAUAUCCCAUGAUGAUUUGAUUUCAGAAGGCAUAUAGCCUACAUGUCAGCUUCCAAAAAGGAAGAACCGUGGUAAACCUCGAGUACAAUAUGAAGCAAAUCUUAAAGCCAAAGAAAAAUACCCCAUCACUGAUUAUAUAUCUCGCAGUAGAUUAUCAGAGUCACGUGUGCACUAUGUAAAGCAGUUAGCUGACAUAUCUGUCCCCAACAGUGUGACUGAAGCAAUAGAAGACUCAAAAUAAAAAAAAGUCAUGAAUGAAGAAAUGCGAGCUCUCCAAUAGAAUGUCACAUGGGAACUCAUGCCCUUACCUCAUGGAAAGAAGACAGUAGGAUGCAGGUGGAUUUAUACUGUGAUCCAUUGAAAGAUAUAAAGCUAGAUUGGUAGCGAAUGAGUGCAUACAGAGAUAUAUGAUAGACUACCAGGAGACCUUUGCCCCAGUAGCCAAGAUUAACACUAUUAGAGUCCUAUUUUCUCUAACAGCAAAUCUCGAUUGGCCACUGCAUCAAUUUGAUAUUGAAAAUGCAUUCUUACAUGGAGACUUGGAAGAAGAAGUAUAUAUGGACUUACCCCUAAGAUGUAAUUCAGCUCAUAACAAGAAGAAUCAAGUUUGCAAGCUCAGAAAGUCAUUAUAUGGGUUAAAGCAAUCUCCUAGGGCAUGGUUUGGCAGAUUUUCUAAAUCUAUUAAGAAUUUUGGAUAUAAACCGAGUAAUUAAGAUCACACCUUGUUCUUGAGGCAUGAUGAAGGAAAACUUAUUGCAUUGAUUUUUUAUGUAGAUGACAUAGUCGUACUGGAAACGAUGCAUGAGAGCAACUGAAGUUCCAAAAGUAUUUGUCUCAGGAUUUGAGAUGAAGGAUUUAGAUGAUCUGAAGUACUUCCCCGGAAUCGAAGUAGCAAGGUCAAAAACUGGUAUAUUUCUGUCUUAAAGGAAGUAUGUAAUGGAUCGACUCACUGAAAUAUGAAUGCUUGGAUGUAAGCCUGCUGACACACCCAUUGAUAUGAAUCACAAGUUGUGUGAAGAUAUGGACCAAGAACCAACCAAUAUGGAACAAUACUAACACCUUGUUGGAAGGUUGAUAUACAUGGCAUACACAAGACUAUAUAUUGCACAUGCUGUGAGUGUGGUUAGUCAGUUUAUGCAUUCAUCCAGUGUUUCUCAUAGAAAUGCAGUUGACCGAAUCUUAAGAUACUUAAAGUCAGCCCUUGGGAAAGGAUUAAUGUUCUCAAAAAAUGGAGAUCUUGAAGUUGUUGGAUAUACAAAUGUUGAUUGGGCUGGUUCCAGUACAGAUAGACGCUCUAGUUUUGGUUACUUUACAUUUGUUGGAGGUAACCUAGUUACUUGGCAGAGUAAAAAAUAAAAUGUGGUUUCUCGAUCUAGUACAAAAGCAGAGUAUGGCUCAAGGAGUCUGUGAAUUAUUGUGGAUCAGAAGACUCUUGACAGAAUUGGGCUUCAAACUAGAAAAGCCAAUGGAGUUGCAUUUUGACAACAAGUCAGCUAUCGAUAUUGCCCAUAAUCCAAUUCAACAUGAUCGAACCAAACAUGUUGAGGUGGAUAGACAUUUCAUCAAAGGAAAAAUUGAUAAUAAGAUCAUCUGCCUACCAUUCGUAAAAUCAAAAAAUCAAUUGACAGAUGUCUUAACAAAAGCAGUUUGUGUAAGAGUAUUCCAUGACUCACUUACCAAGUUGGGCAUUGGUGACAUAUGCACUAACUUGAGGAGGAGUGUUGAUGUGAGUCUCCUAAUUAAUCAAAGAGAUUUAUUUCCUUGAUUAAUUAAGAGAUUUACUUUCUUGUUUUAUAUAGUUGACAAAUCAUUGUAUAUUUAGGAGAUACUAUCCUAAUUAAUUACUUUAUCUAUAUCCUUGUAAAUCACUUAUGUAAAUUCCUAUAUAUACCUCCUUAUGAAGAAGAAUAAAACUUAACCUAAAGUAUUCAAACCAUAUUCAUAUUUUAGCAAGCUGUAGCCACACCUUUCUUUUACCACUGCAACCUUUUCUUCUAUUAGCCCGUUAUUUUUGUGUCUCCGUUGCACCGUCUUCAUUGCAAACCGUCCCCUCCAUUGAGCUCUCCCGUGGCAAGCCACGACAGCUCCAUGUAUGUCCCUUGGCAGUGAUGGCCAAAUUUCUAUUUCCUCACCGAGCCUCGUCACUACUUGCUGAUCAUUCUCCUCACCAGCCUUUAUCCCUCUCAUGCCAUGUAACUCAAGUGGUUUUGAACUAGGGAUGACAAUGGGUCGAAUCGGGGGUGGGUAUGCCAUUUCCACCCCCAUUCCGUUAAGCUUUUUUCCCAAUUCCCACCUUCAUUAUUGCAAUAUUCAUAUUGGGAAUUCCCCAUCCCUACCUUCAACGGGGAAUGGGUUCCCCGACCUGCCUCAUUACGUACGGAAGAAAAAUCAAUAUAAAACUACUUUUUUUGAAAGAAAAAAAACAGAACUAGAGCAAGAUAAUGAGUACAUAUAAUAUAUUAUCUACGUACAAUGUUUACAUAUUGACUAGGAAGCUAACUAAAUAUAUAAGUAGUUGUAGGGGUCUUUUUGUUCCAGCAGCCUGAUGAAUGGGCUUGGGCUGCCGUAAGAAGGAGACGAACAAAAUUCCCCGAAUGCCUGAGUGCAAUAACCAAGCUCCCAAGAGAGUUUUUUAAAAGUUCAGUGAAACUUUAGAAAAACACUCUUAGGUUAUUUUCACAAAUAGCCAAAUAAAUUGAUUAGUGCCUUAGCUUGAGGAGCUUGUGGCAUGGGAGCUAAGCUUUCACAAGUUUAGUAAUUUGAGAGAGAAAGAGAAGGAACAGAGAGUUAAAAUGGGGGAGAGGCAAAUUAGGAAAAUUUCUUCCUCAUGGGAAAAUGAAACAACUAAAGAGGGGAAUUGGGUGGCUUUAGUAAAUUCCCAACUGCUUGACAAAGCUUGGUCAGGCUCUGGUUGAUGAUGCUUCUAGGUAGAUGAAGCUCCUUUUUAUAAGCGCAAAGGACCCCUAGCUUUGUAUAAUCUCCUUCUUUCUUUUUCUUUGCUUCUUUCUACUAAAUCCUAUUCAGUGAAAUUUUCCUAUCCAAGGUGCAUGGGUAAGGGGCCCUUUGUGGUUCCAAGGGUUUUGAGUGGCUCGACCUUCCCAUGAAGGUGAGGUGCCACCUGCUUUUCUUCUUGGUUUUCAAAAUGUGGCCUAUAGAGGGAAGAAAGAAGGGUAGAGUCUUUUGUCCAUGGGUAUUCAUCCUUCAUUCGUGGAUUUCUUUUGGUCCUGCCAUGGCUCUUUGUUAACCAUCUUGGAAUUCUGACGAGGAUGAAACAUGAUGCCAGGUUUUCCUACAAACUACCGGGCUAGGCUUAUGAGUGCAAUAUUGGCUUAUUAAUGUAUUGUUUCCGGUGCCUAAUGGGUCUUCGUCAAGUUGCUGGAAACGGCCAAUUUGGUUUUGGGCAUUUGAUUGAUGUUGGCUUUGUCCAAGUGCUAUGGCAGAUUACUAGAUAUCCUCCUAAGGCAUUGGGUCAUUUUCCUCCUCUCUCAUGCUAACCCAUGUGUUUGGGCCCUAGGAACGGGCUGGAUUUUUAAUGCUCCCAAGUGGCCUUAAAACUUUUGUUCCUCGAACCCUCAAUGGGCCCUGUGAUGGCUUGUUUCCUUCCAUACCAUAACCUUCUCAGCAAGCCCUAGUUAAUUAUGUGGCUUGGGCCCACUAAAGCCUAUAGCAUGGCUCGGUAUUAAAACAGCGAUUUCUUCGCAUGGCCUUGCAUGUUCGUUUAGCCUAUUUGUGCUUGUGUUUUAUUGCGCCGCAUUAGGCCAUGAUCGGGUCAAGUAGCAUCGGAUUAGAUUGGUAAGCAUGAUUUUAUAAAGCUGGUGCAUUUUGGUCCUUUUGCGCAUGUUUGCUUGGCGUGACACAUGGCCCAUGACUUAUCUAAAUGCGUCCUUUGAUUUCUCUCAUGUCCUGAUUGGGCCUCCUCUGCGAUUAAUUAUUCACAUUGGGCUAAGAAUAAACCUGGGCCUAGCCCUUGGAUUUUUGGGCCUCAACAGUAGUGUAGCUUAAGAUUUGUAUAAAUUUUAUAAAUAUAUAAUAUAAAACUUAGUCGGCACAAUCACUUUAAUAACAUAUUUAUAUAUACUAUAUUCUAAACAGGGAGGGUUUGGGUCUGGGAUUAAAAUACCGUCCCUCCCCUCCCCUAACACCAUUUCCAAAAAUUGAUCGUACCUGUCCUCAUACCCGUUUUUAAUCCUUCUUACCUGACCAUUAGGGUCGAAUCCAUGCGAAGACCCUUACCCGUGGGAAAAAUUGCCAUUCAUAUUUUGAAUAGUUAUCUUCCUUGCACUUGAGAUUCUGUGUUUGAAUCUCACCCACCCAAUAUCGAUCGCUUUUUUUUUUAAAAAAAAAAAAAAUAUAGAAACUAUGUCGUGUAUGUAUCUCAAUCAUUCAUCAAGUUUGAAUCUCAAUAACAAUUGGUUGUUAUAAGAAUGUCCAGUAGAACUAACUAUGAGGAUAGUUUUUUUUUUCUGAGGAAGGUUUAUUGGGGUGCAUAGAGUAAUUGGACUGUCUUGGCUUUAUGGGGCUCCUAUUUAUUAUAGGGUGGAUUCUUAUCCUGGUGUAUGAUUUUUGUUUUGUAAAAUCACCCCAGUUGCCCUUCAAUAUGAUGGUAGAUUGAUCUUGCGACGGCUAUAUCUAAAGGAAAAGCAAACAGAGCCAUGCCACUAGAAUACGGAUUUUUGUUUUGUAAAUUUUUUAUUAAGUUAUUCGGUGUUGAUUUUUCAAGUACUUUUAUUUUUAUUUUAUUAAACCUAGCCAAAACGAAGUCGUUUUGGCUAGGUUAAAAAAAAAAAUUAUUCGGUAGUAGUUGCUGCCCGAUAAAACAGAUUGGGGGAAACCCUAAAUCCCCAACCCCAACCCCUAAUUCUACCCAACCUUCACCCCAGUUGAUGGCCUCCCCACAUGGAUCACCUUCCGGCGCCGCCAAUCUCCUCAUCCAAUGACGGCACCAAACCCCAAAUUCAAUUUGGUUUGAAAUUUGCUCUCAAAAUUGAAAGUAUGUUAUCAUAUUUCCUAAUCUUUUUAUGCUUUGAUGAGAUUGAUUAAUAUGUUGAUUAGUUUGAAUGAAUUAGAGUUUUUAAUUAAUUAAAAUAUUUAGUUUGUAUGUUUUAAUAUGAUGGAUUUCGUCCCUCCAAUUGAAAGUAUGUUAUCCUAAUUUCUAAUCUUUUUUUGUAUGCCUUAAUUGAUUAAUAAAUAUGUUUGUACGUUUUUGUUUUUCUUGAUUAUUAGUUGUUGUCGAUUGUAUUUAUUAGGAGUUUUUUUUUAAGGACCCGCCCCGAAUUUUCUCAAAACCCGAGACGAACCCUUUGGAAUUUCUGACAUCACUCCGAUGUCAGACCCAAUCACUAAAGACCGAGACUUCCUGCCGAAAUUUCGGCAGAGUCUCCCCUAUAAAUUGGACAUUUCCCAAAAAUUUCAACCUGCAUAAAAAUGCAUUUAAUAUUUCCAACUGGCAGCAUGCACAAUAUAAUUCAUGCAAUUCACACAAAUGGCCUUCGGCCUUCCAAUAAUUCUUAAACGAUUAUCAAACAAUUCAAAUACCAAAUAUAACUAAUAUUUAGUCUGCGGCUGCACCUAACAACCUUAGGCUGCCUACGUACCCUCCUUGAGGGAUCAAGUCACACGUAGUUCUUCCCUAAAACCCAGUUCCCCACUUGGGCGAUACCUUAUUUCAUUUUUUUGUAUUUCAUAUAAUCUCCUCAUACGCCGGUACAACCAACGCCACGUAUGGGGCCUGUCAACACGCCGGAUAACCUACGCCACGUGCGACCAUGCCAUACUAUCAUAAUAUCUCCUCAUACACCGGUACAACCAACGCCACGUAUGGGGCCUGUCCCAACGCCGGAUAACCUACGCCACGCGGGACCUCAAUAUCAUAUCACAAAUCUCCCCAUACGCCGGUACAACCAACGCCACGUAUGGGGUCUGUCGACACGCCGGAUAACCUACGCCACGUGCGACCUCAACACAAUAUCACAUAGCUCCCCAUACGCCGGUACAACCAACGCCACGUAUGGGGUCUGUCUCAACGCCGGAUAACCUACGCCACGUGAGACCUGAACAUAAUAUCACAAAUCUCCCCAUACGCCGGUACAACCAACGCCACGUAUGGGGCCUGUCCCAACGCCGGAUAACCUACGCCAUGCGGGACCUCAAUUUCACUUGGUGGUACUUGUGGUAAAUCCAACAUCCGGGGAGGUACCUAAAGUAGUGCGUAUAGCACUCCAAACUGACAUUCUAGACUCUGUUGUACCUUUGUACAACCAUAUAUAAUUAUAAUUAUAUAAAUUAAUUCUAAUAUUGUGUAACCCUCCACAAUCAUCUAGCACCCGAUAAUCCCCCCUAGAAAGGUGAGAUUACUCUGGGAGACUCACGGUCAACCAAGGGUCAAACUACUCUAACCCUGGUCAACCGGACCUGCAGAACCCACGACCUCCAAUUUCCGAUCCGAAGGUCCCUAUGGGUUCUACCAGGUAUAGGACACUUGUCCUAAAACUUUGGCUCAGAUCGAACGGUCGGAUUGCUUACGAUCGCACGAUCUGACAAUUAAUAUAAAAUACAAACUUUAAAAUUAUUAUUCGGAACAUCCGGGGCUCCGAUUCACAAUCCGUGAAUUUCCACACGAUCCUAGAAUUACCUAGAUUAACAUAUAUUAAAUUUGGGUCCAUCCAUCGGUCUCAACCUAUCGAACCCGGAUAACGCACAAUUUGCGAAUAUCCGUUCCAUAGUCAAACGAUGUCCGAAUUGAGAUCCGCAAAAUCCUACGCACUUGUGACAACCUAAGGAUCUCAUCGGAACACAUUGCUACUUUUCUACAGUGCCCACGCUCCGCCGCACGCGCCGGCAGCGCGUGGGUGCCCAAAGCGAUAACGCUUCGCCGGAAAAUCUCAAAACCACGGCUCCAAACUCCUACCCUAGGUAUAACACCCUAUUUGGAGCCACUUUUGUUCUUGGACCUACCCCAAAAAGUGGCCGGAAAUGGCCGAUCACGGCGGCCGAAGUUUCGGCCGAUUUUCAAUUCGAAAAUCGAGUUGUCUACGCUAAGAAUCGAUCUAAUCCUACCCAACCAUCAGCUAGAGCAGCUCGAGAGGUUCAAAAUCCAUACCUGAGUCGACGGAAUUGGUGGCCGGAGGAGGGAGAUCGGCGGCUUUGAAGUUUGGACGACGUCGGCCGCUUCAUCUCCAGAUUCCGGCGAAUCCGCGGCGGCUGGCAGCGGGAGGUGGCUGGGGUAGGAAGAGGACGACGGCCCGGUCAUUUUGGUACCGGUCCCGUCGUCAUUGGUGGCCGGAGGAGAGCACGGCCGGCCAAAACGUGGCCGGCUGUCGCGCGCGGGAGAUAGGAGAGAGAGAGACCCGCGGGGGAGAGAGAGAGAGAGAAAGAGAGAGAAAACCAGAUUUUUAUAAAAAAUCCCAUUUCGAAAUAUUUACGAUUGUGCCACUGGAUUUCUUUUGACCAUAUCUCUCUCGUUAUAACUCCGAUUCGAGCCCACUACGUGUCUAUGAACUCGUCCCAGUACGACCUAUCCAAAAAUACAAGUCACGGUCCCAAACUCUCUCCGGUUAAAAAUAUGACUAAAAUACCCUUAAAUAAUUAAAUAAUUAAAUAGGGGUUAAAUUCGGGAUCGGGGUGUUACAUUUUUUUAUUAUAUUGUAUUUGUUUUUUUUUGUCAAAAUUAUAUCAUAUUUGUUUGUUUGUAUAAAUUGGAUUAAUUUUUGUGUUUAUUAAUCAAUGAAGAUUCUUAUAUAUUUUGGUUAGUUAGAAUAAAUCUUGGCAAUUUGGAUUAUUAAUUAGUUUGUUUGUUUUUUGAAUAGAAAAUAUGGAACGAUACUUUAAGAGAAAGUUCUCAUCAACUACUUCGAGUUCGGAUAAUGUAGGUAGUUUGAACUCAAGAGAUGUGGCUAGUUCGAAAGAAAGUGAGUUGCAAAAUCUUAUGAAUAAUCUUCCUACAGACCCUGGACUUUGACCUCAAAUGUUGGAUUAUGAUCCUAACAUUCGAGAUGAAGUUCGAAGAGCAUAUCUACAAAAAGGUCCCUGUCACCCUAAGAAUCACACAUUUUCACAAAUCGAUCUUUUAGGGUAUGAUUGACGCUUUAAUGUCAAGUGGUUUGAUGAAUUUGAUUGGUUAGAGUACAGUAUAAGCAAAGAUACUGCAUUUUGCUUUUAUUGUUAUCUCUUCAAAUUCAAUUUCAAAAUUGGUCAAGGGUGUAGUGAUGCCUUCACAGAGAUGGGUUUCAGAAAUUGGAAUAAGAAAGAAAGAAUUAAGAAUCAUAUUUGAGGUGUUGGAAGUGUUCAUAAUCAAUAUAAACAAUAUUGUGUAGAUCUUAUGAAUUAGAAGCAAUACAUGCAAACAGUUUUGGGCAUGCAAUCAGACCAAGCUCGUAUUGAUUAUCGUAUUUGCUUGAUAGCUUCUCUUGGUUGCAUAAGAUUUUUGUUGAAGCAAGGUCUUCAUUUUCGCGGUCAUGAUGAGAGUGACACUUCAAACAACAGAGAGAAUUAUUUGGAGCUCUUACAAUUUCUUGCUGAUCAUGAUGAGAAAGUUAAGGCCGUUGUGUUAAAAAAUGCUCCAAAGAAUCUCAAGCUAAUAGCUUUAACAAUUCAAAAAGAUCUUGUGAAUGCUUGUGCGACUGAAACUAUUAACUAAAUCAUUAAGGAUAUGGAUGGUGCAUUCUUUUCUUUAUUAGUUGAUGAAUCUCAUGAUGUGUCAGUAAAAGAAGAGAUGGCAGUGGUGUUUUGUUAUGUGGACAAAAGUGGGGAUGUAAUUGAAAGGUUUGUGGGCAUUCAACAUAUUAGCGACACUACAUCAAACUCACUAAAUGAGGCUAUUGACACAUUGUUUUCAAGAGAGGAAUUGAGCAUUUCUAUGCUAAGGGGACAAUGAUAUGAUGGAGCUAGUAAUACGAAGGGUGAGUUCAAUGGUCUUAAAACAUGAAUUUUGAGAGAAAAUCCAUGUGCUUAUUAUAUUCAUUGUUUUGCAUAUCAACUUCAAUUAGCUCUUGUGGCCAUGACAAAGGGAAAUGCUGAUAUUGCCACUUUCUUCUUGCAAUAGCUUGGUUAAUAUUGUUAGAGCAUAAUGUAAGCGUUGUGACAUGCUUAAAGAUCAACUCUAAAAUGAUGUUAUGGAAGUUCUUGAAAAAGAUACUCUUCCAACAUGGCGAGGCUUAAAUCAAGAAACUUGUCUCAAGCGUCCCGGUGAUGCACGUUGGAACUCACAUUAUAGUACAUUACUUAGUAUCAUUUCCAUGUUCAAAUAUGUGGUGAAAGUGCUUAAAUUGAUUAUUGUGGAUGGCUCCACUGAUAAUAUAGGUGAAGCAAAUAGAUCAUUGAGAGAAAUACAAUCCUUUGAGUUUGUUGUAAAAACAAAAAUCCUGCGACAAAUAAGACAAGAAUAUGUGUACAAAAUAAUAUUUGUAUUAAUGAAGUUUAGAGUUACAAGCUCUAUAUGAAAUCCUCUAAUUCAAUCUCCAAAGCGUUUAAAGAAAAUUUGUAUUUGAUACAAGAAGGGUCAUAGAGAAUUGAUCUUGAUCAAACGGGUAGCACAAGGCUUGUUUGGUGAUUGGAUCUUUCUAGGGUAGAGGAACUGACAUGUAUUUGUUGUGCUUGGUGGCUCUUCCAAAGUGAGGUGAAGAAUGCAUAGAGCUUUCUGUUUCUUAUGAGUGCUUGGUGUGUCUAAGCUCUUGGUCCUUUCUCACAAAUAUGAGCCUAGUAUUUAUAGGCAAAGAAGUGGGUCUUGGUUUGGAAUCCCUAAUCUGAAUCCCUUGAUUUGUGGUAUUGAUUUCUAAUUUGAUUUAAUUUGAGCUAAUUGAUUUAAUUUAGCUCUUAAUUAAGUCAAAAUCAUUUAGUUAGGGAAAUUAACUCGUGAUUUAUGAAGAUGACUAAAUAAGGAUAAUUUAUUCCUUUUUGGCAGAUGAUUUCAUUUAAUUGAUGAAGUCCUUAGAUGCUAACAUGUGUCAUUUCCGGUGCACAUCUUUGUCUACGUGAGUCAUGUGCCACGUAUAUUUGUGUGGGGCCCACAGAUUUUCUAGUUAUCUUUGACUAGUCAAAUUUUGAAUUUUGACUAUUAACUAUAAAUUAGUGAAUUUAUAUUUCACCAAAAUUUCCAUGUCUACAUUUGUAUUUCACCUAUUUUUCAUGGGAUCUAUAUUGGGAGCCACAAAUGAUUUGUCACAAGCAUUACCAAAGAAAGAUCAAGACAUUGGGAAUGCAUUUACUUUAGUCAAAGAUUGCAAGGACCAACUACAACACAUGAGAGAGAAUGCAAUUGAAGCCUGGUUUGAUCAAGUAUCUUCCUUUUGUGGAAAACAUGAUGUCGAGGUUCCGAACGUGGAUGAUGCAUAUGUAGCUCAAUAGAGAUCACAUCGGAGAGCUCCUAGAAUAACACAUCUCCUUCAUUGUUGUGUGGACAUCUUUAUUCAAAUCAUUGAGUGGCGACUUGCAGAAUUAAAUCAUCGUUUCAUGAGGUAAAUACUGAGUUACUUCUUUGUUCGGUAUGUUUGAGUCCGGAUGAUUCAUUCAUAGCUUUUGACAAACAAAAGCUACUUCAUUUUACUGAAUUUUAUCCUAAAGAUUUUAAUCCCCGAGACCUCUUGGUACUUGAAGAUCAACUUAGGAUUUAUAUUCAUUAUAUGCGUACGAAGAGCCAUUUUUUCUCAAUUGAAAGGGGUUAGUAGCCUUGCAAGAAAAAUGGUAGAGAAAGGGUUGCAUUGAACAUUUAAUUAUGUUUAUUUGCUUCUCACAUUAGCCUUAACUUUACCGGUUGCAAUAGCUUCUGUGGAGAGAGCAUUUUUUGCUAUGAAUAUUGUGAAAGGUCAACUUCGUAAUUGAAUGGGAGAUCAAUAGUUGAGUGAUAUCUUACUUGUUUAUAUUGAGAAAGAUGUGUUCGUAUUGAUAAUAAAACUAUAAUGCGACAUUUUUAGAAAAUGAAAACUCUUCAUGGACAAUUGUAAUGUGGUUUUUCAAUUAAUUACGAAUUAUAAUAUUAUAUCGUUUCAUUUCUUUUUUGGUCUAUUUUGUAUAGAAUUUUUUUAACCUUUUAGACAUUGACCCCUAAAAGGAAAAUUCCUGGAUCUACCACUGGAAUGGACGAUAUUCAUUCCUAUAUUUAGGAACGUUGGGAAAUGAGGACUAGAAAAUGCAAUUAUCUCUCAUUCUCAUGUUUGGUUACUGCAGUAAUUAGGAAUGAAAAUUUAUCAAGGGUAUGAAAUUCCCCCUACAUGCGAAGUCCAUACCCAUGAGUCUAUAAUUGUAUUCCCAAGUAUGCAAUUACCAAACAUAGGAAUGCAAUUUGAAACCUAUUCCUAAGCUCCUAAACCUUGAACCAUGUGUGUGCCAUGGAUUUAAUUUGAAUUUCUCAUUCUAUCUAAGAUCAACUUUGAUAAUCUUUUUCUUUGUUUACUCUUCCAAUAUUUUUACAUUGAUAGAAUUUCGGUUUUACUUACUUAAGAUACCAAAUUUGUAAUAUUGAAAUUUAAUAAUUAUAAUAAAUUCUCAAGUAUAUCAUAAAGUUAUUUAAAGUUGGCACUCCUUGAUAAAAUUCUCAAGUAUACGAAAGAGUUAUUUAAAGUUGACACUCCUUGAUAAAAUUCAUAUCUCCGCCGUUGACAAGAAACUUGGAAUCCAUUGGAUUCAAGACCUCGGCCUCAAGAGAAUAAGCUUUACACGCUCAUGUGUACCUAAAAGUCCAAUACCUUCAUGUUGGCUAAGUUGUGGGCCAAAUUCAGGUCCUCCAUACUUUUCUUUCUUAAAAGUUAUGAAGGGAGUUUAGGGUAUUUUUGAUAAAUAAAAAAAUAGAGGAGUUUUACCUACAAGUAGUGGCGAAUCCAGUAAGGAGUCAGUGAAGGCACUAGCCCCACUCAGUUUUGUCUACACCUAUGAAGUGUCAAGUUUUCAUGAUAUUUUAUGUUGAAUGAGGGCAAAUUGUUUGAUAAAAAUGCCUCAACGAAGGCUAAAGUGGGGCAGUGAGGGGGCAAAUGAAUGGUCUUUACCCGUAUUAGGAAAAACUUUACAGGUUGUUGGUAGGCUCCAUUAGCCACUCCAUGCAAGGCCAUACUUUACAUGUUCUCACCCCAGGCAGGAAAUUUUUUUACGCGGUAGAUUUAAAACAUGACUGAGAAAUAUCAUAUAUUUUCAGUCUUUUUGUCUGAGCCAAAAUUUUCCGCGCUUACACCUCCAAUCCAUUAACCUUUGUUUCUUUCUUCCACCACAACACUUUCUCUUCCCUGUGCUUUCAUCCCUGGUAAUGUUAUAGCUGCUCCUCGGGGUUAUAAGAUUUUUAUUUCUUCUUUUCAACACCUUCUCUUCCUUGUGCUUUCAUACCUGGCAAUAUCAUAGCUGCUCCUCCAGGUAUUAGAAUAUUUUUAUUACUUAUUUUUUAAUUUUUUUUUGCUUUAUGAUAUAUGGGUAUUUUCUAUUUUGCUUAUACAAAGUUUUCUGAUGUUCUUAUAUGGUAUGGGAUUGUUAACUAAAAAGAUUUGGGUUUCUUUGGAAAUCACGAAGGUUGGAAUUGGAAAAACAGAAAGCACUGAUGGAUGGGUUAUAUGGGUUUGGCCACUAAUUGCUCUUUAUUUUUGUAUGGUUUUGGCUAAGUUAUUCUAUUUCGUUUUUUGGUUGAAAGUUUAUCUAAUUCAGGUUUGAUAUGCACUUACGAGUUUGGCUUUUGGUUUAAGCAUUGCUACAGUAUUCUUUGCUAUUGUUUACCAAUGUCCAAUUGACUAAUAUUUUUGUUAUUUUUUGCUUUAAUAGAUGAAAAUUUAGAGAUGGGAAGCCCACAGAAAAGACUCGGGACAUAUGAAUUCAUGGAAGAUGUUAAUGAGAAUAAUUCAGAUUUAGUUUUCAAUCCUCAAGUAGAAGAUCAGCAUGAACCAAAAAUUGGUCAAGAGUUUGAAUCACUUGAGGAUGUCUAUAACUUGUACAAAAACUAUGCAAAAUAAGAGGGAUUUAGUGUUUGAAGUUAUUGUCAGCAAAAGAGUAAAACUUCUAGUGAGAUCUUAAGAAAAGAAUAUGUAUGCUACAAAGAGGGAGUAUAUUCGAAAGAAGUUUCUAAUAGAAGUGAAAGGCGGCGAGGUGUAGUACGAAGUAGAUGUAAGGCUAAAAUUCUGAAGUAAGAGAAGGAACAAAAUACAUAAUUUCUAACUUUGUGGAGGGCCACAAUCAUGCUUCGAUCGGCCCUCAUAUGGUACAUUUGUUGAAAUCGUAUCGCGAAAUUUCUGAAGUUAAUAUCCCAAAGCAUCAACAAUUUAGUCUUCUUGAAGUGCAAGCAGGAGCGAUGCAAAACAUUGGAUAUACAAAGAAAGAUUUAUAUAACUACAAAAGACAAUUGCAGAGAAAGAUGAAGGGGCAUGAUGCACAUAUAUGUUGAGUGAGCAUUUUAUUGGUGAGCAAAAAAAAAAGAAUCAUUCUUUUUUAUGAUAGAGGCUGACGAUGAUGAUAGGCUUAAACAUGGUUUUUGGGCUGAUAAUUAUUAGAUUGGGUAAAAAAUAAUAUUUCAUUCAUAUUGAUAUAUAAUAAUAGGAAGGUUAUAUAUACAGAGCCUAGGAAACUAUUCUAGGAAAGUAAUUAUGUUCCUAUAAUCUUGUAGAAUCAAAUAGUUGACUUAGACUAGUUAGGAAUGUACAGCUUAUUAACACUCCCCCUCAAGUUGGAGCAUAUAUGUCGUCAAUGCCCAACUUGCUAAGUAAGCUGUGAAAUACCCUGCCUGUGACUGCUUUGGUACCUUAAUGAAAUGUCUGUCAACUUCAACAUGCUUAGUUCUAUCAUGUUGCACUGGAUUAUGUGCAAUGUCUAUUGCAGCUUUGUUGUCACAAUUCAGUUGCAUGGCAUGUUUGGGUUUGAACCCCAAUUCCCCCAACAAAUUCCUUAUCUAGAGUAGCUCACAUACUCCGUGUGCCAUACUUCGAUAUUCUGCUUCAACACUUGAUCUUGACACUACUUUUUAUUUUUUACUUCACCAAGAUACUAGAUUGCUUCCCACAAAGGUAAAGUAUCCAGAUGUAGAUCGCCUGUCAGUAACAGAGCCCGCCCAGUCUGCAUCAGUGUGACCCUCAACAUCUAGAUGACCAUGUUGUGCGAACAUCAAUCCUCUUCCAAGAUAUGACUUCAAAUAUCUCGGAAUUCGGUUUACUGCAUCCAUGUGGGCUUCACUUGGUGCAUGCAUGAACUGACUCACCACACUUACAGCAUAUGCUAUAUCAGGUCUAGUAUGUCCUAGGUAGAUUAACUUACCCACAAGGCGUUGAUAUCUUUCUUUGUUGAUGGGUACCUAAUCAGGAUAUUCACCAAGCUGAUGAUUCAACUCCAUUGGCGUAUCUAUUGGUUUGCUUGCUAACAUUCCAGUGUUAGUCAAAAUGUCAAGGAUAUAUUUCCGUUGUGAUAGAAAUAUUCCUUGUUCUGAACGAGCCUCUUCGAUUCCUAGGAAAUACUUCAGAGCUCCAAGAUCUUUCAUUUCAAACUCACUUGCCAAGUGGUGCUGCAAUGCUGCCUUUUCCACUGGGUCAUUCCCGGUAACUACCAUGUCAUCAACAUAUACAAUAAGGGCAGUGACUUUACCUUUCUUAUGUUUCAAGAAAAGAGUACCUUUCUUAUGUUUCAAGAAAAGAGUAUGAUCUGAAUUACUUUGGUUGUAUCCAAAAUCCUUCAUUGAUUUGCUGAACUUUCCAAACCAUGCUCUGGGUGACUUCUUCAAUCCAUAAAGAGACUUUCUCAGUUUACACACCAUGUUGCUAGUAUUGGGCCCCAUCUUGCAUCCUGGAGGGGAAUCCAUAUAGACUUCUUCUUCUAGGUCGUCAUGCAGGAAGGUAUUUUUGACAUCAAACUGGUGUAAUGGCCAAUUUAGGUUUGCUGCCAAAGAAAGAAGUACCUGAAUUGUGUUUAUCUUGGCUACAUGGGCAAAGGUCUCCCCAUUGUCAAUCCCAUAAGUCUGAGUAUAACCUUUCACCACCAAUCUUGCUUUGUAUCAUUCAAUGGUGCCAUCUGCCUCAAACUUUACUGUAUAUAUCCAUCUACAACCCACUGUUAUCUUCCCUUUAUGAAAGAUAGUCAUCUCCCAGUGGAAUUCUUCUGGAGGGCCUCCAUGUGAUCAUUCAUUGCUUGAGUCCACUUGGGAUCUUUCAGAGCUUCCUGCACAUUACUUGGAAUAGAUACAGUGGAUAAUUGACAUACAAAUGAUGCACAUGAUGGAGACAACCUAUGUAGGGACACAUGAUUAGCAAUAGGGUAUUUAACUUUUGUUUUUUGGUCUGGAUCAUAUUGUUGUUUAGGAAUCCCUCUAGUGGUACGAAUAUGUAACUUAUAACCUGUGUUUCCUGUAUGACUCGACUCAGGUAAAGUGCUUAAGUUGGAGUUUAAAUGUUCAGUUACUUGUGGGGAAUCUCCAGGACCUGAUUGGAUGAUUGGUGAUGGUACUGUAGUAGGAGGGAAAUUAUUUGAAACAUUUCUUGAGUUUCCAGUAACUCUUGAUCUUGUUGCACUACUGUAGCUGGUUGCUCGGACACUGAUUGCUCUAAAACAUUUUGUUGAAUUUGGAUGAUCUGAGUAUCUUCUGCAAAGAUAGAGCUCUCCCCCUGCAGAGGAUGCUCAGAAACUCCUCCUGAGUAAUAGAACUCACUCUCGUGGAAAGUCACAUCUGCGGUAACAUGCAUGGUCUGAGUGGGAGGAUGGAAACACUUAUAGCCCUUCUGUGUCAGCAUAACCCACAAAGACACAACGCAGUGCACAUGGGUCAAGCUUGCCACCCUGAUGUGGAUACACCUGAACAUAAGCAGCACAACCAAAGAGACGUGGUUCGAGAUUUGGUGUGGAUGGCAUGUUGAGGAGAGUGGUCAAUGUCUGAAAUGGAGUUUGAUACUGAAGAGUGCUGGAUGGUGUUCUAUUAAUGAGGUAAGCAGCAGAACAAAGAGCCUCCUCCCAAAAAUGAUGAGGCAUACAUGCCUCAAAUAAAGAGGCACGAACAACCUCUAAGAGAUGAUGAUUCUUACGCUCUGCGACGCCAUUCUGUUGUGGUUUAUGGUGUAUAGGCACAUGUGGUUUGAUGAACAAUUCCAUGUUGACUUCAAAAAUUAUGUAGGUCAUGGUUGGCGUGUAACACCCCGACUCCAAAUUUAACCCUUAUUUAAGUUAUUUAAAUUAUUUAAGGGAAAUUACAAAUUUACCCUUGAGAUAAGGGCAUUUUGGUCAUUUUCUUAACCGAGAGAGUUUGGGACAGUGACUAGUAUUUUUGGAUAGGUCGUACCGAGAGGAGUUCGUAGACACGUAGUGGGCUCGAAUCGAAGUUGUAACGAGAGAGAUAUGGUCAAAAGAAACCCAGUGGCACAAUCGUAAUUAUUUCGAAAUGAGAUUUUUUUAUAAAAAAUCAUAUUUCUCUCUCUCUCUCUCUCUCUCUCUCUCUCUCUCUCUCUCUCUCUCUCUCUCUCUCUCUCUCCUGCGAGCUCUCUCUCUCUCUCCUCGUAUCUCCGGCCACCAGUCGCGGCUGCAGACGGGACCGGUGCCAAAAGGACCGGCUCGGCCUCGGCGUCACAACCCAGCCCUCCCCCGACAUCGGCCGCCGCUCCAGCUGCCGAAAAAAGGCGAUUUUCGCCCGAUUUUUGCCCGAACUUCGUCGACUCCGAUCUCCCUCCUCUAGCCGCCAUUUUUCGCGAUCAAGGUAUGGAAAUUCAUCCAUUCUUCAUACUCUAACUGAUGGUUGGGUAGGAUUGGAUAGAUUCUUAGCGUAACCAAUUCGAUUUACGAAUUGAAAUUCGAAUCACGAUUCCAGCCACUUCCGGUCAAUUUUUGGGGUAGGUCGAAGAACAAAAGUGGCUCCAAAUAGGGUGUUAUACCUAGGGUAGGAGUUUGGAGCCGUGGUUUUGAGAUUUUCCGGUGGUGCGUAAUCGCUUUGGACACCCAACGCUGCCGGAGCGUGUGGCGGCGCGUGGGCCAGGGUAGUGGAGUAGCACUGUGUCUUGAUGAGAUCCUUAGGUUGUCACGAGUGCAUAGGAUUUUGCGGAUCUCAAUUCGGACGUCGUUUGACUAUCGAACGGACGAUCGCAUAUUGCACGUUAUCCGGGUUUGAUAGGCAGGGACCGUUGGAUGGUCUCAAAUUUAAUAUAUGUUAAUCUAGGUAUUUCUAGGAUCGUGUAGGAAUUCACGGAUCGUGAAUCGGAACCCCGGAUGUUCUAAUUAAAUAAUUUAAAGUUUAUGUUUUAUAAUAACCAUCAGAUCGUGCGAUCGUGAGCGAUCCGACCGUCCGAUCUGAACCAAACUUGCAGGACGAGUGUCCUAUACCUUGUAGAACCCAUAGGAACUUUCGGAUCGGAAUUUGGAGGUCGUGGGUCCUGUGGGCCCGUUGACCAGGCUUUGGGUAGUUUGACCCUUGGUUGACCGUGAGUCUCCCGGAGUAAUCUCACCUUCCCAGGGGGAUUAUCAGGUGCUAGACUAUUGUUGAGGUCUACACAAUAUUAGAAUUAUUAUAUAUGUUUGUAAAAGUACAAAAAGAGUCUAGAAUGUCAGUUUGAAGUGCUAUACGCACUACUUUAGGCACAUCCUCGGAUUUCAGUUACACUACACGUACCACCCUGAGAAAGUUAGGUCCCACGUGGCGUAGGUUAUCCGGCGUGCGGACAGACCCCAUACGUGGCAUUGGUAGUAUCGGUGUAUGGGGAGGUUACAUGACAAUAUGUUGAGGUCGCACGUGGCGUAGGUUAUCCGGCGUGUCGACAGACCCCAUACGUGGUGUUGGUUGUACCGGCGUAUGGGGAGAUAUGUGAUAUGAUGUGUAGGUCUCGCAUGGCGUAGGUUAUCCGGCGUUGAGACAGACCCCAUACGUGGCGUUGGUUGUACCGGCGUAUGGGGAGAUUAUGUGGUAUUGUGUUGAGGUCGCACGUGGCGUAGGUUAUCCGGCGUGUCGACAAACCCCAUACGUGGCGUUGGUUGUACCGGUGUAUGGGGAGAUAUUGUGAUAUGAUAUGCAGGUCUCGCGUGGCGUAGGUUAUCCGGCGUUGAGAUAGACCCCAUACAUGGCGUUGGUGGUACCGAUGUAUGGGGGAGAUAUUGUGACAGUAUGGUAUGGUCGCACGUGGCGUAGGUUAUCCGGCGUGUUGACAGGUCCCAUACGUGGCGUUGGUUGUACCGGCGUAUGGGGAGGUUAUGUGAAAUACAGAGAAAUAAAAUAAGGUAUCGCCUAUGUGUGGAAUUGGGUCUUAGGAAGAACUACGUGUGGCUUGAUCCCUCAGUGAGGGUACGUAGGCAGCCUAAGGUUAUUAGGUGCAGCCGCAGACUAAAUGUUAGUCAUAAUUUAUAUUUGAAUUUAUUAUUUGGCUUGUUUAAGGCAUGAAUUCACUUGUUAGCGUGUUUGGUAGUUUGUUGAGAAUUAUUGGAAGGUCGAAGGCCAUUUAUGUGAAUUGCAUGAAAUUAUAUUGUGCAUGCUGCCAGUUGUGGAUAUUAAAUGCAUUUUUAUGCAGGUUGAAAUUUUGGGAAAUGUCCAGUUUAUAAGGGAGACUCUGCCGAAAUUUUGGCAGAAAGUCUCGGUCUUUAGUAAGUGGGCUCGACAUCAGGGUAAUGUCAGGAAUUCCACAGGAUUCGCCUCGGGUUUUGGGAAAUUCAGGGCGGGUCAUUUCAGGUGUAGUCUCCUCCAUUGUCAGACCGAAGUGUAGUGAUUUUCUUGUCAAACUGAGUAGCAACAUAUUGAUAAAAUAACUUGAAUUUGGCAGUGACUUCACUUUUCUACUUUAGGGGAAAAACCCAGGUCAUCCGGGUGCAAUCAUUAAUAAACGUCAUAAACCACUUAAAACCGCUAAUAGUGGGAACUCGUGAUGGUCCCCAAACAUCAGAAUGGAUAAUUAUGAAAGGCAGAGAACUUUUAUUCAAUCUUAAUGGGUAAGAAAUACGAUGGCUUUUCUCCAAAAUGCAAGUUUCACAAUGAAAGUCUAAUUCAGCAAACUAGGAAAACAAAUAUGGAAAUAAAAGUUUCUGAUAACCAAAAGAAGCAUGCCCUAAUUGUCUAUGCCAUAGCCAAAUUUUCUUCAUCCUGAUAGACUCAUCUCCUCUCACAUGAUGUGCGUGACUCAAUCUCGUACUGCUGUCUUCUGGCAAGUCCAGAUAUGACAACUUUCCCCUCUGAGUACCACAUCCAAUCACGGCCUUGGUGAGAAGAUCCUAAAAUAGACAAUACAAUGGCCAAAAACACACGGUACAAUUAAGGGAAUCAAUGAUUUGAGGAAUAGAUAACAAGUCAUAGUCGAGUGAAAGGAAAACUAAGACAUGAUCAAGACUUAAUGAGGAUGUAAGAGAUAAAGACUCUUCUGCCAUAACUUGGGAGGUGGUUCCAUUGGAGUGUCAAUAAUCCAUGAUCUAUUACAAGUAAGUGAAGAUGUGCAAGAGGUACCUGAGGUGGCCAAGGCCUUAGAGCCAGAUGUACCUAAUGGGGGUUCUGAUGCAGUCUCCUCAGAUGACUGAGCGGAGGCAAAUGAGGCUCUGGUUGAAUCCUUUUUGCGCCUUUUGUGGACCCAUCCUUCUGGAUAACCAAUGAUCUCAUAACAUUCCUUAAUUGUGUGGUUAUCCAAACCACAUUUGGUACACUUCAUUGGAGGCCGGUUACGAGUAGGGUCGACAUUAUAGUUGUUCGGCCGAGAUUAUUUAGACCUCGCAACAGCCAAGGCUGUGGCUUCGGAGGUUACACCAGCUUCAGACAUGGUUCCCUGUUGGUUACUCUCUCUUUUAAUAUGUGCAUAUGUUGCCUCAAGUUCGGGCUUUGGCUCCAUCCGCAACAUCUCUCCUCAAAUUUGCUCGAAAUUAUUGUCCAAACCUGCAAGAAAUAUAUAAACUUGGAGAUGAUCAACCUCUUUGCGUCUAGUCUCAAUGUCUUUCGGAUGCUCCGUGGUGCUUGGACUUAAUUGAUCAAGUUCGUGAAAAAUCUCAGUGAGCUCACUGUAAUAUUUGGCAACUGAUGCACCAACUUGCUUCAUUAUGAAUGACCGUCUGUGAAGGUCAUAAAUCUUGGCUUCAUCAGCACCAUCUGAAUAGGUUUGCUUGAUUGCAGCCCAGACUUGCUUUGCUGUGUCAUAACGAAUAAAUCGUUUAAUCUGAUUAGGUUGCAUGGCGUCGAACAACCAACUCUUGACUUGGCAAUUCGAUGUACCCCAUUUAUUAAAUGUGGGAUCUGUGUCUGCAGGCUGGGCAAUAUCACUGGUCAAGUGGCCAUGUUUUUCUCGCCCAUCUAUCUUCAUCUCUAUGAUUUGAUGCCACAGAGAAUAAUUAUUCUCAUCCAGUUUGAUUCCUACGGAGAAGUUGGAGGUGUCACUUUACAAAGUGACGAUUUGUGUGGUAGUUUUGGAGCCUCCCGACACUAAGGAUUGAUUGGUGUUUGCUGACCCAUCAUCGUUGGCCUUGAUAUUGGCUGACAAACAAUGAGAAAAAAAAAGGGCAAAAAGAAAUUUUGUCUGGGGGAAACAUUACUCUGGGGUAACUGAUUAGAAAAGGAAAAACAAAAAUAUUAAGUUGAGGAAAAACAAGUGAACGGUGGACAAAGGCAAGAUUGGUGGCGAAAGGUUAUACCCAGACUUAUGGGAUUGACUAUGGGGAUGGACUAUGGAAAAGGCGAUAAGACAAAUUGUUUUGCAAUAAGAAAUAUUGGGUUGAAAGGAAAAAAGAACAAAGGAACGGUUUGAAUGGGUCUGUGAGUGGAAAGUGAUUUGCAAUAUUGCAAAACGUGAUUUGACUAGAGGAAAGGUUUGAAUGGGUUUGUGAGAUCACUACUACAAAAAAGCAAAAAGACGACGGUAAAUCACCGUCGUGUAUUCGGUUUUUCAAUGGUCGUGGAAUCCACCGUCAUCUUUUCCCUCAUAAACCACGACGCUAAAUCACCGUCGUUGUUACAAUAUACAACGUCAUCAACAAAUACAAAACGACGUCUUUGUACUGCAAAAAGAUCUAAAAAAGCAGUCGAGGAUGAGAAUAGACGACCAACUCUCUAAAAAAACCGUCGUUAAAAAGGAAAAAUAUGACACAUAUUAACAGAACAAGGCCGCAAUAUAGACAUACAACGACGAAAAUUAAAAUAAGACGCCUUUAAAUAUCAUUUUCACGACAAUAAAAAAUAUGACGUCUUUAAAUACAUUAGAAGACGACGUUAUUGAUACCUACUACGUCGCCUAUAUAAAAAGAGCCGUCGUAAAAUAAAUUUUCCACUUCGAUUUUUCUAUAAAAGAUGACGUGGAAAUCACUACUACAAAAAGUGAAAAAGACGACCAGAAAACAACGACGGUCUAAGUGAAAACCGUCGUGGUUUAUAAAAAGACGACGGUUCUAAAAACACCGUCGUGUAAUACAACCUUAGACAACUAAAAAAUGGAGUUUCAAAUGGCUGUUCAAAAACAACGACGUACAUAAUUAAACAACCGACGUCUAUUUGAAACAGAUUUCCGCAGUGUAAAAUCAAUGCCAACAAAGAACGGCAGAAGUUAUGAAUCGACCGACGUAGAAAGUAAAGAAGACGAUUUCAAUAAAAAUUGCCGUUUUUACUCAUAAAAUAACACGACGAGGUUUUCGUAUAAGACGUCGUAUAAUUACAAACAAAUCCACGGCUUUAAAAUACAAAAUAUCGCCGUAUUAAAUUAAUUUACAACGACGGAAAAUAUAAAUAUAUCGACGUCAUUCUCGUAUAGUUCUACGACGUUAUCUUUAAAUCGUACAAUAAAAUUUAACGUCGUAUUUAUUCAUUUUAUACGUCGUACCUUUAAUUUUAACGGUCGUCUUAAUAAGAAUUUUUGUUAACAAUUUUUUUCUUUGAUUUUCUUAUCCUACGUCGGUAGAUCUACUUAAUGACAAGAAUUGAAAUAACCACGACGGUUUAUAUAGAACACCGCCGACAUAAUCAGAUUUGUCUGAGAUCCCAAGGGUUACGAAAUCUUACCAGAUGGAACUCUGUUCCACAUCAUAAUCUUAACAGAUGACACAGAUUUGCAAAUAUUGCGUCGUGUUAGUUUACAAAUUCUAGAACAUUAAUUUCCCUCAUUUUAAAUUUCCUCGGGAAAGAAAAAUCUAUUUAUCACGCUUUGGAAUUGAAAACUAAAACUGAAAGAAUACGGGAAAAAAAACUCUAUUUAUAAUUUAAAAUUAAAAUCCACGUCGGUUGUAGUACACUUAACGACGUUUAACAAAAUAAUCUACGUCGGUAAUUAUAAAUCUACCUCCAUCUUAACUUAAUAUAGACGACGAGAAAAGACGACGGUAGAACAGAAAACCGCCGUUGUUUCAGUUUCUUUAACAUAUCUUUCUGCAGGACUUGUGUAGUUCAAAGCAUUGACAAUGUCUUCAUCAUAUCUCCCAGAAACUACUGAUUCAAUUGCUCAUGCUUUAGAGGCCAUCUGAAGCCAUUUCUAUUCUUUAUCGCAUUCUUGAAACCCAUCUUCUUCUUCUGAAGCUCUACGGAUAAAGGAAGAGGCUAUCACAAAUCCGACGGAUCUUCUUAGGCAAGAAAAUCAAGUAGAGGAUCAGGCACAUCUGAUCUUCAGAUUUCCCUGAGAAGCGAACUUUCCUUCGACAGCGAGUGGAGGCCAGGCUUGCAUCUCUUUUGAUGGAAAGCAAGGAGUAUUCAGAAGCACUAAGUGUCCUAUCAGGCUUGAUCAAGGAAGUGAGAAGGCUAGUUGACAAGCUUCUUCUUGUGGACAUAUAUUUGAUGCGAGUAAGAGAGGAAGAACUUGGAACCUUAAAUGUAAACCGAAAAUAAAUGAAAGCGACAAAUUUAUAGAAUAAAUUUUUAAAACCAACGGCGGUCCUUACAAAAAAACCGCCGUUUAAAUUGUAAAAUCAACGUCGGUAUAAUCGACGUAUAUUACAGAAAUCCACGUCGGUAAAUUAAUAAAAACGACGUGUUAAAUAAUCUACCAUGACGCGAGUUAUUACUUAUGUACUUUAAUUUUUGAGUUUACUACGACGGUACCUACAAACUACUGUCGUAUUUAUUUACCACGUCCGAAGUUAAAUGUACCGUCGUAUUUUGUAAUUUAUACGUCGUAGUUAUAUGUAACCGCCGUAUUAUUUUUUUGAAAUGGUUUUAUAUGUAAGCAACUUUUCGUCUACUUGACUUACACAUUAGUUAUUUUUAUAUUCUUAUUUUAUUUAAAUCUGUCAUCCAAAAAAGAAACUUUACAUAUUGCAGAAUAUUAAUUUCCUUCGUUUUAAAUUUCCUCCGGAAAAAAAACUCUAUUUAUAACGCACUGUAAUUGAAAAAUAAACUGAAAGGUCACGGGAAAAAAAUUCUAUUCAUAAUUUAAAAAUUAAAAUCCACGUCGGUUAUAUUAAACCUAACGACGUUAAAUGAAAUGAUUCCACGUCGAACGAAAAAUAUUGCGUCGUGUUAGUUAAAAACGACGUAGUUAAAUGUAACCACCGUAUUAUUUUUUUGAAAUGGUUUUAUAUGUAAGCAACUUUUCGACUUACACAUGCACUGUUUCCAAACCCGAUUAAAAAUUUCAAUCUCCUAGAGAAACCUUUUCGUCUUUUUUCCUUGUCAGAGCAUUGUCAGAGUUUCUCAUCGUCUUCCUCUCGUCUUCUUCGUCGUCUCUGAACUUAAACAUCGAUCAUCUUCCUCUUGCUUUCAUUGCACGCAAAAGGUAAGCUUUCAUUUUCACUAUUUUGGUUACUGUUUUGCAUGCUCAUACGUUUUUUGUUUGAAAAAUCUUUUUACCUUUUUUCUGGCCAAAAUCAUUUUACUUCUUUCCAAGUUUGAUAAAAUAUACAGACAAAGAGGGAAAGUUUCCAACUUUGAAGACAACUACAUCAACUAAAUAAGACGACGGUAGACCACGACGGUUCGUCAGUUGUUCUAGCGUCGUCUGAAAAUUGACAAAGUUGUUUUUAAAAUAAUAGUCUUUUUUUAUAUGCUUGUUUAAUUGCAGGUUUGAUUUCUCUGAACAAUGGUUUUUGUUUUUCCCUUAUUUGAUAAAAUAUAAAGAAAAAGAAACUAGGGUUGGUAUCUAAUAUAGACGACAAAAUAUCUUAUUGUUUUACGUCGUGUGAAUGUUAAUACCACGACGGUGUAUUACUAUUGACGUCGUAUGAACAUAAAUACCACGACGUUAUAUAAAUAAUAGUUUACCACGACGGUGUAUUACUAUUGACGUCGUGUGAACAUAUAUACCACGACGUUAUAUAAAUAAUGGUUUUAAACAUUUAUUACGUCUGAGAUUAUUUCAUUGCGUCGUCUAAAAUCAUAUCAUACGUCGUAUUUUUUUAAUAACCGUCAUUUGUGUUCUUAAUCUUUUCUUGAAAUAUUUUCACUUUCAGUUUUGUCUGUAAAAAUGGUUUCUCACCAAGACCAAAGUAAGGAUUCUGGCUCCAACAAAAAUGGAGGUAAGGAGCAAGUACCUCCUCAAGAGAAGUCUUCGAAGAUAAUGAAGUCUUCGAAGAAGAUGAAGUUUGCUUCAUCAUCUGCUGAGACAGAACAAACCAGCCAGACAACAAUAUCUGAUGAUUCAAAGACUGGUCGAGGUAUGAGCACAAUGCCUCGUGUUGUGAAGAGAAAGCUUCAGAAACUGAGGCCAAUUGUUGAGUACAAUAAAAGGGGGAAAGGUGUUGGCCAAGCACAUAUUGAGAUGCAGUCGUAUAUUGGUGUGUUGGCACGCUCCAGGAUCCCACUUGUGGACAAGAAAUGGUCCCAAAUCCCCAAGGAUAUAAAGGAGCAGAUUUGGGAAGCAGUUGACAUGGCUUUUGUCGUAGGCCAAGGGGGCAAGACCUCUGUUUUAGCUUCUGCUUCCAAGAAAUGGAAGGAUUUCAAGUCUACACUAACGAGGCAUUAUAUCCUUCCAUACACCAAUGACAGGGAGAAAUUAAGCCAACCCCCUGAAACAUAUAAAUUCAUAGAGAAAGCACAAUGGGAUGCCUUUGUAGCUUCAAGGCUAUCCAAAGAUUUUGAGUCUGUGCAUUCUCAACAUGCACAGAUUAGGGAGAAACUCGAGUACAAUCAUCGAUUGUCUCGAAAAGGAUAUGCUGGAUUGGAGGAUCAAUUGGAGGAAACCAUGCCUGGGGUAGAAAUUGAUCGAUCUACCUUAUGGAAGAGAGCUAGACAGGACAAACAUGGUAACAUCCCUGAUCCAAAGGUGGCAGAGAAAGCAAAAUUAAUUGUAAGCCUACUAUCACUCUGUUUUAAAUUUUUAUUAAACUGUGAAUUAUUCUUAUUACGUCGUAUGUUAUAUUUUUCGUCGUGUGAAUGAUAUUACCACGUCGAAAAGUUUUUAAAAACGUCGUUAAAGGUCUAAAUAGGAAUCACUACUAUGUUUUCUGUAAUUAUAGCAUAAGACGUCGGUGGUUCAUUUUCGCGUCGUGUGAAUGAUAUUACCACGUCGAAACUUUUUUAAAAACGUCGUUAACGGUCUAAAUAGGAAUCACUACUCUGUUAUCUUUAAUUAUAGCAUAAGACGUCGGUUGUUUAUUCAUUUCGUCGUUUUAAAUAAAUAACCACGUCGGUAUAACUACCGUCGUGAUAAGUUAUAAUAACGUCGGUUUAUACGUUAUUGCGUCGUGUGAAAUUAUAUAAUACGUCGUUUGUACAUAAAUAACCGUCGUGUGUUUUUUUGUUUAUCUUUUUUUAGGAUGAAUUGCAGAAACAAGUCUCGGAAGGCAAAGUCAGAGUAGAUGGCAGCAAUGAUGUGCUGACCAUGGCUUUGGGCCCCGAGCAUCCAGACAGACUGAGGGGAGUUGGUGCUGGUGUUUUCCCAAGGCAAUAUUUCAAUUUGCCCAAACCACAGAGGGUGAGCUUUGACGACCGUUUGAAGGACAGUUUAAGAGUUCUCCUUCAAGAAGAGACUAAAAAAUUGGAGGCUAAGGCAAGGGAAGAGGCCUUAAGGAUGGAGGCUAGGACAAAACAAUUGGUAGAGGCUGAGAGGGAGCAUUUCCUGAGUCAGCUUUCCCAAUUAAUUCCCAAUUUUGAUCCAAGCAUGCUUAAACCAAGAAUUAGCCAAAGCCCCAAAAAUCCAAUGUCUGACAAAGCAAGCUGCUCUGGAGGUGAUGUGAGAUCCCUACAUUUGGAGGAUGAUACUGCCAAAAUGGGGAAACAUCAGCCAGAUGAAGAGAAGGAAGAAGAAAAGGAGAAAGAAGAUGAAGAAAAGCAUGACGACAAGGUAUGUUCACAUAACUUUGCCUUUUUUAUUUGUUUUUCAAAAUUUCAGACGUCGAUAUUUUUAUUUAAUCCGUCGUUUGUUUAAAAAUUAGACGGCGGACUUUUUUUAAGACGUAAUAAAAUAUUUAAACGACGGUUUUUGCACCGUCGUUUAAAUGGUUUCAGACGACGCUUUAUUAAUAAAACCGUCGUCUUUAUUGAAUUACCACGACAGUGUUUUCACCGUCGUUUAAAUCCUUUUAAGACGACGUUUUAUUCCUUAAACCGUCGUCUUUAUUGAAUUACCACGUCAUUUUUUUUUAUUUCUUUAAACAGGUUAUUGAAGUUGGUGCUUAUUCAAAUAUGGAGGCGCCAUCUUCUUUAAAAACCCUUUGUCGUUUUGUGGAAACGACACUCCUGCCUGAGGAUAAGACACUCCAAUUUACAAUUGAUAAGGAGGUGUUUGGUGGUGAGCGCGAUACCUUCCUCCUGCCUGAAGAUAUUACACAAUUUGCAGGCAUGGAAGAAAUUGGAGCUACUGUAUUGGCUGUAUAUAUGAGGUUUGUACUUCUAAGAUAAUAACUCGUUGGUUUAUAUAUUGCGUCGUCUUAACUAACUAACCACGUCGUCUUAACUAACUACCGUCGUGAUAAAUAUAUUAUAACGUCCUUAUCUAUUUCAGUACGUCGUGUGAAAUAUUAUAAUACGUCGUUUUUUUAUACAUAACCGUCGUGUUUGUUUUUGCUGACUUGUUUAUAUUAUUUUAUGUAUUUAGGUACUUACACGAUGUUUUGAAACAAGCCAAUAUGUGCAGCAUGGUUGGCUUUAUUGACCCUGCUACAGUUAGUGCCAACUCUGGCACAAUAACUGAAAGAUCACGACUGGUAGCAGCUCGACUUCAGAAGACAGACGGUGAACAGCUUUUCAUGAUGCCUUACAAUCCAGGGUUAGUCUCCUUAGGAUUUUGUUUUUAUGAUUUUCAAUAAAUGACAGCUUAUAAACUAACCACGUCGGUGUUUUAUUUUAUUUAGUCGUUUGAAACUACUAACCACGUCGGUAUUUAUUUGUCGUCGUGAUAAAUAUAUAAUGUCGUCGUUAUCUACUUUAUUUCGUCGUGUGAAAUACUAUAAUACGUCGUUUUUGUAAAUAACCGUCGUUUUUAUAUUAAUUUUGUGCAGCCGUCAUUGGAUCUUGCUGAUUGUAAGAGCAAAGAAGGAGACCGUCUAUUUUCUGGAUCCUCUGCCAGGUCAUCGUGUGGUCGACGAAGAGGCGAAAAACAUCGUGAACAGUACUUUAAAAAUAUAUAAUACCCACAUAGGCCGAGCAGGACGUAAAAAUGUAAUUUGGAAAACUCUCUCAGGCACACCAAAGCAACCCAGCAAUGUCGAAUGCGGGUAUUAUGUGAUGCGCUUCAUGAAGGACAUCAUCAUGGAUCCUUCCUUGGGGUUUGAGAAGAAGGUAAGAAGAAAUAACCUUCAAACAUUUUACAUCGUUUUUUAUAUUAUCAACGACGGUCAUGUAAAAUUACCGUCGUUGAAUAGAUAUACUACGUCGGUUAUGGUCGUCUGUGAUUGAAUUUCCUUUUAUUUAUAAACCCUAAUAGUCAUUGUUUUUAUGCAGUAUGCGAAGGGAAAACAGGAAGAGCCAUACCCCCAAGAAGCAAUUGAUGAAGUCCGGAAUGAAUGGACAGAGUUUGUUUGCCUUCAACUUAAAUAGGGGAAUUAUUGAACACUUGAUAUUUAUGUAUAAUGUACAAAUUUUGUCUAUAAUAUAUAAUGUAAAAAUUUGUUGAGGUUUUCUUAAAGUAAAAACAAAAACAAACAUACAAAAUGCGUUACCGACGUGUAAUAAUUUUCCAACGACCUAAUAAAGUCACAAACCGUCGUAUUUUGUUGUUUCGUGUUUUAAACAAAUACGACGUAAAAAUAUAGUUAGACGACGUUCUUUGAACAAUUGAGUCGUUUAUGGUUUACAACAUCUUCAAUUUCUUAAGGGUUCAGGGUAUCAUCGACGACGUUUAUGUAACGACAGCGGUUAAGUCGUUGAUAUAUAUAUUUUACGUCGUAUAGUUAAAUAGCCGCCAUGGUUUCUCAUUUUAACGACGUCAUUUUAACGACUUAGUAGUCUAUUACAAUUUACAACGUCUACAAUUUAUUAACACCGACGUGGUUUGUUGUUGUGGUAAGAAUAUUUUAUUAUUUUUAUAUCAAAAUAUUCAAAAUAAAUUUAAAAUAAAUCAGAAAAUUGAAAAGUCAACUCCUAUGAAGUCAUUGAUAUAUUUUCUUCCACAUAAACCUUGAAAAAAUUCAUUUUGAAUAACAAAAAUUUAAAAUGACCAUCCAAAACAAAAUUGUUUUGAUGAGUCAUAAAAUCACUUCUAGUUUUAUGGUUUAGGGUUUAGAGUCUAGGGUUUAGAGAUUAGGGUUGUUAUUUAUUGGGGUUUAUUUUUAAAGUAUAAUUUUUGGGUAGUCUAGGGUAUAUGUUAGGCUUUAAAACCAUAAAACCUUUUAUAAACUUAAUUUUUUAAAUUGUAUAAUUUAGUUUUAUGGGUUUAGGGUAUUAAUUUUUAACGACGGUGGUUGCGUCGUGGAAUACAUAUUUUACGUCGUACAGAAAAACAUACGACAUGGUUUACGCUUUAAACGACGUCAUUUUAAUAUGUAAGUCGGUUUAUAUAAUUUACAACGUCUUUAAUUUCUUAACACCGAUGUGGUUUUUCAGUCGUCGUUAUAUAAAAAAUUCAAAAUAAAUUUAAAAUUAAUCCGAAAAAUGAAGCUUCAAAAUGAACGGCCUUACGUUCUUAAUCCGAAAAAUGAAGUUUCCGUCGUGGAAUAUUAAAUUUACGUCGGUACGUGUAGAACUUUCGCCUUGGUUUUUCUUUCGACGUUUUAAAACGCACGAACUCUAAAAAUUUUCGCGCGACCUAAAUUUUUUUAGAUUUGGCUCUUAUUCUUAUACUUCGAACCCUGAAACCUAAAAUUUUCAGAUUUCGCGCGACAUAACAUUUCGCUCUCUCACUUCUGCUCUAAUUAAAAGUUGCACUCUCCAGGCUCCGUCGAAUCUGUGAGCUCGUCCAACCUGUAAGUAUAAACCCUAUCUUCCCCUUGUAAAUUCAUUGAAUGAUAUUAGGUUGUUUUGUUAAAGGGUUUUAUGUGUAUGCUUUGCGAUAUGUUAAUAAUGUGCUUAUAGGUAUGGGUUCAUGGAUUUUCUGUUUAAUGGGUUCAUGGAUUACAUUAUCUGUUAUGUUGAAUUGGGAAUGGAUUUAAUUUUGUCGUAUCUUUUAAUCACCCUAUGUUAUGUUGAAUUGGGAAUGGAUUUAUUGUUUUCAUGCUUGGUUUCAUGUAUAUGUUGGUUUCUUGCUUGGUUUCAUAUAUAUGUUGUGUUCUUAAUGGGUUUUGUGUUCUUGAAAAUAAACUGAGACACGACGAAUUUUAAGGCUUACGACGACGAUUACACGACGGUUUUUUUAAACUACCGUCGUUGUAUUACUUAUACACGACGGUUUUUUCAUAAACCGUCGUUUGUAUUACUUAUAAUAGACGACGUCUGUUGAAAAUCCGUCGUCUAUAUAUGCCAAAUACGUCUGUUUUUGUUUAAAACCUGUCGUCUCUGUUGUGUAUUACUUGCGAUUAGAUCAUUGUAUAAUCUGCUAUAGUGAUGGUCAUUGCCUGUAUUUUCACUUUAUUAUAGAUAAUAGGUUAUAGUGUCGGAGAUGGAUAAGUCAUGGAUGCACUCGGAUAGAAGAUCGAAGGCAUAUGAAUUUGGGGUGGAAGCAUUUUUGAACUUUGCUGUAGAAAAUCUUCUAACUACAACACAUAUCCGUUGUCCAUGUGUUAAAUGUGUUAAUUUGAAGUUGUUUGGGGUUGGAAUUAUAAGGGAUCACUUAUACUUUAAUGGAAUUGACCAAAGCUAUAAGAAUUGGACAUUUCACGGAGAACCUUGGGAAGCAACUACUAAUGCUAGUAGAAAUGUUGAAGAAGAUGAUGGCCAUAGUAGGUACAGUUUUGUGUCUGAAGAAAUUGAUAUGGAUGAUAAUGAUUUUGGUGAUUUUGGUUCGGAUCCGUAUGAGUUUGCCAAUGUGAUUGGGGAUGGAGAUCAACCAGUGUACCCUGGUUGUAGAAAGUACACGAAGUUAUCGGCAUUAGUGAAGUUGUAUAAUUUGAAGGCAAAACAUGGGAUGAGUGAUGUCUGUUUUACAGAAUUAUUGAUACUUCAAGGCGAUUUGCUUCCAGAAGGAAAUACAAUACCAACCUCCAUGUAUGAGGCUAAAAAGACUUUGUGUGCAUUGGGUAUGAGGCUAAAAAGACUUUGUGUGCAUUGGGGCUGAGUUAUGAGAAAAUGCACGCAUGCCCCAAUGAUUGCAUCUUGUAUAGGAAGGAGUAUGAGGAUUCAACUAAUUGUCCUACUUGUGGUAUCUCAAGGUGGAAGGAAGGCAAAGAUUCAAUCUUGAAAGAGGGUGUGCCAGCGAAGGUGGUGUGGUAUUUUCCCCCAAUUCCAAGGUUUAAAAGGAUGUUUCAAUCACAUGAGACAGCUAAGAGUUUGACUUGGUGGCAUGCUGCUAGAAAAUCAAUUGACGGUCAGAUGUCUCAUCCGGCGGAUUCCCCGUCUUGGAAACUUCUUGAUGAUAAAUGGCCUGAGUUUGGUAAUGAGCCGAGAAACUUGAGAUUGGCUCUUUCAUCUGAUGGAUUCAAUCCCCACAGUUCUCUAAGUAGCAGAUAUAGUUGUUGGCCGGUUAUCUUAGUUACAUAUAAUCUCCCUCCAUGGCUGUGCAUGAAACGAAAGUUCAUGAUGUUAACCUUAUUGAUUUCCGGUCCUAAACAACCCGGAAAUGAUAUAGACGUCUACUUGGAGCCUUUGAUUGAUGAUUUAAAAUCCUUGUGGGUUGGGAUUAGAGGAGUGUAUGAUGCACAUAAUGGAGAAUACUUUACACUCAGAGCUGCAUUAAUGUGGACAAUUAAUGAUUUCCCCGCCUAUGGAAACUUAUCUGGUUGUGUUGUUAAAGGAUAUAAAGCUUGUCCAAUAUGCGGCGAUGAUACACCUAGUCACAGGUUGAAAAAUGGCCACAAAAUUUGUUACAUUGGGCAUAGAAAAUGGUUACCAAUCAAUCAUCCAUAUAGGAAGGCAACGUGCAGCUUUAAUGGGAAACCUGAAUAUGGCAUACCUCCCGAGCCAUUAACCGGAGAAGAAGUGCUGCAUAUGGUUGAAAAUGGUGACAGAGUUUGUUGGAAGAAGAAAUCAAUAUUCUUUGAUCUCGAGUAUUGGAAAUACCUUCCUGUGAGGCAUGCCCUAGAUGUUAUGCACAUUGAGAAGAAUGUUUGCGAUAGUAUCAUUGGUACAUUGCUGGAGAUCCCUGGAAAAAAUAAAGAUGGGAUUGCUGCUCGAUUAGAUUUAUUGAACAUGGGGGUCAAAACUGAUUCGCAACCCGAGUAUGGAGAAAGACGUACUCGUUUGCCUCCUGGGCCUUGGAAUUUGUCAAAAGCAGAGAAGAGAGAGGUUUGCAAUUCUUUCUAUGGUAUGAAGGUCCCUGAAGGUUAUUCUUCAAAUAUUAAAAAUCUUGUAUCUUUACAAGAUUCAAGACUUCUUGGCCUUAAAUCACAUGAUUGUCAUACCUUAAUGCAACAAUUGCUCCCUGUGGCAAUUCGUUCUGUUUUGGAGAAGCCUGCAAGGUAUGCAAUAACUCGUUUGUGCUUCUUCUUCAAUGCUAUAUGUGCAAAGACUGUUGAUGUUUCCAAGCUAGAUAAGUUGGAAGAAGAUGUAGUAGUUACUCUGUGUUUGCUUGAGAAGUACUUUCCCCCUUCAUUCUUUGAUAUCAUGGUUCAUCUAGUAGUACAUCUUAUCAGAGAAGUUCGUCUAUGUGGGCCAGUAUAUUUUAGGUGGAUGUAUCCGUUUGAAAGAUAUAUGAAAGUGCUGAAGGGGUAUGUUCAGAAUCGUACUCGUCCCGAAGGUUGCAUUGCUGAGCGGUAUAUAGCUGAAGAAGCGGUAGAGUGUUGUACUCAGCAUUUAUCUGAUGUUAGUACAGUUGGAGUGCCUUCAAGCCAAAAGAUGGGACUUUCAAAGCCAUUAUCAGGUUGCACAGUGAGCGUAGUUGAUCAGGACCUGUUGAAUCAAGCACAUCUAUAUGUCUUGGAGAAUACGGAGGAAGUCCUACCUUAUAUCGAGUACGUAUGAGCUUUAUUCUUUAAGUUUCCAUUUUAAAUUAUUUCUUAUGUUUAUCUUCUAUAUUUAGGACCGUAAUGCUUGAAUUUUUCGUGUCAUGUAGGCAACAUAUGAUUCACAUCAAGACUGCUUAUCCAAAAUUUAGAAAGAGAACAAAGUGGCUGCAGGAUAAGCACAAUAGCACUUUCAUUCAAUGGCUACGCUUCAAGGUAUAUAUUGUUGAAUAACAUAUUUCUCUUUUAAUUUUCUUCUUAUUUAUAUGUUAGAUUGAAUUAAGAUAUGAUUAAUUUGCAGGUUCAAAGUGAACUUGAGGAAGACAAUCAUGGCGUAUCAGAAAAUUUAAGGUGGCUAGCAGCUGGUCCAAACAUGUCAGUGCCAUUAUAUAGGAGCUAUCUUAUUAAAGGUAUUAAAUUCAAUAUCAAGGCACAAGAUGAUGUGCGGACAACUCAAAAUAGUGGAGUUUAUUUACUUGCACAUACCAUGCAAGUUGCUAGUGCCAAGGAUAAAAACCCAAUUCUCUCAAAUAUGGGUUUCUAUGGUGUCAUUCAAGAAAUUUGGGACCUUGACUACCAAAAGUUUACAAUCCCAGUCUUUAGGUGUGAUUGGAUAGAUAGUUCUGGUCUUGUAGUCGACGAACUUGGAUUUACCCUUGUAGAUUUGAGUAAAAUUGGACAUAGGAAUGACCAAUUUGUUUUGGCUUCUCAAGUCAAACAAAUAUUUUUUGUUGACGACCCGAUGCAUCGUGGUUGGUCGGUAGUGUUAUCAAUGCCUAAUAGAGAAUAUAAUGAUGUUAUUGGUGAUGAAGUCUUAGGUGAUGUGAUAAUUGAGUGUGAGCCAUUUACUAGAGGGAUGCCAAAUGUUGACACAUUUGAUGAACUGGUGGGUGAGUUAGGCGGUCAAAAUAUUCGAGAUGGGUGUGAAGAUAUAUGGAUUGAAUGAUGCUUAUGUAAUUGGCAGUGUAUGACAUUAAUUUUGUAAUAUAUUGUAAUGUGAUUUCUUCACUUUCUACGUUCAAAUAAAACACGACGUUAUUGUGAACCAGUUAUUCAGCAUAUUUACCGACGUCUUAAAGCAACGUAACAAUGAAGAACCACGACGCAAUUGUGAAGCAAUUAUUCAGGAUAUCACGUCGGGGAAGGAUUAAGAACCGCCAUGUAAUUCAAAAUAACACGACUCCAAUCCCAUAAUACCGACGUUUAAAAAACGAGAUAUAUAAUCUGAACGUUAAAAAAUACGACGUCAUCAUACAUUUUCCACGUCGCAAGUUCUUUUAUAAACGAAGAGGAACGAAAUGAAUUCCGACGGAAAUUCAUUAUAACCGCCGUCUAAUAACAAUUAAACGACGUUAUUUGUAAUACGGCUCUCAUCAUAAUCAACGCCGUCUAUAUGUUCUGUAAUACGGCUCUCAUUUAUUUGGAACCGACGUUGUUUAGAAGUUCAACGUCGUCUAUAUUAUUAAGUGCGUCGUGAGUAAUGAUGAUAGAUAUAAAUACAACGUCGACUAUAUAAAUGCCACCGACGUUGUUUCGCAUUUCAACGUCAACUGUAUAAAUACAUACGUCGUAAAUAAUGACACUGACAACUAUUUCCACGUCAUCUUUUUUAGAAAAAUCGAAGUGGAAAAUUUAUUUCACGACGGUUGUUUGUAAAUAAGAGACGUAGUAUAUUUCAAUAACGUCGUCUUCUCAUGUAUUUAAAGACGUCAUAUUUUUUCUUGUCGUGUAAAUUAUAUUUAACGGCGUAAAAUUUUAGUUGUCGUCGUUGUAUGUAUAUCUUGCGGCCUUGUUCUUUUAACAUGUGUCAUAUUUUUCCUUUUCAACGACGGUGAUUUGUUUGAGUUGGUCGUCUAUUCUCAUCCUCGACUAUUUUCUAGAACUUUAGCAGACUAAACACGUCUGUUUUUAUUAUUUUCCGACGUUGUUUUAUUUAACAACGUCUAAUAUUUAUCGUCGUUGUUUGUUUCUGAAAAUAUGACGUAUAAAUUUUGUAAUACGACUCUCAUAUAUUUGUAACCGACGUUGUUUCGUUUUUCAACGUCUACUCAAUAAAUACAUACGUCGUAAAUAAUGACACUGACAACUAUUUCCACGUCAUCUUUUAUCGAAAAAUCGAAGUGGAAAAUUAAUUUUACGACGGCUGUUUUUAUAUAUGCGACGUAGUAGGUAUCAAUAACGUCGUCUUCUAAUGUAUUUAAAGACGUCAAAUUUUUUAUUGUCGUGAAAAUGAUAUUUAACGGCGUCGUUUUUUUAUUUCCGUCGUUGUAUGUCUAUCUUGCGGCCUUAUUCUCUUAAUAUGUGUCAUAUUUUUCCUUUUUAACGACGGUUUUUUUAGAGAGUUGGUCGUCUAUUCUCAUCCUCGACUGCUUUUUUAGAUCUUUUUGCAGUACAAAGACGUCGUUUUGUAUUUGUUGAUGACGUUGUAUAUUUUAACAACGACGGUGAUUUAGCGUCGUGGUAUAUGAGGGAAAAGAUGACGGUGGAUUCCACGACCAUUGAAAAAUCGAAUACACGACGGUGAUUUACCGUCGUCUUUUUGCUUUUUUGUAGUAGUGAUUGUCCAAUUUCAUUGGCCAAUCGAUAUUGGAUUGAGCCCAAAACUUGGUCAACAUCGUAAUAUGGUGGGAGGAUUCAUUUGGUGAGUUUUGAGUGAAAUCCAAUGGAUAAAACUACGCAAUACACCUACCACUCCGUUUACAGAACGAACUUCGUAUUAGACGUUGUUAAAUAAAACAACGUCGAAAACAAAUAAAAACAGACGUGUUUAGUCUGCUAAAGUUCUAAAAAAUAGUCGAGGAUGAGAAUAGACGACCAACUCAAACAAAUCACCGUCGUUAAAAAGGAAAAAUAUGACACAUAUUAAAAGAACAAGGCCGCAAGAUAGACAUACAACGACGACAACUAAAACACUACGCCGUCAAAUACAAUUUUCACGACAAGAAAAAAUAUGACGUCUUUAAAUACAUGAGAAGACGACGUUAUUGAAAUCUACUACGUCUCUUAUUUACAAACAACCGUCGUGAAAUAAAUUUUCCACUUCGAUUUUUCUAAAAAAGAUGACGUGGAAAUAGUUGUCAGUAUCAUUAUUUACGACGUAUGUAUUUAUAUAGUUGACGUUGAAUGCGAAACAACGUCGGUGGCAUUUAUAUUGUCGACGUUGUAUUUAUAUGUAUUCAUUACUCACGACGCACUUAUUAAUAUAGAUGACGUUGAACUUCUAAACAACGUCGGUUCCAAAUAAAUGAGAGCCGUAUUACAGAACAUAUAGACGGCGUUGAUUAUGAUGAGAGCCGUAUUACAAAUAACGUCGUUUAAUUGAUAUUAGACGGCGGUUAUAAUGAAUUACCGUCGGAAUUCAUUUCGUUCCUCUUCGUUUAUAAAAGAACUUGCGACGUGGAAAAUGUAUGAUGACGUCGUAUUUUUUAACGUUCAGAUUAUAUAUCUCGUUUUUUAGACAUCGGUAUUAUGGGAUUGGAGUCGUGUUAUUUUGAAUUACAUGAAGGUUCUUAAUCCUUCCCCGACGUGAUAUCCUGAAUAAUUGCUUCACAAUAGCGUCGUGGUUCUUCAUUGUUACGUUGCUUUAAGACGUCGGUAAAUAUGCUGAAUAACUGGUUCACAAUAACAUCGUGUUUUAUUUGAACGUAGAAAGUGAAGAAAUCACAUUACAAUAUAUUACAAAAUUAAUGUCAUACACUGCCAAUUACAUAAGCAUCAUUCAAUCCAUAUAUCUUCACACCCAUCUCGAAUAUUUUGACUGCCUAACUCACCCACCAGUUCAUCAAAUGUGUCAACAUUUGGCAUCCCUCUAGUAAAUGGCUCACACUCAAUUAUCACAUCACCUAAGACUUCAUCACCAAUAACAUCAUUAUAUUCUCUAUUAGGCAUUGAUAACACUACCGACCAACCACGAUGCAUCGGGUCGUCAACAAAAAAUAUUUGUUUGACUUGAGAAGCCAAAACAAAUUGGUCAUUCCUAUGUCCAAUUUUACUCAAAUCUACAAGGGUAAAUCCAAGUUCGUCGACUACAAGACCAGAACUAUCUAUCCAAUCACACCUAAAGACUGGGAUUGUAAACUUUUGGUAGUCAAGGUCCCAAAUUUCUUGAAUGACACCAUAGAAACCCAUAUUUGAGAGAAUUGGGUUUUUAUCCUUGGCACUAGCAACUUGCAUGGUAUGUGCAAGUAAAUGAACUCCACUAUUUUGAGUUGUUCGCACAUCAUCUUGUGCCUUGAUAUUGAAUUUAAUAAGAUAGCUCCUAUAUAAUGGCACUGCCGUGUUUGGACCAGCUGCUAGCCACCUUAAAUUUUCUGAUACGCCAUGAUUGUCUUCCUCAAGUUCACUUUGAACCUGCAAAUUAAUCAUAUAUCUUAAUUCAAUCUAACAUAGAAAUAAGAAGAAAAUUAAAAGAGAAAUAUGUUAUUCAACAACAUAUACCUUGAAGCGUAGCCAUUGAAUGAAAGUGCUAUUGUGCUUAUCCUGCAGCCACUUUGUUCUCUUUCUAAAUUUUGGAUAAGCAGUCUUGAUGUGGAUCAUAUGUUGCCUACAUGACACGAAAAAUUCAAGCAUUACGAUCCCAAAUAUAGAAGAUAAACAUAAGAAAUAAUUUAAAAUGGAAACUUAAAGAAUAAAACUCAUACGUACUCGAUAUAAGGUAGGACUUCCUCCGUAUUCUCCAAGACAUAUAGAUGUGCUUGAUUCAACAGGUCCUGAUCAACUACCCUCACUGUGCAACCUGAUAAUGGCUUUGAAAGUCCCAUCUUUUGGCUUGAAGGCACUCCAACUGUACUAACAUCAGAUAAAUGCUUAGUACAAAACUCUACCGCUUCUUCAGCUAUAUACCGCUCAGCAAUGCAACCUUCGGGACGAGUACGAUUCUGAACAUACCCCUUCAGCACUUUCAUAUAUCUUUCAAACGGAUACAUCCACCUAAAAUAUACUGGCCCACAUAGACGAACUUCUCUGACAAGAUGUACUACUAGAUGAACCAUGAUAUCAAAGAAUGAAGGGGGAAAGUACUUCUCAAGCAAACACAGAGUAACUACUACAUCUUCUUCCAACUUAUCUAGCUUGGAAACAUCAACAGUCUUUGCACAUAUAGCAUUGAAGAAGAAGCACAAACGAGUUAUUGCAUACCUUGCAGGCUUCUCCAAAACAGAACGAAUUGCCACAGGGAGCAAUUGUUGCAUUAAUGUAUGACAAUCAUGUGAUUUAAGGCCAAGAAGUCUUGAAUCUUGUAAAGAUACAAGAUUUUUAAUAUUUGAAGAAUAACCUUCAGGGACCUUCAUACCAUAGAAAGAAUUGCAAACCUCUCUCUUCUCUGCUCUUGACAAAUUCCAAGGCCCAGGAGGCAAACGAGUACGUCUUUCUCCAUACUCGGGUUGUAAAUCAGUUUUGACCCCCAUGUUCAAUAAAUCUAAUCGAGCAGCAAUCCCAUCUUUAUUUUUUCCAGGGAUCUCCAGCAAUGUACCAAUAAUACUAUCGCAAACAUUCUUCUCAAUGUGUAUAACAUCUAGGGCAUGCCUCACAGGAAGGUAUUUCCAAUACUCGAGAUCAAAGAAUAUUGAUUUCUUCUUCCAACAAACUCUGUCACCAUUUUCAACCAUAUGCAGCACUUCUUCUCCGGUUAAUGGCUCGGGAGGUAUGCCAUAUUCAGGUUUCCCAUUAAAAGCUGCACGUUGCCUCCUAUAUGGAUGAUUGAUUGGUAACCAUUUUCUAUGCCCAAUGUAACAAAUUUUGUGGCCAUUUUUCAACCUGUGACUAGGUGUAUCAUCGCCGCAUAUUGGACAAGCUUUAUAUCCUUUAACAACACAACCAGAUAAGUUUCCAUAGGCGGGGAAAUCAUUAAUUGUCCACAUUAAUGCAGCUCUGAGUGUAAAGUAUUCUCCAUUAUGUGCAUCAUACACUCCUCUAAUCCCAACCCACAAGGAUUUUAAAUCAUCAAUCAAAGGCUCCAAGUAGACGUCUAUAUCAUUUCCGGGUUGUUUAGGACCGGAAAUCAAUAAGGUUAACAUCAUGAACUUUCGUUUCAUGCACAGCCAUGGAGGGAGAUUAUAUGUAACUAAGAUAACCGGCCAACAACUAUAUCUGCUACUUAGAGAACUGUGGGAUUGAAUCCAUCAGAUGAAAGAGCCAAUCUCAAGUUUCUCGGCUCAUUACCAAACUCAGGCCAUUUAUCAUCAAGAAGUUUCCAAGACGGGGAAUCCGCCGGAUGAGACAUCUGACCGUCAAUUGAUUUUCUAGCAGCAUGCCAAGUCAAACUCUUAGCUGUCUCAUGUGAUUGAAAAAUCCUUUUAAACCUUGGAAUUGGAGGAAAAUACCACACCACCUUCGCUGGCACACCCUCUUUCAAGAUUGAAUCUUUGCCUUCCUUCCACCUUGAGAUACCACAAGUAGGUCAAUUAGUUGAAUCCUCAUACUCCUUCCUAUACAAGAUGCAAUCAUUGGGGAUGCGUGCAUUUUCUCAUAACUCAGCCCCAAUGCACACAAAGUCUUUUUAGCCUCAUACAUAGAGGUUGGUAUUGUAUUUCCUUCUGGAAGCAAAUCGCCUUGAAGUAUCAGACAUCACUCAUCCCAUGUUUUGCCUUCAAAUUAUACAACUUCACUAAUGCCGAUAACUUCGUGUACUUUCUACAACCAGGGUACACUGGUUGAUCUCCAUCCCCAAUCACAUUGGCAAACUCAUACGGAUCGGAACCAAAAUCACCAAAAUCAUUAUCAUCCAUAUCAAUUUCUUCAGACACAAAACUGUACCUACUAUGGGCAUCAUCUUCUUCAACAUUUGUACUAGCAUUAGUAGUUGCUUCCCAAGGUUCUCCGUGAAAUGUCCAAUUCUUAUAGCUUUGGUCAAUUCCAUUAAAGUAUAAGUGAUCCCUUAUAAUUCCAACCCCAAACAACUUCAAAUUAACACAUUUAACACAUGGACAACGGAUAUGUGUUGUAGUUAGAAGAUUUUCUACAGCAAAGUUCAAAAAUGCUUCCACCCCAAACUCAUAUGCCUUCGAUCUUCUAUCCGAGUGCAUCCAUGACUUAUCCAUCUCCGACACUAUAACCUAUUAUCUAUAAUAAAGUGAAAAUACAGGCAAUGACCAUCACUAUAGCAGAUUAUACAAAGAUCUAAUAGCAAGUAAUACACAACAGAGACGACGGUUUUUAAACAAAAACAGACGUAUUUGGCAUAUAUAGACGACGGAUUUUCAACAGACGUCGUCUAAUAUAAGUAAUACAAACGACGGUUUAUGAAAAAAGCGUCGUGUACAAGUAAUACAACGACGGUUUUUUCAUAAACCGUCGUGUAAUCGUCGUCGUAUGCCUAAAAAGGCGUCGUGUCUCAAUUUAUUUUCAAGAACCCAAAACCCAUUAAGAACACAACAUAUAUAUGAAACCAAGCAAGAAACCAACAUAUACAUGAAACCAAGCAUGAAAACAAUAAAUCCAUUCCCAAUUCAACAUAACAUAGGGUGAUUAAAAGAUCCGACAAAAUUAAAUCCAUUCCCAAUUCAACAUAACAGAUAAUGUAAUCCAUGAACCCAUUAAACAGAAAAUCCAUGAACCCAUACCUAUAAGCACAUUAUUAACAGAUCGCAAAGCAUAUACCUAAAACCCUUUAACAAAACAACCUAAUAUCAUUCAAUGAAUUUACAAGGGGAAGAUAGGGUUUGUACUUACAGGUUGGACGAGCUCACAGAUUCGACGGAGCCUGGAGAGUGCAACUUUUAAUUAGAGCAGAAGUGAGAGAGCGAAUGUUAUGUUGCGCGAAAUCUGAAAAUUUUAGGGUUCAGGGUUAGAAGUAUAAGAAUAAGAGCCAAAUAUAAAAAAAAUUAGGGCGCGCGAAAAUUUUUAGAGCGCGCGCUCUUUAAAACGUCGAAAGAAAAACCAUGGCGAAAGUUCUACAAGAACCGACGUAAAUGUAAUAUUCCACGACGGAAACACUGAACGUAACGCCGUUUAUUUUGACGCUUCAUUUUUCGGAUUAAUUUUAAAUUUAUUUUGAAUAUUUUGAUAUAAAGACGACUGAAAAACCAUGUCGGGGUUAAGAAAUUGAAAACGUUGUAAAUUAUAAUAGACGACUUACAUAUUAAAAUGACGUCGUUUAAAGUGGAAACCAUGUCGGAUAUUUUACUGCACGACGUAACAUAUGUAUUCCACGACUCAACCACCGUCGUUAACAAUUAAUACCCUAAACCCUUAAAACUAAAUUAUAUAAUUUUAAAAAUUAAGUUUAUAAAAGGGUCUAUGGUUUUACAGCCUAAUAUAUACCCUAGACUACCCAAAAAUUAUACUUUAAAAAUAAACCCCAAUAAAUAACAACCCUAAUCUCUAAACCCUAGACUCUAAACCCUAAACCAUAAAACUAGAAGUUAUUUUAUGACUCAUCAAAAUAAUUUUGUUUUGGAUGGUCAUUUUAAAUUUUUGUUAUUCAAAAUGAAUUUUUUCAAGGUUUAGGGGGAAGAAAAUAUAUCAAUGACUUCAUAGGAGUUGACUUUGCAUUUUUCUGAUUUAUUUUAAAUUUAUUUUGAAUAUUUUGAUAUAAAAAUAAUAAAAUAUUCUUAUCACAACAACAAACCACGUCGGUGUUAAUAAAUUGUAGACGUUGUAAAUUGUAAUAGACGACUAAGUUGUUAAAAUGACGUCGUUUAAAUGAGAAACCAUGGCGGAUAUUUAACUAUCCGACGUAAAAUAUAUAUUCCACGACUUAACCGCUGUCGUUACAAAGUACUACCCUGAACCCUUAAGAAAUUGAAGACGUUGUAAACCAUAAACGACUCAAUUGUUCAAAGAACGUCGUCUAAAUAUCCUUUUACGUCGGAUUUGUUUAAAACGAAACAACAAAAAACGACGGUUUUUGACUUUAUUAGGUCGUUGGAAAUGUAUUACACGUCGGUUACGCAAUUUGUAUGUUUGUUUUUUUUUUAAUUUAAGAAAACCUCAACAAAUUUUUACAUUAUAUAUUAUAGACAAAAUUUGUACAUUAUACAUAAAUAUCAAGUGUUCAAUAAUUCCCCUAUUCCAGGUGAAGGCAAACAAACUCUGCCCAUUCAUUCCGGACUUCAUCAAUUGCUUCUUGGGGGUAUGGCGCUUCCUAUUUUCCCUUGGCAUACUGCAUAAACAAUGACUAUUAGGGUUUAUAAAUAAAAAGAAAUUCAAUCACAGACGACGAUAUUUUUCAUAACCGACGUACUAUAUCUAUUCAACGACGGUAAUUUUACAUGACCGUCAUUGAUAAUACAAAAAAAGACGUAAAAUGUAUGAAGGUAAUUUCUUCUUACCUUCUUCUCAAACCCCAAGGAAGGAUCCAUGAUGAUGUCCCUCAUGAAGCGCAUCACAUAAUACCCGCAUUCGACACUGCUGGGUUGCUUUGGUGUGCCUGACAGAGUUUUCCAAAUGACUGCCUUACGGCCUGGUCUAGCUAUGUGAGAAUUAUAAAUUUUUAUAGCACUGUUCACAAUGUUUUUGGCCUCUUCAUCGACCACACGAUUUCCUGGCAGAGGAUCCAGAAAAUAGACGGUUUCUCUCUUUGCUCUUACAAUCAGCAAGAUCCAAUGACGGCUGCACAAAAUUAAUAUAAAAACGACGGUUAUUUACAAAAAUGACGUAUUAUAAUAUUUCACACGACGAAAUAAAGUAGCAAUCGACGACAUUAUACAUUUAUCACGACGAUAAAUAACUACCGACGUGGUUAGUAGUUUCAAACGACUCAAUAAAAUAAAACACCGACGUGGUUAGUUUAUACGCUGUCAUUUAUUGAAAAUCAUAAAAACAAAAUCCUGUUAAGGAGACUAACCCUGGAUUGUAAGGCAUCAGGAAAAUCUGUUCACCGUCAGUCCUCUGAAGUCGAGCUGCUAGUAGGCGUGAUCUGUCAGCUAUUGUGCCAGAGCUAGCACUAACUGUAGCAGGGUCGAUAAAGCCAACCAUGCUGCACAUAUUUGCUCGUUUCAAAACAUCGUGUAAGUACCUAAAUAUAUAAAAUAAUAUAAACAAGUCAGCACAAAAAAACACACGACGGUUAUGUAUAACAAAACGACGUAUUAUAAAAUUUCACACGACGUACUGAAAUAGACAACGACGUUAUAAUAUAUUUAUCACGACGGUACAUACUAACAACGUGGUUAGUUAGUUAAGACGACGCAAUAAAUAAACCAACGACGUAUUAUUUUAGAAUGACAAACCUCAUAUAUACAAAAAAACACACGACGGUUAUGUAUAACAAAACGACGUAUUAUAAAAUUUCACACGACGUACUGAAAUAGACAACGACGUUAUAAUAUAUUUAUCACGACGGUACAUACUAACGACGUGGUUAGUUAGUUAAGACGACGCAAUAAAUAAACCAACGACGUAUUAUUUUAGAAUGACAAACCUCAUAUAUACAGCAAUGACAGUGGCUCCUAUUUCUUCCAUGCCUGCAAAUUGUGUAAUAUCUUCAGGCAGGAGGAAGGUAUCGCGCUCUAGACCAAACACCUCCUUAUCAAUUGUAAAGUGCAGGGUCUUAUCCUGAGGCACGAGUGUCGUUUCAACAACUUGAAUAACCUGUUUAAAGAAAUAAAAAAAAUGACGUGGUAAUUCAAUAAAAACGACGGUUUAAGGAAUAAAACGUAAAAAAAAUGACGUGGUAAUUCAAUAAAAACGACGGUUUAAGGAAUAAAACGUCGUCUGAAAAGAAUUUAAACGACGGUGAAGAAACCGUCGUGGUGAAUAAUUUAUUACGUCUUAGAAAAAAAUUCCGCGGUCUAAGUUUUAAACAAACGACGGUUUAAAGAAAAAUAUCGACGUCUGAAAUUUUGAAAAACAAAUAAAAAAGGCAAAGUUAUGUGAACAUACCUGGUCGUCAUCUUCUUUCUCCUUUUCAUCUUGUUUUUCUUCUUUCUUCUCUUCAUCUAUUACGUCGGGAAUGACUAACUCCGUCGUCUAAAAACCACAAAGUUUUAAAAAUAACGACGUUUAAUGGCGUGUAAAACAAGUAAACUAAAUACGACGUGGUAUUGAAAUACAAACGACGGUUUAAUUUUAAAAUCGUCGUGGUAUGUAUUUCAAACGACGGUUUUAUUAAUAAUAACGACGUCUAAUGGUUUUAAAAAAAAACAGAGAAUUCAAAGUUCAGAUAUGUUACCUUUUCUUCCUGAUGUUUCCCAUUUUUGGCAGUAUCAUCCUCAAAAUGUAGGGAUCUCACAUCACCUCCAGAGCAGCUUGCUUUGUCAGACAUUGGAUUUUUGGGACUUUGGCUAAUUCUGGGUUUAAGCAUGGUUGGAUCAAAAUUGGGAAUUAAUUGGGAAAGCUGACUCAGGAAAUGCUCCCUCUCAGCCUCUACCAAUUGUUUCGUUCUAGCCUCCAUCCUUAAAGCCUCUUCCCUUGCCUUAGCUUCCAUCUUUUUAGUCUCUUCUUGAAGGAGAACUCUUAAACUGUCCUUCAAACGGUCGUCAAAGCUCACUCUCUGUGGUUUGGGUAAAUUGAAAUAUUGCCUUGGUGAGAUCCCAGCACCUACUCCUCUCACUCUGCCUGGAUGCUCGGGACCCAAAGCCAUGGUCAGCACAUCAUUGCUGCCAGAUACAGUGACUUUGCCUUCCGAGACUUGUUUUUGCAAUUCAUCCUAAAACAAAGAUAUAUAAAAAAGUAAGAACAAAAACACACGACGGUUAUUUAUAUACAAACGACGUAUUAUAUAAUUUCACACGACGCAAUAACAUAUAAAUCGACGUUAUUAUAAUUUAUCACGACGGUAGUUAUACUGACGUGGUUAGUUUUUAAAACGACGAAAUGAAUAAACCACCGACGUCUUAUGCUUUAUUUACAGAUAACAGAGGGAUGAUUCAAUAUUCACACCUUUAACGACCUUGUUUAAAACAUUUCGACGUAGUAAUUCAAUACAAACGACGCGAAAAUGAACCACCGACAUCUUAUGCUAUAAUUACAGAAAACAGAGUAGUGAUUCCUGAUUUAGACCUUUAACGACGUUUUCUAAAAAAUUUCGACGUGGUAAUAUCAUUCACACGACGCAAAAAAUAACAUAAGACGUAAUAAGAAUUAUUCACAGUUUAAUAAAAAUUUAAAACAAAGUGAGUAGGCUUACAAUUAAUUUUGCUUUCUCUGCCACCUUUGGAUCCGGGAUGUUACCAUGUUUGUCCUGUCUAGCUCUCUUCCAUAAGGUAGAUCGAUCAAUUUCUACCCCAGGCAUGGUUUCCUCCAAUUGAUCCUCCAAACCAGCAUAUCCUUUUUGAGACAAUCGAUGAUUGUACUCAAGUUUCUCCCUAAUCUGUACAUGUUGAGAAUGCACAGACUCAAAAUCUUUAGAUAACCUUGAAGCUACAAAGGCAUCCCAUUGUGCUUUCUCUAUGAAUUUAUAUGCUUCAGGGGGUUGGCUUAAUCUCUCCCUGUCAUUGGUGUAUGGAAGGAUAUAAUGCCUCGUUAGUGUAGACUUGAAAUCCUUCCAUUUCUUGGCAGCAGAAGCUAACACAGAGUUCUUGCCCCCUUGACCUACCACAAAAGCAAUGUCAACUGCUUCCCAAAUCUGCUCCUUUAUAUCCUUGGGGAUUUGAGCCCAUUUCAUGUCCACAAGUGGAACUCUGGAGCGUGCCAACACACCAAUGUAGGACUGCAUCUCACUAUGUGCUUGGCCAAUUCCUUUCCCCCUUUUAUUGUACUCAACAAUUGGCCUCAGUUUCUGAAGUUUUCUCUUCACAACACGAGGCAUUGUGCUCAUACCUCGACCAGACUUUGAAUCAUCAGAGAUUGUUGUCGUGCUGGUUGGUUCUGUCUCAGCAGAUGAUGAAGCAAACUUCAUCUUCUUCGAAGGCUUCACUUGAGGAGGUACCAUUGCAAGCUCCUUACCUCCAUUUUUCUUGGAGCCAGAAUCCUUACUUUGGUCUUGGUGAGAAACCAUUUUUACAGACAAAACUGCAAGUGAAAAUAUUUCAGGAAAAGAUUAAGAACACAAACGACGGUUAUUAAUAAAAUACGACGUAUGAUAUGAUUUUAAACGACGCAAUGAAAUAAUCUCAGACGUAAUAAAUGUUUAAAACCAAGGUAAUUAAACAACGACGAAAUAAUUAACUAUUAACGACGUGAUAAUUAACUAUAAACGACGAAAUAUUUAUAUAACGUCGUGGUAUUGAUGUUCACACGACGUCAGUAGUAAUAUACCGUCGUCUAUAUAAGGAUCCAAAACCCUUCUUUCUUUCUCUGUGAAUGUUUGAUUGCAGAUUUGAUUUUUCUGAACCAUGGUUUUUGUUUUCUAAUUUGAUAAAAUACAAGGCCAAGAAAGAAAGUUUUGGAAUCUUAUAUAGACGACGGUAUUUUAAUAUGACGUCGUGGUAUUAACAUUCACACGACGUAAAACAAUAAGAUACUGUCGUCUAUAUUAGAUACCAACCCUACUUUCUUUUUCUUUAUAUUUUAUCAAGUUAGGGAAAAACAAAAACCAUUGUUCAGAGAAAUCAAACCCGCAAUUAAACAAGCAAAUAAAAAAAAGACUAUAAUUUUAAAAACAACUUUGUCAAUUUUCAGACGACGCUAGAACGACUGACGAACCGUCGUGGUCUACAUAUUUAACCACGUAAAUAAGAAGCUACCGUCAUCUUAUUUAGUUGAGGUAGUUGUCUUCAAAGUUGGAAACUUUCCAUUUUAUCGAACUUGGAAAGAAGUAAAAUGAUUUUGGCCAGAAAAAAGGUAAAAAGAUUUUUCAAACAAAAAACGUAUGAGCAUGCAAAACAGCAACCAAAAUAGUGAAAAUGAAAGCUUACCUUUUGCGUGCAAUGAAAGCAAGAGGAAGAUUAUGUUUAAGUUCAGAGACGACGAAGAAGACGAGAGGAAGACGAUGAGAUACUCUGACAGUGCUCUGACAAGGAAAAAAGUCUAAAGUUUUCUCUGGGAGAUUGAAAUUUUUAAUCGGGUUUGGAAACAGCACAUGUGUAUGUCAGGUAGACGAAAAGUUGCUUACAUAUAAAACCAUUUCAAAAAAAUAAUACGGCGGUUACAUAUAACUACGACGUAUAAAUUACAAAAUACGACGGUAAAUUUAACUUCGGACGUGGUAAAUAAAUACGACAGUAGUGUUGUAGGUACCGUCGUAGUAAACUCAAAAAUUAAAGUACAUAAGUAAUAACUCGCGUCAUGGUAGAUUAUUUAACACGUCGUUUUUAUUAAUGUACCGACGUGGAUUUCUGUAAUAUACGUCGAUCAUACCGACGUUGAUUUUACAAUUUAAACGGCAGUUUUUUUGUAAGGACCGCCGUUGGUUUUAAAAAUUUAUUCUAUAAAUUUGUCGCUUUCAUUCAUUUUCCGUUUACAUUUAGGGUUCCAAGUUCUUCCUCUCUCAGUCUCUCACGUCUCAAAGACAAUAAUUUGGAUGUCUUUCUCAAAGAUAAAUUGAGCUUACUCGCAUCAAAUAUAUGUCCACAAGAAGAAGCUUGUCGACUAGCCUUCUCACUUCCUUGAUCAAGCCUGAUAGGACACUUAGUGCUUCUGAAUACUCCUUGCUUUCCAUCAAAAGAGAUGCAAGCCUGGCCUCCACUCGCUGUCGAAGGAAAGUUCGCUUCUCAGGGAAAUCUGCUUGAUUUUCUUGGCUAAGAAGAUCCGUCAGAUUUGUGAUAGCCUCUUCCUUUAUCCGUAGAGCUUCAGAAGAAGAAGAUGGGUUUCAAGAAUGCGAUAAAGAAUAGAAAUGGCUUCAGAUGGCCUCUAAAGCAUGAGCAAUCGAAUCAGUAUUUGCUGGGAGAUAUGAUGAAGACAUUGUCAAUGCUUUGAACUAUACAAGUCCUGCAGAAAGAUAAAGGACCAAACAGUUAAAGAAACUGAAACAACGGCGGUUUUCUGUUCUACCGUCGUCUUUUCUCGUCGUCUAUAUUAAGGUAAGAUGGCGGUAGAUUUAUAAUUACCGACGUAGAUUAUUUUGUUAAACGUCGUUAAGUGUACUACAACCGACGUGGAUUUUAUUUUUAAAUUAUAAAUAGAGUUUUUUUUCCCGAAUUCUUUCAGUUUUAGUUUUCAAUUACAAAGCGUGAUAAAUAGAUUUUUCUUUCCCGAGGAAAUUUAAAAUGAGGGAAAUUAAUGUUCUAGAAUUUGUAAACUAACACGACGCAAUAUUACUAACCCGAGGAAAUUAUAAAUAGAUUUUGCUUUCCCGAAUAAAUUUUAAAUUAAUUCAGUUUGAAACAACGACGGUUUUUUGUUAUGCCGUCGUUUUUAACUAACACGACGCAAUAUUUGUUUUGCGACGUGGAAUCUUUUCAUUUAACGUCGUUAUGUUUAAUAUAACCGACGUAGAUUUGAAUUUUUAAAUUAUGAAUAGAAUUUUUUUUCCCGUGACCUUUCAGUUUAUUUUUCAAUUACAGUGCGUUAUAAAUAGAGUUUUUUUUUCCGGAGGAAAUUUAAAAUGAAGGAAAUUAAUGUUCUGGAAUAUGUAAAGUUUCUUUUUUGGAGGACAGAUUUAAAUAAAAUAAGAAUAUAAAAACAACGACUGUUUUUUUAUUACUGUCGUCGUUUUUCGUCGUCUUAAGUAAGACUAAGACGACGUAAUAUAUUUGUUUAGCGACGUUGAUUUAUUUUUUAAACGUCGUUAGGUAUAAUAUAACCGUCGUUGAAAAUUGUCUCUCUGAUUGCAAAUUUGCCACGACGUUAGGUAUAAUAUUUGUAGAUACACAAACGCACAUACAUCAUCAACUUCCAAAAAAUUGUCUCUCUGAUUGCAAAUCUGUGUCAUCUGUUAAGAUUAUGAUGUGGAACAGAGUUCCAUCUGGUAAGAUUUUGUAACCCUUGGGAUCUCAAACAAAUCUGAUUAUGUCGGCGGUUUUCUAUAUAAACCGUCGUGGUUAUUUCAAUUCUUGUCAUUAAGUAGAUCUACCGACGUAGGAUAAGAAAAUCAAAGAAAAAAAUUGUUAACAAAAAUUCUUAUUAAGACGACGGUUAAAAUUAAAGGUACGACGUAUAAAAUGAAUACAUACGACGUUAAAUUUUAUUGUACGAUUUAAAGAUAACGUCGUAGAACUAUACGAGAAUGACGUCGAUAUAUUUAUAUUUUUCGUCGUUGUACAUUAAUUUAAUACGGCGAUAUUUUGUAUUUUAAAGCCGUGGAUUUGUUUGUAAUUAUACGGCGUCUUAUACGAAAACCUCGUCGUGUUAUUUUAUGAGUAAAAACGGCGGUUUUUAUUGAAAUCGUCGUCUUUACUUUCUACGUCGGUCGAUUCAUAACUUCUGCCGUUCUUUGUUGGCAUUGAUUUUACACUGCGGAAAUCUGUUUCAAAUAGACGUCGGUUGUUUAAUUAGGUACGUCGUUGUUUUUGAACAGCCAUUUGAAUCUCCAUUUUUUAGUUGUCUAAGGUUGUAUUACACGACGGUGUUUUUAGAACCGUCGUCUUUUUAAAAACCACGACGGUUUUCACUUAGACCGUCGUUGUUUUCUGGUCGUCUUUUUCACUUUUUGUAGUAGUGGAUGGAAUAUUGCUUUUGGUGCUGGUGCUGCAUAUCUAGAUGGAAUAUUGCAAAACGGUGAUUUGAGAUGGAAUAUGGGCUGGUGCUGGGUUUGUAUGACAGUUGUUGCUGCGGAAGCGAUUGCUAGGGUUAGGGCAAAAGACAGUCAAGGUCGACUGCUCUGAUACCAUAUCAGAUUGGGUAAAAAAUAAUACUUCAUUCAUAUUGAUAUAUAACAAUAGGAAGGUUAUAUUUACAGAGCCUAGGAAAUUAUUCUAGGAAAGUAAUUAUGUUCCUAUAAUCUUGCAGAAUCAAAUAGUUGACUUAGACUAAUUAGGAAUGUACAGCUCACUGACAAUAAUUGCUGACCAUCUUGAUACCAAUGAGCAGCCUAUGUUGAAAUCUCCAUUGACAAGGGAGAAGCAAAUGGCUGCCAUUUAUACUCGUAAAAUUUUCUACAAGUUUCAAAAAGAGUUGUGGAAAUGUUUGGCAUGUGUACUUCAACUUGCAAGGGAGGAUGACAAGUUAUGUUAUAAGGUAAUGGAGAGGAAAAAAAUGGUAGCUUCAAGUUGAAGGUGCGAGAAGUCAUGGUUGACAAAGUUGCAGACUAUGCUUCAUGUAUAUGUAAGAAAUUUGAAUUUGAAGGAAUCUUAUGCAGGCAUGUGUUGGCAUACAUGAAAAUGAAACAAACUGAGUAUUUGUCAAAUAAAUAUAUAUUAAAGAGGUCGACAAGAGCCGCAAAGUCUGACNNNNNNNNNNNNNNNNNNNNNNNNNNNNNNNNNNNNNNNNNNNNNNNNNNNNNNNNNNNNNNNNNNNNNNNNNNNNNNNNNNNNNNNNNNNNNNNNNNNNNNNNNNNNNNNNNNNNNNNNNNNNNNNNNNNNNNNNNNNNNNNNNNNNNNNNNNNNNNNNNNNNNNNNNNNNNNNNNNNNNNNNNNNNNNNNNNNNNNNNNNNNNNNNNNNNNNNNNNNNNNNNNNNNNNNNNNNNNNNNNNNNNNNNNNNNNNNNNNNNNNNNNNNNNNNNNNNNNNNNNNNNNNNNNNNNNNNNNNNNNNNNNNNNNNNNNNNNNNNNNNNNNNNNNNNNNNNNNNNNNNNNNNNNNNNNNNNNNNNNNNNNNNNNNNNNNNNNNNNNNNNNNNNNNNNNNNNNNNNNNNNNNNNNNNNNNNNNNNNNNNNNNNNNNNNNNNNNNNNNNNNNNNNNNNNNNNNNNNNNNNNNNNNNNNNNNNNNNNNNNNNNNNNNNNNNNNNNNNNNNNNNNNNNNNNNNNNNNNNNNNNNNNNNNNNNNNNNNNNNNNNNNNNNNNNNNNNNNNNNNNNNNNCGAUGGUAGAUUGACCUUGCGAAGGCUAUAUCUAAAGGAAAAGCAAACAGAGCCAUGCCACUAGAAUACAGAUUUUUGUUUUGUAAAUUUUUUAUUAAGUUAUUCGGUGUUGAUUUUUCAAGUACUUAUCAUGAAAAAAAUGAAAAAGUACGAUUUAUUUAUUUUAUUUUUUAAAAAACACUUCUGAAUGAAGCCAAUUUGGCCAUCUAAAAAGACUAUGUUUUAGCGGCUAGCUAGCAAUCUUCUUUCUGUCCAAACAGGACGCAUAACUAAGUCCAAAUGAUAAGACUUGUCGGAUUGGGAGGCUCUCCCUCCCUCCUUCAACUCUUAUGUGUGUGUGUGUGCGCGUGCGCGAUUAGAACCAGUGUUUUCAAAGGCAUGCCUAGGCAUGCGUUGAGGCGCGCCUCGGAGCGAGGCGGAGGUGAUUCGCCUCAGGCGCAGCUCAGUUUAGCGAAUGUUAUGAAAGGCGUACGCCUUGAAGUCGAGGCGGUCCGAGGCGGCCGCUAAACACAAAUGCGCUGUAAAAGGCGCAAGCCUCGCGAGGAAGACAGACUUCCUUUAUUUGAAAAAUCUGAUUCCAGACGACGUCAUUUGCACGGGCUGUGUUGUUUUGUUUCCCUUUAGUUAAGCUGUGCGUUUCAGUUUUAAGUUUUAAUAUUAGACACGCACCGUUUUGUUCAAAGGAAACUAGUUUACCCAUUUAUUCCUUCCCUCUCCCAAAAGCCAAAGUUCCUAAACAGACCAACAGAAACCGCCUCCCUCCUUCCACCAUCAGUUCAGUCCACCUCCAUAAUCUACUCUUUUAUCUAUUCGAACUAGGUAGAAAGGCACUAGACUUAGAGAGAUAAUUUAACCAAAAGGAUAUAUAGUAAAGAAUUGAGCAAUAGUAAGAGAAAUUUUGAAAUAAACAUGCUUUGAUGGUUAAUUUAUAUUCUAGAGUGGCAUUUAAUACAUUAAAUAGCUGUUUUAUAUUUUUGUAAUUAUAAUAACUCAAUACCCGAAAGGCUUACGUUUCAACGCUUUUAUACCUNNNNNNNNNNNNNNNNNNNNNNNNNNNNNNNNNNNNNNNNNNNNNNNNNNNNNNNNNNNNNNNNNNNNNNNNNNNNNNNNNNNNNNNNNNNNNNNNNNNNNNNNNNNNNNNNNNNNNNNNNNNNNNNNNNNNNNNNNNNNNNNNNNNNNNNNNNNNNNNNNNNNNNNNNNNNNNNNNNNNNNNNNNNNNNNNNNNNNNNNNNNNNNNNNNNNNNNNNNNNNNNNNNNNNNNNNNNNNNNNNNNNNNNNGAGCUUGGCAACAAACCCCAUCUCUCUCUCACCAAGCUUUCUCAAAUCCAUGGCCCCCAUUAUAACUCUGCAACUCGGCCAAAGUAACAACGGUGUUUGUUUCUUCACCAAACACAGCCAAACAAGUCCUCCAAACCCAUGACCAAUUCUUGUCCAACCGAAUCGUUCCAGAUGCAAUCCAAGCCUGUGACCUUCGCCAGGACAGCCUGUCAUGGAUACCACCUUCAGCCAAAUGGAGAAGCCUUCGACAAAUAUGCAACUCUCAAUUGUUCGCCGCCAAAAUCCUCGACGCCAACCAACCAAACUGCCGUGUAAAAGUACAAGAGCUCAUAUCUCAGGUCAAUGAAAGUGCGGUCAACGGUGAGGCGGUAGAUAUUGGAAGGGCCGCUUUCAAAACUAUGCUCAAUCUGCUGUCUCGUACAGUUUUCUCAGUGGAUUUGACUGACCCAAGUAGCGAGAUGGCCAGAGAGUUCAAGGAUACUGUGUGGGGUUUGAUGGAAGGGGCAGGGAUCCCAAACGUAGGGGACUUUUUUCCUGUCCUUAGGAAAAUUGACCCCCAGGGCAUUAGGCAUGAUCAAACAUUUCAACAAGAUGGAACAGCUUUUUGACUGCAUGAUUAGCCAAAGAUUGGCAUCAAGAAAAGCCCAUGAUUAUGUCACAACCAAUGAUAUGUUGGAUACUCUUCUGAACAUCAGUGAAGCGAACAGUGAGGACAUAGACAAGACCAAAAUUCAAAAUCAUACACCAGGAUAGGAAUCCACCCUAUAAUAGAUAUGGUUUUCUAUAUGGGUUGCGCAUAUUGGUCCAUUAAAGUUAUUUGUUCAAUCUCAUCAAGACAGAUUGGGAAAGGCAACUGGGGUGAUUUGAAGAAAAUGGAGCCAUCUAAAUUCUUAUCAUGUGCAUGUCGGUACGAAAUUUAUGGUCUGCAAUCGAAAGAAUUAGAGGCCUGCAACCUGCUCAUUACUUAUGGACAAGGGAAAAAGACAUGUUGAGAACGUAACAUGCAUCGAAUAACCUUUUUUUUUCACGGAAACGCCAAGCAAUUUAAGGUCAAUUUUAUCGUGCACGACAAAAAUUAAGACGGAAUCGCAGAGAAAAGAAAGAAGCCACCGAGGCCCGCGGUUAAUAUAACCAAGGAUGAAACAAUACAAAAAAAAAUCCACAGCCAACAGGUAGCAAUCAAAGGACCACCAACUCUACUGUUUUUUUACUAGUACCAUGUUUAAGGUGAUCAAAUCUUGUAAGAAUUUUCUUCGUGGGCUUGAAACUUCAGAUUUUCUCAAGCUAUUUAAACACAAACACCGCCAAUAUAAUUAGUAGCCCUAUUGUCAACAAUGGUAGGAGCCCCAUAAAGCCAAGACAGUCCAAUUACUCCAUGCACCCCAAUAAACCUUCCUCAGAAAAAAACUAUCUUCAUAGUUAAUUCUGCUGGACGUUCUGACAACAACCAAUUGUUAUUGAGAUUCGAACUUGAUGAAUGAUUGAGAUAUAUACACGACAUAGUCUCUAUUUUUAUUUUUUUUUAAUAAAAGCGAUCGAUAUUGGGUGGGUGAGAUUCAAACACAAAAUCUUGAGUGCAAGGAAGAUAACUGUUCAAAAUAUGGAUGGCAAUUUUUCUCAUGGGUAAGGGUCCUCGCAUGGAUUCGACCCUAAUAGUCGGGUAAGAAAGAUAAAAAAUGGGUAUGGGGACGGGUACGAUAAAUUUUUUGGGUAUGGUGUUAGGGGAGGGGGAGGGACAGUAUUUUCAUCCCCUACUCGAACUCUCCCCGUUUAGAAUAUACAUAUAUAUAUGUUAUUAAAGUGAUUGUGCCGACUAAAUUUUAUAUUAUAUAUUUAUGAAAUUUAUACAAAUCUUAAGCUACACUACUUAUAUAUUUAGUUAACUUCUCAGUCAAUAUGUAAACAUUGUACGUAGAUAAUAUAUUAUAUGUACUCAUUAUCUUGCUCUAGUCCUAUUUUUUUUCUUUCAAAAAAAGUAGUUUUAUAUUGAUUUUUCUUCCGUACAUAAUGGGGCAGGUCGGUGAACCAAUUCCCCAUUGAAGGUGGGGAUGGGGAAUCCCAAUAUGAAUAUUGCGGUAAUGAAGGUGGGAAUGGGGAAAAAAACUUAACGGGGUGGGGAUGGAAAUGGCAUACCUAGUUCAAAACCACUUGAGUUACACAGCAUGAGACAGAUAAAGGCUGGUGAGGAGAAGGCUCGGCAAGCAGUGAUGAGGCUCACAGAGGAAAUAGAAAUCUAGCCAUCACUGCCAAGGGAGAUAAAUGGAGCUGCCGUGGGUUUCCACGGGAGAGCUCAAUGGAGGGGACGGUCUGCAAUGAAGAUGGUGCAACGGAGACACAAAAAUAACGGGCUAACAGAAGAAAAGGUUGCAGUGGUAAAACAAAGGUGCGGUUACAGCUAAGGUGGAAAGAAAAAACAUAUUCAUCUUUGAGAAGAGGAGAUGAAAAAGCACAUAUAAACAAACACCCCUAAGGGUAAGGAGCGAGGAGCGCCAAUGACUCUCAAUGUUGGCAAUUGGAGGAUCGCUAAUCGGCGUUAGCCAUUAGCUCUGAUACCAUGUACAAAAAUUUUCCCUUAGUCAUUCAUAUGAUCAUUAUACUAUAUAUAUACAAGUGUGUAGAGAAUAAUCUACAGUUACAGCAAGCCAUGAUCAUAAACUUAAAUAUGGAGUUAUGGCCUAAUAACAACAUAACUGACCAUUUUCUAUCAUUAGUAGGAUUAAUUAUUGUAACUCCCUAAUAAUAACAUAAAUCCAUUUAUUGUAGAAACCAUAGCUAGCUAGGUUUGGUUCUGUCACGUGCUCUCUCAUGAGUGAGUGGAGAUGGUUACAUGGUUAUUAGUUGUUGCAUAAUUGUAGGAGUUUGCAUGUCUUUAGUUGUUGAGUAGUUUUAGGAGUCAUGUUAUCCACUUUUAUAGUGGGCGUCAUGGGAAAAGUUUCCCCCUUUCUAAGCUUUCAGUUAGAGUCCUUGUUUGUAUAAAUUUCAGUGGCUUUUCAUUAAUGAGAUAUCAGAUAUUAUCCCUUACUGUUAGCUUGUCUAACUUGGAGGUUUUGGGUUCCCUCGAAGCAACCCUUAUCGUCUAAUUGUUAUCCCAACUGAGCCUUCUAAAUAUUGCUGCAGCCAUAGGUGGCCGUAAGAAGAAAACUACAUACCAAGUUCCUAUACCUAAUCGCCCAAUCACACGAGCGCUGUCCCAAGCACAUAACAACUUGGUAUCAGAGUUGGGCAUGGAGGAGCAACGGGUAGAAUGCUUGGAAACUGAAGUGGGCUCCCUAGCCACUGGACAAGAAAGAAUACUCAAGGAGAUGCAAUAGAUGUUCGCAGCCAUGAAUGCUCGCUUGGAUCAAAUUUCUCGAACCGGUGAUUGAUCCAGUAGUGCUUUCAAUGGUGGUGGAGGUCGAACAUUUGGAAGUGGAUCCACCACUCCAAAUUCUGGCAACUCUUACCUUCCUAAAAUGGUGAAGCUAGACUUUCCUCACUUCAACGGAUUGGAAGAUCCCACAAGUUGGAUAUGUCGUGCUGAACAAUUCUUUGACUUUCACCACACUCCAGAAACGGAGAGAGUUCCGUUAGCUUCAUUUAAUCUUGAAGGGGAUGCGCAAUUGUGGUUCCAAUUGAUGAAGGAGGAAACCCCGAUCACCACAUGGGCAACUUUUAAGCAGGGACUACAUGACAGGUACGGUCCCACCCAAUUUCAAGACUUCUUUGGUGAUCUGACAAAGUUGCAACAAACAGGUUCAGUACGAGAUUAUCAAACCCAGUUUGAGAAAUUAUUGAUUAGAGCAGGACGACUCACUCCAGAUCAACAAGUUGGCUGUUUUGUGAGUGGGUUGAAGGAGAAUAUCAAAACUGAUGUGCAAGCGUGUAAGCCGCAAACACUCUCUGCUGCUAUCGGUUUUGGCUCGCCUGUAUGAGUCUCGCAACCAAACAAAUAGGCGAUACUCACCUUCGGAUGUGAAGCAGCCCUCUACCAAUAUUGUUACGAAGUCUGACCGUCGACAAAAUUUCAUGCCAAUUAAGCGGCUGUCUCCAGCCGAAUUAAAGGAACGAAGAGACAAAGGACUUUGCUUCAAUUAUGAUGAAAAGUUUAGUCCUGGACACAGGUGCAAAAAAUUAUUUCUCACUGAAGGUUGUUGGCCUGAUGUAGAAGACGAAGCGGAGGGCGAAUGUAAUGCUGAAGUUGACUUGGCUGGAGAAGAAUUACCUGAAGUAUCUAUUCAUGCAAUAUAUGGUGCUCGGACUCCCCAGACAAUGAGGGUGCAUGGCAACGUGGGAAACAUCAAAUGACUUUCUUGGUCGAUUUUGGAAGCACACAUAAUUUUUUGAGUAGUAAAAUCGCUCGAAAGGCUGGCAUUAAUCCCACUGGUUUUGGAAAGUUUGAGGUUUCGGUUGCAAAUGGCGAAAAGCUUGCAAGCGAUGGGCUUUGCAAAGGAGUCUACAUUCUAGUUCAAGGUGUUCCUAUAACUGUUAAUAUGUACCUUCUUCCGUUGGAGGGGUGUGAUGCUGUUCUGGGGGCUCAAUGGUUGAGCACGUUAGGGCCAAUUCUUUGGGAUUUCUCUCAAUUGCAAAUGAAGUUCAAUGUGGGAGGGAAAACAGUGGUUCUUAAAGGGGUGACACCACAGGAUAAAAUUGUUAAUGAGCAUGAGAUUUGUAAGGAGUUGAAGAAAAAGAAAGAAGGCGUCAUUCUGCAAAUCUACUCACUUGUUUUGCAAGACCAUGACGGUACAUCAUUUCCCAAACUUGAUUUGAUUAAUUCUGAUUUAAAGCAUCUUUUGCUACUUUUUGAUGAGAUAUUUGUUGAACCACGUGGAUUACCACCACCAAGAUCCCAUGACCAUGUGAUACCGCUAAAGGAAGGUAGUAAUCCGGUGAGUGUGAGGCCUUACAGAUACCCACAAUUUCAAAAGAACGAAAUUGAGCGGUUGGUGGCAGAUAUGUUGAAAUCAGGUGUGAUUCGGCCUAGUCAAAGUCCAUAUUCUUCUCCUGUGUUAUUGGUUAAGAAGUAUGAUGGCUCAUGGCGACUAUGUAUAGACUAUCGAGCGUUGAACCAGAACACCAUCAAAGACAAGUUCCCUAUCCCUAUCAUUGACGAACUGCUUGAUGAACUUCAUGGUGCCAAAUAUUUCACCAAACUGGAUUUGCGUUCUGGAUACCAUCAAAUAAGGAUGCAUCCAGAUGACAUAUCCAAGACAGCAUUCCGGACACAUCAAGGGCAUUAUGAAUUUUUGGUGAUGCCAUUUGGCCUCACCAAUGCACCCUCCACUUUUCAGUCACUAAUGAAUGAAGUCUUCAAAGAAUACCUUCGUAAGUUCAUUUUGGUAUUCUUUGAUGAUAUUUUAAUUUAUAGCUCAACAUGGGAGCAACAUUUGGAGCAUAUAAAAAUUGCGUUGUCUAUUUUGAGGGCUAACAAGUUGUUUGUGAAGGAAGAAAAGUGUGCAUUUGGACAGGAAGAAGUAAAAUAUUUGGGGCAUGUUAUUUCUAGCAAAGGAGUUGCUGUAGAUCCAGAAAAAAUUGAUGCUAUGCUGGAGUGGCCCAAACCAACCACUGUCAAAGCUUUACGUGGGUUCUUGGGCCUAACUGGGUAUUACAGAAAAUUCAUUCAAGACUAUGGCAAGAUUGCUAGACCAUUGACUGAGAUGCUUAAAAAAGGAAGUUUCAAAUGGAGUCUCCAGGCUGAAGAAUCAUUUGAGAGACUAAAAGAGGCGAUGACGAAGGCUCCUGUUCUUGCUUUACCAGACUUUAACAAGCUAUUUAUUGUGGAGUGCGAUGCAUCUGGAUCUGGAAUUGGUGGAGUUCUAAUGCAAGAAAAACGCCCAAUAGCAUUUUUCAGCCAUGCACUACAAGGUAAGACUUUGUUCUUAUCUACCUAUGAAAAGGAGAUGAUGGCUUUAGUGUUUGCAGUGCAAAAGUGGAGGCCAUAUUUACUUGGGCGAAAAUUUGUUGUGCGGACUAAUCAAAGAAGCUUAAGGCAUUUGUGGGAGCAGAAAAUUACUACAACGGCCCAAGAAAAAUGGCUUGCCAAGUUGAUGGGCUAUGACUUUACCACAGAGUACAAGAAGGGAAAGGAAAAUUUGGUGGCCGAUGCUCUUUCAAGAAGGAAUGCAAGUGGAGUGGCAGCCAUCUCAACCCCUGUGCCGAAUUGGUUAGAUCCAAUCAAAGAUGAGGUACAAAGCAACCAGACCACGCAAGAGUUGGUGGACAAGUGUGAACAAGGUGAAGCGGUGGGUCCUUGAGAAUUUAAGGAUGGCAUACUCCACUUCAAAAAUAAAAUUUAUUUAAUGUCAGAUUCUUCUCUAAUACCUGUCAUAGUGGAGGAGAUGCAUUCAAACACACAUGAGGGUUACCACAAAACCUUGCAGAGAGCAAGGUCAGUCUUUUACUGGCAGGGAAUGCGAAGCAGUAUCAGAGAAUUUAUCAAGCAAUGUGACACUUGUCAAAGGAAUAAAGGAGAAAAUACUAAGCCAGCAGGACUUCUUCAACCUCUCCCAAUUCCUUUACAGGUAUGGACCGACAUCUCAAUGGACUUUAUUGAUGGCCUUCCUAAAUCCAAUGGGAAAACAACUAUUUUUGUUAUAGUUGACAGACUCUCAAAGUUUGCCCAUUUCAUUCCGGUCUCUCACCCAUAUACUGCUACAACCAUAGCUCAAAUAUUUUUUGACCACAUCUUCAAACUAUAUGGUAUGCCGCAAAGUAUUGUUUGUGAUAGGGAUCCCACUUUUACAAGCCUUUUUUGGAGGGAAUUAUUCAAAUUGCAGGGAACAAGCUUCAAUUUUAGCUCAUCUUAUCACCCCCAAACUGACGGACAAACUAAAGUGGUAAACAGAACUGUUGAAAUGUAUCUAAGAUGUUUUACAAGUCACAACCAAAAAGAAUGGGUGCGAUGGAUUCCUUGGGCUGCAUAUUGCUACAAUACCAGUAUACAUGCUUCUACCAAAAAGACUCCAUACGAGAUAGUUUAUGGGAAACCACCCCCGAAUUUAUUGUCCUAUGUUCCAGGAACCACUCAAGUGGAAGCCGUUGAUCAGGAGCUACGCAGCAGAGAACAAGUCCUCAAGGACCUGCGAGAACACUUGCUUGUGGCUCAAGAGCGCAUGAAAAAGUUCUACGAUGCCAAGCAAAUUGAUAAAAGCUUUGAGGUUGGUGACUUUGUCUAUCUGAAAUUACAACCUUAUCGCCAAAUGUCUUUGUCACUACGAAGAAAUCUGAAGUUAUCACCAAGAUUCUUUGGGCCAUAUGAAAUUCUCUAGAGGGUGGGACAAGUGGCUUAUAAAUUGAAGCUUCCUGAGGGGUCCAGAAUUCAUCCAAUCUUUCACGUGUGAUUGCUCAAAAAGAAGGUGGGCACUAACGUGGCAGUCCAAGACUCUUUGCCUGCACUUUCAUAUGGAGAGGAUACUCUUUUUCCCAUGCCACAAGCCAUCCUUGGUCAACGAAAAAGGAAGAAUCAAGAAGAAGUCUUGGUACAUUGGAAAGGCUUGUCUCCAGCAGAUGCAACUUGGGAAAAUUUGAAGGAGCUGCAACUCAGAUUUCCAGAUGUCAACCUUGAGGACAAGGUUUUUUCGAUGGGGAAGGAAUGUCACGUGCGAUCUCAUGAGUGAGUGGAGAAGGUUACAUGGUUAUUAGUUGUUGCAUAAUUGUAGGAGUUUGCAUGUCUUUAGUUGUUGAGUAGUUUUAGGAGUCAUGUUAUCCACUUUUAUAGUGGGCGUCAUGGGAAAAGUUUCCCCCUUUCUAAGCUUUCAGUUAGAGUCCUUGUUUGUAUAAAUUUCAGUGGCUUUUCAUUAAUGAGAUAUCAGAUAUUAUCCCUUACUGUUAGCUUGUCUAACUUGGAGGUUUUGGGUUCCCUCGAAGCAACCCUUAUCGUCUAAUUGUUAUCCCAACUGAGCCUUCUAAAUAUUGCUGCAGCCAUAGGUGGCCGUAAGAGGAAAACUACAUACCAAGUUCCUAUACCUAAUCGCCCAAUCACACGAGCGCUGUCCCAAGCACAUAACAGGUUCUCCUAAUAUUUGAUGGGCACAACUAUCAGAGGGUGAGCCAUCUGUAAACUGAGGCCAAACUUCUCUUCCAUGUUCAUUUUUCCCGGCACAACUCCAUCUUCAAGCUUCCAAUUAUCAAACGAGUUAAUAAGCGAACCCAACAUCAAAUUCAACAUUCUCAUCACCAAAGGCAACCCAAGACAUAUUCUCCUCCCGCCACCAAAUGGAAUAAGCUCAAAGUUCUGGCCAGUAAUGUGGAUAUUGAAUCCAAAAAACCUCUCAGGGAUAAAUGAGGUAGGAUUGUCCCAAAUGCUGGGGUCUCUGCCGAUGGCCUAUGUGUUGACCAAAACUUGUGCACCCUUUGGUACAAUGUAACCGUAGAUUUCUACGUCUACUUGGGCUCUGCGAGGAAGAAGAAGUGGGACAAUUGGGUUCAGCCGGAAGGUCUCUUUUAUUAUGGCUUGUAAGUAAGGGAGCCGAGUGAUGUCUGAUUCUUUCACUGGUUUUCCUUUGCAAAUGACCUGCUUCAGCUCCUCUUGAGCUUUUGACAGCUUUUCAGGGUUGCGUAAUAGCUCCAGCCAUUGCCCAUUGGCCGCACCAAAUAAAUCCUAAUUCACCAAAAAGUUAACUAGUCAAUAAAUUAAUAUGGGCACAUAGACAUAUAAUGAGCAAAUAAAAUUAUAUAUAUAUUUUUAUACAAGCAAUAUAGGGGAAUUCGAAUACAAAACAUUGAUCAGUGUAGACAUUGAUUAUAGUACUAUCAUAAACAAAAACAAGAACAACAAUAAUAAGUUAUAAUUAUAAAAUAUAAGCAGUUUAAUUAUGAAUUCAGACAAGGUCAUCAAGAACAAUUAGUAGAGCUGGAGUAGAGUAGUAAUAUAGCAAUAAGUAGCAACUAACCAGAAACAAAUGUUGAGUUUCAGACAUGUCCAUAUCCUCAUUUUUCUCUUCGCUCAUGUUUAUAAGAGUAUCCAAAUAUCAUUCCCUGUGACAUAAUCACGUGACUUCCUUGAUUCUAACCUGUGGACGAUCAUGCGGUCAAAAAGAUCAAUCAUCUUCCGGAAGUGCUUGCCCAAACGGCGCCGUAUCCCCAUGGGAUCAACCUCCUUAAGCACAGGAAAAUAAUCAGCCAAGUUUGGUUUCGCAAUAUCCUCCAUAAUACUCCACACCAACUCCUUGAACUCUCUAGCCCUCUCACUGUUCGGGUCCGCUAAAUCCACCGAGAACACAGUCCGCGACAUCAAAUUGACAACUUCAACCGCCUUACCUUUCACAAUGCUUUCCUUAACGUCAGCUAUGAGCUCCUGCACUUUUCGGUGACGGUUGGCUUGGUUGGAGUCGAGAACUCACUAUGCCAAAAAAGGCCUUUAGCAACGGAUAAAUCUGUUGCCUAUUACCCACGAGGUAUGUAAUAGGCAACGGAUAAUAUCCGUAGCCUUUUAUAGUUACAACAUCGGAUAUUUGGUAAAAUCUGAUGCGUAAAUGAUUUCCGUGUGCCAAAAAAAGUUGACUUCUGAUGCCUAAACCUGAAACAGCAUCAGUAGUUUCAAAAAGGAGGAGGCUAAACAGGUAUUAUAGCAUCAGUGGUAUCUGCUAUACUGAUGCAUACCACUGAUGCGUAUUAUCAAUUACAACAUCGCAAAAACAAAAUAGUGUUGUCACGAAUUAUAUUAUACGUCAUUGCUUUUUCUAUUUUGCGGACGUGAAAAGCCUCCAAUAGUGUUGGUUGUUAUAUAAAUGCUAUGCUACUUCUAGUUUUAGGCAUUAGUGAUCAUAAAUGUCUGGUUGUUAUUUUUAUCUUUCAACUUCAGUUAUUUCUGAAAAACUGAAGUUGUUAUAAACAUAGGCAUCACUUAUGUAAGGAAAAUGUAAGGAUUUUGCGUGUUUCACAUCACACUUUACUGGGUUACUGCCUUAAUAUAUCAAAAAGGCAUCAUUUCCAAAUCAUGUUGUGUUGCCAUUGCUCAUUAAAAAAAUAUAUUAUAUAAACAAUAAUUUAAUAUAUCCAUACUUGUCUAUAUAUAUAAGCAAAAUACUUGAAUGAUCCAUACUUGUCACAUCCAAAUCACAAUUUUUCCAGCCCUACACCACAAAUUAUCUGUACUUGUCUAUAUAAGAAAAUUACUAAUUAGAAAGACAUGUAAAAUGGAGUGUUUAGCUCAAUCAAAAAGCCAUUCUAGGACAUGAGUUGCCAAUUCUUUUCGCACCUCAUCCAAUUUCAUUUGGGUGUACGUGUCCUUCCGUCUAGCUCUAUAUGAAAAGAAGAAGAAAAACAUGUAGAAUGUAAACACAAACAAUGUGUAAUAUGAACAUAAGAUAUGUUGUCACUUCAAAUUGACCAAUAUGCAAAUUUAUGAAAUCAUAAUGGUGAACAAGAAAAUCUAAUUUGUCAACCAAUCUUGAUGUAGAACGGAUGGCAGAUUUUAUCGCGGUUGAGCUAGAAAAAGGACGUAGUGGGAAUUUGUAAAUUUGUUGUCCGAGCUCCGAUUAGGACGCAAAAUACCAUUUCGGAAAGGGAACGACGCCACGAGUUGAACACACAGCUUUGCUGUGAUGUACGAUGGAUUUUGGCAUUCUGAGGUCGUUUGGCCUUCCAAAACUGCAUUCAAAGUUUCAUAGUUAAUUCUCCGAAUAAAUUCUGUUUUUAAGUUUUAAUGUAAUAACUCCCCUAGCAGUUCAAGGGUUGAGAGUUGUGUAUUUAGACAGGUUUAUCUGACGUUUCUGAUUAUCUCAGAUUUUAAUAAAAUUAUCCCACAAGAAUUCAUCUUAAUUUCUGGUGGAAUCCAGAUUUCUUGUUACUCAAGGUUUCGCUUGAAACCCUUGUUGCUUGUGCUGCGUCAAAUCUAAUUAGAUAACAAGAAGUCAAUAAAUGGAUCCCACUUCAUGCUUCAACUAGCAAUUAAAUGAUCAUGUGAUAGGAUAGAGAGCUGGACAAGAACAGCUAGCAUUUCUUCUUAAUUCAAUGGCUAGGCAGGCAGUGUUAUCUUUCCUCUUGAUUUUAACAAUCUAUUUUUUAAAUAAACACAGAACAAAUUAGUUAAAUGACAUUUAACUAAUGUGACUAUUUUAGUAUUUUUAGUUUUUUUUUUUUUUUUUUUUUUCAUUUGACAAACUGAUCAUGAAGAAAUAGUGGACGCUCUGGGCAGUUGACAUCAUGCAUACCACAUUUGUCUACCUGCAAUCUACCAUAAUUACAUUAAAUCAUAAUGUACACAUAAAUUUCACGGGACAAUAAUGCAUCUACAUACCAGAUGGUUCUUCACAAAAUUCAUCCAGACCUGCAAGGUUUCUGUACUUAACCUUAGAAAGUAGCCUCACUUAUGUUCAAGGAAACACACUACACAGAAAUCAGAUUGAUAAUGAAGCUAUGUUUCCCUGUUUGUGUCAUCUUCAAAUUGCAAGAUGUUUUUUCAUAAGAAACCAAACCUGUAAGCAAAUAAAGAGGGACUCAACCAACUACUUGAUGAUCCUCAGCGUAUAACUCAUCAAAUCUAAAACUAAAAACUAAACAGCAAUCAAUAUGAAACAUAUACAGAAUUGAAAUUCUUAUGUAAUUAGUUUAAAAACCUAAAUUUCUGCCAAAUACCAAGAUAGAUUCGACCCCAAAAACCAAAAUAAAUUAAAACUGAAAUGAAAAAUAAAGAAUUCUUACCAGAAUGUGGAGCAGUCAGUGGUCAUGGGGUAGUGGCGUUGAUCCUUGGCAGCAGAGGAAGAGGAUUAAAAAAAUUAAAAUGGAAAAUUAAAAUCAGAAAGGAAAAAAAUUCUGAAUCAUAAUCAAAACAAAGCACCUGCCUCAAACACUGUGUUCAGACCUUUCAUCAUUUUCAGGCAGAUCCAUACGAUCAGUCGAACACCAGCUAUCUGCCUCGCCAAUCGCAAUUAUCUAGCUCAGAAUAACGAGCUUGGGGUUGAGGUUGCAGCUAAAGAAAAAUUGAAGUAAAUGACUACUAUGUUGCUACUCUUACUCUUGCCUAGUAUUCAUUGUUUUGUUUUUUUUUCGUUUUCAAAUAUUCAUUGUUUUUCAAAUAAAUGAAUUACAUUCCUAAUGGAAAUACUUAUAUUCAACACUUCCGAAAAUAAUGAGAAUACACCAUACACAAUAAUUCCAUUAAUCUUUUCAUAAUGAAAAUACAGAAAGUGUUGCAAGUGGUGGACCUAUCCUUAGGAGGACUAUUACAUUAAUAUUUUCAUACUGAAAAUAGACCAAGUAUUGCAAGUGGUCAACCUUUUUAACAAGGAUAUUACAGUUAUGAAAUUAAAAACUAAAAACUUACUUGGAAAAGAGAAAAAAAAUACAGAAUUUCAUUAAGCUCCACCUUGCUAUUCACCAUUAACUGCCAUUCAGCUCCUCCUUGCUUGACUUGAUUCGCCAUUGAGUUUCUCCUUGCUUGACUGGAUUUGCCACAAUCACUCAACUGAGUAUUGGCCUUCCUCUGGCCAAAAGGUAAUUGUAAGGUACUCUCAGCAUGCCUAUAAAUUGGAAACCAAACUAAUUUGCAUAUUAUCAUUCAUUUAAGUGGUUCUCUCAAGAUCUGGAAGUGAGUUUUCACAGUAUAACUCACCCUCGUAAGAACUUUGCAAGAACAGACAAUCUUUUAGCACCGGGUCUCCCAACUUGCUUGCAAUGAUCACAUAUUAGUUUACCAUAUAGUAAAAGGAUUAUUUCUCCAUUGUUACAAAAGAAGCACUACUACAUUUUACGAUUUGCGCGACGAAGACAAUUUCGUCGCGCAAAGUUGAAUUUCGUCGCACAAAAUCAAGCGUGACAGAAACUUCGUCGCGCGUAAUCUGUCGCUCAAAGAUCGUGAAGAAAGACUUUGCCCGACCGAUUGUAUCACUCGUCGCGCAAAUUUGUGUGACGGUUACCGUUCGUUACACCAAAGGUUCAGAGACGGCGCAAUAGUUCGUCGCACAAACUUAUGUGCGACGAAAGAGAGUUCGUCGCCACAACGAUGCGCGGCGAAUAAUAUUCGUCACGCAAUACGUCUCGUAUAUAUUUGCGGCACAAAGAGAUCUUCGUCGCGCAGUUCGUGUCUACAAGUAUUGCGCGACGAAAGAUCAUUGUCGCGCAUACGAAUUUUGCGCGACGAAAGUUUUUGUCGCGCAGAACGUGUCGUAGAUAUUUGCGGCACAAACAGAUCUUCGUCGCGCAUUUCGGGUCAACAAAUUUUGCGCGACGAAACACUUUUGUCGCGCAAAUCCUUUUUGAGCGACGAAAAUUUUCGUCGCGCAAAAUUAGUAUAUAUAAUUAUUAUUUAUUUUCAAUAUUACUUUUUAUUUUAUUUUAUAAAAAAAUAAAUUUGGUUUUUUUUUGGGAUAAUAAAAUGAAAUUCCAAUAAAUAAAUAAAAAAAAAUUGUAAAGAACAUAUUUAUUAUAUAAAAUAAAUGUAUACUGCAAGAGAAAUAUGUAAAAAAUAAUUAUGAAAAUAAAAAAACUAAUCAAAUAAUGUUCCAAAAUCUACAUUAUCGUCUGGCACAUGCGGUUCAGAGGUCUGGGGGUCUACAGGGGCCGUCGUCUGGCGGGGAUGCUCGGGAUGGACGGGCUCGGAGGUCGGCGCAUCAAAAUGCGGGACUGGAAUGCCGGACUGUGCGAGGAACUGCAGAAUGACCGACAUCUGACUCUGAAGAGUGGCCACCUGUACUGUCAAAGCAGUGACCUGACUGUUUGACUGCGCCGAUGAACGGGAUCUGGGUUCCCUCCGCCUGGCAUUCCCCAUCCCUCGACAAUAUGUCCCCGGUCUCCUCCCGAGAGUCUGAUCCAAUGUCUCCGUCAAGAUCUGAAACCCAGCAUCCUGUGGAGGAUCCACAGACUCGAUCGGAGUAUCGGGAGGAAGUUGGGAGGCGGACUCCUGAAGAACCAACUGGCUCUUCUCCACCAUCGUCGUCUGUUUAGCAUAACAUAAAAUAUAAAUUAAAACAUUCAUAUAAUAACCUUUAAACUUGAAUGCGUAACAUAAUAAUUAAAAUGAAAUAAUACUCACAUGAAGGGACUCGGCCAACUCAUUCCCAGGUCGAACAUAAACAUCGCCAAAGACGUCGAUCUCUGGGAAUUUGGACCCCCCCUAAAUUGAACAAGAGAAGAAAAAUAUUAGUACGAAAAUCAUUCUUUAUGAAUAAUUAAAAAUUAAAAAUUAAAUAAAAUUUAUUUUAUUAUUACCUGCCGACGUGCAUCCAUCCUAUAGGAGAAGGGCCUGGAACCGGAAUGAUGGAGAAGAGUCUUCUUCUUCCUAUUGCCCUUAUUGGCUUUAUUUUGUUAUACAAAAAAUAAAACGUAUUAGUUGAAAUUGAAAUUAAAUAUAAAACAUUAAAAAAGAACAUUAAUAAAAAAAUAUAUAAUAAAUUUGAAAUUAUAAAUUACCACAAAAGCGGGCACCUGAAAAUGAGUGCAGAGCCACGCCCAACUAUCCUCCCACCCCUCCAGCUCCUUCGGGCAACCCUCCUGAAGAGCGACUUCUGGAUCAUCAAACGCCUCAAAAUAGUGGUGCAAGUCGCUCUUCCACUGUUUGUACCUCUCAGCGAAGAGUCUGUUGACGUAUACCAACGACUCGUCGUCCAGGUCCUCCAAGUUAUAGUUCGUCUGCAAUAAAUUAAUUACAUACAUUUAAAUAAUAGAAAUAUAAAAUUUGAAAGAAAAAGAAUUAAAAGGCCUACAUACCGACAACUGGCCGCGAACCUCCGUCUUGGUCUCGUCAGGCAUCACCUUCUAAGACUUCCAUUUCAUCAGGCAAUGGCUUCGAAUGACAUGACCAAUGUCGUGGGCCAAGGAGCUAUGCAACUCUGCCGUCGGUGCAGCCCGAUGUCGCUCGUCGUAUCCGAUGUUGAUACGACUGUUGGUCACCCGGGGUAACCUUCGCCGUCUUCAACUGCCGACACGGCCCUCGGGUGUUCUUCUUGGCUGCAAAGAAAGAUGACAUUAAUGUUAAAUAAAUAAUAACUUUAACUAUAAAAUACACACACACAAAUAAAAACAAAAACAAAAACCAAAAUAUAAAUAACUGGAGUUUAAGGAUAUCUAUACCUGGCUGUGACCCCGACGCAUCAGUGGAUGUGGUGUCGGUGGUGCUGGCGGGCCGAUGACGCCGUCUGGCGCUAACAGGCUGUGCCACUGAUGAAGCUGUGCCGUCUGGCGCUAACAGGCUUGGGACCCCCCGGGACCAACUGCCAAGUGGUCCAUCAGUGCUGGCGCAGUGGCAGCAGCUGUCGGGUGAGCCGGGGGCUCCAAACUCUGCGUAGUCGUCACCGCCCUACGACGUCUAAUCAGGUCUGACAUCUGCACAAUUUCAUUAAUACACGUACAAAUUAAUAAAAUAUACGAAUAUUUGAAAGCACAUACAAUUUUAUUAAAAUUCUUUGACCUAGGGUUGGCGAGUUCGGAGUAUCCGAGACUCCGAUCCACGAUCCGUCGAAUCCUAGAUGAUCCUAGAAAUACAAGGUACACCAUACGUGAGUUUGAGUUCGAUCCAACGGUCCGAACAUAACAAACCCGAAAAUCGCACAAUAGGCAAAAUCCGUUCGAGACUCAAACGGCAACGAAAUUCCAAUCCGAAAACACCUACGCACUCGUGACAAAUAGGGGAUUGCACUGGGACCCAAUGCAGUGGUGCUACAGUACCCCACGUGCCACCACACGCGCCGGCAGCGCGUGGGUGUCCAAAGCGAUACCAAUCGCAGGAAAUUUCUAAAAACUAAGGGCCAAGGUUCCUACCCUAGGUUCACAACAUCAAUUGGAGCCACUUUUAUUCUCGGACCUACCCCGAAAAAUGGCCAGAAGUGGCCGGAAUUUAAAUUAAAAAACCGGCCGAAAUUAGGGUUUUGAAAUCGACUGACCUAUUGCAACAAUUACGUAAAUCCUACCCAACCAUCAGCUAAAGCAUGUAAAAUAGGACAGAAACCAUACCUCAAUUGUCGGAUUUGGUCGCCGGAGGAGAGAGAACGACGGCGGCGGAGAUUCGGUGAAAAUCGAGGAAAUAACGGCGGCUGGCUCGACGGUGACGGCGGGGAACCUCCGGGGUACCAGCGUUGCUGCGGCGCCGUCCAAAAUGCACUGGGGUAGGGGCUGAGCUGACGGCGGAGAGAGAGAGAGAGAGAGAGAGAGAGAGAGAGAGAGGCAGAAAACUGAAGCUGGGGAAGAAGGAGGCUGUCGCGUCGUUUCGGCAAUUUUAUUCGAGUUUGCGCGACGAAGAACGAAAAGCGUCGCGCAAAAUAUUUUAAUUGACACUUGCGCGACGACAUAAUUAUACCAUACGCCGCGCAAUAUUGUAAAUCCCAAAUUUUGGUAUCACAGUGGUUUUUGCGUCAUGCACACUAUAAUAUAUUUGUCGCGCAAUGUUGUCAAUCCGCCAAAAUUUUGGGACUUAGGGUUUAGUGGGCGAGUUUGAAAACUUUGCGCGACGCUGACCUUGUUUCGUCGCGCAAUGUUGUCAAUCCGCCAAAAGUUUGGGACUUAGGGUUUAGCAGGAGAGAUUGAAAACUUUGCGCGACGAGUAAUUGUUGUUUCGUCGCGCAAAUCCUGUUUCUGUAAACUCUCAAAUUUUUUUGGCUAAGUGUCCGAGGAGAAAAGGGUGGCUGAGAUUGCGCGACGAAGAACACUAGUUUCGUCGCGCAAAUCCUGUUUCUGUAAACUCUCAAAAAUUUUUGGCUACGUGUCCAAGGAGAAAGGGUGUGGCUGAGAUUGCGCGACGAAGAACACUAGUUUCGUCGCGCAAAUCCUGUUUCUGUAACUCUCAAAAUUUUUUGGCUAAGUAUCCGAGGAGAAAAGGGGUGGCUGAGAUUGCGCGACGAAGAACACUAGUUUCGUCGCGCAAAUCCUGUUUCUGUAACUCUCAAAAUUUUUUGGCCAAGUGUCCGAGGAGAAAAUGGGUGGCUGAGAUUGGGCGACGAAGAGAAACGUAACCUGUUCGUCGCGCAAACUCUUAACCCUAAACCCUAAACCGCGGAAAACAUAAACCCGAAACUAGUUUUAAUGAUCCAACCGGCAAACGUUUUUUUUAUAUUUCGAGAUCGUAUACGCUGAAAAUCUGACAAAAGAAACGUUAGGAAAUCAAGUAACGGUACAAAACUUUUCGACGGUUCUAAAUGAAAAGUUAUGAUUUAACGGUUAUUUUAACUCCAAUUUUGAUGAUUUUUUAAUGCUACUUUUCUUGACCCUAUAUGAAUACAAUUACUGAAUUUGAUCUUCAAUUUAAGAUGUUUACACUGGGGUGAUACCACAUAAUCUUAUGUUAUACUUAACGAAAGUAUAAGUAAACUAUUCAUUGUUGGUGAAUAUAUGGUUUUGAUGGCAUACGCAUUCUACGAAAGUAGUUUCAAUAAUCCAGCCGUCAAACGUGUUUGUUUAUAUUUCGAGAUCUUAGGCCCCAAAAAUCAGAAAAAAUAAACAUUCAGAGAUCAUGUAUCGGGACAAAACUUUUGAACAGUUAUAAAUAAAAAGUCAUGAUUUAACGGUUAUUUUAACUCCGAUUUUGAUGAUUUUUUUACAGCUACACUCCAUGACCCUAUAUGAAUACAAUGAACCAACUCGAUCGUCAAUUUCGAAUAUAUAUGUGUAUAUAACAUAUAUUAUAAAAGAAUAUAUAUUUGCGCGACGAGUUUCAUUAUUCGUCGGGCAAACUUCCAUCGCGCGAUGGAUAAGUAUUUGUCGUGCAAUGUUUUGCCUUUAGGCGACGACAGUUGUCGGUCGCGCAAACUGUGCGCAACGAGGGUUUCUUGGUCGCGCAAAAUUGCAUCGCGUGACGGAUAAUAAUUUGUCGCGUAAUUUUUUCACUUUGCGCAACGAACAUAUUACUGGGUCGCGCAAACUUUGCGCGACGAGGUCUUCAUCGUCGUGCAAGAGUUUUCAUUUUUGAAAAAUGUUUGGUGUCAAUAAUUUUCAAACUUUGUAUGAAAAUGGUUUGGAUAUAUUUAUUUAUCAAUGUUUAUAACUAAUGUUUUAUCAUUUUCAUUUUGUAAAUGUGUUUUGUCAAAAAAAAAAUUUAAAAAUUAAUAUUAAAAGGGUUUGGAUAUAUUGAUUUACCAAUGUUUUAUAACUAAAUUUAUUUUAAUAAUGUUUUAAGGUUUGGAUAUAACAACUACAUAUAUUCAAACUUUUGUAUUACACAAAGUCUGUACACUAACAUAAUAAAAUUACAAAAAAUUUAAUUAUUCAUCAUCUGAACUAUAGUAACUUUCGUUAUCGUCGCUAUCAUCACUUUCGGUCUCCCAAUCCUCCUCCUCCUCCUCUAUAACUACAUCAUCUGCGUUGCUCGGGCCCACUGCAACAUCGAAUCUUGGAAGAUCCCCAAGGUCAAUUGUAAUUGACUGAAUUGGUAUUUCGAUUGAAGACACUCCUUGUAUUUGAAACGGUUCUUGUAUAACAUGUGUAUCUCGAAGUGUUUCCACAUCAUUUUCCAUUGAAGAUUCUAAACGUUGGUCAGCCACAUUGUCGACGUCGUUGUCAGUUGGGUCUAGUUCUGGUAUAGCAUACACGUUCCUAUGAUCCAUCUUCUAAACAACUUUCCAACUGCUCCCAACUUUAGGGUCAUCUAGAUACACAAUUUGUGUUGCCAUGUUUGCCAAAAUGUAAGGGUCGUCAUCAUACCAAGUUCUGUUAAUGUUCAUAGACAGUAAGCCAUGGUUGAUUUUAACACUUCCCGUCCUAUUUGGGUUGCUAUCAAACCAUCGACACUUAAACAUGAUCACGUGGUAUCGAUCUUUGUAAAGCAAUUGAACGACAGUUGUAAGUUUGCCAUAAAAAUCAAUGUUCGUACUUUCGCCUCUACCUGGGACAUGGACACCGCUGUUUUGCGUACACGACUUGUCAUCUCGUGCAGCCCCCAAAAAUUUGACGCCAUUAAUAUAACAACCCGAAAACAAUUCAGCGCGAAUUGGGCCGAACGCCAAGUUAUAUAACUCAUCACUGUAAGUGGGGGAAUUCGAUGAUUUCAACUUAUUCACCUAAUAUAAUACAAAACCAUUCACAUGUUAGUCUGACAAAAUUAAAUACUACAAUUUAUAUUUGUCAAAUACAAAACACUUAUAACUUACAUAAUCCAAAAACCAUUGUGGAAACAAUUCACGGUGUUUCUGGGCAACUAAAUGUGAUGGAUGUUCUCGCGCCAUCGUCUCUUCAUGCUCAUCUAAGUAUGCCAUUAUCUCAUCACAAUUGUUCAGUACGAACCAAUGCGCUACCUCCAUGUCAUUUCUAGAAAACGACUCUCCUCGUCCAGGAUCUCCAAAUGGUCGUGCGCUUUGGGCAAAAACAGAAAGUUUUUCCUUUCUCAUACCUCCGUUGUUAUUGCGCUGAAGACGAUUGAAAGCCGUCUCUACAUCUUUUAAAUACAUUCCACAGAAAGUAAGCGACUCAUAUUGAACCCAUGCCUCUAUAAUUGAUCCUUCGGGCUUCGCCCUGUUGCGUACACUUAACAAGUCUCAAACUUGCAUAGGACUUGGACAAUGUCAUAGCGCAACUGAAACAUGUCUGUCUUUCGCAAUGUUUUUGCCGUCAGUUGGGAAAAAAAUCUGGACAACAACAUGAUUGGCUUCACAACAUCUUUCGGCAAUAGAUGUCGAAUACCCACAGGAAGUAGGCGUUGCAUAAACACAUGGCAAUCAUGGCUCUUCAGUCCAGUAAAUUUACCCCCGUCAACAUUCACGCAACGUGCGAUAUUAGAAGCAUACCCAUCAGGAAACUUUACAGACGAUACAAACUUUAGAAACUCUUUUUUGUCAUUCGGUUUCAUAGAAAAGAAUGCAAGAUCCCUUCUAGCUUUAUCACUGUCCCUGUUCAUCCAUAAACCCCUUCGUAUGCCCAUUCUUUCCAAAUCAAGACAGGCUUUGAUUGUGUCCUUUGUCUUGCCCUCGAUAUCUAGAAUCGUGCCCACCAAUGUGUCAAAUACAUUUUUCUCAACAUGCAUCACAUUUAGAUUGUGCCUCAAUUUGAGUUUCGACCAAUAUGGGAGCUCAAAAAACAUAGGCUUGUGAGUCCAGUUCAUAUGUGUAGAAGGUCUGAUCCGACUAACUGUUUUUCCGAACGGAGCAAAAUCCAAACGGUUAAGCUGUUCCAAGAUCUCAUCACCGGACCAUUCUCUAGGUCUGAGGCGACGCUCUGUGUUCCCGUCGAACUCUUUAUCUUUUUCCCGCCACUCGUGGUCCCAUGGCAACCAUCGCCGAUGACCAAGGUAACAAACUUUUCCCACAUGCCAACCAGAAGUUACAUCUUCCUUGCAUAUAGGACAUGCCAUAUAACCCUUUGUGCUCCACCCAGAAACCAUUGCAUAUGCUGGAAAAUCAUUCACAGUCCACAUAACUGCUGCCCGCAAAGUAAACAUCUUCACAGUUGAUUUAUCGUACGUGCGAACACCGUUUGUCCAUAAAUCCUUCAGCUUAUCAACCAGCGGCCUUAAGUAAACAUCGAUUGACCUCCCAGGAUCCUCAGUUAUCAAAACAGUCAUCAUCAUGUAUUCUUUUUUCAUGCAUUUCCAAGGCGGCAAAUUAUAUGGGAAUACGAAAAUCGGCCAAGUGUUGUGGUGUUGGUGUAGAACCUCAUACGGAUUGAAUCCGUCAGUGGCAAGUCCCAAUCUCACAUUUCGGGGAUCAGCAGCAAACUCAGGGAACGUUCGAUCGAACUCUUUCCAUGCCUCCCCAUUUGCAGGAUGCCGCAUCACAUCAUCGUCUACCCGUUUUUCCUUAUGCCAUCUCAUGUCUGUGGCAGUAUGCGUCGACAUAUACAAUCGCUGCAACCUAGGUUUCAGGGGCAGAUAACGCAUGACUUUUUGUGGGAUCUUAGUCAUUCUAUUCUGAGAUGUCAUUUUGAACCUCGACUCAUUGCAUAUAGGGCAUGUCUCCAACGUUUCAUGCUCCUUGUAGAAUAACAUGCAAUUAUUUUUGCAAGCAUGAAUUUUUUCAUAACCCAAUCCAAGACCAUUCAACACCUUCUGCGCGUGUUUAUGGUCUUUCGGCAAACAAUUGUCCGUCGGAAGCAUUCUCUUGAAAACUCCCAAAAAGUAAUCAAAACACAGGUUCGAGAUACGAUACUUUGUUUUUCCGUGCAUUAGCUCUACAAUGGCCGUGAGAACGGAAAAGCUCUCGCACCCCGAGUAUAGCUCUUGGUUGGUAUUUUUUAACAGUUUUUCAUAUUGUUCAAACUCCGCGCUGUCUAUUGGUGUAGGCACGUCAUCUUCCCUUUCGUGAUUGAUGUUGGUUGAUGCAAAUGGAAAAGCAUCCUGUAUAAUAUCCAUGACUUGAUCAUUAUGAUCCACAAUAGGUUCAACACUGUCCAUUCUUGUGGCAUUUGAAGACGAAGCAUGGUCUAAUUGUUCCCCAUGAAGGUUCCAAAUGCUAUAUGUCUCAAUCAUUCCAUUCCUUACUAAAUGAAAUCCAACAUUUUCAAUUGUCUCCCACAACGUGUUAUUACACCUCCUACAAUGACAUCGGAUUCUAGUUGCACCCGGGUUGUGUCUACGUGCAAACUCAAUAAAAUCCUCGAUCCCAUCCAAGUAUUCGUCUGCACAUCUAUUCGGGUUCUGUAUCCACCUUCUGCUCAUAAUUCCUAAAACCACAAUCACAACAUAACAAUCACAACAACUUCAUACGAAGUUAUAAUGUCACCUUAUGCCUCCGGUAAGGGCCCUAUCCCAUUCGGGAAUGCAUAGUCCUGUCACGUAACCUACGGCUACAUGAGAUUAGAUUUCGACAUGGAUGAAUUUCGACAGCAUCUCGAUACAGUUCUUGAGGUGGGCAUAGGUAUAAAUACCUACGUACCACCCGAAGAACGUACUGAGAUGACACCGAAAUCUCCACAAUCGAAACCUAAUCUUGUAGCCGUAGAUUACGUAACAACACUAUGCAUUACCAAACUGUCCAAAUAGUGGGACAAUUCAAGAAUUAAUUGGACCGCAGUCAUGCUUUACUCAUCCAUGCACGAAAUCCAACUAAUCUCGAACGGGAAACUAAAUGUUACAAAACAUACAAAUAAAAGUACGAAGUUAAUUUCAAUUAACUUCGUACAUCACAACACAUUGUGCUACGUCACGUACAAUUUAAUAACAUAAUAUAAAUAUAACUUCACAAAAAAAUAUACACAUAACAAAUUAACUUUAACAUUUUUAAUAUAUAAAAUGAAUAAAAUACCUUAUCAAUCGUUCUCCACAAAUUGCUAAUUACAAAUAUCCCUAACGAGAACAAAAUUAAUAGCGUUAGUACGAAUUUACAUUAAUACUUAUAAAUUAACGAUAAAAAAAACUUACCCAAUCAACGUACUGAAUGUCCAGCAGAGGCAGCAACAGAGAGGUUGAGAGAGACGCAGAGGCAGAAAGGAAAUCUGUUUCCUUUCUGCCUCUGCAAUGGCAGAAUUCUGAUAUGAAGAAGGACUUUGCGCGACGAAACAUAAAUUUCGUCACGCAAAAUACCGUCACGAAAAACCAUUUUUCCGUCACACAAAACGUGAUUUUCCGUCGCGCAAAAACUUGCCGACAAAAAAACUUUUGCGCGACGCCAUAAAUUUUCGUCGCAAAAACAAUCGUCGCGCAAAUUCUAGAUAUCAUCGCGCAAAAACAAUACUCCGUCUCGUAACAUUACAUUUCGUCGCGCAAGAAUGUACCGACAUCUGCUUUACGCGACGAAAUAUAAUUCGUCGCGUAAACAAAAAUAUCUCCUCCAUUUAUUUUUGCGGCUAACCUUUACGCGACGAAGUUUAAGAUCGUCGCACUAGGUUUUCUUACGCGACGAUUGCUCUCGCCGCGCAAGUGUUUGGCACCAAAAAAAAACUUGGGUGUUUUGUCGCUCUCUUUGCGCGACGAAAGUAUGUGUCUGUCGCACGAAGAGUGUUUGCGCUUCGAAAGUUUUGGUCGCGCAAGUUUUCACUUUUUUGCACGACGCAAAUUUUUUCCCGUCGCUUUAUUGAAUUUUACGCGACGAAUUUUGAUUCGUCGCGCAAAAGCUUGUCGCGCAAAUAGAAAAACGUAGUAGUAAAGUAACUUUCUGAUUUGAAUGAGUAUGACAAUAUAGCAGUUAAAUUUCGCAUUGAAGAAACAAAUGGGAAUCAAUGUAGAUAAUCUCUUGGAGUUAUUUAAGUCAAUGAUAUAUCAAGAUCACAUAAGCAGUCAAGAACCAAUAACAAUUUGAUAAACCCAUGUCAAAACACAGAGAUAUGCACCAACCUAGCUGUGGUUUUCAAACAGAACAGCCUAUAAAGCUUUAGCCCAUGGCCUUAACUAUCUGUCCACUGAACAGCCUAAUAAGCAGACUAAUUCAUCUGAGUUAGCUUACUGUUAAAAUUGUUGAUAUUUAAUGGUUAGGUCCAAGUCAGCUUGUUUAACCUCUCUUUCAAGUCUGUCACGUCACACUGUUUACACUAUUGGGUAGCAGUUAAAAUUAAAAUCAGAAGUACACCCCACCUGUUCGACCAUAAACAUAGUAAGCAAGACUUUGGAACUGCCCCUGGCAAGUAUAUGUUUCGCAGUUAAAACUAUAAAGAGUAUAGAUCAAAGAGAUAAGCAACCAGAUGGGCCAGAAUUACCAUUUUCAUGAAUGAGCAUUCAGUGGUUUUUUAUUAUCUACACCGUGUAGGCAACAGAGGAUUCUAAAAAAAAGUCCAAAAAUAAGAACAUUUAGGCAGAUAUUUCCAAUGGCAUUGACCAAAAGUCCCAAAGGGUUUGCAUAUGACUUCAUAUAAACUGGACACCAGUAAUUAGUGAAAUUCAAUAUUUACAAGAUCUUGCUGAAAACCUUUAGCUAUACUUUCCAUUCUAAAAAACAAGAGGAAGCUGUAUUCAGAUUUCACAUGAUUUUUAUCAAAACGUUGAUGACUAACAAAGCCAUUAUUAUCUUAAUUUCAUAAAUAGAAAUCUUUAAUGCUAACAAGAGCUCAGCAUAUAUAUACCUUGCUUGCUAGAGUAAAUAUGCCCAAAAGGAAAAGAUAUGAAUCUUUCACAAUCAUCAGUUAAAGCUUUCAUUUCAAAAGAAAUCAGUACUCAUUAUAUGCAUGUCUGUAGAGUACUCAAAGCUUAAUCAUAAUAAUGAUUGAAAGUUAUAUGCGUAUGAUGUAGGCUUAAAUGUGGACUGUUACUGAGAACACAAUAUAACAAGAAAAACAGAGUCUUUGACUAGUGCAAAGAGAGAUACAAAGCAACGUCAAGCAAAUAACAGUACAGUAAAUCAAAGCUUAUUUGUGUUUGCUUUGAGAAACAAAGCUUCUUUUUAUUCAACAAGAGGAACGAAAAAUCAAAGUAAUAGUCAAAGCAAAUUUGGGUAGACUAAAGGCUAGUUUGGUAUGGCUAUGUUUUUUUUAAAAAUUGCUUCUGCUAUGCUGCGAGAAUAAAAAGCUGUGAAAAAAAACAGCUAGACGUUUGGCAAAUUGUAUUAGAAAAAGUGCUGUGAAGAAUCAAAGUGUUUGGUAAAUUUUUAUUAGAAGUGCUUUUAAUAUGUAUAUUGACCAAAAAGGAUAUCAUGAUGAAAUUGUUACUUAUUUUGCCACAAAUUCUAAAUUUUUAAAGUAACAAAAUUAGUUCCAAUUCCAAAUAUUGUUACCAAAAAUAUAAAAAUAUAAACAAAAUUAAAUUAAGAAAGUAACCUGAAAAAAUCCCUUCCCACACCGUACCCACCUGCAUCUCUCUCUCACUCUCUCUCUCUCUCACUCUCUCUCCAUUGCCCCAAAACACCAAGAGAAGAAACCCAGAUCAAGAAUUUUGAAACUCAACCCAAACCGAGAUAAAAACUGUGUUGUCAUCAAAGAAAACAAGGAAAUCAAAUCCAAAUGAAAAUUUUGUUUUCCUGUGGUUUUGAUUUGAGUUUCAACUUUCCCUUGAUUUUGGUUUCCAAGAGAAGGUCAACGAAUUGUUGGUGGAUUCAAGAUUCAGUUUUUUGUGAAAAUCGUUGAUCAAGGAGGGUAGAUGCAGUGAAUGAUUGAAUCUGUGUUGCUAUCGAUUUUGGUCCUCCACAAUUCGCAUACCGAUGUUUGAAGAUAUAUUUGGGGUUUGGAUCUUUUGUGGUUGGAGUGGAGAUCAUUGACUGCGGAGCUAGGGUUGAGGUUUUUUUUAAGCUGUGGUUUGGAUUUUUGUGGCUGGAGUGGAGAUAACAGCAUGGAGAGCUAGGGGCUAGGUUUUUUUUUUUUUUUUUUGGUAUGAAUCGAGUUGCAGACAGAAGUCGAUUUGCAAGAGAGGAGAAGAAGAAUCGAGUUGCAAGAGGGAUAAAAGCUGUCAAUUUAGAAAAUUAAUAGGUGUAUUAUGGGAAACGUGAAAAUUCAUUUAAAAGAACCGGCUGUUUUUUUUCAAAGCAACUUUAAGAAGCAGCGUGUUGGCUGCUUCGAGAUUCUGCUGUGGAUCACCGCAGUUUUUAAAAUAAGCAGCCUUCAAUUGUUUUACCAAACGCUUUUGUUUCCAGAACUUUUUUUAUAAGCUGCUUAUUUAUUAAGCGCAGCAAUCCCAAAUGCCACCUGAACAUUAAAGUUAAUUUUUGUUUUCUUUUAGAAACUGACAUAGUCCAAACCAUCAAGACCCCAGCCCAUGUAAAGUGGGUGAUACCAAUUGCAUCUCAAGCAGCAAUAUAACUGUUGUCUCUCGUGUCAAAUGUGAAUUUGCAAACGCUGGGGGGGGGGGGGGGGGGGGGGGGGGNNNNNNNNNNNNNNNNNNNNNNNNNNNNNNNNNNNNNNNNNNNNNNNNNNNNNNNNNNNNNNNNNNNNNNNNNNNNNNNNNNNNNNNNNNNNNNNNNNNNUGGGGGGGGGGGGCGGGAAGAGAGAGAGAGAGAGAGAUACAGACACAGCUUCAACUAACUGCUUAGCUCUAAUACGUUUCAAUUAUAUACAUAAAACCCCAGAACAACUAAUAUGGCCCCAUCAAAAAUUUAUUCAUCUAUGAAUUCAGCUCAAGUUUUAUGGUCCUUGAAACAAGAACUCAACACCACAAAUUGAGAACUAUUAUGCAAUAUAAACAAAGCUCAUGCUCCCAUUUUCCAGAGCACAAUUCUUAUAUGUUAAUUCAACCCCACGGAAAUCACAUGCAUCAUCUCAAAAUGUAGAUUAAUAAGAAUUGAUAAAGCACUCUGAUUGAGCGUCCUCUAAUCUGUACUACUAGCUACUGCCAAAAUAACAUAAUGCAUAAAAUUUAGAAUCUCAUUCUCUUUUCAUUACCACAGCUUUCUCAGCUAGCAAACAGAAAAAUCGUACAUUCAAAACUAAGAAAGAGAAACAAAAAUAAAGCACAAUAAACAAAAAAAUCUGUGAACUUACUCUCAUUUUUCUCUCCACCAGAUGUAGAACAAACCCAAGAAAUUAAUGUCAGAGGACAAUCUUUUGGGGCAAAUUCAAGUGCUGCAACCAAACCCACCACAAAAAUAUCACAACCCCAAAAGCUCCUCCACGAAAUCCCCAACGACUCACCAAGACAAAAAUUAUUUUAGAGAGCGAGGGAGCUGUAGAGAGAGAAGGGAAGAGUUCCUAGAGGGGUUUAUCAACCAUUGACGGACGCUACCCGACUAGAAAGACUCUACUAAAAUUUGAAGUUUUCUCAUGCAUCAUCAUGGCAAACUAUAUUAAGAAUAUACAGACAAUAGGAACAGGAAUAUGCCUUUUUUCUUUCACAUAUCUUUUUCUUUCACUAACUCUGGUUUUAAAAGCUUACAAAGUAGCCCCAAAAAUCAAACUUGAAAACUUAGAAAUUAACCCAAACUAAUUACACUAACAGCUAUAGCGUGAAGAGGAUAUGGAUAUCCAUACCUCACUCGAACCUUUCGAAGGUCGCCGCGGCUCAGGGAGGAGCAGGGGUGGCAGGGCUUUAGCCCUGACAGAAACGCCAGCCUUGAUCAGAGCUUCUGUGAGAGAAAGAGGCAGUGAUGGAGGAGAGAGAAGAAAGAGAGAGUUUGAGAGGGACUGGAAAAAAAAUGUGAGGGAGAGGGGACUGAAAAAAUUGAGAGGGAGAUGAAAUCUAGGGAGAGAGUUUGAGAGGGAGAGCGUGAAAACUUUUAAACUAGCGUUGACUACCCUUUAGGCACAGGUGGCUUUUAAAAAAAAAUAAGGUCCCUCUUAAAAAAAAAAAAAUAGGCAAAUCACUUUAGGCAUCUAUGAUUAUGAGAGAUGAUGCUAUAAGAAUCAAAGGCAUCGUCAUAAAAAAAAUCAAAAAUUCAUACUAAUGUCUUUGUACCUGUUUAAUUUCGUUAUUUAUAAAAUCAAUGUCUAAUGUACUAAUAGCAUCGAUUUUCCGUUUUAUUGAUGCCUAUGUAGUGUUGCUGACAGUGAAAUUUGGCAUAAUGACUUUGGCUGCGAAAAGCUGGGAGUUGCAUAUUUUGUAGAGGUUUCUACAAGGGGGGGAAACCGUUGGCCAGGGCAUGCCGUACUUAGCAUGCUUGCAGGCUUGGACUGCAUUUGGGAUAGUUCGGUUGCAGAAGAAUUGGUUGUGGGUGCAGAGGCCUUGUUUGGCCACGGCGGAUGAAGAAACUACAACUGUUGUUAUUUGGCCGAGUUGUAAGUCAUAAUGGGGCCAUAGCAUUGUGAAAGCUUGGUUAGAGAGAGAUGUGGUUUGUUUCCUGUUGACAUGAGUCUCCUAAUUAAUCAAGGAGAUUUACUUCCUUGAUUAAUUAAGGGAUUUACUUUCCUAUUUUUUAUAGUUGAUAAAUCAUUGUAUAAUUAAGAGAUACUUUCCUAAUUCUUUACUAUAUCUAAUUCCUUGUAUAACACCCUGUAAACUCUAAACACAAUUUUUUUACUGAGAAGAAUAAAGUUAACCUAAUACAUUCAAACCAUAUUCAUAUUUUAGCAUGGUAUCAGAGCAAUCAAUCCUCGAUUGUCUCUAAAUUCUCAUAUCAAAUUUUUUCUUCAAACACACAUCCUAAAUCCUCAUAUCAAAUUUGUUAAUGUAUGCAUUUUGGGUUUUUCUUUUGCUUCCCUUGACAACUUUGUAAUAGGAUUUCUAUUGUUAUUUAUCAAGCUCAAGUUUAGAUUGAGAAUAGCUUCUCUAGGUGUUCUUAACUAACAACUAUCAUAUGGAGGUUCAUGCAAAUUGGCAAAGGUAAAUUGUGCAUUGCAUAACAAUGCAUUAUACUGUUUUCAUAAAAUGAUGACUAGUCAUCUGUUUCUUGGAUGACUAGUCAUCCUUGCUCUCCAGCUUGAUAACCAACUUUUUUGUCCUAUUCUUUUUUCUCUCUUGGCUGCCACAUGGGAUUCUGAUCUAAGGGAAUUUUUGGUCUGUAAAGGCCUUGCGAUUCCUCUUUGGGAAGCCGUCACUUUUGGGGACAAGUUUUGGAAAGUUUCAUAGCAACCUUCCUCAAGAGUAACCUUCAUAUUUUUCAUCUUUGAGUUUUCCAAAUUGUUUCUUUUUGAAAACUGCAUUUGAAAUAUGAAAACUUCAUCUUGCUAGAUCAAACACUCUAUCAUAUACAUCUAGGUCAGAUUCAAGAUUGAUUUCUUCAAGAGUAUGGUUUCUUGAAGAAAUUGGUCAUUUUCUCCAUGAAUCCAAAUUUCAUUUUUGUCUGAGUUAGAGCUUGCAAGCUAGUGCCAUGGGAUGAAAGAGCUGGAGAAGGAGCUGUCAUUGCCAUGAAGAACUGAGAUUCAAGCUUUGCUAAGUUGGAGAAGAAGAUUGCACAAAGGAGGUAUAGCUCAUCUUCCUAAAUAGACCUAGGAAUUUCUUGAGCUUGCUAGUGUUCUUUGUAAGAAUCAUUUUGCUUAGUGGAUUGCCUAGUCGGUUGAUGACCCCCAAUUUUUCCCAAUGGUGGGUUUCUGGGUAAACAAUUUCUGGUUUCCAUCUCUGUAAAUUUUCUGGGUUUGUGUUCUUGAUAGUUGACUAGUCAUCUGAAUUUGUGCGGUUGACUAGUCAUCUUUUUCUGCUGUUUGGUGUUUGUUUGAUUAUGUUGUCUUCACACACUUUCACCAUAGUUGUUGCUAGCACAGGGGAUGCCUAGAUUGAUGGGUCCUUCUGAGUGCCUAGGUUGUCACUAGUAAUUCUCUAGGCCUGCAGGUACAUCUUGGUAUGCUCUGUUUAUGUUAUUGUUUGGUAUAAUUCAUAUCUAACAGUUGACUAGUCAUAAGAGUAUUUGGUCAAGAUCUAGAGUGUGUGAAGGUUGUUGUGUUCUUGAUUGAAUAUCUUUUAAAUUUACCCCUCGUCACCUAAGUACCAAUUUCAAAAUUUCUUCACACCCAAACCCUAAAUCAAAUUCCUCAUAUUUCCAGCUUCAGAUUCAAAUCUUCAUACCCGAAUCCUCAUAUCCUCUUAUCACCAAACCCUAAACACAUCUUUUUCCUCUUCUCUUAAAUCCUUCCGCUGCCAUGAAUAUCGUCUCAUAUUCCCAAACCACUGCCUCCACUUCGCCAUCCUCUAAAUUGCCACAACAGGUUCUCACGGUUAUGUUUUGCAUAGUUCUUCAAAGAAACACAUUUGAGUCAUUGACACUAGAGCCACUGAUCACAUGACCUUUGAUCCUGGACAAAUUACCUCUCAUACACCGUCUUCUCAACCGGUGGUGUUUAAUGCCAAUGGUACCCCCUCCCCAGUAAUUGGGGAGGGUUCCCUCUCUCUCUGUGACUCCCUCACUUUGGAUUCUGUAUUGAUUGUUCCAUCCUUACAUCAUAAUCUCUUAUGUGUUGCCCAAAUUACUACGGCUUUGAAUUGCACUGUAACCUUUUGCCCUACUCAUUGUGUUUUUUAGGACAUUCUCAACAACAAGACGAUUGGUUGUGGUACUAGGAGGGGCAAACUCUACUAUCUGGACUUGGCAUCUAACAGUGAAGCCAGCCUCAGUCACGCUUACAAAAUUGGGGGUACGAGUGUUGAGAAGCAAACUUCCGAAGUAUGGUUAUGGCAUUGCCAUCUUGGACAUGCUUCGUUUGGAUAUUUACAUAAGCUAUUUCCUUCCUUAUUUUCCCAAUUAGAUAUUUCCAGUUUUACGUGUGACAUCUGUGAAAUAGCCAAGAGCCAUUGGGUUCCUCUUCCCUUAAGUUCACAUAAAAGUUUGGUUCCUUUUUCUCUUGUUCAUUCUGAUGUUUGGGGCUCGGCUAAAAUUACCACUCUAGGGGGAGCUAGAUGGUUUGUCACGUUUAUCGAUGAUUACACACGUAUGAGCUGGGUUUCCCUUCUCCAAGCAAAAAGGGAAGUCAGUUCUAAGUUUCAAUAGUUCUAUCACAUGGUGGAGACCCAAUUUCAUACUAGAAUUCAAGUUCUUUGGUCUGACAAGGGAGGAGAAUUUCUCAACCAUGAUCUUAAUCAGUUCUUACCAGAUCAUGGCAUCAUACAUCAAAGCUCAUGCCUUUACACUCCCCAACAGAAUGGUAUGGCUGAAAGAAAGACACUUAUUGGAAGAGGUUCGUGCCUCUCUCUUUGGUGCCAAUAUGCCUCUGUCCUUUUCGGGAGAAGCCGUCCUCUCUGCAGCAUAUCUUAUCAAUCGGACUCCCUCCAGUAUCCUUAAUUUGCAAACCCCCUUCAAACACUCUACCACCAUAUCCAAAUACCUCAUACCAAAAACCUAGAACCACAGAUUUUUGGCUGUGUGGUCUUUGUCCACUUAAAUGAUCACCAACGCAGCAAAUUGGAUACUCGCGCCGAAAAGUGUGUUUUUAUUUUGUUACGCACCUCAUCAGAAAGGUUACCGGUGUUAUCAUCCUCCUAGUCAAAAGGUCUAUACUUCUAUGGAUGUUGUGUUCCGAGAACACGACAUAUAUUUUUCAGCCGUACAAGAGGAGCAUCGUGAUGCCAACACUUCUCAAAUUUCAAGACUGUUUCCUUCAGAAUUGUCAUAGACUGAAAAUGACCGGUCGCAGAAUACAAGUGACCGGUCGUCGGAGACUCUGCUUGAAAAAGACCGAUCGCCUCAUGAAAAUCUGAAUCUACUUCAAAACGACCAGUCGUCAGAGUACCACGAUCGGUCGUCUCCCUGCUGUCAAACUAAGGAGGAGAACAUUGAGUAGUUUUUGCCCGCUCAGUAAUUCUUCAGCUCCAGUACCACACUAAUCACCUGCUGAGGAUGUCAUUCAUGUAACAUCUUUUUCAAAAACUUAUAACAUUAAUGAAAUAUCCCGUGAUGAUUUAAUUUCAUAAGGCACAGAGCCUGCAUAUCAGAUUCCAAAACGGAAGAACUAUGGAAAACCUCCAGUUCACUACGAAGCAGACCUUAAUGCAAAAGGGAAAUAUCCUAUCAACGAUUAUGUAUCCCAACAACAAGGAGAAUCAAGUUUGCAAGCUUAGAAAGUCAUUGUAUAUGUUAAAGCAAUCCCCUAGAGCAUGGUUUGGCAGAUUCACUAAAUCCAUGAAGAAUUUUGGAUAUAUAUAGAGUAAUGCAUAUCACACCUUGUUCUUGAAGCGUGAUGUAAGAAGACUUAAUGCAUUGAUUGUUUAUGUGGAUGACAUAGUCGUAACUGAAAACGACACAGAAGAGCAAUUGAAACUGCAAAAAUAUUUGUCUCAGGAAUUUGAGAUGAAGGAUCUAGGAGAUCUGAAGUACAUUCUAGGAAUUGAAGUAGCCAGGUCCACAACUGGUAUAUUUCUGUCUCAAAGGAAGUAUGUAUUAGAUCUGCUCACUGAAACAAGAAUGCUUGGAUGGAAACCUGCUGAUACAACCAUCGAGAUGAAUUACAAGUUAUGUGAAGACAUGGAUCAAGAACCAACCAAUAAGGAACAGUACCAACGCCUUGUUGGAAGGUUGAUAUAUUUAGCUGUCACAAGACCAAAUAUUGCAUAUGCUGUGAGUGCGGUUAGUCAGUUUAUGCAUUCACCCAGUGUGUCCCAUAGGAAUGCAGUUGAUCGAACCUUAAGAUACUUAAAGUCAGCACCUAGGAAAAGGUUAACGUUCUCAAAAAAUAGAGAUUUCGAAGUUGUUGGAUAUACAGAUGCUGAUUGGGCUGGCUCCAUUACUAACAGACGCUCUACUUCAGGUUACUUCACUUUUAUGGGAGGUAACCUAGUCACUUGGCGGAGUAAGAAACAAAAUGUGAUUUCUCGAUCUAGUGCUGAAGUAGAGUAUCGAAGAAUGGCUCACGGAGUUUGUGAAUUACUAAGGAUCAAAAGACUAUUGACAGAAUUGGUGUUCAAGCCAGAAAAUCCAAUGGAGUUACAAUGUGAUUACAAGUCAGCCAUCGAUAUUGCCCAUAAUCUAGUUCAACAUGAUCAAACUAAACAUGUUUAGGUGGAUAGACAUUUUAUCAAAGAAAAAUAUGAGAAGAAAAUCAUCCGCCUAUCAUACGUAAAAUCAGAAGAUCAGUUGGCAGAUAUCUUAACCAACGCUGUUUGUGGAAGAGUAUUUUAUGACUCACUUACCAAGUUGGGCAUUGGUGACAUAUAUGCACCAACUUAAGGAGGAGUGUUGACGUGAAUCUCCUAAUGAAUGAAAGAGAUUUACUUCCUUGAUUAAUUAAGGGAUUUAAUUUCUUAUUUCUUAUAUAGUUGAUAAGUCAUUGUAUAACUAGGAGAUACUUUUCUAAUUCUUUACUGUAUCUAAUUCCUUGUAUAGCACCCUGUAAACUCUUAUAUAUACCUCCUUAUGGAGAAGAAUAAAGUUAACCUAAUACAUUCAAACCAUAUUCAUAUUUUAGCAUUUCCAAGCUCUAGAAGAUUGCCAAUGAAAGGAAAUGGGUUUGGUCCAGGUGGAAGGCUUGUGGGAUUUGAUGAUCUUCUUGCAAAGGAAUAAAAGAGGGCAUGGAUUGAAACUCAAGAAAUCCAUAAGACACAAUAGUAUGAAACUCAAGAAAUCCAUCUCUCUCUCUCUCUCUCUCUCUCUCUCUCUCUCUCUCAGUUUCUUUUCUCCCAACUCAUCUAAUUUUCUGUUACAUAUUAUGCAUUAUAUAUAUGUGUGUAAGGGUGGGCAUCAAAACCGGAAUACCCAAACCAUCCCAAAACCGUUCCAAUCUCGUGCCGUCCUGUUUGGUGUUGACGUGUAAACGGGAUGAUAUUGUUGGCGUGACUUGUGGAUAUUGACUUACUUUCCUUACACACCAAGAAUUCCUAUUAUAAUUGUAAUUGAUUUACUUUAAUUCCUGAUUUCCUACUGUAAAUAGAUUUAAGAAUUUAUUAUUUACUUGCCCAUUCAGGUUUCGUUGUAUUAUAAAUAUAACCUCCUACAAGGAGAAGAAUACACAGAAAAUUCCCACAAACAAAUAUUCUCUCAUAGUUUUCAUAUUUUAGCAUGGUAUCAGAGCCAGGUUCUUGGAAUUGCUGACUCUAGUUUCAAACCCCCGCCGCCGCUAUGGGGGUUGAUGAUUUUUUCAAACCUUAUGGAGGUAGUACCACCGACUCCUUCUCUCAUUCUCAACCAACCAUCGUUGAGUUGAAUGCCCAGAUGGCUCCGCCCAUACAGAUGCAGACUUUGACCCUGAACCCGAUCUAGAAUCAGGAUCCUCUUUUGACGACCCCGACCCCGACCCCGACCCCGACUAUGACUACGACGACGAAGACCCCGACCCCGACUACGAAGACGACCCCGACCCCCACUCCGAUGAUGACCCCAAUCCCGAAUUUGUCUCUGAUUCAGACCCCGAUCCCAAUUUCGACUCCGACUCCGGCCCCGACUCAGGCUCAGAUUCCGAUCCAAAUUCCUACUCAACCUGUAUCCUAUGCAUCUUCCGCUGCACAGAUUAUGACUUCUAGACUAACGACCCAGACACAUGGACCAAAUUGCGCAUAUUGUGGUGAUCCGAGACACACUUGUGAGACUUGUUUUAAAUCGCAUGGCUACCCCGAUUGGUGGGCUACUCUUACAGAUCGAGGACAAUGCAAUAUGACCAGUAAUGGUACUAGUUAUGGAUUCCAUACUUCCGAUAAGAUUGAUUCCAAGAGCUGGAUAAUUGAUUCUGAUGCAACUGAUCAUAUGACGUUUGACCCUGAUGAUUUUCUGAAUACUACACAACCUCGACGAACCUGUAUUGCAAAUGCCAAUGGUGUUACUUAUCCUGUGAUAGGGGCUAGCACUGUUGCACUCUCAUCCUCUCUCACCAUGUCUAAUACUUUACUUGUUCCAUCUUUAUCCACUAAAUUGUUGUCAGUUAGUCAGCUUACUGAAUAAUUGAAUUGUUGUGUACUCAUUUACCCGAGUUUUUGUUUGCUUCAGGAUAUUCACACUAAGGAGAUUCUUGGUCGUGGUACUAAGAGAGGGGGGCUAUAUUAUGUCGAUGACUUCAGUCCCGGCGUGGCUAACAGUGUGACACAUCCCUUUGAUAGCAAACAAAAGCAAAUCUGGUUGUGGCAUCGUCGAUUGGGACAUCCAUCUUUUAGUUAUAUGAAGCAUCUUAUACCAGAUUUAUUCUCAGGUUUCAAAGACUCCGAUACUUGUAUUUUGGCCAAGAGUCACCGUGUGCCGUACCCGUUGAAUACGAACAAGUGUACUACUCCAUUUACGUUAAUUCACUCUGAUGUCUGGGGACCUUCGCCUAUCACUGCUCCUUCUGGUGUUUGAUGGUUUGUCACAUUCAUCGAUGAUUGUACACGAAUGACAUAGCUUUAUUUGCUGAAGAAUAAAAAUGAAGUGUUUUCCCGUUUUCAGUCCUUCCACAAACAGAUGAAAACUCAGUUUAAUGCUCAAAUCCAGAUUCUUCGCUCAGACAAUGGUGGAGAAUUUGUCAAUCAUGACUUUCAGACUUACUUUCAACAACAUGGAAUUAUCCAUGAGACGACUUGUUCUCAGACACCACAACAAAAUGGUGUUGCUGAAUGAAAGAAUCGACAUCUUCUUGAAACCGCCUGAGCACUUUUGAUUGGCGCUCAUGUUCCUCGCCAUCACUGGGAUGAUGCUAUUGUCACUGCAGUUCACCUAAUCAACCGCAUGCCUUCUGGUGUAUUGACCUUUAAAACUCCCUUAUAGGUGCUUGCACAACACAGACCUCUGCCCUCUGUUUUGGUACUCACACCCCGAAUCUUUGGAUGUGUGGCUUUCGUUCAUCUCCACAAAAAUCAACGUAGCAAACUUGAUCCCUGUGCGCUUCGUUGUGUUUUUGUGAGUUAUGCCACUCAUCAGAAAGGUUACCGUUGUUAUUACCCUCCUACCCAAUGAACCUAUGUCACUUUGGAUGUGACCUUUUUGGAAUAUGAACUGUUCUUUCAUAACCCAUCAUCCAAUUCUGCUCUUCACGGGGAGAUACGAAGUGAAGAGCAGAAUUGGAGCAACUUGGAAAACAAAGAAAUUCUUCUAUGUACAGAAAUGAUUGAUCAUCCCGAGUCUGGAGCACGAGAUUACUCUCUGUUAAAAAGCGACCAAUCGCCCAUUCAUAGCGAUCAAUUGCCUGACCCACCUGAUCCAUGUGAAGAUAUUUUUGAUCCAAGUCUCACACCUACAGACAAUACAGAACAACAAGAUGAAGACCCCCUUCUAACUUAACAGUACCAACAGACCAAUCUCCUGAGAAUAUCCUUGAGGUAACUACUCCUACUAGACUUGUCCAUUUAGAUGAUAAAACUCUUGGAUAUCAAUUACCUUUCAGGCAAAAUCGUGGGAAGCCACCAAACCGUUAUUCACCUGAUAUUGGCAAGACAUCCAAGUGUCCAAUUGCAAAUCAUGUAUCCACUGAGAAGCUGUCUGAACCACUCAAGGCUUUUGUGCAUCAGUUGUCUGCUAUCCAUAUUCCAACCAAGGUUUCUGAAGCAUUGAAAGAUCCUAAGUGGGUCCAAGCUAUAAAAGAGGAGAUGAAAGCUCUUGAGAAAAAUCAGACUUGGACAUUGGCGACUAUACCACGAGGAAAAAAGACUAUCGAUGUAGAUGGGUGUUUACUAUAAAACACAAUACAGAUGGAUCUAUCGAGCGAUACAAGGCAAGACUUGUGGCAAAAGGGUACACACAGACCUAUGGUAUAGACUAUGAAGAAACUUUUGCACCAGUUGCAAAGUUAAACACCGUCAGAGUCUUAUUGUCCCUUGCAGCUAAUUUGGAUUGGCCACUACACCAGUUUGAUGUAAAGAAUGCUUUUCUACAUGGCGAACUCACGGAGGAGGUGUACAUGGACAUUCCUCCUGGAUAUAAUACUACUCAGACUGGAACAGUUUGCAGGUUACGAAAAGCAUUGUAUGGAUUGAAACAGUCACCACGUGCAUGGUUUGAACGGUUCACCAUGGCAAUGAAGAACAAUGGUUUCAAACAAUGCAACUCAGGUCAUACUCUAUUCUUGAAACAUCGAAAAGGGAAGGUAACAGCAUUAAUAAUCUAUGUUGAUGAUAUGAUUAUUACUGGGAAUGAUAAACAGGAAAUAUCACAGCUACAAGACUAUCUGGCUACGGAGUUUGAGAUGAAGGAUCUAGGUGGACUCAAGUAUUUCUUGGGAAUUGAGGUGGCUCGAUCGCAGCAAGGCAUAUUUCUCUCUCAAAGGAAAUAUGUCUUGGACUUGUUGACAGACACAGGAAUGCUAGAUUGUAAACCUGCGGACACUCCUAUUGUUCAGAAUCAUCAUCUUGGAGAAUAUCUGGAUCAAGUUCCAACUAACAAAGAAAGAUACCAAAGGCUAGUGGGAAGAUUGAUCUAUUUGUCACAUACUUGACCAGACAUUGCUUAUGCGGUGAGCGUUGUCAGUCAAUUUAUGCACUCUCCAAGUGAAGACCACAUGAAUGCAGUUCUUCGGAUACUUAGAUAUUUGAAGUCUGCACCUGAAAAAGGACUUAUGUUCUCAAAGCAUGGUCAUCUAAAUAUUGAUGGUUAUUCAGAUGCAGAUUGGGCAGGUAAUGUAACAGAUAGAAAAUCCACAUCGGGUUACUUCACAUUCGUGGGAGGUAAUUUGGUGACAUGGAGGAGCAAGAAACGGAAUGUAGUAGCUUUAUCCAGUGCAGAAGCCGAGUUCAGAGGCAUGACUAAAGGGAUUUGUGAACUUCUUUGGUUAAGAAAGUUGCUUAUUGAACUCGGGUAUAAACCUACAUCCACAAUGAAUCUCUUUUGUGACAACAAGGCUGCUAUAGCCAUUGCACAGAAUCCGGUUCAACAUGAUCGUACUAAACAUGUUGAGGUGGAUCGACACUUCAUCAAACAGAAGCUUGAGGCUAAAGUGUUUCAGUUUCCUUUUGUGAAAUCCGAGGAUCAAUUGACAGAUAUUUUGACAAAGGCGAUUUCCAGUAAAGCAUUCCACAAUUCACUGGAUCAGCUGGGCAUUGGCGACAUCUAUGCACCAACGUGAGGGGGAGUGUUGGCGUGACUUGUGGAUAUUGACUUACUUUCUUUACACACCAAGAAUUCCUAUUAUAAUUGUAAUUGAUUUACUUUAAUUCCUGAUUUCCUGCUGUAAAUAGAUUUAGGAAUUUAUUAUUUACUUGCCUAUUCAAGUUUCGUUGUAUUAUAAAUAUGACCUCCUACAAGGAGAAGAAUACACAGAAAAUUCCCACAAACAAAUAUUCUCUCAUAGUUUUCAUAUUUUAGCAGACAUCGUGUCAUCCUGUUACUGUUUGGCACGACAUUGGUUUCACAUUUGUGAUCCCGAUUGGUGUCAUACCGUACCAAACAGUACAUUUGUUUUAUUAAUCCUAAUUUAAUUUCAGCCUACUCUCCUCCACAGAUUUCUUCGACUCCUCUCUCUCUUUGUUUCUCUGCGUCCCUUCCUCUAUCUAAUUCUAAUUCUUCUCUUCUCUUCUCUCCUCCUUUCUCAAUCUUUCUUGAUAGAAAUGAGGUCUUUUUGUUCUCUUUUCCUUUGAUGGGUUUUUGAAAGAAAAAAAGGUUUGUUCUCUUUUUGUUCUCUUUUCCUUUGAUACGCAUCCUUCCUGUUACAGUUGGAUCCUUUAUCCUGGAUUAAAUUGAUUGUCUUCAUCUAAUGAUAUAUUGCAAAUAUCUGGAGACUUUCUUUUAUGAAAUUUAGGUAGGUAUUGGAGGUUUCCUGUGCAGCUGCCAAAUUUCACUUCUUUGGUUUCUGGAUUUGGACUUUACGUUUUCAAUGACAUUUUACACGCAUUAGCAUUUUGGGGUUAUCUAGAAGUCGAGUUUUCUGGAUAUGAGAAGUAAUGGUAGUUGGGUUUUCUCUUUUAAUUGAAAAGAACACUACUUUAUUACAGGUUUAGGUGUUUGGUUAAGUUUAGAUCUUUAACAAUAUCAGUGGGACUCUUGCUCCUUUUAAUCCAUCACUGCCAGUGUUUGGUUAUGAAAUUUUGCAGAUUGUUUACGGUAUCAGCAUUGAUAUCGAAUUAUAUCGAUCUCGUUUAGGUUUGGUAUAGUUUGAACGUGUUUUCAAAAACAACCAUCAUGUCUCAUCCCAUUUCGAUUCCCCUAUUCAAGAUUGACACCGAAAUAACCUCUAUUCUGUGUCAUCUCGUAUCGUGGCCAGCCCUAUAUGUGUAUAUCUUUUAGGAGACAUAUAGGGAAAGUCAACUAUUUAUAUCUUUUAGGAGACAAAUAUGAAUAGCCACUUGGCGUGACAUCAGGAAUUUGACGGUAUAUCUACUAGUUUAUUGGUAUAGUUCAUGGCCGUGAAUUAUUGAUAAAGGAAAAAGACAAGGAAAAAUGUAUAAAGUAAUUUCUUUUUGUUGUAAAAUAACUGGGAUAUGUGCGAAUAUUGAGCUGCACGUAAAGUAGAUGAGACACAGUAUUUAAAGAGGUUCGGCUAUGCCUACGUCCCCGGAGAGCAGCAGUAGUAACUUUUCCACUAUGUAAUAUAAUAGGGCUACAACUUUAGUGUUUACAAUAUGUAUGGCUCACUCAAUUUUCUCUCUUGGAGAAUUUCUCUCUUGCUCUCUUUCCUCUCAACUCACUCACCCUCUUUCUUCCUUCUCUUCCUCUUCUCUCAUUUCAUCUUCUCAUUACAAGCAAAUAUAAUGCCUAUUUAUAGGCAAAGCAAAUGGCUUGGUUUGGUGGGUGUGUGAUUUGGUUUGGUAGGUGUGUGGUUUGGUUUGGUAGGUGUGUGGUUUGAUUUGGUGGGUGUGUGGUUUGAAUGUUAGAGCAUGUGGGCUUCACCCAUUCUUCUUUACAACACUCCCCCUUGGAGACCACAUGUCCCUAGAUUGGUUGCCUCAUUAAAACCUUGCUUGGAGAAAAACCCAGUGAGGUAGAAAACUGAUGGAAGGAAGAAAAAAGAGUACAGCAAUCUGUAUAGCAUACUUCUGGAUGCUCCCCCUGAUUAAUAUCUCCCCCUGAUGUCUUCAUGACUAUCUUUUGGAGUGAGAAUCUUUCGGAGUGAGUGGAGGAUAUAGCCAUUAAUAAUUCUUGUAGUUGAGUAAAUAAAUAUAUUUCCAGUGAGCUAUCUCUAUGUAAAUCAUAGAAAUUUUCAGAGUCCGCGUUUCUAACAAAACUUGGGCUAUUUGUAAGUUCACUUGAAAGAAUAUGCCCGUACAUGGUGUUAUGCGGAGAUAGCAUCAAAUAUACCUCACAUCAUCCCAAAAUGAUGGUGAUGGAGUUGAGCCCUAUCUGGAAAAUAUGAUGUCCGGUCCAAUAUACUUCCGGAAAAUCAUUAAAAUGUCCAACGGAUAAUCCUCAUAAAAAUGCUUCAAUACUUUCUUAGUAUAAGCAAGAAUCUCGUUGGCAUAAUGCUCGAUCCUUAAGUCGAGACAAAUAUUUCUUGAACUCUUCAGAAGCUUUAAUGUGUUGCAAACACAUUAUAAUCCAUGUACUCACUGAGACAAUUUAUGCACAUUAGUAUUGAGUACAGAUUUUGUGCUUCAGGCACAUGUCCUUCAGGGACUUGCUUCAUGCAAUUUCAAUCCUUUCAAGGAUUUUGUUUAAAGGGAUUAAACUUUAUGACACAUUAUAUAGCUUUAAUCCAGCUAUUUAUACAUCUUUAGGGAAUCGCUUCUGGCAAUAUGCUCUGUGCAUUUAAUACCCCUUAAAGAUAAUAUGUUGGUCUCCGUAAAUGUGUAAUAAAGGGGCACAAUUGAAUCUAUAAAUAUGGAGAAAAUCCAACGUUCCUUAUUUAUGCCAAAAAUAUUGUGUCAUACAAAGUAGGUAUAUUCCCUUCUAUUCCGAACACCCAAGUAUAACUUUCAGUAUUAACAUCUUUUGGGGUUCGUAAUGUGGGUUUGUUCUUUCACGUUCAUUCUCAUCUAUAAUGGAAUUACCUCAUUCCAUUUUGGCCAAUGAUAUUGUCGACAUUUAAUAAUUGAACGUGGUUCCAAUUAACGCAGCCCAUUGAUGAUUUGAGUAGCUACUCUAAAACCAAAAAUUGUCAUUCAUCAAUUCAUGAUCUCACCAUUCUCAUUUGCAUGCGCAUGCAUCAAUUAUAAGCAUUUCUUUGCUUUUGGGUACCCAAGCCACUUCAUGGGGCUUUUAUUAUGUGAGAAUGUGGAUUAUAACCUCCAAUGGAACGUUAUUUUACAGUAGGGCGUGGAUAAUCUCUAUUUAGGGAGUUGGAACAUUUAGAACCCAUAUAUCUGUCAUGCUGCAGGCAUGCCACAGAUUAAUACAUACAUGUCAAUUAAUUUCUGGGACUUUAACCCAUACUAUUUGCUACGCAUUAGGCGUGCACAAUAUCAAUAUUGACAUGUCAAAGGAUUGUCCUUUCGGGACUUCAAUCAACAUCAUUUGCUACGCAACAGGCGUGCAUCAUAUUGAUCACUGCUAUACCCAUGUUCUGUUCUUAUGGGACUUUAAUCUGUGCAAUGUAUUAUCAAUGUAUCCAACUUGCAAUCUGUAAAAUUUGCAUUAAUAAUUCAUGGAUACAUACAAGCCAUUCUUUUAGAACAGACUUAUCUCCCCAUUUGGUUACCUUUCAAGAUAAAAUAUCAAAUAAGUAUAUAAGCAUAUAAUAACACAAAUAUUGCUUACAUCCUUAGGUGGGAGAAACUUUUCUUAAGUAUCAUUCAAGCUCGUAUCGGCCCAAUAAAUAUAAUGUAGCGCUUGAUGAUCUAGUUAUAUCCUGCAAGAGCAAAAUCACAACUCUUUUCUCUGUCAAAAACAAAUAACUCUCAGGGUUAGGAUCACUCCAUGGAUUCUUUCUUCAGAUGUUCAUUCUAAAGAAAUAAAAUCUCUUAUGAACAGAGAGUUACAAAAAGAGAAAAAAUGCAAAAAAAUUGUGAUAUUGAUUGCAAGAGAAGGUAAGCAAUCAGGGAAGGAAGCUGGUGGGAGCAGACAACAAGCUCAGCAAUCAAGGAAGGAAGCUGGUGGGAGCAAACAACAAGCUCUCAUUUCUUCUAGUCUAGAAGAACUUCCGGAGAUUAGAGCAUAAGGUUGCCUUCACAGUUCCCUGAUGUGGCGAAAACGUGAUCAAGGAUAGUCUCGCUUCCUGAAUGGAUGAUCAGAGAUAGUCUUGCUUCUCGGGCAUGUUAAGUGCUCACUGAUAAGAAAAACAAGUAGAUAUCGCAUCACUAGGUAUGGAGAAAACUGGAUGUCUUCUGCAAAGAAAAUUUCGUUAGUAACAUAUUUAUACACAAAUAAGAGGAAUAGGUAGAACCGGUGAAUUUCAAAUUAACCAUAAGAAAAUUGCGAGAUUCUCGGGGUGCUUUUGAAAAAAUAGCUCUGUGAAAUCCGCAAAGCAAGAUCGGCUUUUGACGAAAAUAAUACUUUGAAAACGCCGAAAGUGCCGACAAACAUUAAUGGAGGCCACGUGAAGUUUUGGAAAAAGAGAAUAUGGGGAUCCGAAAAGAUAUUGGGAUCCUGAAAAACUGUAGCCAUAUUUCCUCCUAUAGAUAUUGCCUUUGCAAAACUUGAUUGGAGCAACUGCGUUUCAACUUAACUUCCUUCAUUUUCUGAAACUUUAGUUUUCUUAAGACUUUCUUCGAAACCUUCUUAAAAAUGGCUUCCUCUUCUUCCUGCCCAAAUUAUUUCAAUUUAAAUGAUGCUCCCACAACAAAUAGUGACGCCAAAGUUUGGCGUCCAUCCUUUGUAUCCCAAAAUCGUCAUCUCACAGUUAAUGAUUCUGUGAUGAUGAAUGAUGCUACUGCUGUCAUAGUAGCUAGGAAUUUCAUUACUCCAAUGGAUGAAAUGCUGUUAACAGGGAGAUCUGAGGAAGAGGCUAUUGAUGACUCAAUGGCGUUUAGCAUUCAGAGUGCUGCUUCUGUUUCUAACAUGGCUGAUCGUUUGCGUGCCAGAGCAAACGAGGUUGAGAGGUUAACAACUGAAAAUUCGUCUCUCCAAAGAAUGCUUCAUGAGUCUCAACAGGAGGUUGAGAAACUUAAAGGAGAGAAUAAUGCCUUGUUGAAACUGGUGAGUUCGUACUCUGUUGAUACACUGAGAAGGCUAGACAUGCUGCAGGUCUCCAAUGAAAGAAUUUUGGGAGACCACGAGAGGCUCAUGGCUAAGCUUAAGAGGCGUCGUCCUCUUCCUUCAGAGGCUUCCAGAACAUAAUGUAAUUUUAUAGAUUUUACAGGGCCUGCACCUUCAUGGCAGGUGGAAAAAAUCUAUCUGUUGUAUGUUCCUGUAAUAAUAAUUGCGCACAUUCUUAAACUUGCACCUGUGGUUUUUACGUCUUUUCAAAAUGACGGUUUGGAACCUUGUGCCUUAUAAGUUCAAAUAACCACAUUGACUCUCCCAAAUUUCAUAUUUCAACGUAUGGGAGUUUUGGCCUGGGCUAAACACAAACUCAGAAUUUAUUCGCCCUUUUCAAAUGGACAUGAAAUAUGAAUUGAGUAAAAGCCACGAUAAUAUCGCAAUAUAGUAGUGAAGAGCAUUAACUACUACACACCCACAAACUCAAGUUCGGGAUCUCUCAUACAUUUGGAUCCAUGGGCUUCUGGCCCAGAUAUAACAAAAUAUGUGGGGGGGCCUCAAUUCAUCAUUUGAGGUUUAUACUGAUAUUAUCCAUUUCACAGUGUAUUCUUAACAACCGAAAUUCACAAAAUAUAUUUCUUCCUUGAGGUGUCGAUUAUAACAUAAUCGAACUUUAUUAAAUUCAUCAUUUUCUUAUGCCAAAGAAAUAUGUGGCGUACCACAAUCUGUAAUAAUACCUCAAGGGUUGUUCAUUUAACUGUUGGAGCUUUAGGUUCUUAACACUGUUAGAUUUUGAACUUCAGGCCAAAAUCACAUAUUCUCAUGGUAUGGACAUUCAAUCCCCUUAGAUUUUGAACUUCGGGCCAAAAUCACAUAUUCUCAUGGUAUGGACAUUUUACAAUUUUUUGUACAUAUUUCUGGACUUCAAGCCCUUACAUAAUUGUCCAUAUUUUGAGGAACUUCUGGCAUCUCAUUUAAUUGAUCAUCCAUGAGUUUAAGAAACUGCAGGUUCCCUUUUGAAUAUAGUGACGGUUUACCCAAAAUGGUUAAUAUUUAUGCAUACGUCACUAUUCAUGUAUACGGUACUAUUCAUCAAAUCAUGAAUACGUAUCUAUUCAUGUGUACAGUACAUUUGCCAGUACAGUUAUUAUUCAUGUGUACGGCACUUUUAACCAAUACGGUACUGUUACAUCAUCAAGGAACUCUAGGUCCUUAUUUACAUGUCAAGGAUCAAGGAUCUUCAAGUCCGAUCUCUUGUUUACAAGUAUAGUACCGGAGAGACUGCCAGCUCUCAUAUCAAUAUCAUUAUCAAGGAUCUUCAAGUCCUAAUGUAAUUGUAUGAUGAGGAUCAAGAAACUUCCGGUCCUGAUCUGCAUACUGUAAAAAACUCAUCAUACAGAACAAUUAAUCCAUAAAAUAAAUUGUUGGUAAAUAAAUUACUAGUAUGGACGAUAAACUCGCACCAUACUUUAAAUAAAUGUAAAUAUGCGGUAAAAUAAAUUCAUAAAUUAAAUUGCUUGUUGUAUGGACGUUAAUCCCGCACCAUACCUUAAAUAAAAUUAAAUGUGUGGUAAAGUAAAUUCAUAAAGUAUGAGGGUUAAUUCCACAUCAUACUUUAAGUAAAAGUAAAUUUGCGAUAAAGUAAACGUGCUUGUAUGGGCACUAAUUCUGCUCCAUACAUUUAAAUAAAAGUAAAGGCGUGGACGAUAAACCCGCACCACCCUUUUAAAUAGAUAAUGUUGUAUGGGUAAUAAACCUACACCAUACAGUAAAUAAUGUACAGUAAAGUAAUUUCAUAAAGUAUGAGGGUUAAUUCCACAUCAUACUUUAAGUAAAAGUAAAUUUGCGAUAAAGUAAACGUGCUUGUAUGGGCACUAAUUCUGCUCCAUACAUUUAAAUAAAAGUAAAGACAAUUAUUUGUGGAUUCAUAUCAACACCACAAUCAAAUAAUAUAGUAGUUAAUGCUCUUCACUACUAUAUUGCGAUAUUAUCGUAGCUUUUACUCAAUUCAUAUUUCAUGUCCAUUUGAAAAGGGCAAAUAAAUUCUGAGUUUGUGUUUAGCCCAGGCCAAAAGUUCCAUACGUUGAAAUAUGAAAUUUGGGAGAGUCGAUGUGGUUAUUUGAAUCUAUAAGGCACAAGGUUCCAAACCGUCAUUUUGAAAAGACGUAAAAACCACAGGUGCAAGUUUAAGAAUGUGCGCAAUUAUUAUAACAGGAACAUACAACAGACAGAUCAAAAUGGAAGAGAACAAACAUUCAAUAGAGAUCAGUUCCUAUACUUCCUCUAUAUCUCAAUUCCCUCUCUCCAAUUCCUCUUGAUUUAUAACACGUUAUCAGCACGAUUAUCUCUAAAAUACCAGCUGGGAAAUUCUUCAAAGCUUCCAUCGUUUUCUUCCGCAAAUGAAGACCUUGCUGUCUCAGACUCUCGUCCAACCGAGCCCACACCUUCUCAGCCAUUUGCCAUUGGCCACCACCCUCACUAAAUUUUAAACAAUACUUGGUCUUUAUUCCAAAGUUGCUCAACUUUGCUUCCACACAUUCGAAGCUCAACAAGAUUUUCUGGAGAAAAUUUUGAUGGCAAAGACUUCAAAGGAUAUUCCUCCCAGCAAAGAUAGCCAAUAGAAUUGGGAAGAGGAACUUUUAAUUUGCAGUACUUUCCAAAGCUAGAAUCAACAUUGAGUAAUCUUACAUCUUUUUGAAAUCUGCAUGAUCCAAGCGUAGUUGUCCACUCUUAGAGCUGUUAAAGAAUAUUGCUUGAACCGUUUCAGUCCCCUGACAAUCAAAAGCACUCCAGGCCUUCUUCAAAGGCCAUCGCUCAGACCAUCCUCACCUAGGACCUGGCCGACGAGCUCGUCCUCAUCAACGCCAAACCAGAGACUAGAUAGCACGACGUGGAUGAACACGGAGAUUCUGGUGACGUGCAUCAAAAACUUCAGGCGAAACCGGGGACCCGUUUCGGGGAUUUUGAAAGGUUAUGUGGGUCUGAGCACCGUCGCCACCGACCUCGUCGAGAUCCAGAUCAACUCGUCCGUGCUUAACUACGAGUUCAUAACCCACAGACUCGGCCUCAUCCCAUUGACAUCCGACCAGCAAAUAGGUUCUUGGGGCUGUUGUCAGAUAUGGAGGUUUCAAACAAUAUUAAUUCUUCUCAGAGCAAAAGCUUUGGGGGCCUUGAAACUGCUGUGAGGUUAUAAAUAUUUUUAAAAAAAAAAAAAAAAAAAAACCAGAUAUGCUUUCAAACGAGGAGCCAAGUUGAUAUCCUUGAUGAUGGAUAUCGAUGGAGGAAGUAUGGUCAAAAAGCAGUGAAGAAACAUUUUUCUAAAAUGGAGGUAAGCCACUAAAAGUUGUUGACAGGUCGGUGUUGAUUUGAUGCAAGGCACUGGAGAUCGAGCCUAGUGGGAUACAGCAAGAUUGAUCAGCCUAGUGGAAAGAAGAAAAGCCAACGUGACAUAUCUAGCUUUCCACUAAUAUAUCAGUAUAAUAAUAUUAUACUAUUUGAUCGUGGUGUUGAUAAGAACCCACCAAUAAUUGCCUUUACUUUAUCGCAAAUUACUUUACUGCACAUUAUUUACUGUAUGGUGUAGGUUUAUUACCCAUACAACAGUAUUUAUUUAAAAGGGUGGUGUGGGUUUAUCGUCCACGCCUUUACUUUUAUUUAAAAGUAUGGAGCAGAAUUAGUGGCCAUACAAGCACAUUUACUCUUACUUAAAGUAUGAUGUGGAAUUAACCCUCAUACUUUAUGAAUUUACUUUACCGUACAUUUACUUUUAUUAAAAGUAUGAUGUGGAAGAUGUGGAAUUAACCCUCAUACUUUAUGAAUUUACUUUACUGCACAUUUACUUUUAUUAAAAGUAUGAUAUGGAAUUAACCCUCAUACUUUAUAUUUCCUUUUAUUUAAAGUAUGGUGCGGAAUUAACGUCCAUACAGCAAGCAAUUUAAUUUAUGAAUUUAUUUUACCGCACAUUUACAUUUAUUUAAAAGGGUGGUGCGGGUUUAUCGCCCACGCCUUUACUUUUAUUUAAAUGUAUGGAGCAGAAUUAGUGCCCAUACAAGCACGUUUACUUUACCAAUUUAUUUUACCGCACAUUUACAUUUAUUUAAAGUAUGGUGCGGGUUUAUCGUCCAUACCAGUAAUUUAUUUACCAGUAAUUUAUUUUAUGGAUUAAAUGUGCUGUAUGAUGAGUUUUUACAGUAUGCAGAUCAGGACCAGAAGUUCCUUGAUCCUCAUCAUACAAUUAUAUCAGGACUUGAAGAUCCUUGAUGAUGAUGUUAAUAUGAGAGCUGGCAGUCUCUCCGGUACUAUAUUUGUAAACAUGUGAUUGGACUUGAGGGUCCUUGAUCCCUGACAUGUAAAUAAGGACCUGGGGUUCCUUAAUGAUGUAACAGUACCGUAUUGUUUCAUAAUGCCGUACACAUGGAUGAUAACUGUACUGGAAAAUGUACUGUCCACAUGAAUAGAUACGUAUUCAUGACUUGAUGAAUAGUACCGGAUAUAUGAAUAGUGACGUAUACAUAAAUAUUAACCAUUUUGGGUAAACCAUCACUAUAUUCAAAAAGGGAACCUGCAGUUCCUUAAACUCAUGAAUGAGCAAUUAAAUGAGAUGCCAGAAGUUCCUCAAGAUAUGGACAAUUAUGUAAGGACUUAAAGUCCAGAAAAAUGUACAGAAAAUUGUAAAAAUGUCCAUACCAUGAGAAUAUGUGAUUUUGGCCUGAAGUUCAAAAUCUAACAGUGUUGAGAACCUAAAGUUCCAACAGUUAAAUGGACAAUCCUUUAGGUAUUAUUGCAAAUUGUGGUACACCACAUAUUUCUUUAGCAUAAGAAAACGAUGAAUUGAGGCUUCCCACAUAUUUUGUUAUAUCUGGGCCGGAAGCACAUGGAUUCAAAUAUAUGAGAAAUUCUGUCAGUGUAAACACUACAAAGAGAAAUAUAAUCCCACUCCCAAUAUUACAGUGGUACUUCUCAUCAACUGAUUAUUCUAGUUUUAUAACACGUUGUAAAAUAACUGGGAUAUGUGCGAAUAUUGAGCUGCACGUAAAGUAGAUGAGACACAGUAUUUAACGAGGUUCGGCUAUGCCUACGUCCCCGGAGAGCAGCAGUAGUAACUUUUCCACUAUGUAAAAUAAUAGGGCUACAACUUUAGUGUUUACAAUAUGUAUGGCUCACUCAAUUUUCUCUCUUGGAGAAUUUCUCUCUUGCUCUCUUUCCUCUCAACUCACUCACCCUCUUUCUUCCUUCUCUUCCUUUUCUCUCAUUUCAUCUUCUCAUUACAAGCAAAUAUAAUGCCUAUUUAUAGGCAAAGCAAAUGGCUUGGUUUGGUGGGUGUGUGAUUUGGUUUGGUAGGUGUGUGGUUUGAUUUGGUGGGUGUGUGGUUUGAAUGUUAGAGCAUGUGGGCUUCACCCAUUCUUCUUUACAACACUUUUUUCCUUUUUUGUCGAAAGCAUCAAGUAAUUUAAUGUUUAAUUAGAAGGGAGAUAAGACGAAAAUUGUAAACGAGCUCCACAGCCGCCAGGAGGCUAUUCAUAUUCAAACAAGCACCGCCUCCCUAGUGUUCAAGUUCAAUUGUUUUACUUCUGCCAUGUUAGAGCAUCUCCACCCCAAAGGGCUAAAGCAAAGGCAAGGACCAGAUAAGAGUUGUCAGCUUUGUUAUUUGUAGUUCUACCCUAAAGGGCUAAGGUUAAGGCUAAGGCAAUUACUAUUCAUUAAACUUUAUUUCCUAUUUUUUUGUACUUUAAACCAUUAAUUUUGAUAAUCUUUUGUACUUAAAUUUUUGGAUAAGAUUUUUAGUUGCCACGUGUCUUAUUACAGAUAAACUUUUUUGGAUAUUCAUUAAAAAAAAUUAUAAUCUCAUAUUUCAGAUAAAAUUUUCACCAUUUAAAAUUGUGCCACAUGUCCCAUGUCAGAUAAGAUUUUCAGAUUUUUAAAAAAAUAAUUAUGAUCUCAUAUUUCAGAUAAGAUUUUCAGAUUUUUAAAAAAAUAAUUAUGAUCUCAUAUUUCAGAUAAGAUUUUCACCCCCUAAAAUUGUACCACGUGUCCCAUAUCAGAUAAGAUUUUCAGAUAUUUAAAAAAAAUUAUAAUCUCAUAUUUCAGAUAAGAUUUUCACCCUCUAAAAUUGUGUCAUGUGUCAUCUCUAUCUUCUGAAUCCCCUAUAAAACUACACCAUCAACUCAUACCUCUCACACCAUCUCUUAUCUGUUCCUUCAUUUCUCAGAUUUUACAAAACGCAUUCUACUCUCAAUGUCAAACUUGAGGAAGGUGUUGGACAGGCAACAGAAAGAAAAGGAAGAAAUCUAGCGCAGACGUGCUGAUGAAGAUUGGGAGGCCGAUGAAGAAGAGGAAGAAAUGCUUGCAGCAGCGGUGUGUAUGCUUAAUCAAUCAAGGCAACACCGCCAUCGUCGUGCCCCGAAUGUGGACAAACAUAGGGAGUCUCGGGGUAAGAAUCUCUUGGAAGAUUACUUUAUCCCAAAUUCGUUAUAUCUUGUUUAUAAGUUUCGAGAAAGAUAUAAAAUGCAGCCACAUUUGUUCCAAAAAAUCAUAUAUGAUAUUUGUAAUUACGACACAUACUUCAUUCAAAAGUACGAUGCUGUUGGAGUUUUGGGUCUUCUCCCGGAGUGAAAACUUACAGCUGCUUUGCGGAUGCUUGCUUAUGGGGCAUCUGCAGAGCAGGUGGAUGAGAUUGCAAAGAUGGGAAAAUCAACUAUUCUAGAGUGCUUGGUGAGAUUCUGUUAUGCGGUGAAAAAUUGGUACACGAGGGAGUACCUUUGCAAACCCACGCCGAAGGACCUGCAAAGGCUUCUACAAAAAGCUGAGGCUCGAGGUUUCCCAGGAAUGAUUGGAAGCAUCGAUUGCAUGCACUGGUAGUGGAAUAAUUGUCCUACUACUUGGCAAGGAGACUAUAGGAAUCGAAAGGGCCAAAAAAGUAUAAUUUUGGAGGCCUUAGCUUCAUUCGACUGUUGGGUUUGGCAUGCCUUCUUCGGGGUUGCCGGAUCUCAGAAUGAACUCAAUGUCCUUGGUCAAUCCCCAGUGUUCGACGAGGUAUUGCGAGGUCAUUCCCCCAAAUCACGUACCAAAUCAACAAUACCUUAUACUCUGGUGCGUACUACCUUGCCGACGGAAUUUAUCUUAGGUGGACGACAUUCGUGAAAACAAUUCCAAAUCUCCAAUCUGAGAAGGAAAAAAGCUUUGCUGCCUUUCAAUAAGGUUACAGGAAAGACGUGGAAAGGUGUUUCGGUAUCUUGCAAGCUCGUUGGGCAAUUAUUAGGGGUGCUGCGGAGCAUUAUGAUGACUUGCAUCAUCCUCCACAACAUGAUUGUGGAGGAUGAUUAUGAUGCUCCAGAGGUGUUUGAACCUGAUCCCAUGAACACGACGUUGACAAGAAUAUAUGAAAGGUCGAUGGGACCAAAUGGACAACCAAUGGAGCCCGAACCAUUACUUCGGGAUGGUCGAUACAACAACCCCAUGAUUGAUCGUUAUCAAGAAAUGCAAUCUUCAUAUGUUCACGAGAGAUGUCAACUUGACUUCAUCGAGCACUUGUGGGAGAUGAAAGGCAAUCACAGUGGUUGAGGUCAAUUAGUGCUUUGUUUGGAAUUAUGCUUUGUUUUUAAUUAUGCUUUAUUUUGUGUGUGGUGUUUUUUGGAAUUAUGCUUUUUUAUUAUUAUUAUGCUUUUAAGUAUGAUUUGUUUUGUUUGUUGUUUGCAAUAAAUUAAGGUUUGUUUUUAAUUAAUCUUUGUUUUGAUGCUCAAAUAUUUUUAAUAAAUAGUCAUAUUAUUUAAUGCUUUCUUUAUUGAAUAAAAAGGAAACAAUACAACAAAUUAAUACAUAUGGUAAAGGUGUUUCAAUACAACCUAAUGGUUUUCAUCAUUUAACCAAUCUAUAUGGCUGGGUCCGUCGUCAUGGAAAAGUUUUCUUCUCAUCACAUCCCUUCGUCUUAACUUCUAAUAGGCCUUUGUUUCAGGAGACAUAAGGCUCGUAUCCAUGGCCAUGAUUUUCAUCUCUCUAUCAUCCAUGUCUUUUUCUUAUGCAUGCUGCUGUUGAAUUGCAAAUGCUUCCUGUGGUGCCAUGUCCGCUUCAUCUCUUUUCAAGUCUCUCUCAAUUCUUAGUGCUGUGUUCUUAGCUAUUUGCUCCAAUAAUUGCACACAUUCAUUGUUCGAAGUGCUCCCUCUCUUGGCCUUCGUCGCCUUUCUCCCAAUAGGUCUCUGUGAACGUGGGAGUCGUGACUCCGUUUCCAUUGGGGGGGUCCAAUGGCGAAUUGUGGAGCGGCGUCUCAUUCAACACAACUGGCGGACCUGUGGGAAUAAUGUUGAAUCUCGAACAAUCCUUCACAACUUCCCAACAUUGGAAAUGCAAGAAACUUUUUUUGUCUUGCCCUAUGGCAUUGAACCAAAGUUGUGCUGGUAUGAUCUAUUAAAAAUAAAUAAUUAGAAGUGCAAGAAAAGAAAAAAAAGAUUAUGCAAGAAAAUAUAAACAAUUUUGAAAUGCAAGAAUAAAAUUGAUUAUGCAAGAAAAUAUAGACAAAUUGGAAAUGCAAAAAGCAAAAAAAAAUUAUGCAAGAAAAAGAAAUAAAUAUGCAAUAAAUAAAAAAGUUUAAAAUGGCAAUUAUAAAUAUUUCACCUCAUCGGAUAGAUUUUGACCGCUUCGAAUGUUCUUCCUUGCUUUUGUCAAGGCAUUUCUCCGUUUUCCUAACUCUUUAUUCAGAAUUUUCCAUCUACUAGACAAGGCCAUUUUGAUCCGAAUGGAACCUGAUUUUUGACAAAAUUCUCCAUGAAUUUUGCUCAACAUAUGAGGGAACUUCAUCUUAUUGCCUGAGACAAGGCAAUGACUAACGAUCACUCAAGACCGACACAACGCAAUAUCUUCCUAAGUUGUCCAUGCGCCUCCAGCUUUGACAGAAGAUGCCAUUUAUUUUUUGAUACAAAUGGAAAGUACUAGAAAAAUGUGAGUGGAGAGUAAAAAAUAUUGGAAGGAGAAGAGUUUGUAUGAAGAAUCGGUGUGGAAAGUGAAUAAUGUGAGUGGAGAGUAAAAAAUAUUGGAAGGAGAAGAAAUUGUAUGAAGAUUUGGUGUGGAAAGUGAAUAAUGUGAGUGGAGAGUAAAAAAUAUUGGAAGGAGAAGAGUUUGUAUGAAGAAUUGGUGUGAAAAGUGAAUAAUGUGAGUGGAGAGUAAAAAAUAUUGGAAGGAGAAGAAAUUGUAUGAAGAUUUGGUGUGGAAAGUGAAUAAGAUUGUUAGGUAUUUAUAGGGAAAAAAUUCAGAAUUUUUUGGUAUUUUUAAAAAAAAAAUUCAGAAUUUUUUCGAAUUUUUUUAGCCAAAAAAACGAGGAUUGUCGGAUUUCUGUAAAAAAACCGAUCGAAGCAUCUGGGUUCAGACACGUGGCGCAUGCCCGUUGGAUUCUGUCAGGGAUGACAUCAGCGCUGUGCUGACGUCACCGCCCUCUGGCUGAAGCCCAGGCAAAACCUGCCCUUGGGCUUGCCCGAGCUGGUGGGAGCCAGGGCUUGCCAGGGCCUCUUCUCUCGCGCUGGAGCCGUUUUGGGCUUGCUCAAGGGGCCUCCUGCCGGUUUGCAUGCAUUGCUGGAGCUGCUCUUAGAGUAUGGACGUCUCAGCAAAGGUCAACUAUUUUAUACUAAAGAAUGGUUUAGGUGUAGACAAAACUGAGUGGGGAUAGUGCCUUCACUGGCUUACAAGAUCCACCACUGCUUGUAGGUAAAAAUCCUCUCUUUUUUUUGGGUCAAAAGUACCCUAAGUUCCCUUCAAAACUUUUCUUAACAGUACGGAGGACUUGAAUUUGGCCCACAACUUGGCCAUCAUGAAGGUAUUGGACCUUUAGACAUGCGCUUCAAGCGCAAGCCUAGUUUUUCUAAGUUUUCAUUUUGCAUCGCUAUUGAUUGGGAACUGCCAUCUAAGGUGGUUUCCCGGUGUAUAUCUGAUUGUUUUCUGCCGUUUGUUGUGGUUUUGGGCUUCGUUUCUCCUUGAAGGAAGGCUCGCCUAGAGUUUUUCUUAGGAUUACAGAUUACCCAAGCGGAGUCGCGCUGCGGAUGUUGGGGAUGCGGAGAGUGAGAUGAUGUAUGCGUCCAAUAUGGCUGCGCUGCCAUCUACGGACACAGUGCUACCCAAAUCGGCUUCUGGUUCUGAGAGCUUUAGGGAUAAGCACAUGAAUAAGGUAAAUUUGGUUCGAAAUGUUGGAAUUGAUGUUAAUUCUGUAGAGGCAGAAUAUGAGGGUUUGAAUGACGAUGAGGAUGUGAUUGUUUCUCGUGGAGAUCGUGGGCCGUUUAUCCAGUUUUUGGAUUGCGCCAUUGAUCGUCUUAGCAAACCUUGGUAGAAUGCACUUAUUAUCAGGCUCCUUGGGAGAUCACAUACCUACAACUAUCUCCAUGCUCGACUGCAACAAAAGUGGAGCCUAAAUAGAGGGUGGAAACUGGUUGAUUUGGUCAAUGAUUACUUUGUGGUUCGUUUUGAGCUUGAGGAGGAUCUCAAUUUUGUUUUGAUUGGGGGACCAUGGAUCAUUGCUGGUCAGUAUUUGGUUAUGAAAAAAUGGAGGCCUGAGUUUUGUCCUGCAAUUGAGAAGAUCAAGCAAGGUUGGAUCAACUCAACGACACCUUCCGACAGAUUCUUAUUAGUGAAGAUGACAAAAGAAUGACUUUUUACACUGGCCGCUUGGAUUCGUGUUUCUACUAUUCAAUUGGAGUGUUUCGAUGUGUGGACUUUGAAAAGAAUUUGGAAUUUUUUGGGGAAGUUGUUGAAGAUUGAUGCUCUCACUACUUCUCUGAAUCAGGGGAAAUUUGCACGACUUUGUGUAAAGUUGGAUUUGUCACGGCCUCUUGAGGCAUUUAUUCAAAUUAAUAAUGUUUGGUACAAUGUGGAGUAUGAAGGCCUUCCGGAUACUUGUUAUAUGUGUGGUCGAUAUGGUCACAAAAGGGAACACUGUGAUGUGCAAGAUGUUGCCCCUGUGGAGAAGACUGGUGUGAAGAACGUAUUUUAAACGGAUAAAAGAAGAUAUUUAUCAUUUGGAUAAACUUGGACAAUAUUAUUUUUUUAAGAUAUUUAUCUUUUGGAUAAACUUGAAUGAUCUUAUCUUGUUAAGAUAUUUAUCUUUUGGAUAAAUUUGGAUGCUAUUAUCCUUUUAAUAUUGAAGUUUAUCAUAUCCCUAUAACCACUAUAAAUAGGAGCAUAACCUUAUAGUUUCAAAACAUGAGAAAUUAAAGAGAAAUUUAGAGAGAAGAAGAAUUGUUAAGAAAAAGAGUGGGAGACUGAGUUUGUGGAUGCGGUGGAAAAUUGGAAAAACACCUUACAUUUCUAGCAAAAGCUUUGGUGUCAAGGCAAGGAUUUCUUGGGGAGCCUUUUACAAAGAUUGAUUUAAUUAAAUUUCGUGAGCAUUAUAUUAUGCAUGGCAUUACAGUUUGGUUAACAUUCCUUGUUAUGGGUGUUUACUUUUUACUAAUUAUGUGAUCAAUAUUGGUGUGAUUAUAUUUUGAUACAUGAGAUAAAUGAAAGAUAGAAUUAUAUCAUGUCAUGGAAAUUAGUUGGAGUUGUUGGUUGGAGAAAAUAAUGAUGGAAAAUAGGGUAAUGGAAAUAGUCUUUUAUGUAUUUUAGUCUAACUCUUGGAAGGUACUAAGUCUCAGGGAUCCCACAGUGCACAUAGUUUUAUUGGGCGAUUCGGGACUGACGACAGAGAGUUAGACAAGAUUACUAACAAAAGGGGAAUUGUGGGAUGAUUGAGAUGGGUGUUAGUCCAUAUAAAUGGGCAUUCGGGACCAAGUGGUAUAAGCAUGGUAUGGGACGUGCAGGUCUGCUUGUCCAGUUAUUUGAAUUAACAAGAAUAGAUGAAGAGCAUUGAUAAGUCUAUAUUAUAUAUAUAUAUAUAUUUUAUGCCUCCUUUGCUUAUUUAUUUAUUAAUUUCUUGGAUUAAAUUGGUUGUUUUUAAUUGCUUUUGUGAGAUUUGUGAAGGAAUUGUGAAAUAGGAGAAAGUGUGCUAAAAAAGGCAAGAAGAUGAAGAUCAAUUAAAAAGAAGCCAAGUCAUUCUUUUUGUUGCAAGGAAUGUUGUCAAAUUUCCUAGUUCAAGAUGGUGCAAGUCUUAUCAAGUCAAACAAGGAGAAAUAAAAAAGACCUUAUUUUAGAAGGAAUCCUAUUUUUAUAACAAUUGUAAUUAUUCCUUAGGUAGGAUUUCUAGGAGUUUUAUAAAUAGGGAGUCUAGGUCAUUGUUGAAAGGAUCCAUUACCCAUCAUCAAUCCUCCAUCAUCUACCCUAAAAUUCCUACACAUUCAUAAGCAUAGCCGAAAUACUCAAAAGAGAGAGAGAGUGUGUUUUAGAGAGACAAAGAAGACAACCUGGAGCUAAAGUUGCUGUCGUGCAGAGAUCAAAUCUUCAAUUGGUUACUUCUUUCCUAUGAUAUUAUUUGUCAUGGUUUUUAUUAAAGUUGUCAUGAACUAAUUUCUUCUUGCUAGGGCUACAAUGUAGCCUAGCCAUGAAUACUCAAUUACUUUAGUCAAUGUUAAUUCUAAGUAUUUUUCCAUGUUGAGUAUCUAUUACCAUGCUUAAUGCUUUGAAUAUUUGGCCAACAUUUAAUUGUUUUGAUGCUAAAUUGACGAUAGGAAUAUCCAAUUUGGGGUUGCUUCUUGUAAUAGAUGCCAUGAGUUACAUGAUUAGACAGGGAUGUUUGUCAUGACUUAUGUGGUUGUUUUGUAGGUUUUCCAAGGAAUUUAAUGGGUUCUUAUUAUCUUAAUUCCAUUACUAGGGAUAGAGUGGGUUGGUAAUAAGAAUACUUUUGGUAUAACCAGGGAUGGAGUAUCGAAUAAAGUAGGGAAAAUCAACUGUUAACAUAGAGAAUAAUUAGGAUUAACAUGCUAAGGGAAUUGGGUAGAAUUGGCUAUGGUGAAAUCAGAAGCUCUAGUGCUCUCAUAACUUGAAUCUCACUACUUUAUUUUUCUACGCUUGUUUUUAUUCAUUGUUUUAGUUAAUUAAUCAAUCAAAUCUCAUCAUCAAUUGUUCAAAUAAAGUCUUGGGUUAAUCACAAUCGGUACUUGGUAAAUUAAAUCACUCUUCGUGGAACGACACUUCACUCAUCACUAUAUUACUUGUGCGAAUUGUGCGCUUGCAAUAAAUAUCUCAACAAGUUUUUGGCGCCGUUGCCAGGGACUGUUUUAAAUUUUCUUAAUAUCGAUAUAGAUUGAUUUGGAUUUUAAGUUGAAUUUUUUUUUGUUUUUUUAGGUACUUCACCUAGUGCAUGAGUUUUGGGAGACAUUCGCAGAGUCUUGUGCUUGUACCAUUAGAUCCGGAGAUCGAGCGAACACUUCACAAGCUUAACAAACUCAAAAGGGGGAAGGACGCAAUAUUGAAAAGCCAUCACCUAUGGCUGAGGAAGCAAAACCAGUAAGGGACUAUGAUGUCUCAUCUGUAGUGGCAUCACCAUCGAGCAUUCGUCGUCCAAACAUUGAUGCCAAUAAUUUUGAAAUCAGACCAGCCAUAAUUUCAAUGAUUCAGCAAUCCUCCAUCUUUUGUGGUUUACCUCAAGAAGACCUUAAUAGCCAUACCUCUAAUUUCUUGGAGAUAUGUGACACAUUUAAGUGCAAUGGAGCUACCAAUGAUGCUGUUCACUUAAGGCUUUUUCCUUUCUCAUUAAAGGAAAAGGCAAAGUCAUGGUUGAAUUCUCAACCACCUAAUUCGAUUACUACAUGGGACGACUUGGCCAAGAAAUUUUUAGCUAAAUUCUUUCCUCCUGCAAAGACUGCGAAACUCAGGAAUGACAUCAUAUCAUUUGCUCAGAAUGACAUGGAACCUUUUUAUAAAGCAUGGGACAGAUACAAGGAUAUGCUAAGGAAGUGCCCACAUCAUGCCCUACCUACUUGGAUGCAAGUUCAAGCGUUCUACAAUGGUUUGAACAAUACAAGCAAAACAACAAUUGAUGUUGCAGCCAGAGGAGUUUUGAUGGGAAAAACAGAAAGUGAAGCGUAUAACUUGCUGGAAGAGAUGGCGUCAAAUAACUAUCAAUGGCCUAGUGAGAGAUCAACACCAAAGAAAGCUGGAAUUCAUGAGAUUGACGCCAUAUCUGCAUUAACUGCGCAAAUUUCUACUCUGUCUAAACAACUUGGUACUUUAAAUGUUAAUGCUAUUCAGUCUACUAAUUUAAGUUGUGAAUUUUGUGCAGGACCUCAUCAUGGCAAUGAGUGUGGAGCUAGUCCCUUCACAUCACCAUCUGAACAAGUGAACCAACACUACUACAAAAAGUGAAAAAGACGACCAGAAAACAACGACGGUCUAAGUGAAAACCAUCGUGGUUUAUAAAAAGACGACGGUUCUAAAAACACCGUCGUGUAAUACAACCUUAGACAACUAAAAAAUGGAGUUUCAAAUGGCUGUUCAAAAACAACGACGUACAUAAUUAAACAACCGACGUCUAUUUGAAACAGAUUUCCGCAGUGUAAAAUCAAUGCCAACAAAGAACGGCAGAAGUUAUGAAUCGACCGACGUAGAAAGUAAAGACGACGAUUUCAAUAAAAACUGCCGUUUUUACUCAUAAAAUAACACGACGAGGUUUUCGUAUAAGACGCCGUAUAAUUACAAACAAAUCCACGGCUUUAAAAUACAAAAUAUCGCCGUAUUAAAUUAAUUUACAACGACGGAAAAUAUAAAUAUAUCGACGUCAUUCUCGUAUAGUUCUACGACGUUAUCUUUAAAUCGUACAAUAAAAUUUAUCGUCGUAUUUAUUCAUUUUAUACGUCGUACCUUUAAUUUUAACGGUCGUCUUAAUAAGAAUUUUUGUUAACAAUUUUUUUCUUUGAUUUUCUUAUCCUACGUCGGUAGAUCUACUUAAUGACAAGAAUUGAAAUAACCACGACGGUUUAUAUAGAACACCGCCGACAUAAUCAGAUUUGUCUGAGAUCCCAAGGGUUACGAAAUCUUACCAGAUGGAACUCUGUUCCACAUCAUAAUCUUAACAGAUGACACAGAUUUGCAAAUAUUGCGUCGUGUUAGUUUACAAAUUCUAGAACAUUAAUUUCCCUCAUUUUAAAUUUCCUCGGGAAAGAAAAAUCUAUUUAUCACGCUUUGGAAUUGAAAACUAAAACUGAAAGAAUACGGGAAAAAAAACUCUAUUUAUAAUUUAAAAAUAAAAUCCACGUCGGUUGUAGUACACUUAACGACGUUUAACAAAAUAAUCUACGUCGGUAAUUAUAAAUCUACCGCCAUCUUAACUUAAUAUAGACGACGAGAAAAGACGACGGUAGAACAGAAAACCGCCGUUGUUUCAGUUUCUUUAACAUAUCUUUCUGCAGGACUUGUAUAGUUCAAAGCAUUGACAAUGUCUUCAUCAUAUCUCCCAGAAACUACUGAUUCAAUUGCUCAUGCUUUAGAGGCCAUCUGAAGCCAUUUCUAUUCUUUAUCGCAUUCUUGAAACCCAUCUUCUUCUUCUGAAGCUCUACGGAUAAAGGAAGAGGCUAUCACAAAUCCGACGGAUCUUCUUAGGCAAGAAAAUCAAGCAGAGGAUCAGGCACAUCUGAUCUUCAGAUUUCCCUGAGAAGCGAACUUUCCUUCGACAGCGAGUGGAGGCCAGGCUUGCAUCUCUUUUGAUGGAAAGCAAGGAGUAUUCAGAAGCACUAAGUGUCCUAUCAGGCUUGAUCAAGGAAGUGAGAAGGCUAGUUGACAAGCUUCUUCUUGUGGACAUAUAUUUGAUGCGAGUAAGCUCAAUUUCUCUUUGAGAAAACAUCCAAAUUAUUGUCUUUGAGACAUGAGAGACUGAGAGAGGAAGAACUUGGAACCUUAAAUGUAAACCGAAAAUGAAUGAAAGCGACAAAUUUAUAGAAUAAAUUUUUAAAACCAACGGCGGUCCUUACAAAAAAACCGCCGUUUAAAUUGUAAAAUCAACGUCGGUAUGAUCGACGUAUAUUACAGAAAUCCACGUCGGUAAAUUAAUAAAGACGACGUGUUAAAUAAUCUACCAUGACGCGAGUUAUUACUUAUGUACUUUAAUUUUUGAGUUUACUACGACGGUACCUACAAACUACUGUCGUAUUUAUUUACCACGUCCGAAGUUAAAUGUACCGUCGUAUUUUGUAAUUUAUACGUCGUAGUUAUAUGUAACCGCCGUAUUAUUUUUUUGAAAUGGUUUUAUAUGUAAGCAACUUUUCGUCUACUUGACUUACACAUUCGUUGUUUUUAUAUUCUUAUUUUAUUUAAAUCUGUCAUCCAAAAAAGAAACUUUACAUAUUGCAGAAUAUUAAUUUCCUUCGUUUUAAAUUUCCUCCGGAAAAAAAACUCUAUUUAUAACGCACUGUAAUUGAAAAAUAAACUGAAAGGUCACGGGAAAAAAAAUUCUAUUCAUAAUUUAAAAAUUAAAAUCCACGUCGGUUAUAUUAAACCUAACGACGUUAAAUGAAAUGAUUCCACGUCGAACGAAAAAUAUUGUGUCGUGUUAGUUAAAAACGACGUAGUUAAAUGUAACCGCCGUAUUAUUUUUUUGAAAUGGUUUUAUAUGUAAGCAACUUUUCGACUUACACAUGCACUGUUUCCAAACCCGAUUAAAAAUUUCAAUCUCCCAGAGAAACCUUUUCGUCUUUUUUCCUUGUCAGAGCAUUGUCAGAGUUUCUCAUCGCCUUCCUCUCGUCUUCUUCGUCGUCUCUGAACUUAAACAUCGAUCAUCUUCCUCUUGCUUUCAUUGCACGCAAAAGGUAAGCUUUCAUUUUCACUAUUUUGGUUACUGUUUUGCAUGCUCAUACGUUUUUUGUUUGAAAAAUCUUUUUACCUUUUUUCUGGCCAAAAUCAUUUUACUUCUUUCCAAGUUUGAUAAAAUAUACAGACAAAGAGGGAAAGUUUCCAACUUUGAAGACAACUACCUCAACUAAAUAAGACGACGGUAGACCACGACGGUUCGUCAGUUGUUCUAGCGUCGUCUGAAAAUUGACAAAGUUGUUUUUAAAAUAAUAGUCUUUUUUUAUAUGCUUGUUUAAUUGCAGGUUUGAUUUCUCUGAACAAUGGUUUUUGUUUUUCCCUUAUUUGAUAAAAUAUAAAGAAAAAGAAACUAGGGUUGGUAUCUAAUAUAGACGACAAAAUAUCUUAUUGUUUUACGUCGUGUGAAUGUUAAUACCACGACGGUGUAUUACUAUUGACGUCGUAUGAACAUAAAUACCACGACGUUAUAUAAAUAAUAGUUUACCACGACGGUGUAUUACUAUUGACGUCGUGUGAACAUAUAUACCACGACGUUAUAUAAAUAAUGGUUUUAAACAUUUAUUACGUCUGAGAUUAUUUCAUUGCGUCGUCUAAAAUCAUAUCAUACGUCGUAUUUUUUUAAUACCGUCGUUUGUGUUCUUAAUGUUUUCCUGAAAUAUUUUCACUUGCAGUUUUGUCUGUUAAAAUGGUUUCUCAACAACAAACUAAGGAUUCUGGCUCCAAGAAGCUUGGAAUGGUAGCUCCUCAAGACAAGUCUUCGAAGGAGAUGAAGUCUUCGAAGAAGAUGAAGUUUGCUUCAUCAUCUGCUGAGACAGAACAAACCAGCCAGACAACAAUAUCUGAUGAUUCAAAGACUGGUCGAGGUAUGAGCACAAUGCCUCGUGUUGUGAAGAGAAAGCUUCAGAAACUGAGGCCAAUUGUUGAGUACAAUAAAAGGGGGAAAGGUGUUGGCCAAGCACAUAUUGAGAUGCAGUCGUAUAUUGGUGUGUUGGCACGCUCCAGGAUCCCACUUGUGGACAAGAAAUGGUCCCAAAUCCCCAAGGAUAUAAAGGAGCAGAUUUGGGAAGCAGUUGACAUGGCUUUUGUCGUAGGCCAAGGGGGCAAGAACUCUGUUUUAGCUUCUGCUUCCAAGAAAUGGAAGGAUUUCAAGUCUACACUAACGAGGCAUUAUAUCCUUCCAUACACCAAUGACAGGGAGAAAUUAAGCCAACCCCCUGAAACAUAUAAAUUCAUAGAGAAAGCACAAUGGGAUGCCUUUGUAGCUUCAAGGCUAUCCAAAGAUUUUGAGUCUGUGCAUUCUCAACAUGCACAGAUUAGGGAGAAACUCGAGUACAAUCAUCGAUUGUCUCGAAAAGGAUAUGUUGGAUUAGAGGAUCAAUUGGAGGAAACCAUGCCUGGGGUAGAAAUUGAUCGAUCUACCUUAUGGAAGAGAGCUAGACAGGACAAACAUGGUAACAUCCCUGAUCCAAAGGUGGCAGAGAAAGCAAAAUUAAUUGUAAGCCUACUAUCACUCUGUUUUAAAUUUUUAUUAAACUGUGAAUUAUUCUUAUUACGUCGUAUGUUAUAUUUUCCGUCGUGUGAAUGAUAUUACCACGUCGAGAAGUUUUUAAAAACGCCGUUAAAGGUCUAAAUAGGAAUCACUACUAUGUUUUCUGUAAUUAUAGCAUAAGACGUCGGUGGUUCAUUUUGGCGUCGUUUGAAUGAUAUUACCACGUCGAAACUUUUUUAAAAACGUCGUUAACGGUCUAAAUAGGAAUCACUACUCUGUUUUCUUUAAUUAUAGCAUAAGACGUCGGUUGUUUAUUCAUUUCGUCGUUUUAAAUAAAUAACCACGUCGGUAUAACUACCGUCGUGAUAAGUUAUAAUAACGUCGGUUUAUACGUUAUUGCGUCGUGUGAAAUUAUAUAAUACGUCGUUUGUACAUAAAUAACCGUCGUGUGUUUUUUUGUUUAUCUUAUUUUAGGAUGAAUUGCAGAAACAAGUCUCGGAAGGCAAAGUCAGAGUAGAUGGCAGCAAUGAUGUGCUGACCAUGGCUUUGGGCCCCGAGCAUCCAGGCAGACUGAGGGGAGUUGGUGCUGGUGUUUCCCCAAGGCAAUAUUUCAAUUUGCCCAAACCACAGAGGGUGAGCUUUGACGACCGUUUGAAGGACAGUUUAAGAGUUCUCCUUCAAGAAGAGACUAAAAAGAUGGAGGCUAAGGCAAGGGAAGAGGCCUUAAGGAUGGAGGCUAGGACAAAACAAUUGGUAGAGGCUGAGAGGGAGCAUUUCCUGAGUCAGCUUUCCCAAUUAAUUCCCAAUUUUGAUCCAAGCAUGCUUAAACCAAGAAUUAGCCAAAGCCCCAAAAAUCCAAUGUCUGACAAAGCUAGCUGCUCUGGAGGUGAUGUGAGAUCCCUACAUUUGGAGGAUGAUACUGCCAAAAUGGGGAAACAUCAGCCAGAUGAAGAGAAGGAAGAAGAAAAAAGAGAUGAAGAGAAGGAAGAAGAAAAGGAGAAAGAAGAUGAAGAAAAGCAUGACGACAAGGUAUGUUCACAUAACUUUGCCUUUUUUAUUUGUUUUUCAAAAUUUCAGACGUCGAUAUUUUUAUUUAAUCCGUCGUUUGUUUAAAACUUAGACGGCGGACUUUUUUUAAGACGUAAUAAAAUAUUUAAACGACGGUUUUUGCACCGUCGUUUAAAUGGUUUCAGACGACGCUUUAUUCAUAAAACCGUCGUCUUUAUUGAAUUACCACGACAGUUUUUUCACCGUCGUUUAAAUACUUUUAAGACGACGUUUUAUUCCUUAAACCGUCGUCUUUAUUGAAUUACCACGUCAUUUUUUUUAUUUCUUUAAACAUGUUAUUGAAGUUGGUGAUUAUUCAAAUAUGGAGGCGANNNNNNNNNNNNNNNNNNNNNNNNNNNNNNNNNNNNNNNNNNNNNNNNNNNNNNNNNNNNNNNNNNNNNNNNNNNNNNNNNNNNNNNNNNNNNNNNNNNNNNNNNNNNNNNNNNNNNNNNNNNNNNNNNNNNNNNNNNNNNNNNNNNNNNNNNNNNNNNNNNNNNNNNNNNNNNNNNNNNNNNNNNNNNNNNNNNNNNNNNNNNNNNNNNNNNNNNNNNNNNNNNNNNNNNNNNNNNNNNNNNNNNNNNNNNNNNNNNNNNNNNNNNNNNNNNNNNNNNNNNNNNNNNNNNNNNNNNNNNNNNNNNNNNNNNNNNNNNNNNNNNNNNNNNNNNNNNNNNNNNNNNNNNNNNNNNNNNNNNNNNNNNNNNNNNNNNNNNNNNNNNNNNNNNNNNNNNNNNNNNNNNNNNNNNNNNNNNNNNNNNNNNNNNNNNNNNNNNNNNNNNNNNNNNNNNNNNNNNNNNNNNNNNNNNNNNNNNNNNNNNNNNNNNNNNNNNNNNNNNNNNNNNNNNNNNNNNNNNNNNNNNNNNNNNNNNNNNNNNNNNNNNNNNNNNNNNNNNNNNNNNNNNNNNNNNNNNNNNNNNNNNNNNNNNNNNNNNNNNNNNNNNNNNNNNNNNNNNNNNNNNNNNNNNNNNNNNNNNNNNNNNNNNNNNNNNNNNNNNNNNNNNNNNNNNNNNNNNNNNNNNNNNNNNNNNNNNNNNNNNNNNNNNNNNNNNNNNNNNNNNNNNNNNNNNNNNNNNNNNNNNNNNNNNNNNNNNNNNNNNNNNNNNNNNNNNNNNNNNNNNNNNNNNNNNNNNNNNNNNNNNNNNNNNNNNNNNNNNNNNNNNNNNNNNNNNNNNNNNNNNNNNNNNNNNNNNNNNNNNNNNNNNNNNNNNNNNNNNNNNNNNNNNNNNNNNNNNNNNNNNNNNNNNNNNNNNNNNNNNNNNNNNNNNNNNNNNNNNNNNNNNNNNNNNNNNNNNNNNNNNNNNNNNNNNNNNNNNNNNNNNNNNNNNNNNNNNNNNNNNNNNNNNNNNNNNNNNNNNNNNNNNNNNNNNNNNNNNNNNNNNNNNNNNNNNNNNNNNNNNNNNNNNNNNNNNNNNNNNNNNNNNNNNNNNNNNNNNNNNNNNNNNNNNNNNNNNNNNNNNNNNNNNNNNNNNNNNNNNNNNNNNNNNNNNNNNNNNNNNNNNNNNNNNNNNNNNNNNNNNNNNNNNNNNNNNNNNNNNNNNNNNNNNNNNNNNNNNNNNNNNNNNNNNNNNNNNNNNNNNNNNNNNNNNNNNNNNNNNNNNNNNNNNNNNNNNNNNNNNNNNNNNNNNNNNNNNNNNNNNNNNNNNNNNNNNNNNNNNNNNNNNNNNNNNNNNNNNNNNNNNNNNNNNNNNNNNNNNNNNNNNNNNNNNNNNNNNNNNNNNNNNNNNNNNNNNNNNNNNNNNNNNNNNNNNNNNNNNNNNNNNNNNNNNNNNNNNNNNNNNNNNNNNNNNNNNNNNNNNNNNNNNNNNNNNNNNNNNNNNNNNNNNNNNNNNNNNNNNNNNNNNNNNNNNNNNNNNNNNNNNNNNNNNNNNNNNNNNNNNNNNNNNNNNNNNNNNNNNNNNNNNNNNNNNNNNNNNNNNNNNNNNNNNNNNNNNNNNNNNNNNNNNNNNNNNNNNNNNNNNNNNNNNNNNNNNNNNNNNNNNNNNNNNNNNNNNNNNNNNNNNNNNNNNNNNNNNNNNNNNNNNNNNNNNNNNNNNNNNNNNNNNNNNNNNNNNNNNNNNNNNNNNNNNNNNNNNNNNNNNNNNNNNNNNNNNNNNNNNNNNNNNNNNNNNNNNNNNNNNNNNNNNNNNNNNNNNNNNNNNNNNNNNNNNNNNNNNNNNNNNNNNNNNNNNNNNNNNNNNNNNNNNNNNNNNNNNNNNNNNNNNNNNNNNNNNNNNNNNNNNNNNNNNNNNNNNNNNNNNNNNNNNNNNNNNNNNNNNNNNNNNNNNNNNNNNNNNNNNNNNNNNNNNNNNNNNNNNNNNNNNNNNNNNNNNNNNNNNNNNNNNNNNNNNNNNNNNNNNNNNNNNNNNNNNNNNNNNNNNNNNNNNNNNNNNNNNNNNNNNNNNNNNNNNNNNNNNNNNNNNNNNNNNNNNNNNNNNNNNNNNNNNNNNNNNNNNNNNNNNNNNNNNNNNNNNNNNNNNNNNNNNNNNNNNNNNNNNNNNNNNNNNNNNNNNNNNNNNNNNNNNNNNNNNNNNNNNNNNNNNNNNNNNNNNNNNNNNNNNNNNNNNNNNNNNNNNNNNNNNNNNNNNNNNNNNNNNNNNNNNNNNNNNNNNNNNNNNNNNNNNNNNNNNNNNNNNNNNNNNNNNNNNNNNNNNNNNNNNNNNNNNNNNNNNNNNNNNNNNNNNNNNNNNNNNNNNNNNNNNNNNNNNNNNNNNNNNNNNNNNNNNNNNNNNNNNNNNNNNNNNNNNNNNNNNNNNNNNNNNNNNNNNNNNNNNNNNNNNNNNNNNNNNNNNNNNNNNNNNNNNNNNNNNNNNNNNNNNNNNNNNNNNNNNNNNNNNNNNNNNNNNNNNNNNNNNNNNNNNNNNNNNNNNNNNNNNNNNNNNNNNNNNNNNNNNNNNNNNNNNNNNNNNNNNNNNNNNNNNNNNNNNNNNNNNNNNNNNNNNNNNNNNNNNNNNNNNNNNNNNNNNNNNNNNNNNNNNNNNNNNNNNNNNNNNNNNNNNNNNNNNNNNNNNNNNNNNNNNNNNNNNNNNNNNNNNNNNNNNNNNNNNNNNNNNNNNNNNNNNNNNNNNNNNNNNNNNNNNNNNNNNNNNNNNNNNNNNNNNNNNNNNNNNNNNNNNNNNNNNNNNNNNNNNNNNNNNNNNNNNNNNNNNNNNNNNNNNNNNNNNNNNNNNNNNNNNNNNNNNNNNNNNNNNNNNNNNNNNNNNNNNNNNNNNNNNNNNNNNNNNNNNNNNNNNNNNNNNNNNNNNNNNNNNNNNNNNNNNNNNNNNNNNNNNNNNNNNNNNNNNNNNNNNNNNNNNNNNNNNNNNNNNNNNNNNNNNNNNNNNNNNNNNNNNNNNNNNNNNNNNNNNNNNNNNNNNNNNNNNNNNNNNNNNNNNNNNNNNNNNNNNNNNNNNNNNNNNNNNNNNNNNNNNNNNNNNNNNNNNNNCCAUGACAUUUUCAGGACUUGUAAACUUAUCUCCUAGUAUUAAGCAUUCCUGUGAAGUCAUCCUUCAAGUUUCGAAUGGGAGAACUUGGUCUGUUGGUUUGAGCAAAGGAAGGCCCAGAUUCAGGCGUGGUUGGAUGGACGUUGUGCGUGACAAUCAUUUGGAAGUUGGUGAUCUGUGUCUUUUUGUGUUGAUUUCCAGCAAAAGUACACCUUUAUUUGAUCUUGUCAUUUUCCGCUCUGGAGAAGGUGCAAAGUGCACCAAUGAUGGGGAGCAAAUAGUACCUACGAAGGAAGAAACUGAUAAUGAAGAUGGAGAUUCGAGUGAUGAUUCUAGUAACGAUUCGAGUUAUAUUAGGUUGUUUUGUUAAAGGGUUUUAUGUGUAUGCUUUGCGAUCUGUUAAUAAUGUGCUUAUAGGUAUGGGUUCAUGGAUUUUCUGUUUAAUGGGUUCAUGGAUUACAUUAUCUGUUAUGUUGAAUUGGGAAUGGAUUUAAUUUUGUCGUAUCUUUUAAUCACCCUAUGUUAUGUUGAAUUGGGAAUGGAUUUAUUGUUUUCAUGCUUGGUUUCAUGUAUAUGUUGGUUUCUUGCUUGGUUUCAUAUAUAUGUUGUGUUCUUAAUGGGUUUUGUGUUCUUGAAAAUAAACUGAGACACGACGAAUUUUAGGGCAUACGACGACGAUUACACGACGGUUUUUUUAAACUACCGUCGUUGUAUUACUUAUACACGACGGUUUUUUCAUAAACCGUCGUUUGUAUUACUUAUAAUAGACGACGUCUGUUGAAAAUCCGUCGUCUAUAUAUGCCAAGUACGUCUGUUUUUGUUUAAAACCCGUCGUCUCUGUUGUGUAUUACUUGCGAUUAGAUCAUUGUAUAAUCUGCUAUAGUGAUGGUCAUUGCCUGUAUUUUCACUUUAUUAUAGAUAAUAGGUUAUAGUGUCGGAGAUGGAUAAGUCAUGGAUGCACUCGGAUAGAAGAUCGAAGGCAUAUGAAUUUGGGGUGGAAGCAUUUUUGAACUUUGCUGUAGAAAAUCUUCUAACUACAACACAUAUCCGUUGUCCAUGUGUUAAAUGUGUUAAUUUGAAGUUGUUUGGGGUUGGAAUUAUAAGGGAUCACUUAUACUUUAAUGGAAUUGACCAAAGCUAUAAGAAUUGGACAUUUCACGGAGAACCUUGGGAAGCAACUACUAAUGCUAGUAGAAAUGUUGAAGAAGAUGAUGGCCAUAGUAGGUACAGUUUUGUGUCUGAAGAAAUUGAUAUGGAUGAUAAUGAUUUUGGUGAUUUUGGUGAUUUUGGUUCGGAUCCGUAUGAGUUUGCCAAUGUGAUUGGGGAUGGAGAUCAACCAGUGUACCCUGGUUGUAGAAAGUACACGAAGUUAUCGGCAUUAGUGAAGUUGUAUAAUUUGAAGGCAAAACAUGGGAUGAGUGAUGUCUGUUUUACAGAAUUAUUGAUACUUCAAGGCGAUUUGCUUCCAGAAGGAAAUACAAUACCAACCUCCAUGUAUGAGGCUAAAAAGACUUUGUGUGCAUUGGGGCUGAGUUAUGAGAAAAUACACGCAUGCCCCAAUGAUUACAUCUUGUAUAGGAAGGAGUAUGAGGAUUCAACUAAUUGUCCUACUUGUGGUAUCUCAAGGUGGAAGGAAGGCAAAGAUUCAAUCUUGAAAGAGGGUGUGCCAGCGAAGGUGGUGUGGUAUUUUCCCCCAAUUCCAAGGUUUAAAAGGAUGUUUCAAUCACAUGAGACAGCUAAGAGUUUGACUUGGUGGCAUGCUGCUAGAAAAUCAAUUGACGGUCAGAUGUCUCAUCCGGCGGAUUCCCCGUCUUGGAAACUUCUUGAUGAUAAAUGGCCUGAGUUUGGUAAUGAGCCGAGAAACUUGAGAUUGGCUCUUUCAUCUGAUGGAUUCAAUCCCCACAGUUCUCUAAGUAGCAGAUAUAGUUGUUGGCCGGUUAUCUUAGUUACAUAUAAUCUCCCUCCAUGGCUGUGCAUGAAACGAAAGUUCAUGAUGUUAACCUUAUUGAUUUCCGGUCCUAAACAACCCGGAAAUGAUAUAGACGUCUACUUGGAGCCUUUGAUUGAUGAUUUAAAAUCCUUGUGGGUUGGGAUUAGAGGAGUGUAUGAUGCACAUAAUGGAGAAUACUUUACACUCAGAGCUGCAUUAAUGUGGACAAUUAAUGAUUUCCCCGCCUAUGGAAACUUAUCUGGUUGUGUUGUUAAAGGAUAUAAAGCUUGUCCAAUCUGCGGCGAUGAUACACCUAGUCACAGGUUGAAAAAUGGCCACAAAAUUUGUUACAUUGGGCAUAGAAAAUGGUUACCAAUCAAUCAUCCAUAUAGGAGGCAACGUGCAGCUUUUAAUGGGAAACCUGAAUAUGGCAUACCUCCCGAGCCAUUAACCGGAGAAGAAGUGCUGCAUAUGGUUGAAAAUGGUGACAGAGUUUGUUGGAAGAAGAAAUCAAUAUUCUUUGAUCUCGAGUAUUGGAAAUACCUUCCUGUGAGGCAUGCCCUAGAUGUUAUGCACAUUGAGAAGAAUGUUUGCGAUAGUAUCAUUGGUACAUUGCUGGAGAUCCCUGGAAAAAAUAAAGAUGGGAUUGCUGCUCGAUUAGAUUUAUUGAACAUGGGGGUCAAAACUGAUUUGCAACCCGAGUAUGGAGAAAGACGUACUCGUUUGCCUCCUGGGCCUUGGAAUUUGUCAAGAGCAGAGAAGAGAGAGGUUUGCAAUUCUUUCUAUGGUAUGAAGGUCCCUGAAGGUUAUUCUUCAAAUAUUAAAAAUCUUGUAUCUUUACAAGAUUCAAGACUUCUUGGCCUUAAAUCACAUGAUUGUCAUACCUUAAUGCAACAAUUGCUCCCUGUGGCAAUUCGUUCUGUUUUGGAGAAGCCUGCAAGGUAUGCAAUAACUCGUUUGUGCUUCUUCUUCAAUGCUAUAUGUGCAAAGACUGUUGAUGUUUCCAAGCUAGAUAAGUUGGAAGAAGAUGUAGUAGUUACUCUGUGUUUGCUUGAGAAGUACUUUCCCCCUUCAUUCUUUGAUAUCAUGGUUCAUCUAGUAGUACAUCUUGUCAGAGAAGUUCGUCUAUGUGGGCCAGUAUAUUUUAGGUGGAUGUAUCCGUUUGAAAGAUAUAUGAAAGUGCUGAAGGGGUAUGUUCAGAAUCGUACUCGUCCCGAAGGUUGCAUUGCUGAGCGGUAUAUAGCUGAAGAAGUGGUAGAGUUUUGUACUCAGCAUUUAUCUGAUGUUAGUACAGUUGGAGUGCCUUCAAGCCAAAAGAUGGGACUUUCAAAGCCAUUAUCAGGUUGCACAGUGAGCGUAGUUGAUCAGGACCUGUUGAAUCAAGCACAUCUAUAUGUCUUGGAGAAUACGGAGGAAGUCCUACCUUAUAUCGAGUACGUAUGAGCUUUAUUCUUUAAGUUUCCAUUUUAAAUUAUUUCUUAUGUUUAUCUUCUAUAUUUGGGACCGUAAUGCUUGAAUUUUUCGUGUCAUGUAGGCAACAUAUGAUCCACAUCAAGAUUGCUUAUCCAAAAUUUAGAAAGAGAACAAAGUGGCUGCAGGAUAAGCACAAUAGCACUUUCAUUCAAUGGCUACGCUUCAAGGUAUAUGUUGUUGAAUAACAUAUUUCUCUUUUAAUUUUCUUCUUAUUUAUAUGUUAGAUUGAAUUAAGAUAUGAUUAAUUUGCAGGUUCAAAGUGAACUUGAGGAAGACAAUCAUGGCGUAUCAGAAAAUUUAAGGUGGCAAGCAGCUGGUCCAAACAUGUCAGUGCCAUUAUAUAGGAGCUAUCUUAUUAAAGGUAUUAAAUUCAAUAUCAAGGCACAAGAUGAUGUGCGGACAACUCAAAAUAGUGGAGUUUAUUUACUUGCACAUACCAUGCAAGUUGCUAGUGCCAAGGAUAAAAACCCAAUUCUCUCAAAUAUGGGUUUCUAUGGUGUCAUUCAAGAAAUUUGGGACCUUGACUACCAAAAGUUUACAAUCCCAGUCUUUAGGUGUGAUUGGAUAGAUAGUUCUGGUCUUGUAGUCGACGAACUUGGAUUUACCCUUGUAGAUUUGAGUAAAAUUGGACAUAGGAAUGACCAAUUUGUUUUGGCUUCUCAAGUCAAACAAAUAUUUUUUGUUGACGACCCGAUGCAUCGUGGUUGGUCGGUAGUGUUAUCAAUGCCUAAUAGAGAAUAUAAUGAUGUUAUUGGUGAUGAAGUCUUAGGUGAUGUGAUAAUUGAGUGUGAGCCAUUUACUAGAGGGAUGCCAAAUGUUGACACAUUUGAUGAACUGGUGGGUGAGUUAGGCGGUCAAAAUAUUCGAGAUGGGUGUGAAGAUAUAUGGAUUGAAUGAUGCUUAUGUAAUUGGCAGUGUAUGACAUUAAUUUUGUAAUAUAUUGUAAUGUGAUUUCUUCACUUUCUACGUUCAAAUAAAACACGACGUUAUUGUGAACCAGUUAUUCAGCAUAUUUACCGACGUCUUAAAGCAACGUAAUAAUGAAGAACCACGACGCAAUUGUGAAGCAAUUAAUCAGGAUAUCACGUCGGGGAAGGAUUAAGAACCGCCAUGUAAUUCAAAAUAACACGACUCCAAUCCCAUAAUACCGACGUCUAAAAAACGAGAUAUAUAAUCUGAACGUUAAAAAAUACGACGUCAUCAUACAUUUUCCACGUCGCAAGUUCUUUUAUAAACGAAGAGGAACGAAAUGAAUUCCGACGGAAAUUCAUUAUAACCGCCGUCUAAUAACAAUUAAACGACGUUAUUUGUAAUACGGCUCUCAUCAUAAUCAACGCCGUCUAUAUGUUCUGUAAUACGGCUCUCAUUUAUUUGGAACCGACGUUGUUUAGAAGUUCAACGUCGUCUAUAUUAUUAAGUGCGUCGUGAGUAAUGAUGAUAGAUAUAAAUACAACGUCGACUAUAUAAAUGCCACCGACGUUGUUUCGCAUUUCAACGUCAACUGUAUAAAUACAUACGUCGUAAAUAAUGACACUGACAACUAUUUCCACGUCAUCUUUUUUAGAAAAAUCGAAGUGGAAAAUUUAUUUCACGACGGUUGUUUGUAAAUAAGAGACGUAGUAUAUUUCAAUAACGUCGUCUUCUCAUGUAUUUAAAGACGUCAUAUUUUUUCUUGUCAUGUAAAUUAUAUUUAACGGCGUAGUAUUUUAGUUGUCGUCGUUGUAUGUAUAUCUUGCGGCCUUGUUCUUUUAACAUGUGUCAUAUUUUUCCUUUUUAACGACGGUGAUUUGUUUGAGUUGGUCGUCUAUUCUCAUCCUCGACUAUUUUCUAGAACUUUAGCAGACUAAACACGUCUGUUUUUAUUGUUUUCCGACGUUGUUUUAUUUAACAACGUCUAAUAUUUAUCGUCGUUGUUUGUUUCUGAAAAUAUGACGUAUAAAUUUUGUAAUACGACUCUCAUAUAUUUGUAACCGACGUUGUUUCGUUUUUCAACGUCUACUCAAUAAAUACAUACGUCGUAAAUAAUGACACUGACAACUAUUUCCACGUCAUCUUUUAUCGAAAAAUCGAAGUGAAAAAUUAAUUUUACGACGGCUGUUUUUAUAUAUGCGACGUAGUAGGUAUCAAUAACGUCGUCUUCUAAUGUAUUUAAAGACGUCAAAUUUUUUAUUGUCGUGAAAAUGAUAUUUAACGGCGUCGUAUUUUUAUUUUCGUCGUUGUAUGUCUAUCUUGCGGCCUUGUUCUCUUAAUAUGUGUCAUAUUUUUCCUUUUUAACGACGGUUUUUUUAGAGAGUUGGUCGUCUAUUCUCAUCCUCGACUGCUUUUUUAGAUCUUUUUGCAGUACAAAGACGUCGUUUUGUAUUUGUUGAUGACGUUGUAUAUUUUAACAAUGACGGUGAUUUAGCGUCGUGGUUUAUGAGGGAAAAGAUGACGGUGGAUUCCACGACCAUUGAAAAACCGAAUACACGACGGUGAUUUACCGUCGUCUUUUUGCUUUUUUGUAGUAGUGCAAGUCUCUAAUUUUAAUCGACAACGGAAUAAUCCUUACUCCAACACUUAUAACCCAGGAUGGAAGAACCAUCCGAAUUUUUCAUGGAGUAAUAACCAAAAUGUACAGGGACCUCCACCUGGUUUCACACCUCAAGAAAAGAAGCAUGGAUUGGAGGAUAUAAUUACUCAACUUGCUGGAAAUGUCAACACUCUCUCUGUCAAUACAAAUCAAUUUAUGAGCAAAAUCGAGACGACCCUUCAGAACCAAGCUGCCUCUAUUCGAAACUUGGAGGUUCAAAUGGGCCAGCUAGCUAAUGUAUUGACAGGAAGAGUAAAUGGAGCUUUGCCAAGCCAAACAGAGAUUAAUCCGAAAAACCAAGAACAUGCGAAGGCGAUAACUCAUCGGAAUGGAGGCCAAUAAAAACAGCAGUAGACUUGGAUGAAGAAAAGAAUAUCCAGCAACAAACUGCAGAGACAUCAGAAAUUACUAACGGGCCGUCGUCGUCGUCUAUCACUGCUGGAACUGUUGCACAACUUGAUGAAAUUUCUCCAGAAAUUGAACCUGCUACUGUAGAUAAAUUAUCUCAACCUGCUGCCCUUGUAAAGCCAUAUGUACCGCCAAUUCCGUUCCCUCAACGUCUUCGAAAAAACAAAGUGGAUGCCCAAUUUUCGUAAUUUCUUGAUAUCUUCAAGAAAUUACAAAUAAAUAUUCCUUUUGCCGAUGCUUUGGUGCAAAUGCCGAGUUAUGCCAAAUUCAUGAAGGAUAUUAUAUCAAAGAAGAGGAAAUUGGGCGAACAUGAGAUAGUGAAAUUAUCCGAAGAAUGCAGUGCUAUUUUGCAGAGGAAGCUACCACCUAAGCUAAAGGAUCCAGGGAGUUUUACUAUACCUUGCACUAUUGGAACCAUUUACUUUGAAAAAGCUUUAUGUGAUUUAGGAUCCAGUAUUAAUCUAAUGCCUUCUUCUGUUGCUAAACAUAUUGGGUUGGGGGUAAUUAACCCAACCACUGUUUCUUUGCAGAUGGCAGACAGGUCCAUAACAUAUCCCAGAGGCAUAAUUGAGGAUGUGUUAGUCAAAGUUGAUAAGCUCAUUUUUCCAGCAGAUUUUUUGAUUUUAGACAUGGAAGAAGAUGUCGAAACCCUUAUUAUCUUAGGCCACCCCUUUCUAAAAAUCGGGAAGACAUUAAUUGAUGUGGACAAAGGUUUAUUAAUUUUUCGAGUGGCUGAUGAGCAGAUGACCUUCAAUGUCUUUGAAGCAACAAAGUACCCAGUGGAAUCAGACUCUUGCUUCCGAGUGGAUAUAGUGGAAAAAGUUGUCUAUGAACAAUUUAAAGAAGAACAUCCAUGUGAUCCAUUGGAGGCUUGCCUUGUGCAUUCCGUUACUACUGAGCAUGAGGAUCCUAAAAUUUCUGAGAUGGUGUACUUUUUGGAAGCAAUGAAACCGCGCCCCCCUGGAAGGUGGCGCGAAUUUGAGGAGCUUGGCGUCACAACCUCCAAGCCACAACCCAGUGUCAUUACUGCACCAACCCUCACAUUGAAGCCCCUACCUUCCCACUUAAGAUAUGCAUACUUGGGUAAUUUUGAAACUCUUCCUGUGAUCAUUGCUGCAAAUUUGAGUAAACUAGAAGAAGAUAAAUUACUACGAGUUUUGAGGGAGCAUAAAACGGCAAUAGGGUGGACUAUUGCAGAUAUUAAGGGACUUAGCCCUUCCAUGUGUAUGCACCGUAUUCUGAUGGAAGAUGAUUUUAAACCUUCAGUUGAGCAUCAGCGCCGAUUAAAUCCGAAUAUGAAAGAAGUUGUGUGAGCUGAAGUAUUAAAGUUAUUAGAUGUUGGAAUAAUUUACCCGAUUUCAUAUAGUAGUUGGGUGAGUCCAGUUCAAGUCGUACCGAAAAAAGGGGGUAUUACAGUGGUGAAAAAUGAUAAGAAUGAGUUGAUCCCGACAAGAACAACUACAGGAUGGCGUGUCUGCAUAGACUACAGGAAAUUGAACAUUGCGACAAGGAAAGAUCACUUUCCCUUGCCUUUCAUUGAUCAGAUGUUGGAAAGACUUGUUGGGCAUUCAUAUUAUUAUUUUUUAGAUGGAUAUUCUGGGUAUAAUCAAAUUCCAAUUGCACCUGAAGAUCAAGAAAAGACGACGUUCACAUCCCCAUUCGGCACUUUUGCAUACAGGCGCAUGCCCUUCGGGUUAUGUAACGCCCCUGCCACCUUUCAACGUUGCAUGAUGAGCAUCUUUUCGGACAUGGUGGAGCGCUUCAUUGAGGUUUUUAUGGAUGACUUUUCUAUUUUUGGCUCAUCAUUUGAUUCUUGUUUACAUAAUUUGGCAUUAGUUUUGAAAAGAUGUGAAGAAACCAAUUUGGUUUUGAAUUGGGAGAAAUGCCAUUUUAUGGUGCAAGAAGGGAUAGUCUUGGUGCAUAAAAUUUCAGCUAAAGGCAUAGAGGUUGAUAAGGCAAAAAUUGAUACCAUAGAGAAAUUGCCACCGCCCACUAUAGUAAAGGGGAUUCGAAGCUUUCUGGGUCAUGCUGGAUUUUAUCGGCGGUUUAUCCAAGAUUUUUCCAAAAUCACGAAGCCCUUAUGCAAUCUCCUUCUUAAAGAUGUAGAAUUUAAUUUUGAUUCAAGGUGUUUGGAAGCAUUUAAUGUCUUGAAAGAGAAGCUUACUUCUGCACCUGUCAUUGUCGCACCGGAUUGGGACUUGCCUUUUGAGAUUAUGUGUGAUGCUAGUGACUAUGCGGUAGGGGCAGUUUUGGGUCAAAAAAGAAAUAAAUUACUUCAUGUAAUUUAUUAUGCCAGUCGUACUUUGAAUGACGCCCAGCGGAAUUAUACCACCACGGAGAAAGAAUUGUUAACAAUAAUCUUCUCCUUGGAUAAAUUUCGAUCCUACUUGAUUGGAGCGAAGGUGAUAGUGUAUACCGAUCACUCAGCUUUAAAGUAUUUACUUUUGAAGAAGGAUGCAAAACCACGAUUAAUUCGCUAGGUACUACUGCUCCAAGAAUUUGAUCUUGAAAUUCGAAACAAAAAGGGUCCGAAAACGUGGUAGCUGACCAUCUUUCGCGGCUGGUUAGUGAGGUCAAGAUGAGUGAUGAUGCUGCACCCAUUAUGGAGAUGUUCCCUGAUGAACAAUUGUAUGCCAUUCGAUCAUCCGAAGCUCCCUGGUACGCUGACUUUGUGAAUUAUUUAGCUAGUACUAUCAUUCCAACUGAUUUAUCAUUUCAUCAGAAGAAGAAGUUUUUCUCCUUGGUUAAACAUUAUUAUUGGGAUGACCCAUAUUUGUGGAAACAUUGUCCUGACCAAGUUAUACGGAGAUGUGUGCCUGAGGAGGAGAUGGAAGACAUAUUGCGACAUUGCCACACAUUGGCGUGUGGGGGGCAUUUUGGUGCCUCCAAAACAGCAGCCAAGGUAUUACAAUCUGGAUUUUUUUGGCCAACUUUGUUCAAGGAUGCCUAUGCAUUUGUAGCUGCCUGUGAUCGAUGCCAACGCACUGGAAAUAUCUCUAGCAGAAAUCAGAUGCCAUUGAAUAAUAUUCUAGAGGUUGAAUUGUUCGAUGUCUGGGGAAUAGAUUUCAUGGGACCUUUCCCUGAAUCUUGGAAGAACAAGUACAUAUUGGCGGCUGUUGAUUAUGUGUCGAAAUGGGUUGAAGCCGUUGCUCUCCCUACCAAUGACUCCAAAGGGUGUUGUCAAAUUUGUCCGAAAAAAUAUUUUCACCAGAUUUGGGACUCCGCGUGGAAUCAUCAGUGACGGAGGUACACACUUUUGCAAUCGUCAAUUUAAUUCUCUUUUAGCUAAAUAUGGUAUUACCCACAAGGUUACUACUCCCUAUCAUCCACAAACUAGUGGACAAGUUGAAGUUUCCAAUAGAGAAUUAAAACGAAUUUUGGGAAAGACGGUGAGUGCUUCAAGAAAGGAUUGGUCACUGAAAUUGGAUGAUGCCUUAUGGGCCUAUCAAACGGCGUUCAAAACACCAAUUGGCAUGUCUCCUUAUCGUCUAGUUUUUGGGAAAGCUUGUCACUUACCGGUUGAGCUCGAACAUAAGGCACAUUGGGCACUCCAAACACUCAAUUUUGACAUGAUUGUAGCAGGAGAAAAACGGGCAAUUCAAUUGAAUGAUAUGGAUGAGUUUCGUAAUGAAGCUUAUGAGACUUCCAAGAUAUACAAGGAGCGUACAAAGAAAUGGCAUGAUAAGCAUAUUCUAAGGAAGGAUUUCUUCGCUAGUCAGAAAGUUCUCCUAUUUAAUUCCCGCCUCCGACUCUUUCCCGGGAAGCUGAAAUCACGUUGGUCUAGACCAUUUACAAUAGUGCAAGUAUUUCCUUCUGGAGUUAUUGAGGUUAGGCAUGACGAAUAAGGUACUAUUUUCAAAGUAAACGGCCAACGAGUGAAGCCAUACUUGGAAGUCAAUUUUGAUCAACAACGGGCUUCCAUUCCUCUGCAUGAUCCAAAGUGAUGACCUCUCAAGUCGGGCUGGGGACUAUAAACCAAGCGCUUGUUGGGAGGCAACCCAACUAGGUACCUUCGUUUGUUUUUAUUUUAUUUUGUUUUGUUUUCCCUUUAUUUUCCAUCCUUCUAUGCCUUUACUAAUUGUUACAUGCAUUUACUUUAAACAUUGAGGACAAUGCUUAGUUUAGGUUUGGGGGUGUGGAGUUUUGUUGUUUUUGUUUGAGUUUUGAGUCAUAAAGUUGUUUUUUGUUUGAGGUUUGAGUCAUAAAGAAAAAAAAAAAAAACAGAUUUUGUGUUCCAAAGAAAGGAUUUUGUGUUUCAAACAACAUUUCUCAAUUUUUUCUAGCCCCAUGAUGAUUGCAAACAUGUUCCAGAUGUGUUACAGAUGUUGUUUUGGCCAUUAGAUGACUUUAAAACCCAGAAAAUAGCAAAAUAGGUUAUUAUGUUCUUAUUUUGGUCAAAAUCAAAAAUUUUGCCUAUUUUCCUUUUUGAUGUUUUUCGGCAAAUUUGAAGCCACCAACAUGUUUAGAAUGGUUAUUAUGAUGAUUUGAAAGUGUUUUGGGGGUCUCAAGUGCUUUACAUGACGUUUUAGGGAGAUUUGAAGUUAAAAAAGUGGCCUAAAACCCAAAAAAGACUAGCUGCUAUCUACCCAGAAAUAUGAAGCUUAGCGACGGUGUUCAUCAGAUUUUUCGUUGCUAAAGGGUUUUUAGCGACGGUGUUCAUCAGAUUUUUCGUCGCUAAAGGUCGAUUUUUCGUCGCUAAAGGUCAAUUUUCCAGAAUUUUCUAAUUUCAUUCCAAAUCAAUUAUGAUCCAUUCCAUUUGUGAUCAGAGGUUUCUAUGAGCUAUUCCAGGUGUGUCCUCUUCCUUUUGAUGAAAUUUCUUUAUCCCUAAGCAAUUAUGGCCCAUACAUUCACUCACAUUUGUUUGGAAAAAAAAAUCACAAAAUGCCUUUAACUUUUAAAAAUAAAAAUUUUGUUAAAGCUUUUACUUUCUCUUACUAAUAGUGAUGUAUAUGUGAUGUUUGAUCAUAUUUCUUCAACUAAAGUGUUGCCAUGAAAGUUUAUGCACCAUAAGUAUAGCACUUCACAUGGCCAUGCUUCAAGUAUUUUAAUAGACAAGCUAGCUAUACUUGGAUGAUUGUGGAGAAAUAGUGGAGACUACCAUUGUGAGAUACUUGAGCCAAAUUGCCAUUCAUUGAGAGAGUAUUUGGGAUUAGUCUUAUUCACUAUUUUCUUUCUUUCUUAUUUAAAUUGAUCUCAAUUAGACUUUUGAAUUGAAUAGUAAGAACUAAUCUCUAUUUUUGGAAUCAUCUCAUGCUUUUACUUUUGAGUUGGAUGGACCUUGAGAGAUGAUGUUAGGCUAUGCAUGUUCUAACCACUAAAUAAAACAUCAUGUCCUACCCAUUGUGUGUGCCAUCAACCCUUUGAAGCCAAACACUUAGCCUUUUCUUUCAUCACCCACAAUAUUUCCUUGCCCUUUUCACCCUAUUUUUAGCCAUACCCUAUAACUUGGGAUAUGCCAUGGCAUGAAAACAAGGAUGAAGGUUAAGAGGUGGCGUGUACCGAGGAAAUAUGUGCUUAAAAAUAAAUAAACAAAUACAAAGAAAAAAAAAAGAGAAAAAAAGAAAAGAAAAGAGAAAUCUAUUUUUUAAAAAAAUGUGAAGCAUAUCAAAAAUCCUAGAAGCCUCUGUGAAGUAAAUUUAAAGGCCGAGCCUUAUAACGUGAUAAAUGCCUUGGUAUGUCUCAAGUUCUAGUAUUUCCUUCCCUUUCUUUCAUACCCCAUAACCUAGCCCUUCAUUACAACCAUAGUAAAGACCUAACGGAUUUUUGGGGACUUCUUACUCAGAAGUAGAGGUAUGUACUUCAUCUAUGGUUUUUAGUAUUUGAUUUCCUUUCCAUGAGAUCUAUUGUUAGAAAUUGCCUUUUAUUCAUUCUUGGAUGCAUAUGUGUCUUAUAUUUUGAAUUCUUCACCUAACUUCAUUCACAUAUACGGGGUAAGAGUGCAACCCUAGGUUCUGUGAGAAAAUUGAGAGUUAUCCAGUGAGGCCUAGAGUUGAGGCGAAUUUGUACACACGCCGAAUGUGGUUAUCUUUUAUGUUUGAAUGCUUGGAGUUUUGGUUUUACACUUUACACUAUGGUGCAUUUUAUUUGUAGUGGCAUAACUUUAGUUUUUAAAUUGUGAUUGGCAUUCAUUGGUUAUUAUUAGUUUGUUGGACGUAUUGCUUUAACGAAUUUAUUUUGCAAGAAGUGUUUGUGGGUGCCGUGACUGGUAAACCCUCAGGAGACACAACUCCUCCUACUAGGGACACCUAGAGGUUUAAAGGCUUGUGGCACAUGCUAAGUGCCAUCGAGAUUACCUGCGAAAGUGGUUUAAUUUAGUUUGUUUGUUUUAAUUUAUUUUUGAUUUUCAGUUUUGCUCGAGGACUAGCAAAAGAUAGGUUUGGGGGUAUUUGAUAAGUCUAUAUUAUAUAUAUAUUUUAUGCCUCCUUUGCUUAUUUAUUUAUUAAUUUCUUGGAUUAAAUUGGUUGUUUUUAAUUGGUUUUGUGAGAUUUGUGAAGGAAUUGUGAAAUAGGAGAAAGUGUGCUAAAAAAGGCAAGAAGAUGAAGAUCAAUUAAAAAGAAGCCAAGUCAUUCUUUUUGUUGCAAGGAAUGUUGUCAAAUUUCCUAGUUCAAGAUGGUGCAAGUCUUAUCAAGUCAAACAAGGAGAAAUAAAGAAGACCUUAUUUUAGAAGGAAUCCUAUUUUUUUAACAAUUGUAAUUAUUCCUUAGGUAGGAUUUCUAGGAGUUUUAUAAAUAGGGAGUUUAGGUCAUUGUUGAAAGGAUCCAUUACCCAUCAUCAAUCCUCCAUCAUCUACCCUAAAAUUCCUACACAUUCAUACUCAUAGCUGAAAUACUCAAAGGAGAGAGAGAGUGUGUUUUAGAGAGACAAAGAAGACAACCUGUAGCUAGAGUUGCUGUCGUGCAGAGAUCAAAUUUCAAUUGGUUACUUCUUUCCUAGGAUAUUAUUUAUCAUGGUUUUUAUUAAAGUUGUCAUGAACUAAUUUCUUCUUGCUAGGGCUACGAUGUAGCCUAGCCAUGAAUACUCAAUUACUUUAGUCAAUGUUAAUUCUAAGUAUUUUUCCAUAUUGAGUAUCUAUUACCAUGCUUAAUGCUUUGAAUGUUUGGCCAACAUUUAAUUGUUUUGAUGCUAAAUUGACGAUAGGAAUAUCCAAUUUGGGGUUGCUUCUUGUAAUAGAUGCCAUGAGUUACAUGAUUAGACAGGGAUGUUUGUCAUGACUUAUGUGGUUGUUUUGUAGGUUUUCCAAGGAAUUUAAUGGGUUCUUAUUAUCUUAAUUCCAUUACUAGGGAUAGAGUGGGUUGGUAAUAAGAAUACUUUUGGUAUAACUAGGGAUGGAGUAUUGAAUAAAGUAGGGAAAAUCAACUGUCAACAUAGAGAAUAAUUAGGAUUAACAUGCUAAGGGAAUUGGGUAGAAUUGGCUAUGGUGAAAUCGGAAGCUCUAGUGCUCUCAUAACUUGAAUCUCACUACUUUAUUUUUCUACGCUUGUUUUUAUUCAUUGUUUUAGUUAAUUAAUCAAUCAAAUCUCAUCAUCAAUUGUUCAAAUAAAGUCUUGGGUUAAUCACAAUCGGUACUUGAUAAAUUAAAUCACUCUUCGUGGGAACGACACUUCACUCAUCACUAUAUUACUUGUGCGAAUUGUGCACUUGCAAUAAAUAUCACAACAAGCAUCCAUGCAUUGUUAUUAUUAAUCUGAUAUUUAGCAGUAUGAUUGUAUGUCACUUAAUAUAGUUAUAUCAAUUUCCUGUAGUAAGGUCUCAUGUCCCUACCGAGCGGUAGUUGCUCAUCCAUCACCCUGUUUAAUUUUUCAGAUGAAUUAGUGGGCAAGACAAGAACUAAACCAGUUGAGGCUGAAUUAGAUGAGAGUGAUAGAGGUUUAUUCAUUUCUUGUAAAGUUGUAAGAUUUUGGAGCUAUUUUUAUAAAGGAAGUUUAUUUUAAACUCAUGUUUUGGCUUUUUUUUAAAAAUAAUUUAUUUAUUCUUUUUAUUUUAUACUUUUUAUUUUCUCAUGCAUUGGGCGCAAGGUUUUCACCUAUCCCCGGAUCCGCGGCAUGACAACUAGUGCUGGAUCCAAUAUGCGUAAUGAUGGUUUGGUUUGAGGUGAUACUGUAUGGGGAAAGAGGGUUUUGAUGAUGGUAUUGAGAAUUUGCGUGGGGCAUGGAUGAAUGUUCCAGCUCGAAGGACACCUAAAGGUGUGACUCAGGAAGUUGGAGGCAAGGGAGGUCGAAAUAUGGGUUCUAGAUUUGAUGCGUUGAGACAGGUGGGUGAAAAUUUUGGGAUUGAUGGUAGGACUGAGAGGGUUGAGGCUACUCAAACUUUCACAGAGCAGUUGGGAUCAUCGAUUAGAGAUGCUGAAAAGGGAUAUAAAGUUUGGACCAAGUCUAAGGCUAAUAUCAUGGUAAGGCUAGAAUUGUUAUGAAUGACAUUUCUAAUAUGAAUCUCAAGGAAAAUGUAAAAGUGUGUGCUACUGUUGAUCAGUUGCUAGCUGUUCUAAAGUUAGUCAGUUGGUGAAUAAAAGUAAUCUGGUUUAUGAGGAUAAGAGAUUUGGUGGGAAAAUAUCUUUGAAUGACCAAUUGAAUAAUUGGACGAAGGGUCAGAAUUCGUAUCAGGCUAUAAGGGUCUAUCACUUUGGCCAUCAACCACCCAACAUAGCCACUAAUUGUUCUGAUACUGAGGAGGAGGUGGAUACUGAUGUCGAUGUUGAUUCUCUGGCUUCUUCUACUCAUGAGGGCUUGAUUCCAACAGAUACAAGGGACUUGGCUGCAGUUAAAGAUUCAGUUGUGAGAAGGAAGGAUGGAUGACAGGACCCGCCCCGGAAUUCCUCGGAGACCUGGACUGACCCCGUCUUGUUACCGACAUCACUCUUAUGCCGGGCCCACUUACUAAAAAUCGAGACAUUCUACCAAAAAUUUGGCAGAGUCUCCCCUGUAAAUUGAACAUUUCCCAAAUUCAACCUGCUCAAAAUUCACAGUUUAAUAAUACCCAACCGGCAGCAUGCUUUAAAGCGAAUAAACAGUUUACAACAAAGGUCUCUGGUCUCAUAAAUCAACCCUAGCAAGGGCAUAAUAACAGAGCAUAUCUAAGGAAUUCGAUUACAACAAAAACAAAGUUCAAAAGAAAUUAAAUGAACAAGGAGUCCUACGAAAGCUCAAGACUCGUAAGCACACGAUACGGCUCGACUGCGAAGCUCAAUCAACUACUAGCUAGGGGUGCAAAAUAGAAAAAUGUGAGUGGACAAACAUAAAGUUCAGUUCAGUGUAAACCAACAUAAUAUAACCCCACUGUUUAAUAAACCAUGCAAGAAAUCCAAAUGUAUCCCAAAACCAGCAUAACCAAGUAUAUUCAUAUAAAGUUAAAACAACACCGGAUGCCAAGUCCGAAAUCCAUAAAGAACACUUUACAAACCCACCAUUCAAAUAUUAAGUCCCAAACUAAACUCUCGAAAGCGUACCCCUUGGCACGACCGGCAAGGAAGUAUCCUCACCGAGAAACAAGAAUGAAUGAAUAGUUAUAUAUAUGUAAAUCUAUAAUAUAAGAUAUAUAUAUAUAUAAUAUAAAUAUGACCAUCACCUCGUUGUACCGGGGAAACAAUCCAACUGGGGGAUUGUUUGACAAGUCACCAUGACAGAGUCCUCAUGAAGAGUCCUUAAUUCACCAUGUGACUAGGGAACGAGCCGUCCAACUGGGGGACUAACUCUCAGCCAGCAUGUACAGUCGAUACCCUUAAAACUAGUACGUCUGUGACCAGUCCUACGCUCGCAGACUACCCAAUCAAGGGUCUACAACAACAUCCCUCAAGGAUGCCCCGGAUUCCGACAUCUCCAAGUAUCUCAAGUUUCCGUAUCCAAGUUCCAAAUCCGGGGAGGUACAUAGGGUAGUGCUUAUAGCAUUCCAAAAUGACAUUAUAGACACAUCACUUUCCACAAUCUCAUCUUAACAACCCAAGUACCCCACACAUAUCCAAACAUAUAUAAAAAUUCUCAAAAUCCAUAUAUACAUACUCAAGAUACUCAAAUAUGCCAAAACCCAAAAUAUAUUGCCAAUGCAUCAUAAAAAUAUCAAUUUCAACGAUUGAAUAAAUAAUAUAUCCAAUAUACCAUUUAAAACAUUAUGCAUAAGAUUUCCCAUCACAAAACCAUGCAUAAGAUUUGAAAACAAAGUCCACUCACAAGUAGUCCCACACUGCUUGACCCUGAGAGUGUCCGUCCUGCUGCGUACACCUGGUCGGAGUACCUAUUUCAGAAUACGAAUACGAGAUUAAUACAAAGCGUUUCAAAUGAGAACGUUGAAUUAAAUAUCCUAAUUUCUCAGGUUUAUAGCGAGUGCAUGAGGAACGGAACAAUUUGAAAGUUCCUAAGGCUUCCCCAAGGUUUAGGAUACACGUCCCGUAAGUCUGGUCCGAAACGGAUCGUUAGAUUGCUCAUGAUCGGACGGUUAUCGUAAAAUCCCAAACUUUAAAUUAUUGAAUCGGAACAUCCGGGGCUCCAAUUCACGAUCCACGAAUUCUUAUACGUUCCUAGGAAUGUCUAGAGUAACAUAUAUUGGAAUGGAGUCGAUCCAACCGUCCGAACAUGUCGAACCCGGAUAACUCCUAAUAUGUGAAAUUCGUUCGGGGUUCGAACGUCAACCAAAUUGGAAUCUGAAGGUACCUACGCACUCUUGUGGACCAAGAGAACACAUUGGCAUAAAAAUGCACCUUUGCUACAGUAUCCACAAGCCGGCAACGCGUGGGUGUUCAAAGCGAUAACGCUUCACCAAAAAAUCUCAACAUCUCGGCUCAAGACUCCUACCCUAGGUGUAACACUCUAAUUGGAGUCACUUUAUUUCUUGGACAUACCCCAAAAAGUGACCGGAAGUGGUCGGAAUCGGAAAUCCAAAAUGGGCCGAACCCUAAAUUGAAAAUCAACUAAAUAGGCUCAAAAUCAAAGAAAUCCUACCCAACCAUCAGCUAGAGCAUGGAAAAUAGUCGAAAAUUCAUACCUUACUCAACUGAAUCGGUGAAGAAAUGAGAGAGAACGAGAGGCUGAAAGUUUACAAAAAUUAUGCCCAAAACCGCCUGUUUUGUGGCUGUUUCCGGAGACCACGACAGCGGGUCGAGGCUGGGACCAGUUGAGAAUUGAAGAGGGAAGUGAGGCAGUUCUAACGGGACAGAGUGGCGACGAGUGGUGGCGGUGGCGACUUGGAGAAGUUGCUACUGUCGCACCAAAGGUGGGGUGGCUGUUUCGCGAGAGAGAGAGAGAGAGAGAGAGAGAGAGAGAGAGAGAGAGAGAGAGAGAGAGAGAGAGAGUUUUGAGAUUUGUAACAAAACAACUUUGAAGAAAUUACGGUUAUGCCACUGAGCUUGUUUUGCCUAUAACUUCUUCGUUACAACUCCGAAUCGAGCCUACUAUGUGUCUACGGACUCAUCUCAGUACAAUCUAUCUAAAAAUACCAGUCGUUGCUCCAAACUCUUUCUGGAUAAGAAAAGACUAAAAUACCCCUACCCCAAGAGUAAAUUCGUAAUUUCAUAUUUAAUUAACUUAAGUAAUUUAAUUUAGGAAUUUAAUUUAGAGUCGGGGUGUUACAAUGGAAUUGCUCAAUACUUGCUUGAUGUUAAGGACUUACAAUUACCUUUGCAAGGCCUUGCCUUAUGUAUUUACACAGAGCUUGGAUUUGGAUUCAGGAAUGGAAAUACUGUUGAGUUGGAACAAUAUGGUGUAAAAUUGGCUAAUAUAAUAUUUUAAUGAUUUUUUAGAAAAUGAAAAGUAAUUAGAAAUUGUUAUUCUUUUGAGGAAUAUAAUACACAAGCUAUACACUUCUUAUACAGAUACAAAUACAAAUACGAUAAUUAAUAUAUGUGAGUCAAAUCAAACAAAGUAAUAAAAAAUUAUGAUUCGACAUGAUGUUCAACUCUUAAUUGCAGCUCUAGAAAGUCAACAAUUUGCGUCACCAAACUCUCUCAUAGAGGUGUCAAAUGAACUGGGCCGGCCCGACAUGGCACGAACAUGGUCCACUCAAGUAAGACACGAUACGGCAUGAUUCAUAUCUUUGGGUCGUGCCGAGACUAAGUAAUUAGGUCUAAUGGUUCGGGCCGGCUCCUAACCUGUCGCAAACUAUACCAGCCGUAAAUCCAACAGAGCGGCCUAUUUAAAGCCCAUUUAUUAAAUUAUACUUAUUUUAGAGAAAAAUAAUACGUAAUAUUAUUACAUAUAUAUCUUAAAUUCAAGACUAUUUUUUUCCCUAAUAAUCUAUAUAUAUAUAUAUAUAUAAAAAGCAAAAGGUAGAGAAUGGAAAAAUAUUCAAAAUAUCAGAAAAUGCCCUUAGUUAAUGCAAACAUUAAGAAUUAAAAUUAUUAAUUAAAUGAGGAUAAUAUGGUAAAUUCACACUUUUUCAUAUUAAAAAAUUUUAUAAAAAAAAAUUAGAUAAUGGAUCCUAUUUUUAUAGAAUACAACUACCCAUUAUCUUUUUUUAUUCUAAAAUAAAAAAUAAAAUUUUUUUUAAAAAGCCUCUCGCAAGCUCGGAAGCGUGUGUGGAGUGGCUAGUAUAUAUUAAAAAUUAAUGUUUUCUUUAUAUAUUUUUAUUUUUUCAACUUUCAAUUUUUAAAACCCAAACAAUAAUCUAGCAAUUUUCUAUUUAAAUGUACUUUAAAUAAAGUUAUUGACCUUUUUUUGUUAACAAUAAUAAAUCUUAUUAGUAUAUACAUAAUUGUAAAAAAAAAAAGAUUUAAAUUAAGUUGUAAAAAAAAUUACAAAAAAAAAAAUGCAAUGCAUAAGUCAAAUUUGGCGUAUGCCCAUAUCGAAAAUGGCCCAACACAAGUGCGGCCCAAGCUCAUAUGGACUUGGGCCAUGAGCUCAAGCCAAAAUUGAUUUCUUAAAUGGGCAGGAUUGAUGAUUAUACACCACUACAUGUUGGUUUUAAGCCGUAGACGUCUUUUUUUUGUCGACUAAAAGCACUUUUGUGUUGUAAAAUAAACGAGAUUAUGCGAGAAUAUUGAGAUGUUUGUAAAGUAAAUGAGAUACAAUUUUUAACGAGGUUCGGCCUUGCCUACGUCCUCAGAGAGCAACAGCAGUAACUUUUCCACUAUGUAAAAUAACAAGCUACAACUUUAGUGUUUACAAUAUAUAUGACUCACUGAUUUUCCUCUGCUCUCUUUUUCUCUCCACUCACUCACCCUCAUUCUUCCCUUCCUUUCGUUCCUCUUUGCUUGGGCUCUCAUUUCUUUUCAGAUGGUUGGUGUGUAUCACGCAAGGGAAGGAUGAAGCCUUUUUAUAGGAAAAGUUGAUAGCUUUCCGUGAGUGUGCAAUAAACUCAUGCACCAAAGUCUUCAAACAAAUAGUAAGUGGGCUCCACUAAUUUAUUCUUUACAAUACUCCUCCUUGAAAACCACAAAAAAUAUGUUGGUUGCUUUAUCAGACUUUGCUUGGAGAAAAACUUAGUGAGGUAGAAAACUAAUGGAAGAAAGACGAGUACAACAAUCAGUAUAGCAUACUUCUGGAUGCUCCCCCUGAUGUCUUCAUGACCAUCUUUCUAGAGGGAGAAUCUUUACGACUGAGUGAGGAAUGUAGCCAUUAACAAUUCAUGUAGUUGAGUAAGUAAAUAUAUUUCCAAUGAGCUAUCUCUAUGUAAAUCAUAGAAAUUUCCAGAGUCCGCGUAUCCAACAAAACCUAGGCUAUUUGUAAGUUCACUUGAAAAGAAUAUGCCCGUAUAUGGUGUUAUGCAGAGAUAUCAUCAAAUAUGCCUCACAUCAUCCCAAAGUGAUGGUGACGGAGUUGAGCUUUAUCUGAAAAAUACAAUGUCCGGCCCAGUAUACUUCCGGAAAAUCAUUUAAUUGCCCAACGGAUAAUCCACAUAAAAAUGCUUUAAUACUUUCUUAGUAUAAGCAAGAAUCUCGUUGGCAUAAUGCUCGAUCUUUAGGCCAAGACAAAUAUUUCUUGAACUCUUCAGGAGUUUUGAUCAAUUAUCAACUCUUCAAGAGUUGUAAUGUGUUGCAACCAUAUCAUAAUUAAUGUACUCAUUGAGGCAAUUUAUACAUAUUAGUAUUGAGUACAAGAUUUGUGCUUCAGGCACAUGUCCACGAACUUGCUUCAUGCAAUUUCAAUCGUUCAAGGAUUUUAUUUAAGGGAUUACACUUUAUGACACAUUAUAUAGCUUUAGAUCUAGCUAUUUGUCAUGCUUGUACAUCUUUUAAUUAGGGAAUCGCUUCUGGCGAUAUUCUCUGUGCAUUUUAUAACCCUUAAAGAUAACAUGUUGGUCUCAUAAGUGCAAUAAGAAGGCACGAUUGCAUCUGUAAAUAUGGAGAACCUCAACAUUCCUUGUUUCUACUAGAAACAUUGUGUCAUACAAAGUGAGUAUAUUCCUCUUUAUUCUAAACACCCAAGUAUAACCUUCAGGGUUAACAUCUUUUGGGGUUCGUGUUAUGGGUUUGUUCUUUCACGUUCAUUCUCAUAUGUAAUGGAAUUGCCUCUUCCAUUUUUGGCCAAUGAUAUUGUCGACAUUUAAUAAUAGAACGUAGUUCCAAUCAACAUAGCCCAUUGAUGAUUUGAGUAGCUACUCCAAAACCAAAAAUUGUCAUUUAUCAAUUCAUGAUCCCACCACCGCAUGCAUCAAUUAUAAGUAUUUCUUUGCUUUUAAGUACCCAAGCCACUCAAGGGGGCUUUUAUUGUCUCUUUCCAGCUAGACAUCUCUUAUAAGAUGAAUUAUGUGAGAAUGUGGAUCAUAAUGCUCCAUAACCUCCAAUGGGGCAUUAUUUACAGUAGGGCGUGGAUAAUCUCCAUUUAGGGAGUUGAAACAUUUAGAACCCAUAUAUCUGUCAUGUUGCAAACAUGCCACAGAUUAAUACUCACAUGUUAAUGAAUUGUCCUUCUGGGACUUUAAACCAUGUAAUUUGCUAUGCAUUCGGCGUGCACCGUAUUAAUAUUGAUAUGUUAAUCGAUUGUCCUUUCGGGACUUCAAUCCAUAUCAUUUGCUAUGCAACAGGCGAGCAUCAUAUUGAUCACUGCUAUACCCAUGUUAUGUUCUUAUGAGACUUUAAUCUAUGCAGUGUAUUAUCAAUGUAUUCAACUUGCAAUCUAUGAAAUUUGCAUUAAUAAUUCAUGAAUACAUAUCAUAAUGAUAUAAGCCAUUCUUCUAGAAUGAUCAUAAUACAAGUCAUUCUUCUGGAACGAUCUAUAAUGCAAGUUAUUCUUUUGGAAUGGUCAUUUGCAUGGCGCUCUUCUAGAACGACCUUAUCUCCCCAUUUGGUUACCUUAAAGGAUAUCGUAUAUCAAAAUAAGAGUACAAGCAUGAAAUAACAAAAGUAGUGCUUACAUCCUUAGGUGGGAGAAACUUUUCUCAAAUAUCAUUGAAGCUCGUAUCGGCUUAGCAAAUAUAAUGUAGUGCUUGAUGAUCUAGUUUUGUCCUGCAAGAGCAAAAAUCACAAUUCUUCUAUCUCUGUCCAAAAAUAACCCUCAGUGUUAAGAUCACUACAUGGAUUCUUUCUUCAUAUAUUCUUUCUAAAGAAAUAAAAUCCAUUAUGAACAGAGAAUUAUAAAAGAAAGAAAAGAUACAAAGAAUUGUGAUAUUGAUUGCAAGGUAGGUAAGUAAUCAGGGAACGAAACUGGUGAGGUAACAGACAACAAACUCUCAUUUCUCCUAGUAUAGAAGAACUUCAGGAGACUAGAGCAUGUGGUCGUCUUUACAGCUCCCUGACAUCGCUGAAACAUAAUCAUGGAUAGUCUCGCUUCCUGAAUGGAUGAUCAGAGAUAGUCUCGCUUCUCAAGUAGAUCAAGUGCUCAUUGAUAAGAAAAACAGGUGAAUAUUGCAUCAUUAGAUAUGGAGAAUUGGAGAAAAUUUGAUGUAUUCUGCAAAGAAAAUUUCUUUAGUAACAUAUUUAUACAUAAAUGAGAGGAAUAGUUAGGUCCGGUGAAUCUCAAAUUAACCACAGAAAUUUGUGAGGUUCUCGGGGUGCUUUUGAAAAAGUAGGUCCGUGGAAUCCGCAAAGCAAAACCGGCUUUGACAAAAAUAAUCCUUGAAAAUACCUAAAGUUCCGACAAACAUUAAUGGAGGCCGCGUGAAGUUUUGGAAUCUAGAAAAGAAAAAAAGAAUAUGAGGAUCCGAGAAAAUAUUGGGAUCUCGGAAACGGUUGCCUCUACAAGGCCUGAUCUACGUUUAAACUCAACUUCCUUCCAUUUUUUGAAAAUUCAGCUUUUAUAAGACUUUCCUCAAACCCUCUUAAAAUGACUUCCUCUUCUUCUCGCCCAAAUCAUUUUGAUUUAAAUGUUGCCCCAAAAAUAAUCCGUAAUGCCAAAGUCUGGCGUCUAUCCUUUGUAUCCCAAAAUCGUCAUCUCACGGUUAAUGAUUCUGUGAUGAUGAAUGAUACGACUACUGUCAUAAUAGCUAGGAAUUUCCUUACUCCGAUGGAUGAAAUACUGUUAACAGGAAGGUCUGACGAAAAGGCUAUUGAUGACUCAAUGGCUUUUAGCAUUCAGAGUGUUGCUUUUGUUUCUAAAAUGGCUGAUCGUUUGCGUGCUAGAGCAAACGAGAUUCAGGAGCUGAACACUGAAAAUUUGUCUCUUCAGAGAAUGCUACAUAAGUCUCAACAAGAGGUUGAGAAACUUAAAGAGGAAAAUAAGGCCUUGUUGAAACUGGUGAGUUCAUACUCCAUUGAUACCCGGACAAGGCUUGACAUGCUACAGAUUUCCAAUGAAAAGAUUCUAGGAGACCAUGAGAGGCUCAUGGCUAAGCUUAAGAUGCGCCAUCCUCUUCCUUUAGAGGCUUCCAGAACAUAAUGGAAUUUUAUAGAUUUUAUAGAGCCUGCUCCUUCCUUGCAAGUGAAAAGAAUCUAUCUGUUGUAUGCUCCUUUCCUGUUAUAAUAAUUGGGUAAAUUCUUAAACUUGCACCUGUGUUUUUACGUCUUUUCAAAAUGAUGGUUUGGAACCUUGUACCUUUUCAAAUAACCACAUCAAAUCUCUCAAAUUACAUAUUUCAAUGCAUGUGAGUCCGGAACUUCUGGCUCGGGUUAAACACGACUUGAAAAUUUAUUUGCCUUUUUAAAAUGGGCAUGAAAUAUAAAUUGAGUAAAAGCCAUGAUAAUAUUGCAAUAUAGUAGUGAAGAGCAUUAACUACUAUAUACCCAAAACUUUAGGUUUGGGAUCUCUUAUAUAUUUGGAUCCACGGGCUCCUAGCCCAGAUCAUAUAAUAUAGCAAAAUAUGUGGGGAGCCUCAAUUCAUCCUUUGAGGUUUAUCCUGAUAUUAUCCAUUUCACGGUGUAUUCUUGACAACCGAAAUUCACAAAAUAUAUUUCUUCCUUGAGGUGUCGAUUAUAACAUAAUUGAACUUAUUAAAUUCAUCAUUUUCUUAUGCCAAAGAAAUAUGUGGUGUAUCACAAUUUGUAAUAAUACCUCAAAGGUUGUCUAUUUAACUAUUGGAACUUCAGGUUCUCAAGCUUGUUUUCAUAUUUUGAACUUCAGGCCAAAAUCGCAUAUUUUCAUGGUAUGGACAUUCAAUACUCUUAGACUUUGAACUUCGGGCCAAAAUCACAUAUUCUCAUGGUAUGGACAUUUUUAUAAUUUCAUGUAUAUAUUUUAGGACUUCGGGCCCUUAAUUGUCCAUGUUUUAAGGAACUUCUGGCAUCUCAUUCAAUUGCUCAUCCAUGAGUUUAAGGAACUGCAGGAUCCUUUUUGUAUAUAGUGAUAGUUUACCCAAAAUAGUUAAUAUUUAUGUAUAUGUCACUAUUCAUGUAUAUGGUACUAUUCAUCAGGUCAUGAAUACGUGUCUAUUCAUGCGUAUAGUACAUUUGUCAAUACAAUUACUAUUCAUGUGUAUGGCACUAUUAACCAAUACGACACUGUUACAUUAUCAAAGAACUCUAAGUCCUUAUUUACAUGUCAAUGAUCAAGGAUCUUCAAGUCCGAUCACUUGUUUACAAAUAUAGUACUGAAGAGACUGCCAGCUCUCACACCAUUAUCAUCAUCAAUGAUCUUCAGGUCCUAAUGUAGUUGUAUGAUGAGGAUCAAGGAACUUUUGGUCCUGAUCUCUGUAUGCUGUAAAACUCAUCAUAUCAUGCAAUUAAUUCAUAAAAUAAAUUGCUGGUAUGGACGAUAAUCCCGCACCAUACUUUAAAUAAAUGUAAAUAUGCGGUAAAAUAAAUUCAUAAAUUAAAUUGCUUGUAAAUAAAUUGCUGGUAUGGACAAUAAUCCCGCACCAUACUUUAAAUAAAUGUAAAUGUGCGGUAAAGUAAAUUCAUAAAUUAAAUUUCCUCAUGUAUAGACGUUAAUCCCGCACCAUAUCUUAAAUAAUAAAGUAAAUGUUUGAUAAAGUAAACGUGCUGGUAUGGGCACGAAUUCUACUCCAUAUUUUUAAAUAAAAAAUAAAGGCAGUUGUGUGAACGAUAAACCCGCACUACACCUUUAAAUAAAUACUGUUAUCUGUUAUAUGGAUAAUAAACCUACACCAUACGUAAAUAAAUUAUAUAAGUAAUAAACCUACACUAUAUAGUAAAUAAAAUAAAUAUGAAAUUAAAAACCACCAUUAAAAAUAUAAAUGGUGAAACCGUAGUUAAUAAUAGGAAAGUAAAUAAAUAUAGUAUAUUAUAUUACCAUAAACUUUUCAUAUUAAUAUUACAUAUCAUGGGCUGUCAACUUGAAAACCGCUUUUUUGUUUUUGUUUCUUUUUCUUUCGGUGGUUCUUCUCAAUGCUAGAGGAAAUAAUAUAAUAUUAUUAUACUAAUAUAGAAAAGUAGAGACAAACUUUAGUGCUAGUCAUUCACGUUUGUCUGCUCCCUUAAAUCAAUUGCUAUUCACAACAGUCUUAUCGCUUAAUUAUAUGGCCAUCAAGAAUUCUUUAUCUUUGGUAGAAGUAUGGCUUAGGAGACUCAGAAGAAGUUUUGUGAACCAAGUAUGGUUCUUAAAUCUGUGAAGUGAGUUAUGAAGGAAAAAGAUCUCAUCAAGCCUAUGCUUGAGUUUUUGCAAGGUGGUCUGUUUUGGAAUUUAAUAACUAUCAAGAAAGAAAGAGUAAAACAGGGGGGUUUUGAUAGGAGACUCAGCUGGUAUUUGGGAGAUAUUCGUGCUGAUAACGUGUUGUAAAAUAAAUGGGACUAUGCAAGAAUAUUGAGAUGUGCGUAAAGUAAAUGAGAUACAAUAUUUAACGAGGUUCGGCCUUGCUUACGUCCUCAGAAAGCAGCAAUAGUAACUUUUCCACUAUGUAAAAUAAUAAAGCUAUAACUUUAGUAUUUACAAUAUAUAUGACUCACUGAUUUUUCUCCCUUUGAGAAUUUUUCUCUGCUCUCUUUUUCUCUCCACUCACUCAUCCUCUUUCUUCCCUUCCUUUCUUUCCUUUCUGUCUAGGCUUUCAUUUCUUUUCAGAGGGUUGGUGUGUAUCACGCAAUGGAAGGAUGAAGCCUUCUUAUAGGAAAAGUUGAUAGCUUCCCAUGAGUGUGCAAUAAACUCAUGCACCAAAGUCUUCAAACAAAUAGUAAGUGGGCUCCACUACUUUAUUCUUUACAACAUUUUGUUAAUUCAAAAGUUUAGUUUUAGUGGGAUUAAUAAAUUAUUAAUACUGUAGGAGACAGUAGAUAGAUAAUUGGAGAAAAAAAACUGCGUUUAUUAAACCAAUGGGUAACAGUAAUUAAUCAUAGUUAAACCAAUGGGUGACAGUAACAGUUUCACAACAAUUGAUCAUUAUUGAGUUUCAAACUUGAUAAGUAGGAGGAUACAGUGCAUGGUUUUUAUUAAUGUACGUAAAAACCAAUAGCUAGCUAGGAUCUCCUAUGUCAUGGGCACAGCUAUUAGAGGCUGAGCCUUCUGUAAAGUGAGGCCAAACUUGUCUUCCAUGUUCAUGGUCUCUGGUGCAACCCCAUCUUCAAGCUUCCAGUUAUCAAAGGAGUUAAGAAGUGACCCCAACAUCAAGUUCAGCAUUCUCAUUGCCAACGGCAACCCAGGACAAAUUCUCCGUCCACCACCAAACGGGAUAAGCUCAAAGUUCCUCCCUGUAACAUCCAUGUCCAAUCCCAAGAACCUCUCCGGCAUAAACGAGUUCGGGUUGUCCCAGAUGCUGGGGUCUCUGCCUAUGGCCCAUGCGUUGACCAAAACUUGUGCACCUUUUGGUACAAUGUACCCGCAGAUUUCUACAUCUGCUCCGGCUUUGCGAGGAAUUAGCAAUGGAGCUGCCGUGUGCAAGCGCAAGGUCUCUUUGAUUAUGGCUUGUAAGUAAGGGAGCCGAGUGAUGUCUGAUUCCUCCACUGGUUUUCCUUUGCCAAUGAUGUGCUUCAGCUCCUCUUGAGCUUUUGACAGUUUUUCGGGGUUGUGUAGUAGCUCAGCCAUUGCCCAUUCUAAUAUGGCUGAAGUUGUGUCUGUGGCAGCAACAAAUAGAUCCUAUAAUAAUUGGCCAAAUUGAUUAACUAGUACGAAUAAAUACUUAUACCAUAUCAAUUCAACAUCUGAUCUACCAUUUUCGUGGUAAACUUGACCCCCGAUUGAGACAGUAUCAAAUGAAAUAAUCAGUUUAGAUGAUACAUAUAGCCGCAGUAAUAAUUAAGAAAACGAAAAACAAAAGCGAAAAUGUAUAGUAGUCAUAAUUAAUUUUGAAAUCUAAGCAAUUUAUACCUAUAUAUCAAUUGAAACAAAGUUAUCAAGAUUAAAGGAGAGCUAGAGUAUAUAUAGAUAGCCACUAACCAGGAACAAAUGUUGAGUUUCAACCAUGUCCAUAUCCUCAUUUUUCUCUUCACUACUGUUUAUAAGGGUAUCUAACAUAUCACUGGUUAUGAUAUAGUCAGGUGCUUUUCUUGAUUCCAUUCUUUGGAUGAUCAAGCGAUCGAAGAGGUCAAACAUCUUCAGGAUGUGACGAGUCAAACGGCGCCGUAUCCCCACGGGGUCAAUCUUUUUAAGCACUGGAAAAUAGUCAGCCAAGUUUGGUUUCGAAAUCUCUUCCAUAAUACUCCGCACCAGCUCCUUGAACUCUCUAGCCCUCUCACUAUUCUGGCUCGCUAAAUCCACAGAGAAGACAGUCCGCGACAUCAAAUUGAGCGUAGUUUUGAAAGCAGCGCUUCCAAUCUCCACUCCAUCACCUUUUACAACGCUUUCAUGGACAUCAGCUAUGAGCUCUUGCACUUUUAGGCGACGGUUGGCUUGGCUGGCGUCGAGAACUUUGGUGGCGAACAAUUGGGAGUUGCAUAUUUUGCGAAGGUUUCUCCACUUAGCUGAAACAGGUAUCCAGGGCAUGCCGUUCUCGCCAUGUUUACAGGCUUGGACUGAAUCUAAUACUGUUCGGUUGCAAAACAAUUGGUCAUGGGUUUGGAGAACUUGUUUAGCUAUGGUGGAUGAAGAAACCACAACAGUUGUGAUUUGGCCAAGAUGUAAAGUCAUAAUGGGGCCAUAGCGUUGUGAAAGCUUGGUUAGGGAGCGGUGGGGUUUGUUUCCAAGCUCUAGAAGAUUUCCAAUGAAAGGAAGUGGCUUUGGUCCAGGUGGAAGCUUUUUGGGACUUCUUCUUGCAAAUGAAUAAUAGAGGGCAUGGACUGAGACCCAGGCAACCAUAAGACACAUUAGAGUGGCUCCAGCGAAGGAGCCCAGCCCGAGGCAAGGGCAGAAAAAAAAAAAAAUUCCGCUCCAGCGUGCAGCCCAGGCCCGGGUUUGGUGUGGGACCCACCAACUCGGGCCAGCCCGAAGGCCAAACCAGCCCCAGGUCCAAAACGAGGGUGCUGACGUCAGCGCUGGCGUCACGCUGACGUCAGCUAGCUGGUACGCUGCCACGUGUCGCGCUCAGUGCCUUCCGAUCUGCUUCUCCUUUCUAAUCCAACGGCUGAGGCUUUUUUGGGUGAAAAAAAUAUGAAAAAAAAUUCUAAAAAAUUCUAAAAAAUUCUGAUAUUUUUUUCUAUAAAUACAUAUCAAUACCCUUCACUUUCAACACCAAUACUCUUACAUUUCAUUAUACUUCUACUAAUAUUCACUCUUUUUACACAACAUUUUCCUCUUUUUCAUCUAGCAUUUUGAAAUUCAUCCGAAAUUUGAACCCAAAUUUAUCUGAAUUUUGAAUUUUGAAAUUCAUUCGAAAUUUGAACCCAAAAAUUUAUCUGAAAUUUGAACUUUGAAAUUAAUCCGAAAUUUGAAUCCAAAUAUCUUAUCCGAAAAUUUUAUCUGAUUAUGAAUAGUCUUGACACGUAGGAAUCCGAAAAUCUUAUCUGAAAAUAUUACCCAAAUUAAUUAUUUUCAUUAAAAAAUAGGAGGAAAAAACAAAAAAGUGAAUAGUAAUUGCCAUGGCUAAGGGCAACGGGUGGAGAAACGAUUUACUAUUUGCAAGGGCAACCACUAUUCACGUGAAUAGUGCUUGCCCUAGCUCCACCCUUGCCAUGGCUAAGGGCAAAUGGGUGGAGUUGCUCUUAGAAUGCAACUCAAGAAAUCCAUCUCUCGCCUAACUUAAUUAAUUUUUGGCACGAUUGUUGAGACUUAUCAAGAAAGCAUGAAAAUAUCUUUUAAGUUCGUUUAUACUUAUCCUCUAAGCUAAGAGACAAACUUAGGUAAUAAAGACAUUUGAGAACAACUUGGGUAGGUAAAGAAAUUUGACAACAAUUUGGGUCUGGACUUAACUGUUACGAGUGGAUGCUUUUACAAGCUAUCUUUAUUUACUUUAAGGUGAAUUUCAAUAAAUAUCAUAUGAACUUUUAGGUAUGUGUGGGAUUAACUUAUAAAUUUUUAAUUUUUUCUAGUAAUCACUUGAACUAUUUAUAGUGUUGAAAUAUUUACAAUCUACGUCUAACUCCUUUAAAAAUUUCCGUUAAAUCAAAUCACAUGCUUCAAAAGUGAUAUUAUUAAAAGUCAUUUCCAUCAAUUCACUAUAAAUAAAAAAUAUAAAAAUAAAACCAACCUAAUUUUUCCACGACUUUCCCAUCGCCUUCCAACACCUCCCAAAUCUAGAAGAGUAGAAACAAAGGAAGAAAAGUGAUUGAGCUGACAAGAUUUCCAAAUACAUUUUUUAAAUUGAAAAAUCAACACCGAAUAACUUAAUAAAAAAUUUACAAAACAAAAAUCUGUAAACUAGUGGCAUGGCUCUGUUUGCUUUUCCUUUAGAUAUAGCCUUCGCAAGUUCAAUCUACCAUCAUAUCUACAGUUUCUAAAUUCAUCUUCCUGUGAUGUAUUGUGAACAAAUUUUAAGAGGCAGGACGUAUGAAACCCAAGCCUAGCGAAGCAACUAACACCAAAAUUUUGAGGAAAAAAAAAAGAAGAAAGAUGAAGAUUGGCCUCAAUCAUAAAGCCAAUACAGUCCAAUUACUCUAUGCACCCCAAUAAACCUUCCUCAGAAAAAAGAAAAAAAAAACUAUCUUCAUAGUUAAUUCUGCUGGACGUUAUUACAACAACUAAUUGUUAUUGAGUUUCAAACUUGAUUAAUGAUUGAGAUAUAUACACGACAUAGUCUCUAUUUUUUUUAAAUAAAAGCGAUCGAUAUUGGGUGGGUGAGAUUCAAACACAGAAUCUCGAGUGCAAGGAAGAUAACUGUUCAAAAUAUGGAUGGCAAUUUUCCCCGGGUAAGGGUCUUCGCGCGGAUUUGACCCUAAUGGUCAGGUAAGAAGGAUAAAAAACGGGUAUGGGGAUGGGUACGAUAAAUUUUUUGGGUAUGAUGUUAGGGGAGGGGCAGGGAUAGUAUUUUAAUCCCUGACCCGAACCCUCCCCGUUUAGAAUAUACAUAUAUAUAUAUAUAUAUAUAUUAUAGUGUAUAUAAAUAUGUUAUUAAAGUGAUUGUGCCAAUUAAGUUUUAUAUUUUCUAUUAUUAUAUUAUAUAUUUAUAAAAUUUAUACAAAUCUUAAGCCACACUAAUUAUAUAUUUAGUUAACUUCCAAUCAAUAUGUAAACAUUCUUAUAUUGUCUUGUACGUAGAUAAUAUAUUAUAUAUACUCAUUAUCUUGCCCUAGUCCUUUUUUGUUUUGUUUCAAACAAAGUAGUUUUAUAUUGAUUUUUUCUUCCCUAGUAAUGGGGCAGGUCGGGGAACCCAUUCCCCACUGAAGGUGGGAAUAGGGAAUCCCUGAUAUGAAUAUUGCAAUUAUGAAGGCGAGAAUGAGGGGAAAAGCUUAACGGGAUGGGGAUGGAAAUAGCAUACCCACCCCCGAUCCGACCAAUUACCAUCCCUAGUUCAAAACCACUUGAGUUACAAGGUAUAUGCAUACACAACAUAAUCUUAAUUUAUAAAAUAUGAAAACUUUAUAAACUGAUUUUCCUUUUGUCAUUAAUAUGAUCAUUAUACAGUAUAUAUAUACAAGUCUACAGAGAACAAUCUACAAUUACAGCAAGCCAUUAUCAUAAACAUAAGGAUUAACUACACUUUAGUCCCUGGAGGUUUAGUGUCAGUAUCGAAAUGGGCCCCAAGGUUUCAUUUAAAUCAAUUUCAUACCCGACAUUUUGAACUAUUACCAAUUUACACUUACCGUUACAUUGAUCGUCAAAGUCAGACGUUAAAUGCUGACGUGGUAGUCGUGGGACCCACCUCAUAACCAAACAACAGUUAGAAAGAAACGAGACUAAGGGCAAUUUUGAAAGAAAAAAAAACAAAAUAAACAAAGGUUUGACUUCUGUCCAAUGCACACGUUCCAAGGCAUGCUUCGGAUACCCAAGCUUGGAAAAAUCAAAGAAACUCAGUUUAUGAGUUUUCGAGAGAGACAUAGAGGAAAUGGUUUGUUCGUGUUUUGGAGAGCAAAGAUUUGAAAUUGACUGCAAAAAUCAAACUGAAACAGAGGCUUCCGAAAUAUCUGAAGAGUUUGAGUUGGGAACUUCGUCCCAAAGGAUAUAGAGGACCUUUCUACGGUACGUAUGGCUUACUGUUCUAAGGUUCUUGGUAGAUGAUGUUUCUGAGCUAAACUUUCAAAUAGAGAGUUUGAGUUUCGAGUGAAAGUUUGGUUUUUAUAAUGGAUUGUGAGUUUCGAGUUAGGUGUCGAUAUCACUGUGUCCAUUUAAUUGGUAGAUGGAAUUGUGUGAAUGGUAGGUGGUAUGCGAAAGUAAACUUUGGCUUUUGUAUGUGGUCCUACAACCAGUAGGAAUCUUACCUUUUGUGUAUGUGUGUAUUGACAUAGAAAGUUUGUACUUGUAUGUGUGUAUGCAUAUGUGUCUUUUUGUAUUUGUAUUUGUAUUUGCAUUUGUAUGUGUGUAUUUGUAAACAGCCUUACAUGUAUUUUUGUUUGGUAAAAUUCAUGUGUGGCUUUCGACAUGCGGGGGAUGAGGCAGGAUUUUCUAUUGAAAUGUACCACAAUGGUGAAAUAAGAGGUAACUAUUAUGUGAAUGGGUCUGUUGAUUGGUUUGAUUAUUGUGAUAAGGAUAAAAUGUCAAUGACUGAGAUAGAUGUCAUGGUAAAGGAGUUAGAGCACGAAGGUAUGAUUAACUACGGGUACAGUAUUCCAAGUGAUCAUUUUGAUUGUGGCCUAGUUAAGCUGGGUGAGGAUGCAGAUGUCUUAGACAUGCUAGUAUUUGUGCCAGACACUAGGUUGAUAAAUAUAUUCCUAGAACAUGUCUUGGCAUACAGUCAAGAGCAGUUUUACAGUCAAGUGGCUUCAAACAUAUUUAUAAAUUUGGAGGAUGAUUUUGGGACCAACACUAGGGUAGUGAUUGAAGAGCUUGAUGACAAUUAUGGUGCCAUUGUUCUAGUGGGUGGGGGAGUAUCCCAAGUGCAAAAGGUGAAAAAAAAAAACAAGUGUUGUAAUAGAAGAGUUAAAUGAAGAAGGGUUGAAUCAAGAAGCAGGUGGACAAGGCAAAUAGUCGAAUCAAGAAAAAGAAGGGUUGAAUCAAGAAGCAGGUGGACAAGGCAAAGAAUUGAAUGAAGAAGGGUUGAAUCAAGAAACAGGUGGACAAGGCAAAAAGUUGAAUGAGGAGGGGUUGACUAAAGAAGCAAGUGGACAAGGUAAAGAGUUAAAUGAAAAAGGGUUGAAUCAAGUAGGGUUGAUUGAAGAUGGGUUGACUGAUGCAGCUUCUGAACAAGCCAAAGAAACUGCCACUGUGAAUAAGGAGGAGAAUUCUUAUAAGGGCCAAGAAAAGCCAAAUAAGGGUUUUUCUGAUAAAGGCAAAGGCAAGAAUAAAAACAUGUCACAUAUGGUGAAGCGUGCUUUUGGUAUAAAUAAAAAAAAAAGAUGCGGCAAUUUGAGGAGGACAAAGACUGUUCACCAUAAAGACGAAGAAGUUGUGGAAGGAAGGGUUGAUGGCGUCAGGACUGAGUCCAAAAGCCAUUCCGUGAUGUUGAGAAGUGGAAGAAGAUAUGCAAAUGCUGUAGACUUUGAAGAUGAAGAUGAUGAUGCUUUUAAUAGUGAGGACUCAGAUUAUAUGAUUUCCAAGAACUUUAGUGAAGAUGAAGAUGAUGUUUUUUUUUUUAAAUGAAUAAGUGGAUAACCAAACUGAAUGGACAGGGGUUAAAGAAACUGGGAAUGAGGCUGCUCUUGUAUGCCUACGGAUGUUGAAUUGGAUUCUGAAGAUUCUGAGUGCAAGGAUUAUGCCAAGUAUAAUUCUGACAAGGAAGUUGAUAAGAAUUAGCCGAAGUUCAAUGCUGCAACUAACAUGGCAGAUCCAAAGUUUGAGAUUGGCAUGUUAUUUACUGAUUGUAAGGUGUUUAGGAGAACUGUUAGAGAAUACUCCAUCUUGCAGAAUAGGGAUGUUGUGUUUAUUAGGAAUGAGGCUUUGAAGUUGAAGGUAGUUUGUAGGGACCCAGAUUGUGGGUGGAUAAUAUAUGCUUCAAAAAUGCAACAUGAGAACACAUUGCAAGUGAAAACAUAUGUAAGUGAGUACACAUGUACACAGCUAUGGGAGAACUCUACUAUGAAGUCAACAUGGAUAAGCAAGAAAUAUGUUGAGACAUUGAAGUCCAAUUCCUAAUGGCCAAUCAGGUCAUUCAAGCAGACUGUUAAGAAGGAUUAUAAUACAUGAGUGUCAAGACUACAAGUGUAUAGGGCAAAGGAUAAGGCACUAAACCUGAUUGAGGGCAGUUUCAAUGAACAAUAUUCAAGAAUUUCAAAUUAUUGUGAGGAAUUAAGAAAGAGUAACCCAGGAACCACAACAAUGGUUAAGUGUGAUUUCCAACAACAGUUGGGGCAACCAAAGUUUCAAAGGUUGUAUGUUUGUUUAGGAGCUGCUAAGAAAGGCUUCAAAGUUGGGUGUAGGCCCAUUAUAGGUUUAGAUGGGUGCUUUUUGAAGAGUGUUUAUGCAGGGUAACUGUUAACUGUUAUGGGUAUAGAUGCCAAUAAUGAAACCUGGGUAAUUGCAUAUGCAGUUGUGGAUCAGAGUGCAAGGGUUCCUGGAUUUGGUUUUUGGAGCUAUUGGUUAAGGAUUGUGAAAUUGUUAAUCAAUUUGGCUUCACAAACAAAAAGAUUUACUGCCUGCAUUUGAGCAAGUGGUCCCUAAUUGUGACCACAAGUUAUGUGCAAGACACAUGUUUUUCAACUAUAGGAUAUUGUUCAAAGCAAAAAGCCUGAGAGACAAGUUUUGGGAAGCAUCAUAUGCGACCACUGUCCCCCACUUUACAAGGGCCAUGGAAGACCUGAAAAACCUAUCCAAGGAUGCAUAUGAAUGGCUAACCACUCCAGAUAAACCUCCAAUACAUUGGUCCAAAUCACACUUCAAUACUCAUUUGAAGUGUGACAUGUUGUUGAAUAAUCUGUGCGAUUAUUUCAAUGCUACCAUAUUGGAAUGUAGGGAUAGACCAAUUCUUACAAUGUUUGAGUAUAUUAGAUGUAGUUGAUGAGGAGAAUACAAGGAAGAAGGGAAAAAAUGUUGAAAUGGAACAUGCCUAUCUACCCAAGAAUAUUUAAGAAGGUGAAGGGAAAUAAAGCCAAGGCAAGUGCUUGUGUGGCAAUGUGGUCAGGUGGAGGUAAAUUCCAAGUGUGAGGUGGUGGCCAUGCAUAAUAUAUUGUGGACUUGGAAUUAAGGACUUGUUCUUGUAGAGCUUGGGAUUUGUAGGGAUGACCUUGUGUUCAUGCUAUUGCAGCCAUAAAUUAUAAAAGGGGUCUUAAUGUCAUGGAUUUUGUGGAUGACUGCUAUUCGAUAACAAUUUACUUGAAGACAUAUGAUAAUCUCAUACUGCCUAUGAAUGGGAUAAUGUGUGGGAUAAGAGUGACUUUCUAUCAUGUCUUCCUCCGUCUUACUCUAAACAGCCUGGAAGGCCAAGAAAAUGUAGAAACAAAGAAGAAGGAAAGCACAAGGGCAAAAUGAAGAUGAGAGCGUCAAGCAACCAAGUUGAAACUGCAUUGUCUCACAUUCCCAACACACAGGACUUUCUCAAAUGUGGGCAAUGUGGGAAAAAGAGACACAAUAAGAGGACUUAUCAUAGGAAUCUUCCCCCAAACACCAAACUGCAACUAAGAGGAAGAAGGGUAUUGAAAAUACCUAGGUAUAGCAACUCAAUAUUGUUCAAUUCUAUCCCUUAAUAACCCUAAGCUUUUGUUGCUAACUGACAAGAAUUUUUAUGUUGUAGACCACUAUUAAUCCAUCUGAAGCAGCCACUCCAGCUGGUCCAAGCACCAUAAAGAAAAGAUCUAAGCCUCCAAGGCGUGUGCAAAAAGGGAAGCCUCUAGUAAGUAACUUUGCGUUGUCAUGGUUAUUAUCACUUUUCUUAAAUUUUCAAAUAAAAGGUUAACAUCCUAAACAUUUUUCAGCCAAAACCAAGUAAGAAAUGACAUGCCACUUCUGAAGCACAACCAUCCUCAACUUCAUGUCCUCAUGCCUUCAUGCAUCAACUUCUGUUUCAACUGUAGGAUCAAAUGUUGUAGAUUGAAGCUGACUGAAAAAGGAAUUUGAUUACUCGCCUUUUUUUGUUAGACUGGCAGUUUGUGAUUAGGAGGUUUUUGUUUUUGAUAAAUUGAUCAUGUAUAACUUAAGUACUAACCUUUUUUUAUGGAUGUCAUGGCAUUCACAUAAGCCUCAACCACUGUGAAUGCAAAUACAUCCACUAAAACUGCCAUUUUGGAAUAAAUUUGAAUGGACAUGAAAUAUGUAAGAUAUGCAAUGUUAUUAUCUAGCUAUUUUGAGCCCAUUUUGAAUGCAGAAUUUUCUGAGUUUUUGGGUUGGCACUUUACUUCAUUAUUUUGGCCAUUCACUUUAUUGUUCCAGGUGCAUCCAUUUUCUAACUUCCCUGCUACAUUGUUUUUGGCAUUCCUUUGCAUAAUUUGACUAGCACUUGGGAAGCAUCAUUGGCCAUUUACUUGAUUGAUUUGGGCUAAUUUUCUAACUUUUAUUUACAUUGUUUUUGACAUUCUUUUGCAUAAUUUCACAACCACAUAGAUUUAGAUGGCCAUUCACUUCAUUUGCAUACUCUUUAUGAUGGCCAUUCACUUCAUUUAGAUAUAAUUCGCUACAUAUUUUGUCAUUCCAUUCACUUCAUCAAGUUACAAAAAGUCAGCAAUUAAACCCUUAACCCUUACCCCUAACCCUUAACCUUAACCCUUACAUAACAAUUAAACCAUUACAAAAUGCCACUAACAACCCAACACUUACAGAAUCUCACAAACAACCCAUAAACAAUUCAUUCAAUGGCAGAAGCUAAUUCCAAGCUCCUCUUUUUGUUCACUCCACAUUCACACAUCCUUCCCAAAAUGAUGUUUGCAAAUAGAACCCACGAAGCCACCAACAACACCCAAACUACCUUUUCUCUUUCUCUUGCCUUUGCCACGGAUUUCUCCAGCUGAAUCCGUGAUUUUAGAAGCACAGGAAUCACUACCUUUGACCGUUCACACAUGGCCGGAUCAAACCAUGCCCAGAAUUGACAACCCUUAUUCUUAGUCCCACGUACCUUUGCUGCACACAUGGAAAAUCGCCUCCCAAGAUUCGAAUAUGUCCAAGAGGUUCGAAUUGUAGCAGUCUUUCUGCACCAACACAUCGGCGCCUCUUCAUCCAAUCCAACUAGCCAAUCGGAUCUUCUUCGUCAGUUUUCUCUCCACUUUUUUCCUUUCUCCUUUUUAUCUUUGCUCUCCAAAACACGAACAAACCUCUCCUUUAUGUCUCUCUCAGUAUCUCUCGAAAACUCAGAAAUUGAGUUUCUUUGAUUUUUCCAUGCCUUGGGUAUUCGAAGCACGCCUUGGAAGUCAAACCUUUGGUUUUUUUUUCCAAAAUUGCCCUUCGUCUCGGCUUUUUCUAACUGCUGUUUGGUUAUAAGGUGGGUCCCACAAUUGCCACGUCAGCAUUUAACGUCUGACUUUGACGGUCAAUGUAACGGUAGGUGUAAAUUGGUGAAACUUCGAAAUGUCGGGUAUGAAAUUGAUUUAAAUGAAACCUUGGGGCCCAUUUCGAUACUGACACUAAACCUCAGGAAAUAAAGUGUAGUUAAUCCUAAACAUAAAUAUGGAAUUAUGGCCUAAUAACAACAUAAUUGACAGCUAACCAAUUCCUAUCAUUAGUAGGAUUAAUUAUUCUAACUGAAAUACUAUUCUAACUCCCUAAUACUCCCCCGCAAAUUGAGCACGGACAACAUAGCAAGAUUUGAGUGAAGAAACUACAUGGUGACGGAGAUGGCGGCAACAGUCAAAUGUAGUAGUCCAGUAAGGGAAGAAGAACUCCAUAGGUGCAACAAGGCUUGAUAGAAACAAAGUAACAGAAAAAUAAAAAUAACGCCCUUUGAAAGGCAACAAGUGAAGGAGCGCAUGGGCUUAUGGAAGGAAAGAAUAAAAUGACGGGCUGACAUAAAAGUCCGAUAUACCUAGGAAACAACUCUAGGCACCUGAGAAACAUAACUCUACCUAGGAAUCACCCUCUAGGUAGGAUAAAGAGCAUGCGUUAAGUGGGAAAAUAAAAGGAUGGGGGAAGUGAAACCUAUCAUCAGGUGGGAAAGGCCAAAAAGUGGUGCACAAAGAGAGAGAGAAACAAAUUUUAAAAGUAAAGGGAUGGGGAAGAAUAAAACCACAAAAAAAACAAACACCUGCCAUAACGCAUAGAUAAAAAAGAGGAAAAAAACCAUGCGAGAGUCUCACGGUGAGACAAACAAAAGACAAGGAGCGUGAGCAAGACAGGCCCUUGAGACAAGUGCAGAAAUAAAUUAGGUUUUUUUUUAAAUAAAUUAAAUAUUAGAAAAUGAGGACAAAACCCAGCACGUGGAAAGCAUAGAAAUAUGGAGCUCAAGAAAGAGAGCCAAGCGCAGGGAUAUUAGUGGUGUGCAAAGUAAAAGAAGAAGAUUACAAAGAUAAAAGUGAGAAAGGUUAAAAAGGGAAAAGAGAGAAAAGAGAACUCUUUGAUAGGGAGGGAGAGAGUCUCUCAAAUAAACAGAGAAAUAUGGCUCAAAACAAAGAAAGUUGAGGGAGAUUUCAAGAGAAGAAGGGAAACCAAUGAUAGAGAGGUAUGGUCUUCGAGGGAAAAUAAACAAAAAGAGGGAGCUUGUGAGAACAAGAAGCUCAAGAGGGUAAGGAAAAGUUUGAUGCUCGGUUUCAGCAGAGAGAAGUGGCCCCAUAUUGAUGGAUAACAAGGGGUUGGCGAGCCAAAAGAGGGUUAGGCAACGGCUGUGCAAGAGAAUAACAAUGGCAGGAUAGCACAGCAUGAGAGAGAUAAAGGCCGGUGAGGAAACUCACGGAGGAAACAGAAAUCUAGCCAUCAUGGCCAACGAAGAUAAAUGGAGCUGUGUUAGGUUGCCUUGAGAUAGCUCCACAAUGAAGAUGGUGCAGCAGAGACACAAAAAUAACGGGCUAACAGAAGAAAAGGUUACAGUCGUAAAAGAGAGGUGUGGCUAUAGCUAAGGUGGAAAGAAAAAAUAUAUUCAUCAGAAGCUCCACGACCAGCCAAAUUUUCUCCUCCAAAACCGCCACCAAAUGCCUCCAUUCUUGGCGGCACUAGUCCCGUUAGAACCGUCUCACUUCCCUCUUCGAUUCCCAACUGGUCCCAGCCUUGAUUCGCCAUCGUGGUGGCCGAAAUCAGCCACGAAACAAUUGGUGUUAUAGAGUUUUUUUGUAAACUUUCGGGAGCUCAUUCGGAGGCCUCCGGCCACCAAAUCUUUCGAAUUUUAUAUGAUUUUAUAUCCUUUCAACAUGUUCUAUCUGCUGGUUGUGUUAGUUUUGAGAAAUUUCUGCAUUUAAUUGGUUGAUUAAGCGAUUGAAGUUUUGGCCAGUUUCGAUCUCUGAUUCCGGCCACUUCCAUCAACUUUUUGGGGUAGGUCCAAGAACAAAAGUUGCUCCACUAUAUGUGGUGAUCAUGUACGUAUAAGUCUUAACUAGCAGUUUGGAGAUUUUUCGAUCGCCGGAAUCACUUUGGACACUCACGAGCUACCAAAGCAUGGGACACCUUUCGGCCUGACCUUAAGUCCUAAAAUUAUCUUCAUGUCAUCCCAAGCACGAUGGUAUGCUCGGAUAUGAAUUUGGUUACCGUUCGAUUGUCGAUCGAAUAUUGCAUAUUAAGCGUUAUCCGGGUUCGAUAUGUUCGGGCCGUUGGAUUGACUCCAAUUAGAUAUAUAUUGAUCUAGGCAUUCCUAAGAUUGUGUAGGAAUUCACGGAUCUUGAAUCGGAUCGCCGGAUGUUCCAAUUCAAUUACUUAAAGUAUGCGUUAAACGAUAACCUCCAAUCGUCCAAUCACGAGCAAUUCGGACCAAACUUGCAGGGUAGAUUUAGAGGGGUGUGUUGAACCUAUAGGAACUCCCGAAUUUGUGAUUGGAGGUCGCGGGCCCCGCGGGUCCAAUUGACCAAGUUUAGGCGGUUUGACCCCUCGGUUGACCGUGAGUCUUUUGAGGUAUUUAUAUCAUUUGAGAAGUAUUAGAAUGACCAUGCAGACGAGUCCUCACUGAAAAUUUAGUUAUUCGGAUCAUGUUAUGGAUUUAUAUAAUUAUGAGAAGAGUAUAUAUAGUUAUAUAUAGAUUGCUAAAUUGUGCAUAGUUCUAUUAUUUAUAUUUUAAAGUGUAUUAUAGUAAUUGAUAAUAUAUUUGAAUGUUAUUCUCAAUGCUUGGAGAUUAUACAUUAUUGGAACUAAUGGAAUCUCUAGGAGUAGUGAUUAUUUAUUUAUUCCCUUAUUCAUUUACUUAUUUAGUUAUUUAUUGCUAUGAAGAUUAUAAUUACAGUAUUGGAAUGGUUGGAUAAUCGGAGUUUGACAUGAUUAACAAACUAAUUAGCUAUUUAAGUUCAUGUCUAUAUUUAAUACAUAUACUCAAUAGCUGAAAAUGGAUUUGUUGAAUAAAGGGAAAGUUUGUGAUAAGUUUUGGAUAUGGCUUUUCAAACCCAUCUCAGGAGUCCCCCCCUCCCCCCCCCCCCUAUUGCCCUUGAAAUAGAUUUGUCAUUUAUGACAUGCCCCAUGAGUUUCGGGACGCCUGAACUGUGUAGUUUGAAGAUAUGCGUUCUCGGGCCUACUACAUGUCCCUCGAGUUCUGCGAGGAAUGAGGCCCAGGCUAACUAAUGGCCCCUUCAGGCCUACGAGGAAUGCGGCUCGGGUUAACUUUGUGUUUCCGAAGCCUGCGAGGAAUGCAACUCGGUUAACUUUGUGUUUCCGAGGCCUGCAAGAAUGGAAUUCACGGACUAAUAUUGGAAUUGAUAGAUUAUUAUUGGAAUUGACGGAAUAUUAUUAGAAUUAACGAAAAAUUAUUGGAAUUGACGGAAUGUUAUCGGAAUUGAUGGAAUAUUAAAGGAAUUGACGAAAUAUGGAUAGGGGUAUGUCCAGGUGGAAAGAAUCUCAAGAGACAAAACCUAAUCCUAUUUAAAAUAGGACUAACAUAAAAGCACUUAAGUGAAAAUAACUCCAACUAGGAAUCCUAUAAUGAAUGCAUGAUUAUGUCAUGAUUAUGCAUGAUUUUUUCCCUUCAAAAAAUAACAAUUUGGGUUUUGCCCGUACUCAAAUCAUUUUUUCUCCCAACCCUCCGGACUCAAAUUUUAAGUCUGCAACUUAAUUAAAUUGUUUAAGAAUGGUUUAAGUCUUUUUUUUUUUAUGGAUAACUUUUCUUCAUUUAAUCUUUUUAAAUAACAUCAUAAUUUAAUUUUUUGAACAAUUUGACCUAAAAAAAAUUGAAAUUCCAUAAAUUUAAUUUUAUUCCAAAAGUAAACACACAACAUAAAAAAAACACACACAACAUAAUUGAAACACAAAAUGAGGAUUGAAACAAUUGUCGACCUCAUUCACCAUCUCCAAAGCUCCUCCAAAGGUGAUUGAUCAAAUCAUGUCGGAGACUCUGAUGCACAUGUGGAGAUUGAACUCUAUUAUGACGAAUCAUGUAAUCAGAGAGAGUCUGCCUAUCUUGGUGGUACUCAUAUGUAAUGCUUGGCUCCAGCUCAUAUUGUCUUGCUUUGGCCCUCAUGGAUCGUUGUGAACACAUAUCCUCAUCAUCAAAUUCCUCUUCAACAUAUUCAUACUCAUCCUCCACAAUCAUGUUAUGCAAAAUUAUACACAUCAUCAUGAUUGAAUAGAGGUUAUCCCUGCACCACAUACGUGUAGGGCCCCGAACAAUAGCCCAUCGAGCCUGUAAUAUUCCAAAUGCUCUUUCAACAUCCUUCCUGUAUGCUUCUUGCAUUCGUGCAAAAAGCCUCUUCUUUGGGUUAUCAGGAGAAGAUAUGGUCUUCACUAAAGUAGCCCAACAGGAGUAGAUCCCAUCUGCCAAAUAGUAGCCAAAUGGUAUUGAUUUCCAUUGACAAUAUAUUCAACAUGAGGAGCCACUCCAUGUACCACAUCAUUGAACAAUGGAGAACGAGCUAAAAUGUUGAUAUAAUUGUUGGAUCCAGGGGCUCCAAAAAAGGCAUGCCAUAUCCAUGUGUUGUACGAGGCCACGGCCUCUAGCACAAUAGUGGGUUUUUUUUUGUGACCGGUAAACUGGCCUGCCCAAGAAGAUGGGCAAUUCUUCCAUUCCCAAUGCAUGUACUCAAGACUUCUUAACAUGCCUGGGAAGCCUCGACUGCUUGCCUUGUGCAAUAGCUUGUAAAGGUCAGCUGGAUUUGGAGACCUGAGGUACCAUUGGCCAUACACAGCUUCAACAGUGCAACAAAACUUACGGAGUGACUCAAGAGCUGUGCUUUCACCCAAUCUACAGUACUUGUCGGUCGCGUCAGCUGAGCAUCCUCAUGCGAGCAUAUGAAAGACAGCGGUUAACUUUUGCUCAGGGGAUAGCCCUUGUCGACCGAGCCCGUCUUUUUUUUGGCGAAAGUAUGGCUCGUGGUUGACAACAUCAUUCAAGAUGCGGUAAAACAACUCUUUCCCCAUUCGGAACCGCCUAUGAAAGUCCGUAGUAUUAAAAUGUGGCCUUUCAACAAAGUAGUCGAACAUAGAUUGCGAUGACGAUCUUCCCUCUCACGGUUCUUAUACACACGACCGAUUGCCGACCCACCAUGUUUGGUGGCUUCAUUCUCCAGUGAAGUAUGGUGGACAAUGGCUUCUAAAUCAUCUAAAUCAUCAUCAAACAUAAAGGAAAAUAUGGCCUUGCCACGGUUAUCCAUUGAAAACUUCAAAUGAUAUGAAAAGCAUUGGAAUGAAGAAGAUGAUGUGCUUGAAAUGAUAUCAAAAGUAUGAGAAUAAAAGAGUUGAUGAAAUUUACAAAGGAAAAAUAAAUUGAGAAAUAGAAAAAAUAUUUUUAGUAGAUUAAUUGAGAAAUGAGGGAGUAUUUAUAGAGUUUGGAGUGAGUUUUGGGGUUGGAUCUUAUUUGGAUUAAUUUAAAAUAUUAUUUUGACUAUUGGAUCUUUUUUUUUACCCUUAAAAUAGCUUAGAUUUAAUCUAGAUCGUUAAUUUAAAGUUACUAUUAGAAUUUUAAAUAUAUAUAAAUAUUUGAAUUGCAACGCCACUUUGAGUUGGAAUAAAGCCAGCAUGUGGGCCUAGUCUCUUUUUAAAGAUACUAUUACAUUUAUAAAUAAAUAAAUAAAAAAGGAGCUGUUGGAAUUGCAACGGCUCUCUCACCAGGAGCUGACACGUGGCAUGGGCAGCAGACAAACUCAUCAGAGCUGGUCCCAGCGCGGGUCCCAAUAUUUUUCCCAUGCAUAUGGGCUAUGCCACCUUAGCGCGGGCUCCACUAAAUAGUUUUGGGUCCAGGCUAAAUGUGGACUGGUAUUUGGGUCCAAAUUUAGGUUUUCUCAAAUUUUGGGUUUUUCAUUUUCUUGGGUUGGGAGAGAUUUUGGGGGAUAUUUUGGGUUUAAGUCCUUGGUUGAAGAUGGCCUUAUGUUUACUGUUUCAUUCUUCUUCUUCUUUUUUCCUCCUCGCUUUUUUUUUUUUUUCAUGACAUACUUCAAUUGUUCUAUGUUUCUAUAUUUAAAUAUGCUUCCUUUUUUUAAGUACAAAUUUGAAACAUUGGGACUUUAUAUUUUAUUGUGUUUACUGUCAAAUUUUAUUUUUUUAAUCUUUUCCAAAUUUUUUAUUUAUUGAAAUGCUCGUAAAAAAAAUUAAUAUAAUAUAAACAUACAUUAAAAUAAAAUAAGUUAACAACAACAAAAAUGAACGCGUAAAAUAAAUUACAUCAUAAAAUAAAAUAAAAAAUACUUAUAAAGUCCCCUAUUGUGAGAAAGACAGUAAUAUUUCAUCGGGGCUCUAAAUGGAGUUCUAUCCACCAUAUUUAGAGCCUCAACCAUUACAGAUGGCCUUAUAGAACUCCGGAUAUAGAGCCCCUCAUUGUGAAAAAGAUACCUUUAGAGCCCGUAAUAUUUCAUUAGAACUCCAAAUGAGACUCUAUCCACUAUAUUUAGAGCCUCAACGAGGAUGGCCUUAGAUAACCUGAUAAGAUAAACAACGCCAUCCACCAUACGAAGUGGUGGCCUUAGAUGAGGUUUGUAAUUUAAAUCACCAUCUUUUUCAAUCCACAACAUGAUGAAAGAGUUGAAGGCAUAGAAACAAACAACGAGGUCCAAAUAACAAAAUGCAUCACACUCAAAUAGGGACAGUGGGACUUUUUUGGUAGGUGCUUACAGGAAAAAUGGUUAAAAAGAGGUCAAGUGGGGAUGGGGAUGGGGCUCUAUAUUCUUUAUAUUUUUUAUUUUGUGUGUCUCCUUGAGCCCCUCAUGACAGUGGCAGAAAAAUUCUCCACCACUUCGUAUUUUAGCUGCAUGUAGGCUUCCCAAGAGAUAGAAGAGAAGUUCACUUGGGGGCCCUGCAGGCCCUUAUACCCAAGCAAGUUCAAGGCUUCCUCCCUUUAAUUUUUUUUUUUUUUUUUUUUUAAGAAAAGAGAUAUAUAUUAUUGCUCUCUAUUUUGCCACAUGGUAGGAAAGUCCCCACCUAAGUUUUUCUCUUUCGUGUUUAUCUCCUAGCAUGUAGGAUAUAUAUAUAUAUCAGUAGUGAAAAAAAUGCUCAUGUCCUCUGAACAAUUGUGCCAAAAAUUAACGGGCUGGAAGAAGUAGAGAGAGAUGGAUUUUUUGAGUUGUGUACUAUUAUGUCUUAUGGUUGCCUGGAUCGUAAUCCAAGCCCUCCAAUAUUCAUUUGCAAGAAGAAUUCCCACAAACCUUCCACCUGGACCAAAGCCAUUUCCUUUGAUUGGAAAUCUCCUAGAGCUUGGAAACAAACCCCACAUCUCUCUAACCAAGCUUUCAAAACGCUAUGGCCCCAUUAUGACUUUACAACUCGGCCAAAUAACAACAGUUGUAGUUUCUUCAUCCAUCG
rnacentral:lncRNA from 1 species